rnacentral:lncRNA from 1 species
GUCCCAGAUAUGUGGUUGAUACGGAAACACUUGUUAGCAUGCACAGCAUAUUGGAUUUAAACUAUACAUUCGUAAGGAGCUCGGUGGAGGGCACUGUUGAGAUCAAGAUCCUUGAGGGACCUGAUGAAUUCCAUGGGAAGAUUGUUGCUUCCACUACCAGCAUUCCAUGCGACAUUAUGCUACAUGAUAGCAAAGUGAGUGGUGCCCUAACUGCAGGUGACAAUGGAGUCCUACAAAUGGCGCGGCGCGUAGUAGGAGUCUCUGUGGAUGAGAUGCUGGUGUUGACUGUUGCUGCUGCUGUCGGUGAUGAUGAGUUAUCUGUCCGCACUAUUGAGUUUACUCCAAGGCGCAAUGGUUACGAUGAAGGGAGUAUCACCUGCGGGGACUACAAGAUGCUUCUGAAGGUCACUUGGGCGAUUAUGUAACUCUUAGUUAUUUAGUCGUGGCAUUCUGCCAGAUUCUCUAGAUCCUUUUUAUGUAACGCAGCUUCAUUAUGUGAACCAGUCAUGGUACAUGCGCAAACAAUAUAUGUUCCAGUGUGUAUUGUAUCUAUUCUGACUCUUCUGUCUGAUGUAAGCUAGUUUUACUGGAACUGCUUGUGGUACAUGCAUGAAAUUUAAGAGUUAUACUCCCUCUGUCCCAGAUAUGUGUAUAUUGGUUGUAGUAACAUCUUGUAUUAUGGGUAUAUUGAUUGUCAUAACAUCUUAAAUAAAAAUUAUGGGACGGAGGGAGUAGUAUUACUACCAUCCUAAAAGUAAUGUCUGUACGAAGUUUUUUGCCUUGUUGAAUUGCAAGAUGCAGUAACAAGACAUUUAUAUGUCUGCCUUGUUGAAUUGCAAGAUCUUGAGACCUGUAUGUUAGAAUCAGAUCUCGCCUGCGCUGCAAGUUCAAUGUCUAUGAUUAUGAAGACUUCCGGUUGUAAUAUACUCCCUCUGUCCCAAAAUAGGAUGUACACAAAGUGGUACUAAAAUUGAGACACUUAUUUUAGGAUGGAGUAUUUUCUAGUGAACUAAUCACCUUUUUAUUUCUAUAUAUUUUGUCAGAAUCAAGAGCUCAGUAGUAGCUUUCAAUUCUUUGGAUUCCUCCUCUUUGUAUCCAACUUGGCUGCGCAUUAUUGUGCCAAGGAAGUGGUUCUGAAUAGUAUCCGAUUCAAACCUAUAGCAGAAUUUACCCCUUCUAAAAUUUCUUAAAUACUCCCUCCGUCCUAUAAUGUAAGACGUUUUCGUUUUUUGACUCUAGUGUAGCACUAGCACACCCAAUAUGCAAAAAACCCAAUUUGCAAGCACUAGAGUCAAAAAAGUCUUACAUUAUGGGACGGAGGGAGUAGGGUUUUUUCAGAAUUUUUGGAACUUUUGAAAGCGUUUUUUGGUAGCACUAGCACACCCAAUAUGCCCCCCUGGAGCAUCACUAACAAGCGCCCAUCAAUAGAACUGAUGCACUGGAUGAACCCCAUUCCCAGUGAUUGCAAAGCCUGAUUAAGCGUUUUCCAUGCACUCCACAUCAAUUAGAAGCAAAUUCUGGUUGGGCAAAUAUUUGACAAUGAAUUUAUCAUAUGUUUUCAUCUGUAGAGUUUGGAUAUCUCAGGAAAAAUGUACAGUUCUACAAAAUUCUUGGUUUGCUCAAUGGACAAAGCAAUAUGCACUUCAGAGCAACAAUAUUUUUUUUUAGAGAAAAGGCGUACGCCCGACUUUAUAGAUAAAGCCACCAGGCAGAGUCACAACAUAGUCACCCAAACGACCGUCCGAACACAACAAGAUAAAGGGUGCAAAUACAUGGCAACCAGCCAGAUAAGGCACGCAGGCCAGCAGAGAUUCCCACAAUAGCCGAAACUAAGCCAUCCUCCUAGAAAGCCACAGCAGGGACGACGCCGUAGAUCUCAUCAUAGAUAGCAUGUCGUCAAAGGCCUCUAGGUCCUCUCCCUUAGUCAAUGAUCUCCACUGCUGCAAAAAGAUAUUGGCUUUAAAUAAGCAACUGACAGGGUUAGCCGGGAAAGUAUGCUCAAUAUUAUGCUAAGGUGUUAACAUAAUGCCGCAAGUCCUCAAAGGAGGAGGGAUUCCAAUUAACAUGAAGCCAGAGUCUAAUACAGCUCCAAAAAAUUUAGCCAAAGAGCAGUGAAAAAAUAUAUGCUCGGUGUUUUCAAUAGCUCCACAAAGAGCGCAUCUGUCAGAUCCCGGCCCGUUCCUCUUUUUGAUCUGAUCAGCCGCAGGAAGUUUACGACGAAAAGCUUGCCAGAGGAAAAUUUUUAUCUUAGGGGGAAUACGGGCAAGCCAAAUGUCCUUGAAUUUAGCAGUACAGGCACCCGAGAUAAGUUUGGAAUAGGCAGAUUUCACUAAAAAGCGCCCAGAAGCAGAGUGAGGCCAGCUAACCGAGUCAUCUUCCUCCGAGAGCAAGGGGAAGCAGGUAGUAAGACGUUGCCAGUCUUCCAACUCCACAGGAGAGAGAGUGCGCCGGAAGUCAAGAACCCAGCCCUGGGCCGAGAGCUCGAAGAUAGAGAUCUCGGGAUCAAAGCAGUAAGAAAACAGGGUUGGGUAGGCCACCGCUGGAGUGGAAUCCCCUACCCACCAAUCUAACCAAAAACGAGUAGACUUGCCAUUCCGAACUAAAAACUUGACUAGGGAUCGGAAAAUAGGCCGAACUUUAACAAGCUGGCGCCAGAACUGAGAGCCACCCGAAGAUGAGGCGAACAUAGGACUCGAGGAGGGGAAAUACUUAGCUUUGAGAAGGGAAAGCCAUAGGGGGCGCUCCUCGAGGGACAUAAUCUUCCACCACCAUUUAAUCAUGAGGCAUUUGUUCAUAACCAUAGUAUUAAUUAUACCUAAACCCCCCAUGCACUUAGGCUUGCAGAUCAAAUCCCACUUGACCAUUCUGUAUUUGCGCUUAUUGUCACUGGAAUUCCAAUAAAAGGCACCCCUAUGCUUAUCGAAACUAGCAUGAAUCCCACCAGACAGGAGAUAGAAGCCCAUUAGAAACAUUGGGAGGGAGGAGAGGCACGCAUUAGUGAGGGCAACCUUGCCCGCCUGGGAAUUAUACCGGCCUCUCCACGGCAAAACUCUAUUACCAACCUUGGUCACUGCCGGAGCGAAAUCUUUUGCAAAAGAUUGAGAGGGGAAAUUGGUAAGCCUAGAUAUUUGAGAGGGCAGGAUCCUAGAGAGCAGUUCAGGAGGUGCGCCACUCUCUGUGCUUCCACAUCAGGUACCGCAGUUACAAUCACUUCGCUCUUAGAGAAGUUAAUUUUAAGCCCCGAAAGCGCUUCGAAACAUAAGAGUAUAAACUUCAGGUUCGUGAGGCAGGCCUCAUUCAGUUCCACCAUAAUAAUGGUAUCGUCCGCAUAUUGAAGGUGAGUAAUGCCAUUGGGGAUAAGGUGAGAGCUAACAGGCAAAAUGUGCCCGGCAUCAGCCGCUCGAGAAAGGAUAUGAUACAGGGCAUCCGCAAUGAAGUUAAAAAGCAAAGGGGACACCAGAUCUCCUUGCCUUAGGCCCCUACCAUUAGCAAAGAAGUUACUAGUAUGACCAUUAACCACCACAGCCGUGUGCCCACCCGUAACAAGCUGCAUAAGAUGAUGGACCAUCGCACCCUCGAAUACUUAGCAAGAAGAACCUGACGGAGGAAAUUCCAGCUCACCGAAUCGUAGGCCUUUUCAAAGUCAAGUUUAAGAAUUACAGCCCGAGUGCCCUUGGUCCGCAAGUCAUGAACAAUCUCAUGCAAGCAAAGAACCCCAUCCAGUAUGAAUCUCCCCUUUAUAAAAGCAGAUUGGGAAGGACUAAUGACACGGUGAGCGAUUGGAUAAACCCUAGUGGCCAGACCCUUAGCCGGAAUCUUCGCGAAGUUAUUGAUUAGAGCAAUGGGCCUAAAUUGGGAGAUCAAGUCAGCACCUUUGAUCUUAGGGAUUAGAGUAAGCACCGCGUAAUUCAGUCUAGAAAUGUCAACAGUUCCCAGCCAAAAACCUUGAAUAAUAGCCAAAAUGAGGCCUUUUAACUGAGGCCAAAAUUGUCUAAAGAAGGUGAUGGAAAAACCAUCAGGCCCAGAGGCCGCACUGGGAUUGGCAUAAUGAAUUGCAUCGAAAAUCUCCUUUUCAGACGGGGGAAUCAACAGACUUUCGUUUUCCUCGCUCGAGACCUGUUCGAGGGAAGACCAGAAGGACGGCACCAACCUAAACCCCAAGUCUGGUUUAGCAGAAAGGAGGGUAGAGUAGAAGUGAACCACAUGCCGCAUGAUCACCGAUUGAUCGGAGACCCUGAUGCCCUCAACCAGGAGACUGUCAAUCAGGCAUCUCCACCGUCUGCCGUUUGCGAUAUAAAAGAAGUAGGCCGUGGGCGAAUCUCCCUUUAAGGUCCAGUUAAUAGUGCCUCUUUGUUUCCAAUACACCUCCCCCUGACGAUGAAUACCCAACAAAGCCUUUUCGAAACCGUACCGAGACUGCCAUUCAGCCGCGGAAAGGCCUAGAUUAUCCGCACAAGCAUCAAGUACCGCAAUUUGAGCGGCCAGACUAGCCUUGUCCCGUCUAGACUCAGCAUAGUGAUUUUUAGACCAACCUAUGAGGAAUCUACGGAGAAAGUAGGAGCAUUGAUGCCAAUCAUCCAUCGGACCAAAGGAACGCCAGUUAGAAGAUAGAAAAGACGAGAUCUUAUGCGCCAUCAUGUCAAUGAAACCCUCCACAUACAGCCACGAAGCAUCAAAUUGGAAUCGUGGGAAGAACAUCGAACGAGUACCGUCGUCGAGAAUCAGGGGGGCGUGAUCGGAGCCAACAAUGGCCAAGGCUCUAAGGGUGGCCCGGGGGAACAACGAAUCCCAACUAGGACAUAAGAAAACCCUAUCGAGGACAGAGCGUAUGGGAGAGGAUUGGCGAUUCGUCUAGGUGAAACGGGCCCCAACCCUAGGAACUUCACGGAUCGCCGUGUCCCUGAUGAAAGCGUUAAAAGCAUCGGCCAGAGGCCAAGAGAAAUUAGAAGAACUCUUAUCCGAAGGGUAACGAAGAAAAUUAAAAUCUCCCCUGAUUAGUAGAGGCACCUGACAAGAGUCGAUUUUAUUAUGCAGUUCGUCCAAGAAGUUGUAAGACAUAGAGUGAUCAGCCGGGCCAUAAACCACCAUAAUUUCAAGUAAGGAGUUAAGGGAUCGAUGAAAAACCAGCGUGCUAGCCCAAAAAAUGCCAUGGUCAAAGGCAACAAAAUCGAAAACAUCUUUUUUGGUUCCAAGCAGAAUACCACCUGAGUGACCAUCAGAAGCAACAAAAUUCAAUUGAAUCUGUCUAUCCCAGCAACGGCCGACAGGUCAUUAGGGGAAAAGGAAGGUUUGAGAGUUUCGACAAGACCAAUGAAAUCAAUAUUUUCAGCCCGAACUAAAUCUUUAAGCUGGUCCCUGCGCCUCCUAGCGCCGAAACCUCUAAUGUUCCAGAAUAAAGCCUUCAUCUAAAGGAGAGGUUUUUAAUUCUAAGGCUCGACCUGCUCGGGGCCUUGCAGGGUUUAGCACGUUUUCCAGCCCCACGCUUAGGCACAACCGGGGAAGCCUGACUCCUAUCAGCUCCCCCCUCGACCCCACCGGCCACAACCGGUGGGGCACUCAGUCCCAUCCCAGCCUCCUUGGCUUUAGCAAUGUCAGCCUGCGCAAUUUCAUUCGCCCUAACCACACCAAGCAGGGAAGAGGGAGAACCCAAACUAGCGUCUAAACAAAUGCCCACAUCUUCUAAAAUACUAAGCAAGUGAUCAUCAGAUUGAGAUGGGAGAACUAACCAAACAGGAGAAUGAACAACAGGGGUAGGAGAGGAAGGGACUGGGUGUGAACCUGGAGGAGGAAGAUCCCGAGCUACAGCGCGCGGGCAGCCCGAUCGGCCACCCGCUCACCACUUUUGGAGAUGCGACCACUCUUACGCACCAUGGAAGCGGGCGAGCGCACCGGCACAGGACGAGGCCGAGAGGGAGACGCCGCAGCAGAAGACGGACCUGAGGCCGUCCCCAAAUCAGCAUCGAGCCUGCGACAGAGCCCAGCCGCAGACUGCCUUGACUCCCCCGGCGCCCUGGUUAUGGCAGAGAAUUUCUUGACCGACGAUUUCUUCUUCUUCUUGGAUGCCAUAGGGCCAGCCGGGGGCAGGUCUUCGAUGCCAGAGAGGGAUGGGGAGGCAGGGCGGGCCGGGAGGUUAGAGCACACCGCCGAAAAAGGUGUGCCCUUAGCCCCACCAGAAGCAGCCCCACCAACCGAGUCCAGCAACGAGUCAUUAGCCCCCCGCCCAUUCGGCGCAUUCUCCUUCAACAUAUCCCGGUCUUCUGGGGAGAGCCCAUCCCAUUCCGACUGAGUGAAACGAUGGUCAUUGCCAUGCAUGGAAUCAUCGGGACACCCGUCCCCAUCUGCACUCUUAUCAUCAUUGCCAGAGGCCGGUGGCGGGGGAGGAGGAGGAGGCGACACCGAGCCCGAGGAGCCCUCCACCCGAACCCUAAGCCGAAAACCACCAGCAGAAGGGAAGACAUCAAUGGAGCCUCGGAUACACAGGGGAUCCACACACCUGACCCGCAGGCGAACCGGCCCAAGAACGGCCAGGGACUCCUGGUCAACCUCGAUAGGCUUGCCGAUAAGCACCCCGAACGCCAUCACAAACUCCGUGAAGCGAACGACAGGAGGAACAUCUUCAACUAAAAGCCAAACAUCAGACAAAGAGGAGAUAGCCUUGGAACCAUUUGAAGCAGCCUUGACCGAGACAACCAGUUGAUUCAGAGGAAUCGUGAAGCUAGUGCAGGAGGAAAUCAUGCAGAGGCUUUCUUUGGAGGGAAAUGUCGCAGCAAACUCAAAGUCUGAGAGCUAGCGAAUCUGCCAGUUCCAUCCCCCCUCGUCCCACAAAUGAAGCUCAUCAGGCAGAACCUGGGAAGUGAUGCGUUUGGCCUGAACAGUGAUGAUGCCAACACUAGAUAGCGCAGGGAUAGGGGCAGCAGCAGGGACCUCCUUAUUUAAAGCGAAGAAAGAGCACCCAGGAAGGCCAAGGCCAUAGUGAACGAAGGCAGGAGGCUUAGAGCGAUUCUUACAAUCUACCGUGAGAUGACCAUCUUCCCUACAGAUGAGGCAAAAGGGGGGGUUUUGGCAUCGGGACUGAAAGUGGCCAGGACGGUGACACGCGAAGCAGGCAAGAGUGGGGUUGGCGACCUGAGAUUGGGGAGGGAUGCAACCAGGACCACGGGGAGGAGGGGGAAGAAUACCAUCACCAGACGCGCCGGGCCCACAUCCAACACCCCGCCCGACAGCAGCACCAACGGGGCGGCGAGCCGGAGCCCCCGACGCACCACGCAGAACGAAGCGGGACGGACCACCAGCAGCCACCGCUAGAGCCCGCACCGACCCACCACCCAAGGAAGCAGCACCCUGCGGGGGAAGCGACGGAGCCGGCCCCAAAGAGCCAGCCCUACUCCCCGCAGCCGCCACCUCCCACGGGUCAGCCGUAGCCGGAGGAGCGCCAGGCAAAGGAAGGGAAGGGGCCGCCGCCCUAGAUCCGGAGGUGCACGGGGACGAACCAGGCACAACCGCCGCCGACCCCACCACCGGGGCCAGCGACGCCUGGAGCUUAGAGCGCAGCACCGCUUCAUACUCCAGAUCGGCCUCCGCGUCGCCGGACCCGUCGUGCCCCCUUUUCUGGCCGAAGACAGCCUCGCUAGAUGACCCGCGCGAGCGGUCCAUCGCACCGACGCAAGUCAGAGGAGGAGGCAGGGAACCCUAGAAAUGGGGGAACCGAGCCCUUUCGGAUCCAUAUAUAUAUCCGGACCGAGCCAGGCCCGGAUCCACAUAGGCAACCACGGGGAGGGGGUUAUGGGCCUGNNNNNNNNNNNNNNNNNNNNNNNNNNNNNNNNNNNNNNNNNNNNNNNNNNNNNNNNNNNNNNNNNNNNNNNNNNNNNNNNNNNNNNNNNNNNNNNNNNNNNNNNNNNNNNNNNNNNNNNNNNNNNNNNNNNNNNNNNNNNNNNNNNNNNNNNNNNNNNNNNNNNNNNNNNNNNNNNNNNNNNNNNNNNNNNNNNNNNNNNNNNNNNNNNNNNNNNNNNNNNNNNNNNNNNNNNNNNNNNNNNNNNNNNNNNNNNNNNNNNNNNNNNNNNNNNNNNNNNNNNNNNNNNNNNNNNNNNNNNNNNNNNCCCCGCAGCCCAGGCGCAGGGUCCGCCACCUGCCCUAGCGCCAGAUCUAGGGCAGGCGCCGGCGCCGCCGUCGUUGGAGCCGAAGCCGCACCCCCAGAGGAAGCACCGGCAUGGGGAGCCACCGGAGGGGAGAACGGCGACGUCGCCCCCGAAACCCCACCUGAACCCAGCGACGCCCGAGCCGGGGACCAAGCCACCGCACGCUGGCGCCCACGAGAAACGCGGUGCCAGCCAUCCCCCACCGCCACGGAAACAACGGGCCGCCCCCGCCCGCCAGGAGCGAACUUCCGGCGGCGGCCCGACGCCUGAGCCUCGGGGAGACCGCCCGCAGAGACCGGAGGAGGGGGAAGAAAGCACCUCCGAAUCAGACCCAGAAUCAUCCGAAUCAAGAGCCUAGAAACGAUUGGCCAGAGGCGGAGCGAGGAGAAGAAACCAGGGAGGAGGAGGAGAGGUUGCGCCGCUGCGGGGGAGCGGCGAGGAGACGCCUGAGAAGGGGGGGAGGAAGCCGCCCGGAGCAAGGAGGACGCUGGAGGGGAAGAAGAGCUGUAGGGCGACGCCGAGGGGGAGGGAGGGGACGGGAGCGCCAUGAUGCCUCCCCGUGCUAGAAAGUUAGCUUGUAGUCUAGGAGUCAAAAUAGAGCAACAAGAUUUGCUAUCUUCAGGAGGUGUUUCAGGCUUUCAGCCAAUAACACAACACAGAUGGAUCUCUUCAACAGCUAGCAUUGUGUCUGUAGUCUUUUAUCCAUCUCCAUUUCCUAGGAUGCCCUUGCCUCGCCAUAUAAACCCGGCCAUAAACCUCGCCAUAUAAACCACGUCAUCCUGGACGAGGUUUGCCGAUGUCGCGUCUGCCUCGUCGGCUAUCCUUGUAUGACAAUCCCGGAUCUAGUGACCCUGGUUGCUAUAGUAGCGGCACUUGUUCCGGUCGCCACUGUCGCCGGAACCUCGCCCAGGACCGUCCUGCUGGGACUGGCCUGGCUUGCCAUCGCGGUUGCCACCGCCGCUCUGGGCACGACCUCUGCCUCUGCCGUGAGCUCUGUUUCCCGUGGGGACGCCUCCCCCACAAUUCGACGAGCCGUCGCGGCCGCACUGCUGAAAGCGCGCGUCCCACUGCUCCCUGUGAGUAGCAGUUGGCCGUCAUUGCGUUCGUUGGAUUUGUCGCCGCGCUCCUCGACGACCUUGAGCCGGCCUACGAGCUCCUCGAUUGUCAUGGUGGAGAGGUCCACCAGGCUCUCGAUGGACCAGGCCAGUCACUUGUACUGCCCGGGAUGAGGCGGAGGAACUUGAAAAGCAUCCUCUUGUCGUUGAUGGCAUCUUCGAGUGUCACGAGCUCGUUGACAAGGCCCUACGACCGCAUGGCGAAGUCGUUGACUUGUUCGUUAGCCUUGAACCGGAUAUCCUCUUACUGGAGGCGCAAGGACUAAGCCUUCGGCUCCCGUACGUGCUCUACGCCAAUGUGCAUAGCCUGGAUGGUGUCCUACGCUUCCUGUCUGUCUUCUUGGUGCCAAGGGUGGUCACCAUCUACGGUGGGAUGGCGUGCGGGAUUGCCUCCAUCGAUAGCCGGUCCUUUUUGUACUUGACAUCACCGGUUUUCAUGGCUUUCCACAUAUGCCAUGUCUCCAUGAUGACCUUCAGCAGGAGCGACCAACUGGAAUAAUUGGUCCGCCCAAGGAGACAGAAUGAGGAGCUGGACAUGCCCACAUCGCGCACGGAGUGCGGCGCACCCAGCUCGCCUCCCAGUCUGGCCCGCGGUGUGAGCACGUCGGCCGCCGUGCACGCCUCCUCAAUCGAGCUCUACUUGGUGGUCUUGGAGCCGUCGUCAUCAACGCGGCAUAUGCUUCAGCAUGGCAACCUGGGGCUUUGAUACCAAAUUGUUAGCCCAACCCAAUCUUUCUGCCGGCUAGCGGAGUGAACCCGUGGAAGAACUUCGGUGUCUGAGUAAGGGAAUUUGAGGAGCGAUGUGUAUGAGAUAUUUGGUCUUGGAGUCUUCUCCAUUUUUGCUACUCUCCACCGAGAGCGUAGAGUACAUGCGAAUAGAAAAAACUACAUAUCUACCCUAGACAAGACCACUCCAUAAUAUCACCAUGGAGUGGUUGGAAUAGUGAUUGAAGACCACUAUUCCUUACAUGCCGCAUGUGUCAUGAUUGUGACAUAGACGCACGGUAUGGCCCGCCCAUGUAUAUGUUGGGGAACGUAGCAGAAAUUCAAAAAUUUUCCUACGUAUCACCAAGAUCUAUCUAUGGAGAGACCAGCAACGAGUGGAAGGAGAGUGCAUCUACAUACCCUUGUAGAUCACUAAGCGGAAGCGUUCAAGUGAACGGGGAUGAUGGAGUCGUACUCGUCGUGAUCCAAAUCACCGGAGAUCCUAGUGCCGAACGGACGGCACCUCCGCGUUCAACACACGUACAGCCCGGUGACGUCUCCCAUGCCUUGAUCCAGCAAGGAGAGAGGGAGAGGUUGAGGAAGACUCCGUCCAGCAGCAGCACAACGGCGUGGUGGUGGUGGAGGAGCGUGGCAAUCCUGCAGGGCUUCGCCAAGCACCGCGAGAGAGGAGGAGCACUUGGGAGAGGGAGGGCUGCGCCAGGGGCAAGGGUGAAGCUCCCAUGCGCCUCCCCACUAUAUAUAGGGGUGGAGGGGGCUGGUUUCUUGCCCUCCAAGUCCAUUGGGGCGUUGGUAAAGGUGGGAGGAAAGAAAUCCCAUCAUUUCCUUCCCCACCGAUUGCUAUCCCCCCUUUUUAGGGAUCUUGAUCUUAUCCCUUCGGGAUAUGAUCUUAUUCCUUCUAAGGGGGGAUCUUGGUGCGCCUUGACCAGGGGUGCGGGGCCUUGCCCCCACUACCCACGUUCAUGUGGGUCCCCCCAUGCAGGUGGGCCCCACUCCGGAACCUUCUAGAACCUUCCCGGUACAAUACCGAAAAAUCCCGAACAUUUUCCGGUGGCCAAAAUAGGACUUCCCAUAUAUAAAUCUUUACCUCCGGACCAUUCCGGAACUCCUCGUGACGUCCGGGAUCUCAUCCGGGACUCCGAACAACAUUCGGUAACCACAUACAAACUUCCUUUAUAACCCUAGCGUCAUCGAACCUUAAGUGUGUAGACCCUACGGGUUCGGGAGACAUGUAGACAUGACCGAGACGUUCUCCGGUCAAUAACCAACAGCGGGAUCUGGAUACCCAUGAUAGCUCCCACAUGUUCCACGAUGAUCUCAUCGGAUGAACCACGAUGUCAAGGACUUAAUCAAUCCCGUAUUCAAUUCCCUUUGUCUAUCGGUAUGUUACUUGCCCGAGAUUCGAUCGUCGGUAUCCAAUACCUUGUUCAAUCUCGUUACCGGCAAGUCACUUUACUCGUUCCGUAACACAUCAUCCCGUGAUCAACUCCUUGGUCACAUUGCGCAUAUGAUGAUGUCCUACCGAGUGGGCCCAGAGAUACCUCUCCGUUUACACGGAGUGACGAAUCCCAGUCUCGAUCCGCAUAAAACAAUAGAUACUUUCGGAGAUACCUGUAGUGCACCUUUAUAGUCACCCAGUUACGUUGUGACGUUUGAUACACCCAAAGCACUCCUACGGUAUCCAGGAGUUACACGCUCUCAUGGUCGAAGGAAGAGAUACUUGACAUUGGCAAAGCUCUAGCAAAUGAACUACACGAUCUUUUGUGCUAGUCUUAGGAUUGGGUCUUGUCCAUCACAUCAUUCUCCUAAUGAUGUGAUCCCGUUAUCAACGACAUCCAAUGUCCAUAGCCAGGAAACCAUGACUAUCUGUUGAUCACAACGAGCUAGUCAACUAGAGGCUCACUAGGGACAUAUUGUGGUCUAUGUAUUCACACGUGUAUUACGAUUUCCGGAUAAUACAGUUAUAGCAUGAAUAAAAGACAAUUAUCAUGAACAAGGAAAUAUAAUAAUAAUACUUUUAUUAUUGCCUCUAGGGCAUAUUUCCAACAGUCUUCCACUUGCACUAGAGUCAAUAAUCUAGUUCACAUCGCCAUGUGAUUAACACUCACAGGUCACAUCGCCAUGUGACUAACACCCAAGAGUUUACUAGAAUCAGUAGUCUAGUUCACAUCACUAUGUGAUUAAUACUCAAUGAGUUUUAGGUUUGAUCAUGUUGCUUGUGAGAGAGGUUUUAGUCAACGGGUCCGAACCUUUCAGAUCCGUGUGUGUUUUACAAAUCUCUAUGUCAUCUCCUAGAUGUAGCUACCACGCUCUAUUUGGAGCUAAUCCAAAUAACUGUUCUACUUGGAGCUAUUCUAAAUUGUUGCUCCAUUAUAUGUAUCCGGUAUCUCUACUCAGAGCUAUCCGGAUAGGUGUCAAGCUUGCAUCGACGUAACCCUUUAUGACGAACUCUUUUACCACCUCCAUAAUCGAGAAAAAUUCCUUAGUCCACUAAUUUCUAAGGAUAACUUUGACCGCUGUCCUGUGAUCCAUUCUUGGAUCACUCUUGUACCCCUUGACUGACUCAUGGCAAGGCACACUUCAGGUGCGGUACUCAGCAUGGCAUACUGUAGAGCCUACGUCUAAAGUAUAUGGGACGACCUUCGUCCUUUCUCUCUUUUCUGCCGUGGUCGAGCUUUAAGUCCUAACUUCGUACCUUACAACUCAGGCAAGAACUCCUUCUUUGACUGGUCCAUCUUGAACACCUUCAAGAUCAUGUCAAGGUAUGUGCUCAUUUGAAAGUAUUAUUAAGCAUUUUGAUCUAUCCUUAUAGAUCUUGAUGCUCAAUGUUCAAGUAGCUUAAUCCAAGCUUUCCAUUGAAAAAACACUUUCAAAAUAACCCUAUAUGCUUUCCAGAAAUUCUACGUCAUUUCUGAUCAACAAUAUGUCAACAACAUAUACUCAUCAGAAAUUCUAUAGUGCUCCCACUCACUUCUUUGGAAAUACAAGUUUCUCGUAAACUUUGUACAAACCCAAAAUCUUUGAUCAUCAUCAAAGCACACAUUCCAACUCCGAGAUACUCACUCCAGUCCUUAGAAGGAUUGCUGGAGCUUUGCAUACUUAUUAGCAUCUUUUGGGAUUGACAAAACCUUCUGGUUGUAUCACAUACAACCUUUCCUCAUUAAAAUCGUCGAGGAAACAAUGUUUUGACAUCCUAUCUGCAAGAUUUCAUAAAUAAUGCAGUAAUCGCUAAUAUAAUUCCAACAGACUCUUAGCAUCGCUACGAGUGAGAAAAUCUCAUCGUAGUCAACUCCUUGAACUUGUCGGAAAACAUCUUAACGACAAGUCGAGCUUUCUUAAUGGUGACAUUUACCUUCAUUGUCCGUCUUCCUUUUGAAAUCCAUCUGUACUCAUUAGCCUUACGACCAUCGAGCCGUUCUGCCAAAGUCUACACUUUGUUUUCAUACAUGGAUCCUCUCUCGGAUUUUAUGGCCUCAAGCCAUUUAUCGGAAUCCGGGCCCACCAUCGCUUCUCCAUAGCUCGUAGGUUCAUUGUUGUCUAGCAACAUGACCUUCAAGACAGGAUUACGUACCACUCUGAAGUAGUACGCAUCCUUGUCAUCCUACGAGGUUUGGGAGUGACUUGAUCCGAAGUUUCAUGAUCAAUAUCAUAAGCUUCCACUUCAACUGGUGUAGGUGCCACAGGAACAACUCCCUGUGCCCUGUCACACACUAGUUGAGGAGACGGUUCAAUAACCUCAUCAAGUCUCCACCAUCCUCCCACUCAAUUCUUUCGAGAGAAACUUUUCCUCGAGAAAGGACCCGAUUCUAGAAACAAUCCAUAUUGCUUUCGGAUCUGAAUUAGGAGGUAUACCCAACUGUUUUGGGUUUCCUAUGAAGAUGCAUUUUAUCUGCUUUGGGUUCGAGCUUAUCAACCUGAAACUUUUUCAUAUAAGCGUCGCAGCCCCAAACUUUUAAGAAAUGACAACUUAGGUUUCUCUAAACCAUAAUUCAUACGGUGUCAUCUCAUCGGAAUUACGUGGUGCCCUAUUUAAAGUGAAUGUGGUUGUCUCUAAUGCCUAACCCAUGAACGAUAGUGGUAAUUCGAUAAGAGACAUCAUGGUACGCACCAUAUCCAAUAGGGUGCAACUAUGAUGUUCGGACACACCAUCACAUUAUGGUGUUCCAGGCGGUAUUAAUUGCGAAACAAUUUCCACAAUGUCUUAAUUGUGUGCCAAAACUCGUAACUCAGAUAUUCAUCUCUAUGAUCAUAUCAUAGACAUUUUAUCCUCUUGUCACAAUGAUCUUCUACUUCACUCUGAAAUUACUUGAACCAUUCAAUAAUUCAGACUUGUGUUUCAUCAAGUAAAUAUUCUCAACAUCUACUCGAAUCAUCUGUGAAGUAAGAUCAUAACGAUAUUCACUGCAUGCCUCAGCACUCAUUGGAUUGGACACAUCAAAAUGUGUUACUUCCAACAAGUUGCUAUCUUGUUCCAUCUUACUGAAAACGAGGCUUUUCAGUCAUCUUGCCCAUGUGGUAUGAUUUGCAUAUCUCAAGUGAUUCAAAAUCAAGUGAGUCCAAACGAUCCAUCUGCAUGGAGUUUCUUCAUGCGUAUACACCAAUAGACAUGGUUCGCAUGUCUCAAACUUUUCUAAAACGAGUGAGUCCAAAGAUCCAUCAACAUGGAGCUUCUUCAUGCGUUUUAUACCAUUAUGACUUACAUGGCAGUGCCACAAGUAAGUGGUACUAUCAUUACUAUCUUAUAUCUUUUGGCAUGAACAUGUGUAUCACUACGAUCGAGAUUCAAUAAACCAUUCAUUUUAGGUGUAAGACCAUUGAAGGUAUUAUUCAAAUAAACAGAGUAACCAUUAUUCUCCUUAAAUGAAUAACCAUAUUGCGAUAGACAUAAUCCAAUCAUGUCUAUGCUCAACGCAAACACCAAUCUCGAUGGUAGAGGGAGCGUGUGAUGCUUGAUCAUAUCAACGUUGGAAACACUUCCAACACAUAUCGUCAUCUCACGUUUAGCUAGUCUCCAUUUAUUCCGUAGCUUUUAUUUCGAGUUACCAACACUUAGCAACCGAACCGGUAUCUAAUACCCUGGUGCUACUAGGAGUACUAGUAAAGUACACAUCAACACAAUGUAUAUCCAAUAUACCUUUAUCAACCUUGCCAGCCUUCUUAUCUACCAAGUAUCUAGGGUAAUUCUGCUCCAGUGGCUGUUCCCUUUAUUACAGAAGCACUUAGUCUCGGGUUUGGGUUCAACCUUGGGUUUCUUCACUAGAGCAGCAGCUGAAUUGCCGUUUCAUGAAGUAUCCCUUUGUUCCCUUGCCCUUCUUGAAACUAGUGGUUUCACCAACCAUCAACAAUUGAUGCUCCUUCUUGAUUUCUACUUUCGCGGUGUGAAACAUCAUGAAUAUUUCAAGGAUCAUCAUAUCUAUCCCUGAUAUGUUAUAGUUCAUCACGAAGCUCUAGUAGCUUGGUGGCAAUGUCUUUGGAGAAACAUCACUAUCUCAUCUGGAAGAUCAACUCCCACUUGAUUCAAGUGAUUGUUGUGCUCAGACAAUCUGAGCACAAGCUCAACGAUUGAGCUUUUCUCCCUUAGUUUGCAGGCUAAGAAAAUCGUCGGAGGUCUUAUACCUCUUGACAUGGGCACGAGCCUGAAAUCCUAAUUUCAGCCCUUGAAACAUCUCAUAUGUUCCACGAUGUUUCGAAAACGUCUUUAGUGCCUCAACUCUAAACCGUUUAACUGAACUAUCAUGUAGUUAUCAAAACGUGUAUGUCCGAUGUUCGCAACAUCCACAAACGACGUUUGGGGUUCAGCACCCUGAGCGGUGCAUUAAGGACAUAAGCUUUCUACUGUCCGCAUAAUUGCUACUUUCAACUUUCAACUAUAUUUUCUCUAGGAACAUAUCUAAAACAGUAGAACUAAAGCGCGAGCUAUGACAUAAUUUGCAAAAGUUCUUUUGACUAUGUUCAGGAUAAUUAAGUUCAUCUUAUGAACUCCCACUCAGAUAGACAUCCCUCUGGUCAUCUAAGUGAUUACAUGAUCCGAGUCAACUAGGCCGUGUCCGAUCAUCACGUGAGACGGACUAGUCAUCAUCGGUGAACAUCUUCAUGUUGAUCGUAUCUACUAUACGACUCAUGCUCGACCUUUCGGUCUCCGUGUUCCGAGGCCAUGUCUGCACAUGCUAGGCUCGUCAAGUUAACCCUAAGUGUUUUCGCUGUGUAAAACUGUCUCACACCCGUUGUAUGUGAACGUAAGAAUCCAUCACACCCGAUCAUCAUGUGGUGCUUAGAAGCGACGAACUGUAGCAACGGUGCACAGUUAGGGGAGAACACUUCUUGAAAUUUUGUAAGGGAUCAUCUUAUUUACUACCGUCGUCCUAAGUAAACAAGAUGCAUAAACAUGAUAAACAUCACAUGCAAUCAAAUAGUGACAUGAUAUGGCCAAUAUCAUUUUUGCUCCUUUUGAUCUUCAUCUUCGGGGCUCCAUGAUCAUCAUCGUCACCGGCAUGACACCAUGAUCUCCAUCAUCAUGAUCUCCAUCAUCGUGUCUUCAUGAAGUUGUCACGCCAACGACUACUUCUACUUCUAUGGCUAACGUGUUUAGCAAUAAAGUAAAGUAAUUUACAUGGCGUUGUUAAAUGACACGCAGGUCAUAUAAUAAAUAAAGACAACUCCUAUGGCUCCUGCCGGUUGUCAUAAUCAUCGACAUGCAAGUCGUGAUUCCUAUUACAAGAACAUGAUCAAUCUCAUACAUCACAUAUCAUUCAUCACAUUCUUCUGGCCAUAUCACAUCACAUAGCAUACCCUGCAAAAACAAGUUAGACGUCCUCUAAUUGUUGUUUGCAUGUUUUACGUGGCUGCUAUGGGUUCUAGCAAGAACGUUUCUUACCUACGCAAAACCACAACGUGAUAUGCCAAUUGCUAUUUACCCUUCAUAAGGACCCUUUUCAUCGAAUCCGUUCCGACUAAAGUGGGAGAGACUGGCACCCGCUAGCCACCUUAUGCACCAAGUGCAUGUCAAUCGGUGGAACCUGUCUCACGUAAGAGUACGUGUAAGGUCGGUCCGGGCCGCUUCAUCCCACAAUACCAUCGAAACAAGAUUGGACUAGUAACGGUAAGCAUAUUGAACAACAUCAACGCCCACAACUACUUUGUGUUCUACUCGUGCAAAGAAUCUACGCAAUAGACCUAGCUCUGAUACCACUGUUGGGGAACGUAGCAGAAAUUCAAAAAUUUUCCUACGUAUCACCAAGAUCUAUCUAUGGAGAGACCAGCAACGAGUGGAAGGAGAGUGCAUCUACAUACCCUUGUAGAUCACUAAGCGGAAGCGUUCAAGUGAACGGGGAUGAUGGAGUCGUACUCGUCGUGAUCCAAAUCACCGGAGAUCCUAGUGCCGAACGGACGGCACCUCCGCGUUCAACACACGUACAGCCCGGUGACGUCUCCCAUGCCUUGAUCCAGCAAGGAGAGAGGGAGAGGUUGAGGAAGACUCCGUCCAGCAGCAGCACAACGGCGUGGUGGUGGUGGAGGAGCGUGGCAAUCCUGCAGGGCUUCGCCAAGCACCGCGAGAGAGGAGGAGCACUUGGGAGAGGGAGGGCUGCGCCAGGGGCAAGGGUGAAGCUCCCAUGCGCCUCCCCACUAUAUAUAGGGGUGGAGGGGGCUGGUUUCUUGCCCUCCAAGUCCAUUGGGGCGUUGGUAAAGGUGGGAGGAAAGAAAUCCCAUCAUUUCCUUCCCCACCGAUUGCUAUCCCCCCUUUUUAGGGAUCUUGAUCUUAUCCCUUCGGGAUAUGAUCUUAUUCCUUCUAAGGGGGGAUCUUGGUGCGCCUUGACCAGGGGUGCGGGGCCUUGCCCCCACUACCCACGUUCAUGUGGGUCCCCCCAUGCAGGUGGGCCCCACUCCGGAACCUUCUAGAACCUUCCCGGUACAAUACCGAAAAAUCCCGAACAUUUUCCGGUGGCCAAAAUAGGACUUCCCAUAUAUAAAUCUUUACCUCCGGACCAUUCCGGAACUCCUCGUGACGUCCGGGAUCUCAUCCGGGACUCCGAACAACAUUCGGUAACCACAUACAAACUUCCUUUAUAACCCUAGUGUCAUCGAACCUUAAGUGUGUAGACCCUACGGGUUCGGGAGACAUGUAGACAUGACCGAGACGUUCUCCGGUCAAUAACCAACAGCGGGAUCUGGAUACCCAUGAUGGCUCCCACAUGUUCCACGAUGAUCUCAUCGGACGAACCACGAUGUCAAGGACUUAAUCAAUCCCGUAUUCAAUUCCCUUUGUCUAUCGGUAUGUUACUUGCCCGGGAUUCGAUCGUCGGUAUCCAAUACCUUGUUCAAUCUCAUUACCGGCAAGUCACUUUACUCGUUCCGUAACACAUCAUCCCGUGAUCAACUCCUUGGUCACAUUGCGCAUAUGAUGAUGUCCUACCGAGUGGGCCCAGAGAUACCUCUCCGUUUACACGGAGUGACAAAUCCCAGUCUCGAUCCGCAUAAAACAAUAGAUACUUUCGGAGAUACCUGUAGUGCACCUUUAUAGUCACCCAGUUACGUUGUGACGUUUGAUACAUCCAAAGCACUCCUACGGUAUCCAGGAGUUACACGCUCUCAUGGUCGAAGGAAGAGAUACUUGACAUUGGCAAAGCUCUAGCAAAUGAACUACACGAUCUUUUGUGCUAGUCUUAGGAUUGGGUCUUGUCCAUCACAUCAUUCUCCUAAUGAUGUGAUCCCGUUAUCAACGACAUCCAAUGUCCAUAGCCAGGAAACCAUGACUAUCUGUUGAUCACAACGAGCUAGUCAACUAGAGGCUCACUAGGGACAUAUUGUGGUCUAUGUAUUCACAUGUGUAUUACGAUUUCCGGAUAAUACAGUUAUAGCAUGAAUAAAAGACAAUUAUCAUGAACAAGGAAAUAUAAUAAUAAUACUUUUAUUAUUGCCUCUAGGGCAUAUUUCCAACAGUAUAGUCAACACAUGGGGCCCAACCAGGGCUACCCCAUAUGUGCGGUGCACGUGGGGCCUGGCGCGGGCUUCCUUCCUGGGAUACUCCUUCCUGAGGAUGACCUUGUCGGGAGACCCUUGCCGGGCUCCCCCUUCCCCUUGCAGGAGACUGGGUUGAACCAUAUAUACAGAAGGGCCGCGGAUUUCGUCACAAUGCAACAACUUGGUGUAUGCUUGGCAUCCUACAUUGUCAAAUUGAUAAUAGCAAUUACCAUUACAUUUAUAGUCAUAAGUGACCAGUACAACCUUACAAGCUGAUGUAGCAGACCAGUAUCAACUAUGUAUGACAAACAAGAUGGUUGAAACCUUCUGUUUCUUGAUCCACCAUGGCGACGCCGGCCUCCAGCCAUGCGAGCACGCGUCCGUCGUUGAGCAGCUCCGGGGCAAAGAGGUUCUUCCAGCCGUCGCAGCAUGCAGCGGGCUCCCCUGACUAUGGCCUCUGGUAGGUCCCAGAUGAUCUACCAGCUAUGACAGCGUAGAAUUAUUGGGCAAAAGUACGAAUUGGAUCAGAUGUGAGUAUAAUUGGGGAGCAAGUAAGGAUGUAUGUAUUGUCUAUGAGCCAUGACGUCGAUAGGAAUGAAUCCAGAAAUGCAUAAUGGUCUUCCGAGCCACAUCCCGGCUGUUAUAUAGGAGAGGGGUUUAACCCAACAGUGAAAGUAAAAACGAGAUGUGCUACAGUAAAAUGAUAAAAGUCGAUCCAGCGGUGACUACCAGUCGAAGACGCAAGAGUCACCGUGAACCGUUGGAUCACUCGAAGCGGUAUUGUAGGUCAAGCUACAGUUAACUGAACCCGUCGACAGUGUUAACUGAAGAAAUACCUUCCUUAACCUGACAGCCUCGCAGACGCGUGCUCGUGGGACCACGGAGAGAGAGAGAGAGAGAGCGCUUCCAUGGCCGGCGGCGAUUGUUCUCCCGUGGCGGCGGCGAGAAAGUGGGACCACGAAGAGUAUCGGUUCAAGACGCCGGAGGAGGAUUCCUUCGACCCGCGAUUCAGCGAGUACGACCCCAAGCAGGGUUGUUUCAUAUACGUCCGCUACUUCUUCGACGGUGACAAACUCGACCUCGACGAGGAGUGUACGUUCCAAUCCAAUCUAAUUCCCCUUAUUUUAGUUCAUGAUUAUGUUCCGUUGAACUUCUUUUGGAGAAGUUCGGAGGGGAUUGAGGUGGAUUUUGAUCUAUAGCGGAUUUAACCCUCCCCAAACCCCUCCCCUUGCAACAGAACAAGCCCUUAUCGAUCCUUGUUGACUUCGUUAUGCAUGUCUAGUUCAUGAACAUCAGUCAGUCAGUGUCACUUCAUUACUCAAAAUCAAUCUGAAGGUUACUUUCACUUCCUACUAGAUUUAUUCCGAAGCAAAGACUGCAAUUUUCAAAUUUAUUUGUCAAUUAGGCUCGGUUUGGACACGACUACUUUUAAUUACUACUCCCUCCUUUCCCAAUUAUAAGAUGUUCUAACCUUUUCCUGAAUCGGAUGUAUGUACAUGUGUUCUAGGUGUUUGUUCACACAUUUUAGUCUGUAUGUAGUCCGUUUAAAAUAUCAAAAACAUUUUCUAAUUCGGAACAGAGGUGAUAGUAUAUUACUAUGCAGAAGAUGAGAGCACAGCCUGCCUGGUUCGGCUUUCAAGGUUCUUUUCCAACCAGUUUACACCUACAUACAUACUCGUCUUGUUACUCUCCUUGAUUGAUCGAUAUGCAUUUUCUUCUCAUUUGACAGCACCUAUUGGUCCCAUGCGACAUACUGGUAAAAUCUUCAAAGAGGGGUUCCGGCUCAAAAACUCGGUCAAUGUUGUCUCCAUCAAGAUUGUUUCCUCCGACUAUGGCUACCCACUCAAUGUCUAUGGUACCAUCAUAGCCAGGGACAGUCUGGAUCAAAAAUGUGUCUAUAUAUUCCGGCGCGACCAGGAUGAUUGCCAGCUCAUCAGCUCAAGGGUAUUACUACCAUUUGCCUCAUAUCUACAGACACAUACAAUUUAUCGAUGUGUGUUUUCUUGUACUGGUACUUUCUCAUUUCAGUCCUCUGAUUUACAAAAAAAAUGGUGAUUUCAUGACGGAGAAAUUUUGACUAUUUCUUUAAAUGAUUAUUUCUGAAUGUUGUAUAUUAGCAAUCCAUAUUUGGGUUUUGUAUGUUAUACUUGAAUAGCGAAUCUGGUUUUGUAUCUGUUCCAUCUGAUGUUGAUUUUAAAGAUACAUGUCUUGUAGGGUAUAGUGUUAGGAGCCAGGGGUUUAUCACUUGCGUGCCUCAGUUUAUGGCACUACAGCAAUCUGCACAGUAAGAAAAGGAAGUACAAAAAACACAUGACCACAGACGUAGCAUAAUUUUUCUGAGUGUAAUUACCUUGUUUCGUCAUUCAGAACAUAGCUUAAAAUGAACCCGAAAGCAAGGGUAAUUCAAUCAAUCCCAGAAACAAGCACCUGGAAUUUAUCUAUUCAAAUUGGUCUUGCAGGAUGAUUCAUUGAUUUUGACUGGCCCGAAGAGAGGAUUCAUGGUAUGCGAUGAUAUAUUCUUCGAAAUCAAUCUGAAGGUUAAGGAUGUGCAUGGGAGGACUGUCGAUGAUGAUAGACUCAGUAAAGGCCUGAUCGAGGUGGAUGCUAUCCGCAGGCUGGAAUUUGAUCCCAGAUAUAUGGUUGAAACGGAAACACUCGUCAGCAUGCACAGCAUAUUGGAUUUAAACUACACAUUUGUAAGGAGGUCGGUGGAGGGCACUGUUGAGAUCAGGAUCCUUCAGGGACCUGAUGAAUUCCAUGGGAAGAUCGCCGCUUCCACUACCAGCAUUCCAUGCGACAUUGUGCUACAUGAUAGCAAAGUGUCUGGUGCGCUAAUUGCAGGUGACAAUGGAGUCCUACAAAUGGCGCGGCGCAUAGUAGGAGUCUCUGUGGAUGAGAUACUGGUAUUGACUGUUGCUGCUGCUGUCGGUGAUGAUAAGUUAUCUGUCGGCACUGUUGAGUUUACUCCAAGGCGCAAUGGUUACGAUGCUGAGAUUAUCAUAUGCGGCAACUACAUGAUGCUUCUGAAGGUGACUUGGUCGAUUGUGUAUUUCUGAUGCAAUUCUUAGUUAUUCGGUCGCGGCAGUCUGCCAGAUUCUCGAGAUCCUUUUUUUUAUAAUCCUCUAGAUCGUUUUGAUGCAAUGAAGUUCCAUUAUGCGGACCAGUUAUGGUACAUGCUCAAACAAUAUAUGUGUUCCAGCGUCUAUUGUAUCUAUUCUGACUCUUCUGGCUGAUGUAAGCUAGUAUUACUGGAACUGCUUGUAGUACAUGCAUGAAAUUUAAGACUCUUGUGUAGUAUUUACGUCAGCAUAGUCGGGUUUACUCGGAGUAAAAUUAUAAACUAUCCCCUAAACUUUGACAUCCUUAAAAGAAUGUCGAUAUGAAGUUUUUCACCUUGUUGAAUUGCAAGAUGUAGUAACCAGAAUGCACUUAUAUACAAGAUCUUAAGACCUGUGUGUUAGAACCUGUGUUGCAAGUUCAAUGUCUAAGAACAAGACACUAGUUUCAUCACAUAGAAAAGAACUCAACUUUGUAGAACCGUUUAACUUGAAAGCUACCCUCAUUUUAUACAGCCAAAUUUUGGAGUCUUCGAAUAGAUCUCAUGUGUUUGUGAUUUAGGGAGGAUUUUUUUUUUCUGGAACACGUCACUUAGCCAACAUUAUCUAUACUAAUUAACUGAGGGCCCGUUGCCAGUGGGUGAUUAGCCAACUAACAUUUUCAAACAUUUGAGUUUGAUGACUACUUCUUCAUACACAUUGUAAAUUUUCGGUAUAUAUCAGGAACAUCUUUUAAAUACAUGUUUAAUAUAUUUUGAAAUAUAUAAUUAACAUGAUUUUAUACACGACCAAAUUUUUUAAAAAUUUAUGUUUUUAUGUUCAAAAUUUUUAAUAUAUGUUCUUCAUUUUUUUUCCUAUACACGAGGUCAUUUUUUUGUACUAGUUUAACAUUUUUAAAUAGAUGAUUAACAUUAAAAAAAAUUGUGUUUGAUGACUACUUUUUCAUACAUUUUGCAAUUUUUUGGGUAUAGAUCAUGAACAUUUUUUAAUACAUGUUUAAGAUUUUUGAAAUAUAUGAUUAACAAUGUUUUAUACACAAUCACCAUUUUUAAAAUUUAUGUUCUUUCCACAUUUCUGGUUUCUUUUUUUUUGAAUUUUUUUCAAUCUUUUCAUUCUCAAUCAUGGCAGUACAAAGAACACCAGAGGUAAUAAGAAUUACAACCAGGUCCGUGGACCACCUAGCGACGACUACAAGCACUUGAGUGAGCCGAAGGCGCGCUGCCAUCAUUACCCCUCUCUCGCAGGAGCCGGGCAAAUUUUGUUGUAGUAGACGGUCUAUUAGUCAUCGUGCUAAUGCCCAUCAGACCAGCGCACCAGAGUAAUAACCAGCACCGAUGAAGAAGUCGUAGAUUGGAAGAGGCAAACCUGUAAACACCCAAAAGAAGACGAAUGAAGAUCGGGUCCAAACAGAUAUGCCGAAGACCAGCACCAACCAAAUCCAUUGAGAUCUGACAGAGACACACCUCGAUACGCCCUCCAACUGAAUCCAUAGGAUGGGGACAGAACAUGGGAGACAUUAUUCCUAUUGAGAGACAUCGCUGCCGCCACACUAAACCUAACAAAAACGAGAAAGGGGUCCCUCCCGCUGGCGGGGGAGAAGGAGGAAUGCCUUUUUUUUGAUAAAAGGCAUAUGUCCGACUUUAUAAAUAAAGCCACCAGACAGAGUAGCGCAAUCAACACCAACCAAACACAUAGCAGAACAGCAGAUAAAAUAAGUUCGCAUACAUGGCAACCCAGCCGGUCAUGGCACGCAGGCCAGCCCUUAAAAAGGGCCCAAGUUGCGAUAUAAUAUGCCUCCUUUUUCUCAUUAAAAAAAACUCUUGGAUCGAUCAAACCCUAGAGAGAGAGAUGAGAGAGACUCAUCUUCCAUGGCCGGCGGCGAUUCUUCUCCCGUGGCGGCGGCGGCUGCGGCGAGAAAGUGGGAGUGGGACCAAGAAGAGUAUCGGUGCGAGUCGCCGGAGUAUUCAUUGGACCCGCGAUACAGCGAGUACGACCCCAAGCAGGGUCGUUUCAUAUACGUCCGCUACUUCUUCAACGGCAAACUCGACCUGGACGAGGAGUGUACGUUCCAAUCCAAUCCAAUCCCCCUUAAUAUGCAUCUCGUUAUGUUCGGUUAAACCUCUUUUGGAGGUGGAUUUUGAUCCAUAGCAGAUUUUAUCCUCCCCAAUCCACUCAAAUCCCCUUGCAACAGAACAAGCCUAUCCAUCCUUGUUGCUUCGUUGUGCAUGUCUAAUUCAUUUCAAUUCAAACACCAGUCAGUCAGUAUCACUUCAUUCAUCAAACCCAAUCUGAAGGUUACUUUCACUUCCUGCUAGAUUUACUCGGAAGCAAAGGCUGCCACUUUCAAAUUCAUUCCUCAAUUAGGCUCGGUUUACACCUACAUACAUACAUACAUACUCUUUUGUUACUCUCUUUGAUUGAUUUAUAUGCGUUUUCUUCUCAUUUGACAGCACCUGUUGGUCCCAUGCGACAUACUGGUAAAAUCUUCAAAGAGGGAUUCCGGCUCAAAAAUUCAGUCAAUGUUGUCUCCAUCAAGAUUGUUUCCUCUGACUAUGGCUACCCACUCUAUGUCUACGGUACCAUCAUAGCCAGGGAUAGUCUGGAUAGAAAAUGUGUCUAUAUAUUCCGGCGCGACCAGGAUGAUUGCCAGCUCAUCAGCUCAAAGGUAUUACUGCCACAGACACAUACAAUAUAUCAAUGUGUGUUUUCUUGUACUGGUACCUCAUAUCAGUCCUCUGGUUUAAUAAAAAAAAACUGCUGAUUUCCUGACGGUGAAAUUUUGAGUUAAGUUGUGCACAACGUCUAUAAAUGAUUACUUAUGAAUGUUGUAUGUCAGUAAUCCAUAUUUGGGAUUUGUAUGUUAUACUUGAAUAACGGAUCUAGUUUUGUAUCUGUUCCAUACUCGAAUGUACACAUACUUGAGCCAACCAGCGAAUCUGUAUUGGAUACCGUAUCAGAUACCGAUUUGCCUCCGAUACUCCCCCUAUGCGUAUCCAUGGAGGAUCCUUGAAUAAAUGAUUUAAAACAAUUACAAUACUCCCCCGAUACUUGCCAAUACGUUUUGGAUACGGCCCAGCCCAGCCCUAUCAACCCAGUAAAGAAGCAAUCAGCAACCCUAGUACCCCGAUGGCCCCCAUCUGUUCCCUCCCAAGUUUCUUUCCUCCUUCUCAAGCUCACACCAGGUGGCGGCUGCUCACCGAGUGCCAGCGGCGGCAGCGGCUAGCCGGCGACGAGCUGCCCCUCCUCCUCACCAACGUCCUCGCUCAGGCGAGGCUAGUAGCUGCAUGCUCAGGAGAGCAAACAUGAAAGUAAUAUGCUGUUCCUAAGUUCUAUACUUUAUUUUUGAAUUAAAAAAUAGUAAAAUGUAUCCCCGUAUUGGCACUUUUUCAGAAUGGCGAAUUUACGUAUCCAUAUUGGCCCGAUACCGAUACUCGUAUCCAUAUUGGUGCUUCGUAGGUUCCAUAUGAUGUUGAUUUUAACGAUACUUCAAUUAGUUGUCUUAUUAUAGCGAAUAGUGUUAGGAGCCAGGGGUUUAUCAUUUGCGUGCGUGAGUUCAUGGCACUACAGCAAUCUGCACAAUAAGAAAAGGAGACAAAAAAACAUGGGCACAGAUGUAGCACAAUUUUUCUGAGUCUAAUUACCUUGUUUCGUCAUUCAAAACAUAGCUAAAAAUGAACCCCAAAUAUUCAAUCAAUUCCAGAAACAAGCAUCUGGAAUUUAUCUAUUCAAAUUGGUCUUGCAGGAUGAUUCAUUGAUUUUGACUGGACCCAAGAGAGGAUUCAUGGUAUGCGAUGAUAUAUUCUUCGAAAUCAAUCUGAAGGUGAAGGAUGUGCAUGGGAUGACUGUCGAUGAUGAUAGACUCAGUAAAGGCCUGAUGGAGGUGGAUGCUAUCCGCAGGCUGGAAUAUAGUCCCAGAUAUGUGGUUGAUACGGAAACACUUGUCAGCAUGCACAGCAUAUUAGAUUUAAACUAUACAUUCAUUAGGAGGUCGGUGGAGGGCACUGUUGAGAUCAAGAACCUUGAGGGACCUGAUGAAUUCCAUGGGAAGAUUGUUGCUUCCACUACCAGCAUUCCAUGCGACAUUGUGCUACAUGAUAGCAAAGUGAGUGGUGCGCUAACUGCGGGUGAAAAUGGAGUCCUACAAAUGGCGCGACGCGUAGUAGGAGUCUCUGUGGAUGAGGUGCUGGUGUUGACUGUUGCUGCUGCUGUCGGUGAUGAUGAGUUAUCUGCCCGCACUGUUCAGUUUACUCCAAGGCGCAAUGGUUACGAUGAUGAGAGUAUCACCUGCGGGGACUACAAGAUGCUUCUGAAGGUCACUUGGUCGAUUGUGUAUUUCUGAUGUAACUCUUAGUUAUUCAGUCACGGCAGUCUGCCAGAUUCUCUAGAUACUUAGGAUGCAAUGAAGUUUCAUUAUGGGAACCAGUUAUGGUACAUGCUAAAACAAUAUAUGUAUUCCAGCGUGUAUUGUAUCUAUUCUGACUCUUCUCCCUGAUGUAAGCUAGUUUUACUGGAAGUGCUUGCAGUACAUUUAUGAAAUUUAAGACUCCUGUGUAGUAUUUACGUCAGCAUAGUCGGUUUACUCGGAGUAAAAUUCUAAAACUAUCCCCAAAACUUUGACGUCCUAAAAGUAAUGUGCAUAUAAAGCUGUUCGCCUAGUUGAAUUACAAGAUGUAGUAACCAGAAUGGUUCAAGACCUGUGUUAGAAUUGCACUGUCUCUUUGAAUAUGUUGCAAGUUCAUUGUCUAUGAAUACUAUACGGAUGCAAUGUAUGUUCUAGUGCACGAAGCACCUUUAUUGUUAUUUUUGGUUAGAGUCAAAGAGCUCUGUAGUAGCUUCCAGUUCUUUUGAUACUUCCUCUAUGUAUCCAAGGUGGCUGUGCAAUAGUUUCAAAUCCAAACCUAUAGCAGAAUUUACCCGUUUUUAUCAUAUGUUUACAUCUGCAGAGUUUGGAUAUCUCGGAAGAAAAUGUACUAUUCUACAAAAUGCUUGGUUUGAUCAAUGGGCAAAGCAAUAUGAACUCCAGAGCAACAAGACUUGCUAUCUUCAGGAGGUGUUUCAGGCUUUCAGCGAAUAAGAACAUAACACACAUGGAUCUCUUUAACAGCUAGCAUUGGGCCUCUAGUCUUUUAUCCAUCUCCGUUUCCUAGGAUGUCAUUGCCUUUCUAUAUAAACCAGGCCAUAAACCCAGCUUCUUCUACGUCCAAGCAGAGAUCUCUACAAAGCAAUGUCGAAAAAUGAAGAUAUGUUGUGCCUUGUUUUAUACUGUCACAAAAUCUACAUGUAGAACUGCAAAAAUUCACGAAAAGCAAAUCUGGAUUUGGACUUCUUUCAUAUUUUGUAAUUUUCAUUCAAGCAUCUGUGCUGCAAUAGUGUAUUGAUUUUGAGUGUCAAAUAUGACAUAACCAUUACACUGGUAAUCAUAAGUGACUACAACCAUUUCAUUGGUAAUCAUAAGUGACUACAACCAUUACAUUGCUAAUCAUAAGUAACUACAACCAUUAUAUUGCUAAUCAUAACUGACUACAACCUUACAUUGCUAAUCAUAAGUGACUACAACCUUACAAGCUGCUGUAUCAACUAUGACAAACAAGACGGCUGAGGUCUUCCGCUUCUCGAUCCACCGUGGCGACGCCGGCCUCCAGCCGUGCGAGCACGCGUUCGUCGUGGAGCAGCUCUGCGGUGAAGACGUUCUUCCAGCCGGCGCACCACGCCGUGGCCUCCCCCGACGACGGCCUCGCGGACUGCAGCCAGUGGCGCAGCGCGCUCUCCCAUUUGCCAAAAAACUCUUGUUCUAGGAUCGACACCACGUCCUCGGUGCGCACGAGAGGCGUCCACGACAUCACCUCGCAGAACUUAGUGUCGCGCUGCUUUGGUGGUGUGAUCUUCAGCUGUUGCAGCCAUCGUGUGAGCUUAGGCAAGAUGUGACGCCGGGAGAAGAUCUCCCAAUGCGUCGGGCCCAAGUAGUCUUUCCAUGGGGAGAUGACGUCGUAGCAGCCGCCGCUGAUCUUGCUCUCCACGGUGCCGUAGAGGCUCUCCGGCAAGUGUCCGAUCAAGGGGAUCCACGGGAGUAGCCAAUGGUCGCAGCCCGGGCUCCACAACGGCUCCCACUCUCGCGCUUUCACGGCGAUCCUCGGCGUGAGGAACCGCUCGACGAUGUGCUGCACGGCCGGAGUAGGCAGCGCGGCCCUCCACGCCCCUGGCGCGCGCUUCUUCCCCCGGAGCAGCACCUCCUCGGACUCGACGAUCGCCGCCAGCGCCUCCGCCGUCUCCACGCUGUCGUCGCCUUGAAGCUUCACGUCGCGCAGCAGCGCGAGGGUCUUCUCGUAGCACUCCCGUUCGAGGCGCAGGGCUCGUGAGACGGCCGCCGACUCGUUCCACUCGUCUUGGGGCGGCGGCGACGGCGCCGGCGCGCCAUGCAGGCCGUUCUUGUACGUCGUCUCGGAGUGGCCGAUGCCGGCGGUUGAGCAAUGCCGGAUGGGCUUUAUAGGGGCGAUGAUGCCCUGGCCGCGCGCGCCGAGGCCCGAGCCUUGCUUGUAGUUCCACAGCCGCAUCAUCUUGGCCACCGGCGCGGUGGUGCGCGCGAGGCUGCCCGGCAUCUUCAACGGGUACGACGACUCGUCCUCCUCGUCGAGCAGCGCUGCGGUGAAGCUGCGCUUCAGGAGCGCCAUGCCGGCGAUCGACGUUGCCAGGCGAUCGAGGACCAAACAGGGAACGCCGCUACUGCUUGGAACCGGCCGGCGUGCUGUUCGUUUCCUUCUGCUGAUCGAUGCCUACGCUAUGAGAGUUACAUAUCAUACGUAGAUACGCAUCAUUAUAUAACUACGUAGGAGUACUAGGCAGGCUGUUAGAAGCUAAUCAGUCGACUCCGUUUUCGAGACGAGCCCCUGAACGCGUUUCCGAUUCCAACAAAGCAUCUUAUUUACUGAGAUGGUUACAUUCACGUNNNNNNNNNNNNNNNNNNNNNNNNNNNNNNNNNNNNNNNNNNNNNNNNNNNNNNNNNNNNNNNNNNNNNNNNNNNNNNNNNNNNNNNNNNNNNNNNNNNNNNNNNNNNNNNNNNNNNNNNNNNNNNNNNNNNNNNNNNNNNNNNNNNNNNNNNNNNNNNNNNNNNNNNNNNNNNNNNNNNNNNNNNNNNNNNNNNNNNNNNNNNNNNNNNNNNNNNNNNNNNNNNNNNNNNNNNNNNNNNNNNNNNNNNNNNNNNNNNNNNNNNNNNNNNNNNNNNNNNNNNNNNNNNNNNNNNNNNNNNNNNNNNNNNNNNNNNNNNNNNNNNNNNNNNNNNNNNNNNNNNNNNNNNNNNNNNNNNNNNNNNNNNNNNNNNNNNNNNNNNNNNNNNNNNNGCACCUGAGCCCUCCCGCCGGAGCCCUUCCCCGCCGCCGCCCCGGUGGUCGGAUCUCGCGGACGAGGACUCGGACCCCGAGCCGCCCCGCUCGCCUGCCCCGCCCUCCCCACCCUGCUGCCUGGUCCUCGCCGCUGUAGCCGCACCGCCCAGCGUGGCCCCAUGUCCAGCCUCCCUCGUGAGAGGCUCCGACUCGGGCUCGCGGGGGUGGCCGGGGUCCAGUGUGAAAGGCCGGGUCUUGGGGCGCGGUGGUGCUCGCCGGAGCCGGACUCGCUCGUGGGGCGUCGCCGGACGGUCCAACCUUGGACCUGCCCAUGCCUCGUGGAGGUCCUCCCCGGCCUCCUCCUCCCCAUCCCCUCCGGCCACUGGCCCGUCGUCCGCGUGCCCCUGCCCGAGCCCCUCGACCGUGGCGCCCGGUCCUGCUCUCCCCGCCCGCAGCUCCCCGUUCCGGCCAUUUAUUGCGCGAUUUGGAUCCUCCGGGCUUCAGUUCCAGGCCUCGUGUCCGGCCGUUCGCGCCAUGCUCCCCCGCGGCCGCGGAGCCGGCGGCGGCGGCGCCUGCUCGUCGAGGGGAAACCCUCCGAGUGGGUACCCCACCCCGCUCCCUGGGCCCUGGCGUUCUGGGCCGUGGCCCGGUGGCCAGUGUGGGGAGGAUUGCCAGCCCGGCCCGUCGCGUUCUGGAUCCGGUCCCGGCUGGGGUAGCCCUGGUGGGCCGGCCCAUCAUUGCUGGGCCAUGUCCCCGCCCUAGGCCCACCGCCUCCGCAUCCAGCAUAUGGCUGCCCUAUGCUUUUCCCCUCCGUCCUCAAUUCCCUUCAGCCGCCACCUGCCCUUCCUCGACAGUACCCCUGCUCCCGCUCGUGCCUGCGCCCCCUUCCCUUCUCCCCGGCGCCACUGCCGUCUCCUCCUGCUCGCGCCCCUCAGCCAUGACGAGGGACUGGGACGAUGGGGAGGCCAGGCGCAAACGCCGGCUUGAUGACCGCCGGGACGCCUCCCGCCCCUCCCCGGACGCCCUUCGGCGCGAGGAGGACCUCCGUCAUGAGCUGCGGGGCCGGGACCGCGAUGCCCCUCGCCUGUCUGGCCGGGAGGACCGCCGCGAGGCACCCCGCUCGCCUGUCCGGUCUGAUUGGCGCGGCCGGUCGCGUUCCCCGCUCCCUCGCCGCCACUCCCCCUCCCUCUCAUGUCGUCGAGCACGCUCCCCCUCGCCCCGGCACCAGCACCCCUCCUCGCCCCGGCACCAGCGCCUCGCCUCGCCCCAUCCCGCGGCUCCAGUCGACGCGGCCCCGUCCCGCAAGUACGCCCCCCAUGCUACCUCGGCUGCUCCGCCGGCUUCGGGGGCUGUGGGUGGAGGACAGCAACAGCGCCGCCGCCAGGGCCCAGCUAAGAAGAAGAACAGACGGGGUUAGGGGCGUGCCGCUCAGAAUCAAGCCGGCCGCGUGAAUCCCUCGCUUGCGGCUCCCGUUUCCGACGCCACCCGGCCCACCUGCUUCAACUGUGGCACGGUUGGCCAUUCUCAGGUUGACUGCUCCAACUCCGCCUGCUGCUACAUCUACAAGGAUCCCGGCCACCCCGCCCUGCUCUGCCCUGACAAGCCGGUCCCCGACAAGCUGCGGAUGUACGGGCAUGGGAUUGAGGGGUUGGGGUUCUUCCAUAUCGAGGUCCCCGAUGACUUGCCCCCGCCCCCUUCCCUCCAGGCCGUGGUCACAGUGAUUGUAUGGUGUGGCCUCCCCCGAGAUGAUCGAGGCGGAGCUCAACCAUCUAUACCGCCGGCAGUGGGAGUGGGCGGUCACCCCUAUCUCCGGCAUCGAGUUCUCUAUGGUCUUCCCCGACGCUCUCAGCCACGGAUACGCCACACGCAGUGACCAGAUCACUCUCGCCCUCAACAAGCUGGUCGUCGACAUCUCCGAACCGAUCCUCGACCCGAAGGCUGUGGCCGUCCUUGACACGGCAUGGAUCCUCAUCUCUGGGCUCCCGGACAUUGCGAGGUCUUAGCGUACCAUCCGUCGCAUGUCCCGGAUCCUGGGGGAAGGUGGUGGUGGUCGAUGAGCUCUCCCUCCGCAAGGAGGAGGAGGUUCGAGUCAAGGUCAAAUGCCUUGAUUCAACCAAGCUUCGUGCCACGGUCCGGGUUUUCUUCAAUGAUCAAGGGUUCGACCUUCGCAUCGCGCCCCGAGCCGCCCAACCAUGUUGGGCGUCCCCGCGCCUCCGACGAUGGUCCUCCUGGUGGCCACCCAGGCCCGCAGGAUGACUACAAUGGUCGCCACCACCCCCACCCCGACCACUCUGAUGAUGAUGACGGAUCGGAGGACAACCCCUCCCGCUCCUCCUCGCCUUGGCCCCCACCCUCUUCCUCGACCCUGGGUGGGCAGCAGACCGGGAGGUCCCUCGCCGCGCUGCCAGAGGGGUUGCUUCCGGUGCCUCCGUCGCCCCUCGCCGGGGACACUGAGCCUAGCGACACUUCCAGUGUGGGUCUCGUGGUCAUCCCCGCGUCCUCCCCGCGCUCGCCGGUCGCUCAGCCGAUGUCCUCCUCUGCCCUGCUGCGGACGUCGCCAUCCGGGGACCCUGCCGCCUCCCUUUGCGCCUCUGGGGAAGUCUUGCCACUCGCGCCCAUCGACACUCAGACCGCUUCUCCGCAGCCUGUGACGCCCCCGGCCCCGCCGCCCGUGGUCUUGCUUUCGCCGCUGCCCGAGGUGGCCAUCCUGUUUCCCUCCGGGCCGUUGCCGUCGGCCACCACGGCCCCACCGCUGGGGGCGGCUUCCCCGCCGACCUCAUCUCGGCGUGCUUCCUCUCCCACCCCCAGGUGCAUGGUGGGUGCGGGCUGGACGCCGCCUUGGCGACUCCGCUGGCUGCUCCGCCUCUCCCGCCUUGCUCCUUGACCUAAGCCAGGCGGGGCUGCUCGACGUUGACCCCAGUGACGUCAUCUCGGCGCAUCGACGCCUCGCGACCCGCGGGCUCCCCGGCCCUGCCCAUCUCCGAGCGGCUGAGCUCCGCGCCGCGGCGCGCAACCUCGAGCCAGGUACUCCAGUCAUUCCUGCCAGUUCCGCUACGUGUUCGUUCUCUGCUUUGGAGUCUAUUCCUCUCGGGAGGAGGUCGAUCCCACCUUAGUCCAAAUCACGGCUAUCCAGGCACGGGAGGUCCUCGAUGGGCGGUUGGCCGAAACCCGUGCCCGCUUUGCUACUCCCGCAUCCGGGGCGGGCGACCCCACCCCCAUACCGUCCGGGCAGGCCGCGCCCGCUCCCUGGAGAUCCGCGGCCGCACCCGGUCUCGCAGCGCCGCCCUUCACGCCCAAAGCGCCUCCCGUGUCCUGGGGUCAAGCAGCCCCUCCAUGGUGGCUUAAUGCGGACCCUUAUUUGGAACAUCCGCGGUUUCGGCCAGGAUGGCCGGCGCCGCCAGCUCAUCGAGUACAUGCGCGAUGAGCGAAUCGACAUUGUUGCAAUUCAAGAGACCAUGCGAACUGAGUUCACCUUGUCCGAGCUUGACCGCCUUAGUCCCCACCUGUUCGCCUGGCACUGGCUCCCUUCUAGUGGGAUUGCCGGUCACUCUGGUGGCAUCCUCUUAGGUGUCAAGGAUGCCACCUUUGAGAUGGGCAGCAUGGGCCGGGGGGAGUUCUUUGUCAGCAUGGAGAUUUUCGAGAGGGCGCUGAACUUCAAAUGGGAGAUCAUCAUAGUCUAUGGCCCUGCCGACCACUGCCGGUCGGCGACAUUUCUUGAUGAGCUCAAGAAUAAGGUGUCUCCCGCCCGCCUACCGGUCAUCGUGGGCGGCGACCUCAACCUCCUCCGAUUUGCGGAGGACAAAAACAACGACCGAGUGAACUUCCCGCGGAUGCGGAUGUUCAACGACUGCAUCACUGACCUCGGUCUGCGGGAAUUAGAUAGAUUGGUGCCAGAUUCACCUGGACCAAUCGCCAGGCUGACCCGACCCGCUCCGUCCUGGACCGCGCCCUGGUCGCGCCUGAGUGGGAGUUGCGGUGUCCCCUUGCCACCCUUCGUGCCAUUACUCGUAUUGGCUCGGACCACGUUCCCCUGCUGCUCUCUUCUCAGGACGAGCGCCCUCCCGUCGCCCCCAGGUUCCGCUUCGAGACGUUCUGGCUCAACCAGAACGGCUUCUCGGAGGCCGUCCGUGCCCGGUGGUUGGAGGCCCGCAGCUCUCCCCACCGGUCCAUCUCUGCGGUGGAUGAUUGGCAUUUCUGCGCCAAGCGCUCUCGCCAAUUCAUGAAGGGCUGGGGGUGCCAACUUAGGGCGGGAUCUCCGAGACCGCAAGUAGGCCCUCCUCACCUCUAUCCAGGCGCUUGACCUCCAGGCUGACUCGAUUGGGCUAUCCACUGACGAGUGGAUGCAGCGGUACGACCUCGAGGAUCAGCUCACGGUCAUUUAGACGGACGAGGAGGCUUACUGGCGUCUCAGGGGAACCCAAAAGUGGGUUCUCAAGGGGGACGCUAACACCGCAUACUUCCAGGCCAUCGCCAAUGGCCGUCGUCGCCGCAAUACCAUCCCACUUCUAUGGGAUGGUGAGACCCUCCUGCAGCACCCGGCCGAACUCCGCGCUCAUGUGGACGGCUUCUAUAAAGACCUUUUUAUGCCCCCCCGCAUGGGGUCUUGGCUCUUGCUCCUACCUUCUGGGUGGGCGACCAAUGUGUGUCGAACGCGGAGAAUGAGGCCCUCACGGCUCCAUUCUCGGAGGAGGAAGUUUGGCUUGCGAUUAAAGGCAUGAACUCGGCGUCCGCCCCGGGGCCUGAUGGCUUGCCAGUUAAGUUCUUUCAGACCUUCUGGCACACUAUCAAGCGGGAGAUCAUGGCCCUCUUUGAGGAGUUCUAUGUGGGCUCCAUUGACCUCCACCGCCUUAAUUACGGGAUUAUUACCUUGAUCCCCAAGGUCCCGGGUGCCGCCGACAUUCGCUAGUGCCGCCGACAUUCGCUAGUUCUGUCCCAUUACGGUGAUCAAUGUGAUCUUCCGCAUCCUCGCAAAGGGGUACGCCAAUAGGGUGCCCCCUUUGGCUGACCGCAUCACUCACCCAAACCAGUCCUCCUUCAUUCAGGGGCGCUAUAUCCUUGAUAGGGUCUUGGUCUUCCACGAAGUCCUUCACGAGGUCAAAUCCAAAAACCUCAAAGCGGUGUUCCUGAAGAUUGACUUACAUAAGGCAUACGACACGGUUAGCUGGCCCUUCCUUCGGGAAGUAUUACUUCGGAAAGGCUUCGAUGAUCGUUGGGUCUGCCGGGUCAUGUAGUUGGUGUCAUCCGGCCACACCGCGGUUAACAUUAAUGGCGAUAUCGGCCCAUACUUCCCCACCUUCUGCGGGGUUAGACAGGGGGACCCCUUCUCUCCAUUCCUGUUCAACAUGGUGGUUGAUGCCUUGGCUUCCAUCCUGGAUAAAGCCAAGGCCGCCGGCCACAUCCGCGGCAUCACCCCGCACCUUGUGAAGGGAGGGGGUGUCUCCCUCCUCCAAUAUGCCAUUACACCAUCAUUAUGUUGCAAGGAUCAGAGGCUGAGAUCGCGAACAUCAAAUUUCUCCUGCUCAGCUUUCAACAUCUGUUGGGCCUCAAAAUUAACUUUGCUAAAAGCGAGGUGAUGGUCUUGGGCUACCCCCCUCUGAGAGCCUGAGUAUCGCUAACCGCCUGAACUGUCGGCUUGGGACCUUCCCCACUUCUUAUCUGGGGAUCCCCAUUAGUGACUCGCGCCUUACUGUGGCCAACCUCCGUCCCUCGGUCCACAAGCUGCAACACCGUAUUGAGCCUUGGCAGGGCAGGUGGCUAUCUAAGGCUGCCCGCACGGUCCUCAUCAACUCGUCCCUCUCCAGUCUUCUCCUAUUCAUCAUGAGCUUCUACAGCCUCCCCGAAACACUCCACCACGAGAUUGGCUCAAUCCAAGCUAAGUUCUUCUGGGCUGGCGAGGACGAGAAGCAGAAAUACCACAUGGUUAGCUGGCCGGACAUCUGCAAGCCCCGGUACCAGGGCGGUCUCGGCAUCAUGUCCUCCAAACGCAUGAACCUGGCCUCCUCACUCGCUGGCUAUGGCGCAUUGCAAACGGCGAUGGUGGCUUGUGGCUGCAAAUCAUCCGUCGCAAGUACCUGUGCGACCAGCCCCUCGCUUUCUGCGUCAGGUCGGGUGGCUCUUAGUUUUGGCAGUCUGUUGUCUAGCUCCUCCCGGUUCUGCACAUUGGGACUUCCAUCGUGGUUGGCACCGGUUCAGCCACACUUUUCUGGUUUGACUGAUGGGCAGGUGAUCGCCCUUUUGCGGCCAGGUUCCCUAACCUUUUUUCCAUAGCGGUCGAACCCAGGAUCUCCGUCGAGUCGGCCCUUAUUGACUUAGGGCGUCUCGCGUUCCGGCGGCCAUUUGGGCCGCCGGAAGUUGCCGCUUGGCAUGAGCUCCUUAACACGGUGGCCCUCCAUGAGUCGGACUUAUCGCAGCACCUCGACGACCGCCUAUCUUGGCGUCUCGAGCCCUCGGGUCGCUUUUCCACGAAGUCACUUUACUGUGCCAUCGCGCACGCUCCCAGACCAAGCGUCCUCGACUCUAUAUGGUCUAUUCGCGCCCCCCUCAAGAUUAGAAUCUUCAUGUGGCAAUGGAUCCGUGGCCGGCUCCCCUCGGGCGUGGAAGUCCUGCGGCGCCAGGGUCCCGAUGAUGGUAUCUGCCCUCUAUGUGGGAUGGCGGAAACCUCGAAUCACAUCUUCUUCUCGUGCGUCUCUGCCCAGUUUCUUUGGGGCUGCCUCCGAGAGGUCAUCGGUGGCAACUGGUGUCACACCAACUUCCCUGAUCUCCUCUCUGAGGUUCAAUCCUCCCCCUUGUCCGGCUGCCACAUUAGGUGGUUGCUCAUUGGGGUGCUCGCCUGGACGCUGUGGACCGUUCGAAAUAAGCUUGUGAUUCAAUGGGCCCCCCUUCGACGUGCUACUGACGUUGUGUUCAAUUUGUGUGGCUUCUUGCAGCUUUGGCGGCCGCUUAGCCGUCACCAGGAUCGUGACGCCAUCACCUCCAUCAUCACCGACCUUCGCUUGAUGCCUCUCCGCUUUGCCCCGCCGCUCCCCCCGCCACCUCCCGAGCCGGGAUUAGAUCCUUGCUGAUGUAUCGAAUGUUGCGGUUGUACCGCCCCCCCUUUGUUUAUUUUCAGGGCUUGUUGAGCUGUGCCCUCAGCAGAACCCCUUGUACUUCGUGUUGUGCUACUCUGUGUGUGUGGGUUAACCUUGUGGUACUGUUUGCCUCUGGUGGUUUGCUUUAUCUAUAAAGCGGGGCGAAAGACUUUUUCAGUAUUUACUGAGAUAACUGCUUUGCACAAUACACCAACAUUUUGAUACAUACGCGCGAGCACUUUUCAUAAAUGGUGGAACGGGGGCUCACAACUAAUUACUUUUCUGAUCUUUGUAACCUUGGCAUCCAAGAAAUAUAAUAUGGUGGAGUCCGAACAAGAAACUAGUUUCACGUAUAAAAGAACUCAACUUUGUACAACCGUUUAGCUUGGGGUCCCGAUAACUGCCACACGUGUGCACUACUGGAAUUCUGGGCUACGCCGGGUGUAAUGCUCUUCGCCGAGUGCAAAAACACGGACACUCGGCAAAGCAAGUUUUGCCGAGUGUCACUCUCGGCAAACCCACCUUCACGGCAAACUGCCAUCUUUGCCGUCACUGCCUCACGGCAAAGAGGCACCGCACGACAAACCCUGCAGGCGCCAAGAGCAGCUCAAGGCAAAGAGAAACCACAUGGCAUGCCCGUCCGCAACAGACGGCUCCGUCAGUUACUGCGUACUUUGCCGAGUGUCACUCUCGGCAAAGCUUAUGCAACAUCCUAUUUUUUUUAUGUGUGUUCUUUCUAACUGACAUGUGGUCCCACUGGUCACAUUUAUCAAUAAAUUUUUUAAAUAACUUGCUAAAUAUUUUUGAAAAAAAUGACGAUAUCUUUGCCGAGAGCAGCCCUCGGCAAUCCUUCUGACCAGUAGGACAACGUGGCCCACAUGGGAGCUGACAGUUUACAUAGCUUUGCCAAGAGCUAGUCUCGGCAAUGCUCUCCUUCUUUUCCGAGAGCUGCUCUCAGAAAAGUUGUGGCACAACAGUAGUGUCCCAGACAACCAUGUUUCUGAGAGGUGCUCUCGGUAGUCUAUCGUUUUCCGAGUGUUGCUCUCGGAAAUCUUUCCCAUCCAUUCUGCUGUCAAGCUAUUUCUUUUCUGAUCCCUGCAGAUAAAAACAACUACAGUGCAAUUUGAUCAUAUAUAGGCAUAAUUUGAUCUAGUCCACACAUAUAUUGGCAUAAUUUGAUCUAGUCCACAUAUAUAUGCAUAAUUAGGGAUAGUCCACAUAUUGUCACACACAAGUCGAAUGUAUUAUCCUAGUAGACAUCACACACAAGUCGCAAAUUCAUACAUAUUGUCACUACUUGCAAAACACGUGCACGUCACAAUAGAAGUACACUUGUUCAAUAUAGAUUAUCUUGAGGAGGAGAUGCCAUCGGGUUAACAUUCCGGAGGAAGAGGAGGGGCAUCACUUGCACUGCUUCGAGAUUGCAUAAGAACCUAUAAGAGUAGAGUCACGUGAGGGUGGUUCAUCCCUAUGUAAUGAAUCUUCUACUCUAGUUUAGAUAAUGUUCUACCUGUAGUUGAUCCUCAAGCAGCUUCAACCUCUUGUUCGUGUCUUCCCGUUCCUUUUCUCUGGAGUCCUUCUCAGCCUGCCGCCUUUGCUCCUCUUCAACAGCCCGCUGCGCCAUUAAAUCAUGUAACAUGGCAUUAGGCUCAUAUAGGUUGGAACGGUGCUAUUUCGAGGCAUGGACAUAAAUAAAAGGUUAGGAUGCUAACCUUGAGACGCGCUAUCUCACGUGAUGCGGUGGUUGGGCGACUCCAUAUGGACGGAGUUGAGCUGGUGCUCGACGCGCAGCUUGCGAUGCCCGGAGGUGGCGAUCGUCCUGUUGCAAAGGAGGUGGCGGCCAUGGCCCUUCCCCUCGCCAGCAAUGAUGAGAAGCUCAGGGCCAAGGGGCUUGGACGUAGGUUCGGCUUCCUGCCCGUGCACCUCCUGGAAGACCUCUUUGAAGGUCCCCCACUUCUCCUCCGCCGACUCGCUGCAGAACUCGGUGCCAUCCUUCCCCUUGUGGCCUUCUCUCCAGGCUUCCAGGAUGUGGACUGGGCGACCCUCCUUCGCCUCCUGCAAAAUUAACCAUCAAGUUUAAUGAACCAAGAUGCACCGUGCGAAAAAUUAACAUCUUAAUCCACAUACCAUGUGUUGCUUGAGAGCAGUUAGGUUCCAGCUCCCCUGGACAUGAGCCGGGCCUGUCAUUUUGGCUCGAUCAUUUCCCUUCUCCACAUGUUGCGCCUGCCAUGCUGGGUUACACCACAUGUCAACCAGGGCCUCCCAACAAUCUUCCUUCAUCCAGGGUUCCUUCACCUAGUCAGACAAAAUCAAAUAAUUGAGGAACAAGAGGGAUGAAUAAAAGUACUAGCAACCGAUGUACUCACUUACCACUGACAGGUAUUCUUCUCGCGACAUGUUGGUCUGGCAAGCAGUCGUCCUUGUCAUUUUCUCUCCCAUCUCAUCGAGCGGCCGACACUGCAUCACGGCUUUGUACCGCAGCGUGUGCUUGAGGUCAGAGAGUAUCUUUCGGGCAGAUUUCACAAUGCCUUUGAUCGCCUUCUGCUUCUCACCAUCCAGGCAAGCAAAUGUUUCCUACAAGAAAGCAUAAGGCAUCUUAUCACCAUCCAUGCGAGCAAGGAUUUGGAUAUGAAAAAAUGCAGUGGUCGGAGCGAAGAUACUUACAAAAAAAGCAUUGAUGACCCAAGUGGCCAUGGUGACAUCGUGCUCAUCCUUGUUGUGUAGGUAAUGCUCCCAGGUUAAACUUGGCGACGACGGAUCGUCAUCACCCGGCUUGGACAAUCCAGGGAAGUGCUUCCUCAAGAGGGAGCUGAUGAUGUGGUUCGGCGGGCGUGCCCCCUUAUGUUGUGUCGGGAUAAAUUCCCACUGACUGCAUGAUAUAAAAUACAAGCAUAUGUGAGUGUCAAAGCUGUGGCAUCCAAAAUAUGAUGAAAAUGAAAUCCUUGCUUACCCCUCUCCUGUCGGGCAAAUGACAGGACGGUUGCUGGCAGCAGUUGGUUCCGGGACCUUCCCCGGACCACGCCCGGAUUUCUUCCUCUUGGAAAUGUUGCUCGAGGUAGAACCGAGCCGUCCGAGGCCUCCAUGUCGCCCGACUCGGUGGUGAGCGGAUCUGAUGUAUCUAAGUCCACCCCAACAUGACCAUCCGAUGAUGACGAUGCCUCGGUUAUGGCCUGAUGGGAGGCGGACGAGUCGGUCCUACCAAUCGGGACUCUCCGGUACUUACUACCAAUGCUUCCAUCAGAAUCUAAAAAACAAAAUAUAUAUGGUUACUCUCAGUUCCAAAGUAAAAUCUUCCUAAUCUAAGUGUCAUAUCAUAUAUGGCAAAAAAUAACACAAAUAUCUCAAUCAAGUCUCAGAUAUAUAGUUCCAUUUACUAAUGCCAUAGCACUAACAAGGAAACAAGCACAAAUAUAUAGUUUCAUUGAUCUACUCUAGUAUUUAUCUAAAAAAGCACAAGCAUAGAGGUUGUCAUGGAAUUAACAUGUCAGAUGUCCUAGUGUAAGGACUUAGUCGUGAGGCCAACGCAUCUAUGUGGUAUCUUGAGAGGGGUUAAGCGGAAUCGAGAAACGCAACACGCAAGACAAAGAUUUAGACAACUUCGGGCCCCGGGAAACAUCAUCCGGUAACAACCCUACAUGCUGUUUGUGGCUAGGUCUCAUUAUCAUCAUGAGGGAGUCGCCGUAAACCGGCUCUCCCAGUUAUGUCUAGCCCUAAGAUUGUUUCUUCUUGCUUCUCUCCCUUUGAGGAGCCCUGCCCCUCCUUAUAUAUGUUGAAGGGGCGGGUUACAUGUGGAGUCCAACUUGGACUUAAAACUUAACUAUUCUUACUUUUCUUUAUGGGCUUCAUGACGUCUCGGGCUUCAUAACCUUUGGAAACCCAGUUAUCACUGUUUGCCGGUUUAAGAUGGUCUGUCGGUUUAAGAUGGUCUACCGGUUUAAGAUGGUCUGCUGGUUUAAGAUGGUCUGCCGGUUUAUGACUUCAUGCCGGUUUACCGUCUGUCUUAGCCAUCUGUCUUAACUGUCCGCUGGUUUACCAAGUCCCAGCCAGUUUACAACACCAGCCGGGUCAUACCGCGGGGUAUAUCCCCGACAUUAGCCCCCAGUUUAAUUUGGAUUUAUCCAUGUUAAACUGAUCCUGAGCAUCUUUAAAUCCUUGUCAUUUCCUUCUAGAAAAUCCGGGUCAAUAGGCCAGCUUCAUAAUCAAUUUGCUGACAUUGGUUUAUCACAGAGAAAUAUUGUGAAGAAUAACUUCUUUGACUCAUCUCCCAAUGCUUAACAAAAAUACUGGUCUUUGAAAUACUCAUAUGAUCUUCAGCCGGUUUAAGAAUGUAGAACUUGUCGGUUUAAGAAUGUAGAACUUUGUCGGUUUACAAAUAUUGAUGGCACCGGAUCAUAACUGUUUGUUAACAUCAGCUUUUGAAAAUAUACCUCUUAUAUGCCUAUCACUUGUAGCCCUCAAAUCUUAAGAAGGUAACGUAGUAACAACUUAAGAUUUGCUUCAAUAUGAAUGUCACAAGCUUCAAGAAAUCCAGUUUGUUCAUCUCAAUCACUAGUCCGAACUGAGUAUUCCACAUAUGUAGCCCCCAAGUGCCAGGUUGUCAUGCUUGCAGCAACCUAGGACUUGUAAUUUCCUGAUGCUCAUAAAAACUUCAACCAGUGUAGCCCCCAAGGGCCAGGUCAUUAUGUAAAUAAUGAGCAGGGACUUUGAAAAUAUGAUCAUGUAGACUUUAACAGCAACGUGUAGCCCCCAAGGGCCGGCUCAAUAAGACAAUAUUGAGCUGGGACUUUAUAUAUACUUCAAUGAAAAUAACAUCAUAUGAUGUAACCCCCAUCAUGGGGCUUGAAUCCAUGUCCACAAGGUUAAGAGCCUUGUGCUAUACCAACUGAGCAGUGGACCCUUCAAUAUAAUGGAUAAAAAGCUUCGUACCUUGAAUAGUUGACAGGAGCAAUUGGUAGCCCCCAAGGGCCGGCUCAUUAUAAUGUGAUGAGUCGGGUCUUCAAUGAAGUGAGCAAAAAAUGACUUUGCAUUAGCCCCCAAGUGUCAUGGUGCAUGCUUGCAACGACAUGAGACUUGCAUAUUUGAUAUAAUCUCAACUUAAAUAAUGUAGCCCUCAAGUGCCGGGUCGUAAGCCUGCAACGACUCAAGACUACUUCCUCCAUGGUAGAAUAAAUCAUAUCCAUUCAUAAAAUAAUAACCAUUGCGCUAAGAGUGACUUUGAAAACCUCAAUCAUAAUUCUGGUUAUUGAUAACCAUAAUAAAAAUCCAGCCAUGUUGGCUAUUAAAGAUUUGAAUAAUAUACCCAAUGAUUUAUAAGCGCAUGAUUCCAAUGGCGCAAUCCAAAUAUAUAUACUGGCAACUUAUAGUCCAAAGCCAGGCCGGGUUAAUAAACGCCGGUGAUUUAUAAUUAUACUUUAUUCAACCCGUUUCUGCAUACAACAAGUUUAAAGUGUCCUGGCGGUUUAUCGUCGGACGGAUCAUAAUGCCCAACAUAUAACCCGGUUUUAUAACCAAGGCUGCAAGGAUAAUAAAAUAUGAAAUAUAUCAUACCUGUGAUAUUGAAUCACAUCGUUGGUUUACCAACUUUCUUGUAGUAAGGGUGAUAACCCAAAUCUGGAGUACUGAUAACUCCCACCAUGCUUUGCUGGUAAUUCCCACCAUGCUUUGCUGGUUUAUAAUGAAGCCAUGCCGGGUUAUAAUAAACACCGGAUGAUCAUCCUGGCGACUUAUAGUCAAAGACAGGCCGGGUUAACAAACACCGGUUUAUAGUUGGUUGUGUACUAACAACUUAUAGUUGAAAGUCAAGCCGGGUUAACAAACACCGGAUUAUAUUGAUGACUUAUAGUCAGGCCGGGUCAAUAGACGCCGGUUUAUCAUAAAACCUUAUCAAAGGAGAAAAGACUUUGACAAGUAAAAGCAAAUGAAAACUUGUAGUCGAGGCUUUCCAAGGGCUGCCAGGCCCAAAUUUGAGGCUUUUCAUGGGCUGCCAGGCCACUGAGUUAAACCAUUUUACAAAGCCUUUUCAGAUGGGCCUCCAAUUAACCAAUCGAUCUUUUAACUUUGACAAGUUCAGGGUCUGUAUAAGAUUGACUUGUCAAACGUUCGACGGGUCAUACCAGGAUUACCUGGAUAGGAGUGGCUUACUUGAUGAAGGUAGGUUAAACCCGGGGUUUUAGGUGAAUACACCAGGCUUCCAAGCCGUGGCUUGAUAGCCAAUUACAAGGGUCCUUUCAAACUCUUUGUUGCUUUGCACAAAGAGCCCCCAAGUAACUUUUGUGAGCUGUGCUCAAUGGGUGUCUAUGUUUGAGUUGGUGCUUUUUGCAACACUCUCUUUGACCCCUAAUUGAUUUCCCUGGUGGCCUCACGCCGAUCAAGAGGCAUAGCUAUGGUUUGAAUAUGACCAAGCCCCCAAGUGAUCAAUAAUAUGAUAAGCCAAUAAGGCAGGAUACCCAUGUUUGAACCGCGCAUCAUGGCAACAGGUCCUCUUCAGCAACCUUUAACUUUUUGCAAGAGAUAAAUUCUUCUUGAACCGGGAUUUUUGAACCGGAUAUUGAGAGCUUCAAAGCUUUAUGGGAGACAUCUUUCCCUUGAACCGGAUUUUAAACCGGAAUCUUCAUUUUCAGCUAGAAAUUUUCUGACGGCCUUUAAACUCAAACUUGUGAGAAGUUAAUUUCUUUUUGAACCAGAAAUUCUUAAACCGGAUUUGAGAGCUUCAGAGCUUUGUGGGAGAUAGAUUUCCCUUGAACCGGAUUGUAAAACGGAUAUUUGAGAGCUUCAGUGAGACUAACUUCCUUUGAACCGGAAUCCUUUCUGAUGACCUAGACCUUCUUCACCGAGCCAGGAUUUUGUCAUAUACUUUUUUGAGCUGGAAAUUCUCUGACGGCCUUUAAAUUUUCAUCAAUAUAGCAGUAGCCUCCGGGACCGGGUUAUCUUUCCCUCCAUCGUCCUGGCGUUCUUACAUUCGCUUAAACUGGUAAGAUUUGCUGAGUCAUGUCAUCAUAGCCCCCGAGUCUUAAGAUGACUCAAGGAGUUGUUUUGAGAUUCUCCGUAUUUAACCAUAGCAAAAGGUGUAUAUCAUUGGUGUUGAUAACACGAUGUAAAUCCACAGAAGGUUGAGGUGACUGCGGCGGGUUAUAAAUGAUCCCGUAUGAGCCGUGUCAGCAACUCGGCCAAUGGUUCCUUCCAACUGGCUGUUUGAAGUUAACUGAACUAUAGUGGCAGCGAUUUGUGCGCAUGUCCAUUGAACCAUCUAGCGCAGACAUCGGCUGAUGAUAACUUGCCUCCAAUUUGCUGGAAGAAAAUCGUGCUACCCAAGCAGUGACUCGCUUUUUAUUUAAUAAAAUAGCUCAUGCAAACAGAUGCAGCCCGAUGUGUUGAUGUAGACCAGGCCUCGGGAGCGGCGAUUUGUGCACGCCCAUUGACAACGAACAGACGCGAUCCCAGCAAGCUGAUGUGGACUGGACCGCAAGGGCAACAGCUUAUGCACGUCCAUUCAUCAUAUGAUACGCCCCGGAUUAUCCCCAGGUGGAAUAUUAUCAAUCCGUGCUCCAUAUCCGUGGUAUAAACCACAUUUGUAGUGAAUAAUGGUCAUGUACAUAAAAAUAUACAAAUCAAAGUAAUUUGUCCUUUGAUAGAAAUAAUAUGUGUUAAUAAAACAAAUUUGAGAUGGAUAGCACCUUAUGUUUGCAGAUGGCAAAUGGCUUUCGGUGAUGAAUGAUCCGUUCACCGCAGCCAAGGUGGCGGCUUAAUGCACUGUACCAGUCGACUCAGACGGACCCUCCGGGUCAUGUUUGAGCCCCCCUUUUUUUAACCGAGAUAGCCGCACGUGCACCCUGUCGGCCAGCUCUCAAGCUCGGCGUGCUCAGACUUGGGUGACUCGGCGCGCUGUGGCUCGCCCACGAGAAGCAACAGAAAAGGCUCGAGGCGCUCAGCGAUUUGGUGGAGAUGGGGGUGAUCCGGAGGUAACAGGGCCGGCUCAACCCGGUGGCCAAGCAGAAGGCACAGAUCUUUCAUCGUACCGCUAGUGAGGUGAUGCGGAGGUGGUGGUGAUGCAGAUGAAGCCCAAGGUGGGUCACUUGGCGACUCGAACGGCCACAUCGGCGGUGAGGCCGGGUCGACUUGAUCCGGCGGCGGUUCAACACCGGGACUGCAGUUCCACGGAGGCGGAGGCGACUCAGGUGUGGGAGACCCGGCAGGGCACUGCGGUGAGGCGGAGGCGGGGUGAUCCGGCGACUUGGCAUAGCAACAACGCUGCAGGAAUGGCAGCUCGGCAGCGGCCGGCGGGUUGGAAUCUUGGAGACGCAGCAGUGGUUUCAGAAUCAAGGGAGCGCGGGUUAACACGGCGCCUUGGAAAAGCAGAGGCAAGGCCAGCGGAGAUGCAGCUGACGGGCAGUAGCAGAGGCAAACCGAGGCGGCGCGGCGGUUUGUGGCUUGUGAUGGCGAUCUGAGCCAGAAACGAGAAGGAGGCAGCCCAAGGGCAUGGUCACGGCUAGUGAACCGACACGCGAGGAUGGCAGCAGAUUGUAGCAGUUGUGAAUCGGCGCGCGGGGUGUAACAGCGCGAGGCGCGUCGGCUCAGAGGCCAGGGUGCAGGUCAACCGCGGCAAAGGACCGGCUCCAGCCGUAGACCAAAGGCACUGUCCAGCCAUCAUCAAAUCCUCCAAGUCGUACCACCGUCGCUCUUUGAUUUAUUCCUCCUAGUACGUCGAAACUGGCUGGGACAACCAUGGCGGCGAGGAAGUGGUGAAGGUGAUUCAGCGGCGGCAUGUUGGAGAGGUGCCGGUACAGCGGGGCCGCGGCCAUGCGGCAGUCAGAGGCACGCCUGGCAACUGCAGCUCAGCGACGAAGAUGGAGGCAGACACCAACUUCCGAUGCGAUGGCAGCAGGGCGAGUCAAAUCCCAUGGCAAGGCGGGUCACCACAUCAGCAAUGUCUUGGGCGGUUUGUAUCUUGCGGCAGAUGCCGGGUUAGCCCGGCACAUCGACGGUGGCGAUUAGAGGCAGCUGGGGGUUACGGCGGCGGCGCAAGUGAUCCGGCGGGUGAGCAGGAGUCACGCCGGCAGCUCACAGCAGAAGCAAGGCCGCACAGAGGAGGUUGGGUGUGGCCGGCGGUUCAGCAGGACAGACCGGGUCAACACAGUGCUACGAAUCCGACAGGGCCGGCUCUGUGGCAGAGGUAAAUCCUCGGUAACGAGGCGAGACGGCGGCUGAGGCCUGAUGGUGACUCAUGGUCGGUUCUCAUGGUGAUUCAGAGAGUGAGCCGGCGCGGUAACAGAGUGAACCGGCGCGGAAAUUUGAGGAAAACGCGCGAGGCCGCGGUGACUCACGGUGUAGGGGACUCAACGGCUGUGACCCGGCGGGAAGUUGUGGGACCAGGGCGGUUUGCCGGUGCGGGCGAGACUACAGAAACAGCAAAGCAGGGCACUCCACAGCAGGUUGACAGGCCGGCCGGGCCACUCGUGGGUCGAGCCAGAGGAUGUCCCGCAUUGGUAAAUCGGCAGCUCAUUGGUGACGGUAGGAAGGCGGCCCUGCACUAGCCCACCAGCACAGCCAGGUGGAGGAGGGUGUCUAGCGCAAGAGCCUGGCGCAGAGCGAAAGGAGGCGUCGGGCGACUCAUAGCGACGAAGUAGGCAGCGCUCGGUGAAGCAAAAGCAGAGGACCACGUGAAGCCGUGGUGGCCUGGCACACCGGUGCGGCCACGGAAGUGGCUCCAGAGCAUCAACGGAAGCGAUGGCAGGUCAUAUCCGCGAUUCAAUAGGGCAGCAGCUCGAACAGACCAGUGCCGGGGCCGGCUCAACCUUGUGUGAGGCCAAGGCAAGGCCUGCGGCCGUGAUGAUGGAGGCAGCCGACGACUCAGAGGUGACUCAGAGUAGUUGGAAAGAUAUUUCCUUGAUUGAUUUACAGAUCACAGUACAUCAUUAUAUGAGGGAGAACUGCACGUCCUAUACAAGUGGCACUCGGGCCCGACGUGGUCUCCCGAUCCUAGAAUUGCGGCAACAUUACAUGAGUAUAUGACUUUGUCUAACACCCCCCCUCAGUCGGAACUCCAUGUGGAAGGAUGUUCAGGCUGGACCAAAAAUCGUGAAACACUUGAGACGGCAACCCCUUAUUGAAAACAUCCGCAAAUUGAGAUCUCGAAGGAACAUGAAGAACACGAACUUCGCCAAGAGCCACGCGAUCACGGAUGAAGUGUAAAUCGAUCUCAAUAUGCUUUGUGCGUUGGUGUUGCACCGGAUUGCAAGCAAGAUAAGAAGCACUGAUGUUGUCACAAUACACAAUGGUGGCCCGGGUGGGAGGGAGAUGAAGCUCAUGGAGGAGUUGACGCAACCAGCAUGAUUCGGCCACACAGUUCGCCACACCCCGGUACUCCGCUUCGGCACUUGAACGAGAGAUAGUGGGCUGCCUCUUGGAUGACCAAGAGACAAGAUUGGAGCCGAGGAACACACAAAAGCCAGAAGUAGACCGACGUGUAUCCAGACAACCCGCCCAAUCCGCAUCCGUGUAAGCAAUAAGAUCCAUGGAGGAGGACUUAUAGAGUUGGAGACCAUAGUGAGAGGUGCCCUGUAAGUACCGAAGGAUCCGUUUGACAAGUUGCAUGUGCGUGUCUCGUGGGGCAUGCAUGAAUAAGCAAACUUGUUGAACGGCAUAAGCGAUGUCAGGCCGGGUGAGAGUAAGGUAUUGGAGGGCGCCGGCCAAGCUGCGAUAGUGCGUGGGAUUGGAGAGGAGUUGGCCGUCUUGGGAGGAGGACUUGGAGCUGGUGUCGAUAGGUGUGGAGACGGGCUUGCAGUUGAGCAUCUUGGCACGCGCGAGGAUCUCAAGUGUGUAUUGUUGUUGACAUAGGAAAAGGCCGGAGGUGUUGGUAGUGACAUUGAUGCCCAAGAAAUGAUGGAGAGGGCCAAGAUCCGUCAUGGAGAACUCCGACUUGAGGGAGUUGAUGAUGGAGGAGAGAACGGCGGGGGAGUUAGCCGUGAGAAUGAUGUCAUCCACAUAGACUAACAAAUAUGCAAUGGAGGAGCCAUGAUGCUUGAUGAACAAGGAGGAAUCACUCUUUGAAGCCCGAAAACCCAAUGACAGUAAGAAUGCUUGGAACCGAAGAAACCAUGUGCGUGGAGCUUGCUUCAGGCCAUAUAAGGACUUGCGAAGAAGACAGACAUGGUCGGGCCGAGAGGGAUCCACAAAGCCCGCUGGUUGGGAGCAAUACACUGUCUCAUUGAGAUUGCCAUGAAGGAAUGCAUUCUUGACAUCAAGUUGAUGGAUUGGCCAUGACUGAGAUGUAGCAAGACUGAGCACCACGCGAAUGGUAGCCGGCUUCACCACAGGACUGAAUGUGUCACCAUAGUCCACACCUUCUUGUUGAGUGAACCCACGAACAACCCACCGAGCUUUGUAACGUGCCAAGGAGCCGUCAUUGUUGAACUUGUGACGAAAUAUCCACUUGCCCGUGACAAUGUUAACACCUGCAGGCUUAGGCACCAAAGACCAAGUAAAGUUAUCCAUUAAAGCAUGAUAUUCUUCUAACAUAGCAUUGUGCCAAUGGGGGUCUUUAAGAGCUGAUUUGUAGGUGGGUGGUAUGGGAGAGAUAGUGUGGGACGUGGCAUCGGCAAGAAAUAAGCGCUUGGGCAUGAGAAAACCAGUUUUGGCCCUGGUGGACAUCCUGUGUGCAUUAUGGGGUGGCUGAAUGGGCACUGCAUGGCGAGGGAGAGGUGGCGCAGGCGGAGUGGAUGGAGCGGAAAGCAAGGAGGAUCCGGUGGGGUCGGCUGGUCUGCUGGCAGGAGGAUCUGGCGAUAGAUCCGAGGAGGAGUCAGAUGAGGCAGGCGAGGCAGGUGAAUCUGGCGCGACAGGGGAAUCGGGCGUGGGCUACGAGGCAGGCGAGCGGGUGGGACCAGCGGGACCGGGCAUGCGGAACGAGGAGGAUUGUGCGGAUGAAUCGGUGUGGCCGGCGGGGGAGCGGCACGCGGCAUCGUCAGAGGCGGGGGUGGGUGGAGCACGAGGCGGAUCUGGAGGUGGGGGCCCGUACGAGGAAGGCGCCGGAUCAGAGAGAUUCGGCCGGUGGGGGGGAUCUGCAUGGCGAUCAGGUGUGGACGUGGGGGUUGUGUGGUCCGGCGUGUGGUGGUGAUAUGGAAAUAUGGUUUCGUCGAAAACGACGUGACGGGAAACGAUAACGCGUCGAGUCGUGAGGUCGUAGCACCUGUACCCUUUGUGUUCUAGGGGGUAACCAAGGAAAACACAAGGAGAGGAGCGAGGGGAGAGUUUGUUGUCCAUGGUGGCAUAGAGGUUAGGGAAACAUAGGCAGCCGAAUACACGAAGAUGAGAGUACUCGGGUUGCACGCCGUGGAGGAGAUAGUAUGGCGUAUAUGGUGUGAUGGCUCGUGAGGGGCGCCUGUUGAGAAGGUAGGUAGCGGUAUGAAGGGCUUCCAACCAAAAGGGAGGUGUUAAGUGAGCUUGGAGAAGGAGAGUGCGCACAAUAUCAUUGGUGGUGCGAAUGAGACGUUCCGCUUUGCCGUUUUGAGGGGAAGUGUGUGGGCAAGAAAACCGAUAGGCUAUACCGUUCGAAGAAAAAAAGGAGCGAAGAGAGUUAUUAAUGAAUUCACCACCAUUGUCACAUUGCAUACAUUUGAUGAUCACAUGGAAUUGAGUGUGAAUAAAGGUGAAGAAACGCUGGAGGACGGUAGAGGUCUCGGAUUUUUGACGCAAGGGAAAUGUCCAAGAGUAAUGUGUGUAAUCAUCCAAGAUAACAAGAUAGUAUUGAAAGCCGGAAAAACUUACAACCGGGGAUGUCCACAAAUCGCAAUGAAUUAAAUCAAAGGGGGCAAAUGUUUUGCUAUGUGAAGAAGGAAAAGGGAGGCGUGGUUGGCGCCCUAAUUGGCAAGCGCUACAUGGGAGAUGGGGUGCCUUAUUACAAUCACUAAGAAAAUCACGAGAAAUAGUAGAAAGGGUGUGAGCGCCGGGGUGCCCGAGACGACGAUGCCACAAAUCCGAGGUGGUGGCGAGGAGUGCGGACGCCCGUGCUAGUUUAUUUCCAAUGAAGGGGUAGAGGUCGCCGGUGCUAGCGGAGAUCAUGAGAACUUGUCGAGUGCGAAGAUCCUUCACAAGAAAACCACACGGAAAAAAUUCAACGGAACAUGAGUUAUCUUUUGUAAAUUUGCGUACGGAAAUAAGGCUAGUAACAACAUGUGGAGAAACAAGAAUGUCCGUGAGGCGAAAAUUGUGAGGGUGGAGUGUGGUGGAGCCAGUGGCCGUGACGGGGAGGUGCUGUCCAUUGCCAACAAGUAUGCUUGAAGGAACAUGCUGUAAUGAAUGACUAGACGAGGUUAAGAUACCUUGGCUGCCGGUCACGUGCGAAGAGGCGCCACUGUCCAAGAACCACUCGGGGGCAGGUUGGUUGGGGAAGCCGGAGUUGCUGUAGGCGGCGUUGAGCAUGGCAAGAUGCUCCCACAACGGCGGCGUGGGUGGGUAGUAAGGAGGCGUCGGCGCAGGCGGGUACAUGUUGUACGCCUGAGCAUGGGCGUUGGGGCGAGGGUCCAAGACACCAGCGGCGUUGGGAGGGACCCAACCGGAGCGCGGCGACGGCAAGGCCAUGCCAUAUGGAGCGAAGUAGCCUGUGAAGGGGGAGAACGCCGGCUGAGAGUGCUGGCCGCGAGCAGAGGAGUCGCCACGCCCGCGACCACGUCCGCGGCCACGCCCACGGCCACGGUCACCAUCGGCAGAUCGAUCACCACGGCCACGUCCAGAGGGCUGUUGUUGGGGAUGUGGGGGGCCCUGGACGCGAUCGGAGGAGCCGCUGCCUUGGCCGCGGUCAGCACUGCCCCGAGCGCCGGCCUUGGAACUACCACCGUGGACGCCGCCGCGAUCGCCACCAGAGAGCGCGAACGCCGAGACGCUCUCCUCAGCAGCGCGCUGCGCCUGUGAUUCGUCGGCCAGGAUGACCCGAGAGAGGAUGGUGUCGAACGGCAGCUCCUGGUCGCCGAGAACGACCCGGAUGGUGUCGAGGCGCUUGUCGAGGCCGUGGAGAAACUGAGUGCGAAGAUCCACCUCGGUGACGGCGUGCUCGAUGUCGGCGAGGCCGUCGGUGAGGAGCUUCACGCGCCACGCGUACUCAGCCACGGAAAGAUCGCCCUGCUUGAGGUUGCGAUACUGCCGGUUGAGGAUCAUGAACCGGGCAGCGCGGUUGGCAAGGAAGAAGUCCUUGAUCUUGUGCCAGAGCAUGUAGGUGUUGGUGGCGCCAACGACGUGAUCCACCAUGGAGUCGGCGAGCGUGGCAUAGAUCCAGAGGACGACGUGAGCAUCGAGCUCGAGGUAGGCAGCAUCAACAUUGGGAGGAGGAGGGUGGUCGAUGAGGAAUUUGACACCGUGGAGAAUAAGGACCAUGAGAAAGAAGGAUUUCCACUUGUGGUAGUUGUGAUCUACGGGGUUGAGGAGAAACUUGAUGUGAUUGGAGAUGUGAUCGUUGUAGAUGGAGAGGCGAGGGGAAGGGGGCGGGGGCGCUGUGGGGGCGGAGGAGUAAAGGGGGGCAAACUGCGAGCCGACGGGGGUGGCGGUGUUGCUGAAGAGGGAAGGCAUCGUGCCGAAGACGAACGGCGGAGAGGAAGAGGCCGAGGCAGUGGAGGCGGAAGGCGCCGUGGAGGAGAGGGAGCCCGGCGAGGCGACGGAGUCCAUGGCGGCGGCGGACGGGGAGGAGUCGGUGCCGGCCAUGAGGAGAACCUGGAAGCAGCUGAUACCAAGUUGGAAAGAUAUUUCCUUGAUUGAUUUACAGAUCACAGUACAUCAUUAUAUGAGGGAGAACUGCACGUCCUAUACAAGUGGCACUCGGGCCCGAUGUGGUCUCCCGAUCCUAGAAUUGCGGCAACGUUACAUGAGUAUAUGACUUUGUCUAACAAGAGUGAGGCCGGAGAGUUGGAGGGGCGGCGCCUCGGAUAGAGUUAGCGGGGCGGCCAAAACCACGGCGAGACGGGGCCAAACCAACGAGCGGUGGCUCAGGCGCGCGGGCACAUCGGCCCGCGACUCAGACCGAGUUCGUGGCCAUCUCCGCUUUCUGAGUCAUGGACUCUUUUCUUCCGCUCCCCUUUUUUACCACUUUCCCUGAUCCAGCUCGGAUUAAUGGCUUCAUCGAUCUGUCCUGGUCCUCAUGCCAGAAAAAUAGCGACAACAGAUUAUUCCUUCUCUUGGGUGACGCUGUACGGUAAAAAUUGCAGCAGUUGAUGCCCUCGGGACAAGCAUAUACGGACAGCAGCAACACAAAUAUGGCGGAUUGGACAGAUGCUUGACGUAUAGUAAUUUGACUCGGUCGCUGACCCUGCAGUGGAAAAACGCUGAUAGCUCCAAUCGACCGCCGUAGUAGUUUGGGCUUCGGACUCCUCUCGAUCUCGGCGAGUUAUGGCAGCUGCACUGAUGCAACCCUAAUUUCCUCUAAAUCUUAAAUCUUGAACACAACGCCUUGACUGUUCGUCGGUGAUGUAAAUUUCUGCACCGGCUCUUUUUUUAUCCGGCAUCUCGCAAGCUUCUUGAUCCAUGAAGAGACCCCCUCCAAGAGCUCAGCACCACCGUGCGCGAGCCCCACGGUGGGCGCCAACUGUCGUGGGAUUAAUACGUCAGAUGUCCUAGUGUAAGGACUUAGUCGUGAGGCCAACGCAUCUAUGUGGUAGCUUGAGAGGGGUUAAGCGGAAUCGAGAGAUGCAACACGCAAGACAAAGAUUUAGACAGCUUCGGGCCCCGGGAAACAUCAUCCGGUAACAACCCUACAUGCUGUUUGUGGCUAGGUCUCAUUAUCAUCACGAGGGAGUCGCCGUAAACCGGCUCUCCCAGUUAUGUCUAGCCCUAAGAUUGUUUCUUCUUGCUUCUCUCCCUUUGAGGAGCCCUGCCCCUCCUUAUAUAUAUUGAAGAGGCGGGUUACAUGUGGAGUCCAACUUGGACUUAAAGCUUAACUAUUCUGACUUCUCUUUAUCAGCUUCAUGACGUCUCGGGCUUCAUAACCUUCACUACAAGAAAUAUGUCAACUUGUGACCUUGACUAUUGGUCACUGAAAGGUCAUGGUUUUUCAUUUGCGACCUUUUUUUGACCAAAAAUAGAAGGUCGAAAGCUGAGGGUCGUUAACUGACUAUAGCGACCUUCUCUGUGAGAAGGUCAUGGACGUUUACGACCAAAAUAUUCCUACUGUGGCGUUUUGGUCACUAGCAACCUCCCCAGGCCACGUAGGCAUCCAGCGUGGCAAGCUGAUGUGGCACAAGAUUCAGCCUGGUCCAAUUCGGUUUUCUACAUGGGCCUAGCCCAACAAUUCGGCCUAUUCGUGUUUUUUUCUCAUAUUAAUUUUGAUUAGGUAGAUGGGCCAAGCCCAACAUUUCAGCCUCGUUAUUUUUGGGCCUAGGCCUUUUUAUUUUCUUGGCCUUCACCUUUUCACACUUGAUUUUUAAGCGAUUUUUUUCAUUUUUUCUGAAUUGUUUGAUUUGUGGCCUUUUUAGGGCCCAAAUAGUAUUUGCUUCAUUUCUGAUGUAUCAGCAAUUAAGGAUCAUCACCUCAAAAAAACAAUAAAUGAUCAAUAUUUUGAGUAUUUCAAUCACACAAAUUUUCACAAAUGACGACCAAAAUGAGUAUAUUAUAUAUAUUACAAUCAUGCCAUAGUUCACAUCAUCCAGGAAUUUAGAACACCCAGGAACACCCAGGAAGUGCUGCUAUGAAGUACAACACCCAGGAACAUAAAACACACAGGAACAUAAAACUAGCUAUAAAGAUGAAGCGUUCCCUUCUUUUAACUUCUUCAACCUAGAGCUCCUGUAGAAGAAUGAAAAUGAUCGUUAUCAUGGCUGCCAAUUCAGAAUGAAAGCAAUAUCUUCCUACAAAGAACAACUAGGAAAAGAAUAAUGAACAGAAUAAUAAACAGAUACACAAGCAGCUAGGAGUCUAUCCUGAAGCAUGAGGGCAUGGAUAACAGUAGCAACCAUGAGGAGUAAAUAUUAGCAAAUAUUAUAUUGGUGGAAAAAGGUAAAUACCAGCAAGCUCUAAGAAGACUCCAAGAACUUGAUGGCUCACAAUACAAUCAUGUUUUCGAUAACAAAUACUACUAGAAUUAAGGCACUGAACAUAUUCUAAGAAGUAUCAACAUCAUGACAGUAAAAAUUAAUAGUAGUAGCUAGCAGGACAUCAAUCGAACACAAUUGAGGGAGUCCUGGACUAGGGGGUGUCCGGAUAGCCGAACUAUCAUCAUUGGCCGGACUCCAAAACUAUGAAGAUACAAGAUUGAAGACUUCGUCCCGUGUCCGGAUGGGACUUUCCUUGGCGUGGAAGGCAAGCUUGGCUAUACGGAUAUGUAGAUCUCCUACCAUUGUAACCGACUCUGUGUAACCCUAGCCCUCUCUGGUGUCUAUAUAAACCGGAGGGUUUUAGUCCAUAGGACGAACAACAAUCAUACCAUAGGCUAGCUUCUAGGGUUUAGCCUCCUUGAUCUCGUGGUAGAUCCACUCUUGUACUACCCAUAUCAUAAAUAUCAAUCAAGCAGGAGUAGGGUUUUACCUCCAUCGAGAGGGCCCGAACCUCGGUAAAAACAUCGUGUCCCUUGUCUCCUGUUACCAUCCGCCUAGACGCACAGUUCGGGACCCCCUACCCGAGAUCUGCCGAUUUUGACACCGACAUUGGUGCUUUCAUUGAGAGUUCCUUUGUUUCGUCACCUAUAGGCCUGAUGGCUCCUUCGAUCAUCAACAACGACACGGUCCAAGGUGAGACUUUUUUCCCCGGACAGAUCUUCGUAUUCGGCGGCUUUGCACUACGGGCCAAUUCGCUUGGCCAUCUGGAGCAGUUCGAAAGCUAUGCCCCAGGCCAUCAGUUCAGAUUUGGAAGUUUGAACUACACGGCCGACAUCCGCGGAGACUUGAUCUUUGACGGAUUCGAGCCACAGCCGAGCGCGCCGCACUGUCACGAUGGGCAUGAUCUAGCUCUGCUGCCGGACAGUGCCUUGGAGGCCGCAUAAGAUUCCGCUCCGACCCUUAACUCGGAGCCGACUGCGCCGAUCGAGGAUGGGUGGCUAGACACUGCCUCGGGGGCUGCUACCUCUACGGCGAUGGAGCCGAAUACCGACCCUGUCCCUUGUGAAGCUCGUGACUCCGAGGCACCGGACUCCUCGCCGGACUCCGAACCUCCCGCGCCCCUACCAAUCGAAUCCGAUUGGGCGCCGAUCAUGGAGUUCACCGCCGCGGGCAUCUUUCAGCACUCGCCUUUUGGCGACAUCCUGAACUCUCUAAAGUAUCUCUCGUUAUCAGGAGAGCCCUGGCCGGACUACUGUCAGGACGGUUGGGAUGCAGACGACGAAGGAAUUCAAAGCCCACCCACCACCCACUUUGUAGCCACUGUCGACGAUCUAACCGACAUGCUAGACUUCGACUCCGAAGACAUCGACGGUAUGGACAACGAUGCCGGAGAUGAUCAAGAACCAGCGCCCUCAGGGCACUGGAAAGCCACCUCAACUCACGAUGUAUACAUGGCGGAUACAUCAAAAGGAAGCGACAACGAGGAACAAUGAGACGAGGCGAAGGAUAAUUCCCCCGAAAAACAGCCAAAACGGCAACGCAAGCGCCGCCCGAAGUCCCGCCUCGAUAACAACAACAUCCAUACAUACCCAGCCGUAGAGCAGGGCAAACCAGUGUACGACGAACAUGCCACCAAGCAACCGUCCGAACAGGGUGAAUUGGACGAGCAACCCAUCCCCGGCGAAAACAACAGUCCAGAUGAUCUCACGCCGGACACAUCACCGGAGCAUGAGAACCUCCACAAAAGGCUCAUCGCCACUGCAAGAAUUUUGAAAAAAGAAGCGGAAGCUCAAAACAGCGGAAGACGUACUCAGAAUGAGAUGGAGCAAAGUACUCAAGACCGCAGAUAAAUACGGCGAUAGUCACCAAGCAAAGAGCUACCCGAAGCGCAAGCUGUUGCCGGAAUUUGACGAGGAGGCCGUAGAGACCCCACAGUCAAAAAACAAAGAGGUCGCCUGGCCGGAUAGACGACUACAUGACAAGCAAAGAGCGGCAAGCGGCGCCGCACACAAGCCGGCACACAAUCCACAUAAGGAUCCUCGCAACAAGGAUGUCCGGUCAGGUCCAUCUAUGGGCCAAGAAAGAAGGCUCCAGGGAGCAACACAACACGUCGAGUGUUCGAAAAUAACGGAACACCCAAAUACAGGGGCGCCGCACACCCCCUAUGUUUCACCGAUGAUGUACUGGAUCAUGAAUUUCCAGCGGGAUUCAAGCCCGUAAACAUAGAGGCAUACGACGGAACAACAGACCCCGGUGUCUGGAUUGAGGAUUACAUCCUACACAUACAUAUGGCUAGAGGAGACGAUCUCCAUGCCAUAAAUACCUACCCCUCAAGCUCAAAGGGCCAUCCCGGCAUUGGCUCAAAAGCCUCCCAAAAAAUACCAUUGGAAGUUGGGAAGAGCUCGAGGAUGCAUUUCGGGCAAAACAAUUCAGGGGACUUAUGUCCGCCCUCCGGAUGCAGACGAUUUAAGUCACAUAACUCAACAGCCCGGAGAGUCAGCCCGCAAAUUCUGGAACAAGUUCCUCACCAAAAAGAACCAAAUAGUCGACUGUCCGGACGCCGACGCCUUAGCAGCCUUCAAACAUAACGUCCGAGACGAAUGGCUCGCCAGACACCUCGGCCAGGAAAAGCCAAGGACAAUGGCCGCACUAACAAGCCUCAUGACCCGCUUUUGCGCGGGAGAAGAUAGCUGGCUGGCAAGAUGCAGCACCAGCGACCCGAGUACAUCCGAGGUCAGGGAUGGAAAUAGGAAACCACGACGCAGAAAAGAUCAGCGCCGGACUAAGGAAAAUGGCCCAAAGAGAACGGCGGUCAACGCCGGGUUCAAAAGCUCUCGGCCAAACAACAAAACACUGCCUCUUAAGGACAAUAGUGACGAGCUAUCCAACCUAAACAAAAUCUUGGACAUGAUAUGUCAAAUCCAUAGUACCACCGAGAAGCCUGCAAACCAUACCCACAGAGAUUGUUGGGUCUUCAAGCAGUGCGGCCGACUUAACGCCGAACACAAGGGGCUCAACACACCAAGUGAGGACGAUGAUGAACCCCACAAGCAGAGCGCCGAAAAACAGAAGACUUUCCCACAAGAAGUCAAAACAGUGAACUCACUUCAAGUGAUAACAAGGAAAAAUAGUGCGGCACCUACUAAAGUACGCGCCGCCCCAGCAGAGUCCCGAAAUUGGAUGUCAAAACCAAUUACUUUCGACCAUCAGGAUUACUCCAGAAGUAUUCGAAACACAGGAGGGACUGCUUUGAUAUUGGAUCCCAUAAUCGACGGACUACAAUAUACACAAGUCCUAAUGGAUGGCGGUAGUGAUAUAAACCUGCUAUACUGGGACACCAUCCGCAGAAUGGGGAUAGACCCUACCAAAAUUCGCCAUAGCAACACUUCCUUUAAAGGAGUGACGCCAGGCCCUUAUGCCAAUUGUACGGGCUCCGUACUACUAGAAGUUGUGUUCGGUUCAUCCACCAACUUCCGUCGCGAAAAGCUAAUCUUCCAUAUCACCCCAUUCAAAAGUAGCCAUCAAGCACUAUUGGGACGUGAAGCUUUCGCCCGCUUUAACGCAAUACCGCAUUACGCGUCUCUUACACUUAAAAUGCCCGGUCCACGCGGUAUCAUCUCAUUGAAGGGAAACUUCGAGUGUCCCUCGACCGUGGAAGAACGUGAGACUGCCUUGACAGCCACACACUAAUACAGCUUUGCUGAUCAAAGCUCCUAAAACAGGUCAUUCAGACCCCGGACAUAGUUAAGCGAAUCCGGUAUAAAUAAACAAGGGGCUUAUCAGCCGCAUGCCCAUUUACAAGGGGCUACAUGCAUGAACAAUGAGAGCCAAUAAAGCUCAAUUUUAUUCAUUUUUUAAAUCAUACUCUGUCUUAAAUACAUUUUUUGCACGAUAUUUUUCCAAACUAAGUUCCUCUCUUUUUACAGAUGAACAACAUGCUACACCCGUCCAGGAUACAGCACAACGGAGACACAGGCGCAGACGUGCAGCAGGAACCCGUUACAAGGAUUCUUUUUAGAUUAAGACCCUGCGUAAACCUUUUUUACUAUCUCUUGUUGAUACACAUCCCCCGGUUUCUUACCAUAACCAAGGAGGAGGCUGACGUUUUGGCAUCGGCCGCGUCAGAAGUUUUUGCGCGUACCUGGACACUAGGGGCUUAGGGCAUUGUUCUGCCCGUUCUCAUAAAGACCGAAUACCUCAGGGAGUGUUCGGCGUCUCAAGUUAGGCCUUAUAUGCAUCAACUCCGAAUCAUGUCUUUGGUCAAAAUGUUGGGUUUGCCUGGCUCCUGCGUUUUGUUGCCUUACGUUCCGCUCUAUCGGCUAACGCGACACCAGGAGAACUACUGCGAUUGUGCCCCGGUUCGGCCGGGCGAGCACCUCAGUAGAGAAAGCCGAAAACUGACUGUCAUGAUAUAGCGAGAGACUGGUCAACCACUCGAUCGACUACUGGAAUGUUUAGAUUUCCUCCGCUUUGAUGAAGGACCAUUUCCCGGUCAGGCACACACGCGCCCCGAGUUCGGAGAGCACGGUGCCCCUAGGGGCUAUAUAGUAGCCCCACCAUCGAACUCCUAUGGCUAAGUGAAAGUGAUAAAGCAUUAUAGUCUGGUUGCCUAGUUUGCUACGCUAUCACCUCCUUCAAAGGACCAAGACGUUGGAUUAAAGUGUGAAAAUGCGCUUUUUUGCAAACACCCCCGCACCGUGUGCGUGGGGGUUGAAGCCGAAGACUGCCAUCUUUCAGGUUAUAUAUACAUAUACAUUAACAACCGCACAGGAGAUAUUUCAAUACUUGAACGCACAAGUAUAAAAAGCCCUUAUAUUAUAAAUAUGGUUUUACAAAUCAUACAUGUCAUUUGAACAUAACGUUUUUCGAGCACUGCGACUCUAUUAAACGAGCGCCCUGCAGGACUUCCUCAAAAUAGUGCUCGGUGGGUAAUCGACUUCGGCCCGAAUCCCGGGAUGCAACAUCGGUGGCAUUCAUCUCUGCCUAGUAUGUUUUGACACGGGUGAGAGCCAUCCGUGCACCCUCUAUGCAUGCCGACCGCUUCAUCGCCUUGAUAUGCGGCACCACAUUAAGGAAUUGGUGCACUAAGCCAAAAUAACUCUUCGGCUUGGGCCUUUCCGGCCACAGAUAAGCCACGACAUCCUUCAUGGAAAAUCCGGACAACCUAUUCAGCUCAGCCCACUCAGCCAACCGAUCGGUUAACGGAAGUUGACGCUCCGGACUAUGGAAUUGUGACCAAAAAAGCUCUUCCAUUUCGUGAUCCUUUUGGCUUCGGAAGUGCAGGACUGAGUCCGCCGCACUCACCGCCAAAUUCAGAUAAGCAUCCUCCGCACCCCACAACUGGCCCAACUGAGCAUACUUCAGGCCCGUGAACUUCCUACGCAGAAGAAAGGGCUUUCCAGCCGCGAUAUCCCCGGCCUGACGUAGCUCCUCCUUUAUGGCCCUCAUCACAGAGCGAGCAUCUUUGGAUUCGGCAGUGGCCUUCUUCAGGUCCUCUCGCUCCGCUCGGCGUUCUCUUUCGAGAAACUCAUAGCAGUCAGUAGGAUCCUUCAGCUUCACGGCCAUUUUGGCCAUCUCCUCCCUGCUUCGGCAGUGAGCAGCCUUUUCGGCUUUUAGCUCUUCGGCUGCCUUCGAGGCAGCCGCAUCACUCUUUCUAGCUUGCUCCUUGGCUCGAGCAAGCUCUGCCCGAAGGCCCUCCAUAGCAGCGGGGCCAUCUGCAUCAAGCAUACAUGUUGUAAGAAGUGGGCAUCGGCUCCCUUACCAGGUGACUGCGGAGAAGCCACCUACCUUGUGACUCGUCAAGUCGUUUAUUGACCAACGCGAUGUCCGCAUCUGCAACGUCGAGUUGCCGCUUCAGUUCGGCAACUCUAUUAGUCUGGCUGGCCACCGAACGCUCCGCCCCCUGAAUAGGAAUGAUGACAUCUUAACACUGAGAUUAUGAGCCUUGGCACGCCGUCACUUCUGACAAUGUUCCGAGUCUCAGGGGCUACUAUCUAUACAGGGCGCACUCUAUGUGCAAAACUGUCAAAAGGUAUGUCAUUUUUACGUACCUCAAACCCCGUCAGCAAACUUCUGACGGCCUCAUGCAACCCGCUCUCAGCGGAUGAGAUCCUUUCAAUCACCGUACUCAUUAAUGUACAGUGAUCUUCUGAGAUAGACGCCCUCUCGAGCAGAUCCUUCAGCUCCUCUUGCCGUACACCAGUUGGUGCCGAACUCUCCGGCCCCGCCGGACUCGGGGAGACCCUCCACGACGACACCUCAGGGUCGUCCGCCCCGCCUGACGGUGCGACAGAUGGAGGCGUCUCGCUCUCCAUCAUCUCCGGACGAAGAUCCCCCGAAGAUGAGCUCUGCUGAGAAGGGCUGAGAUCCGAACUACAAGGUAAGAACUUCGGUUAUCCUCAGAAAUAAAAACAUGGAUGUCCCUUAUUACGAAACUCCCCCUUUUCUACUUACGGCUUGCUGGAGGGCUGAUUCCCUUAGGGAAAUAGUGCGGCCGGGGCUUCUCCUGGCGCAGGAAACUCCGGUGAAGAUUUCUUCCCCCGCUUUGAGGCCUUGGCCUCCGGAUCUUCGGAAGCGGUCCUCUUCUCCCCCUGGAGGGAGGCAUUGUCGAUCCCCCCUUUCUUGAGAGCCUCCUUAGCAGAGGCGGUAGUUUUCCUGUUUCCCCCUUCGCCUUCUUCUGAAGGCGCAACCUCCAGCAUCUUGACUAACACGGGAUCCGGCGUGGUCUCCGGGAGGGGGGCCGGACACCGUAUCAGUUUUGCUUGCGCUAUCCACUCCUGUUCAAGAGAUAACUGGUUAAAAGGCAAAUCCAUGAUAAAUAAACGAACGGUCUGUCCGGACACAGGGCUACUUACUUGAGUAUCCGGGCGAUUGCAGCUUAGGCCAGCAUCCUCGGUCAAGUCCGGACGCAUCUCUUGUGAUCCGAAGAACAGUUUAUACAUCUCCACGGGUGUCGUGCCCAUGAAGUGUUGAAGAGCUCGCGGUCCCUCCGGAUUGAAUUCCCACAGACGGAGGGGGCGACGUUUGCAGGGCAGAAGGCGCCGAAUUAGCAUAACCUGCGUCACUACGACCAGAUUGAUCUCCCUCUCUUGGAGGUCUCGAAUCCGGCCCUGCAAUAUUGGAACGUCUUUGGACGGCCCCCAGUCAAGCCCUUUGUUGACCCAUGACGCCAGCCGUUGUGGAGGGCCCGAGCGAAAGGUGGGCGGCGGCACCUGCCUGCUGCCCCUAGGAGCGGUGAUAUAGAACCACUCCUGUUGCCACAAGCCGAGCUCCUCUUGAAAAGAGCCCUCGGUCCAUGGAGCAUCGGCCCUCAUACUUAUAACUGCCCCUCCGCACUCUGCCUGUCGCCCCUCGAUCAUCUUCGGCUCCAUGUUGAAGGUCUUGAGCCACAAACCGAAGUGAGGGGUAGUGCGGAGUCAGGCUUCGCAGACAACAAUGAACGGUGAGAUGUGGAGGAUGGACUCCGGAGCCAAGUCAUGGAAUUCCAGCCCGUAAUAAAACAUGAGCCCCCUCACGAUGGGAUCCAUCGGGAAGCCUAAACCCCGACGGAUGUGAGACACGAACACGACGCUCUCACCAGGCUCGGGAGUGGGAAUGACUUGCCCUUGGGCGGGCAACCUAUGCGAAAUCUCGUAGGUUAGGUACCUGGCGUCUCUCAGCUUUAGCAUGUCUUCUUCCGUGACGGAGGAGGGCAUCCACCGGCCCUGUAGGUCAGAGCCGGACAUUGUCGAAGGUCUGAAGCGCCUGAAUCUGGAGCCUUGGGUGUUAGAACUCGGGGCAAGGGGCGGAUUCAAUUGAGGAUCGAAGGAAAGGGACAUGCCUUGGUCUCAUUAUAAAGGGGUAGAAUACCAAGAGCCGUCCCCGUGACCGUUUGGAACUCGCCUUCGAUGGAGGGGGCGGGGCAACGGGCGCGGUUGGGUUACCCACGUCCGUAUUGAUGAGAAUCCCGGAAUAAGGGGACACGAUCUCUGCUUCGACAAGACGUGCCAAGGAAACCGCUUCGCUAAACGCGCUGAGGUGGUAUGACAAAAACAAUUCGAGUAAAGGCUUGGCCGUGGUGACGUCACGCCGUGAAAUACGUCAGCAGAUUGAAGUUGUGUGAAUAUUAUUCUCUCUACGGUGGUAUGUGGAAUUUAUUUUUUCAGAGCCGGACACUAUCCUGGUGUUCACAAUCUUCUAUGAAUUAUUCGGAGGAGGAACCCGCCUUGCAAUGCCGAAGACAAUAUGCAUGCCGGACUCGUCGUCAUUGAAGCCUGGUUCAGGGGCUACGAAGGGAGUCCUGGACUAGGGGGUGUCCGGAUAGCUGAACUAUCAUCAUUGGCCAGAGUCCAAAACUAUGAAGAUACAAGAUUGAAGACUUCGUCCCGUGUCCGGAUGGGACUUUCCUUGGCGUGGAAGGCAAGCUUGGCAAUACGGAUAUGUAGAUCUCCUACCAUUGUAACCGACUCUGUGUAACCCUAACCCUCUCCGGUGUCUAUAUAAACCGGAGGGUUUUAGUCCAUAGGACGAACAACAAUCAUACCAUAGGCUAGCUUCUAGGGUUUAGCCUCCUUGAUCUCGUGGUAGAUCCACUCUUGUACUACCCAUAUCAUCAAUAUCAAUCAAGCAGGAGUAGGGUUUUACCUCCAUCGAGAGGGCCCAAACCUAGGUAAAUACAUCGUGUCCCUUGUCUCCUGUUACCAUCCGCCUAGAUGCACAGUUUGGGACCCCCUAUCCGAGAUCCGCCGGUUUUGACACCGACAACAACUUAAUUAUCAUUUGAACAAUCGAGACAACAAGUUACAGAACAAGCAUGUAUUGACAGGAUAGUUAUCAAUAGUAUAGAACAGAACUAAAUAUGCAAACGACAAGUGUACAAAAGCUGUAUAUCCUGAUACAUACAUGCUAACUGAUUUCUGUUUGGCCUUUAAAGCAUUAGUACGCUUGUUACUCUUUUUAGAGAGACAUAUUUCCAACAAUCUAAUCUGAUUUGAAAAAGCAAAGCUAAUAUCAAAACAUCCAAAGCACAUCUAGAAAACACUAUAAGUUUUUUUUGUAAAAAGUUGAGUUACAUGACUUAAAAGAAAAUGCACUGCUAGCUGAUUUUAAUCUCCAACAGCAACGAUUGAAGGCAUCUUUCGAACCCAAGUAAUUCCUGCUAAAAAACUUCAGUCUGCAGUAACAUGGAUUAACUGCCAAACCUAUGUAGAAUCAGAACACAUUCAAAAUUAUAAUAUGUUAUAAAAAGCAAGCUCCCAAAUGAAUACAGAUAGUAAUAUUAGUUGAUUUUCCAAGCAAUCAUCCAUGGACACACCACUACUAUACUAAGGUACCAUGUAAAUGUGGGCAACACACGUGAAAACAAGCAAAACUAGUCCAAAGAAAACUGUGUCAAAUGAAAGUAUAAUCGAGUUAGCCUACAAGUGCAAGUAACAAACACACAUCACAGAACUAAAAGUGGAGCAGUUGGUUCAGCCAUUGGUUCUGGACCGAAGAAACAGUAAGUGCAUGGGGCUAACCAUGCUGGGAGCUGCAGUAAGUGCAUGGGGCUAACCAGGCUGGGAGCUGUCUAUUUUCUGGCCUAGCAAACUAACAUGAGAUUUCUCAAAGAAAGCAAACAAACAUGAUACAGACAAGUACUUAGUUUUUUUUGUGAGAGGAAGUUGUGUGCCUGUACAUGUAUUUAGUUUAUCUGCAUCAAAUGUGAACAAAAGUGAGAGAGACAAGCACUUGGUUGUUUUAGUGAGAGGAAGCUGUGCGUGCCUGUACAAGUACUUGUUUUUUCUGGAUCAAAAUUUUCUAUACAAGCGAUCAACUGAAAAUUAGACACUGUACCACACCAUUCCUUAACAAACAAGAAUGUCAGUAAAGAAGUGAUAGACUAACUUCAAGAUAAUUAACACAAACCGGGCAUAAACGUAGGCUUGUACAGACUAACUUCAAAUCAAAAUAUGUAAUGUUGUGGACUAUAUUAAUGAUCUAGCAUUAGAAACUUGAAGUUGUGUAACACUGACCAUCCUUUGGAUAAUAAUAAAAAGAACAUAUUUUCCAUCUUUGCAUUGGUUAUAACUGAUCUGCACAAAUGGGGAUUAACCAGUAGGUUUCAUGCAAUUAUCUAGAUAUUUCUGAAUGGUAGUAAAUUGCUCUCCCUCACUGAUCGAUAUAGGCAACAAUAACAAGUACACAACACUUGAGGCUUCUUUUAGGCACCUUCCCAUCUCAACCCAACAUAAUGACAUAACUUUAGCAAGUUUUACUCUAAAUAAAGAUAGAAAAGAGGGGUGCAAGCACACACUCGAUGGGCAGCUGAACUUCAGCGAUGCCGGUGGUCCACUGGGUUGAGCUCUCCUCCAUGUUCUUCUUCCUCACCUGCAAGCAAACAAUACAACACAAUGUCAUUGUAGCCCCACAACAAAUCUCACCCUGAGGAUUGAAUCACAGGGCUGUUCUGCCACAAACAAACCUUCAGGUGGUCCGGCACGACAUAGAGCUCAUCCACCUCGUCCUUAUCGUCCUUGUCGUUCACCUCAAUCAUCUUGCCCCUCUUCUUCAACAACUCGUUCUUCUUCAACAACUCGUUCUCCACAUACCUCACAGCAAUGGCUUGAGGUCCGCCUCGAACUUUUCCUUCCGGUUCGCAUUCUCAGUGUCGUAGACCUGGCCAAGACCCCGGAGAAUCAUGAGAAAUCAUGCAAAAUCCUGAGAAUCGGGGGUGGGGGAGAAGGGGAAGAGGAGGGGGGGACCUUGUUCCAGAUGCUGUCGAAGACGUCGACGCCCUCCUCCGGCUUCUUGAGCACGCGGUCGAUCUCGCCCUGCAGCUUCCGACUGGCGCCCAUGGCAUUCGGUGCACACUGCCUUGCCGGACCUGCCCACCUCCAGCUCCGUGCCCACCACCCUGUCGGCGCCGAGGAACUCCCUGGCGAAGGGCUCCACCAUGACCCUAGGGCGGCCUCGGGGAGGAUGGCGCGCUUCAUAACGGGGUCGCGGGUCAGCAUGUCCGCCAGCUCCCGCUGGAUCUGCUUCAGCACCAUCCGCACCCACCGCUCCUUGGCCAUGCAGCGACGUCGACGGCCAUGGCAGCCACCGCGUCGGCGAGCGCCCGCGGUAGCGGCAGGGACACUAGCGGCCGGCACGGGAACAUCCUCGCUAGCUUCGCGAUGGUGGGAGAUUUUGCGUCGCGGUGAGUUUGUCGGCCGUCGCUGUGGGGAGUUUGGAAGGGGAGGGGCGAGAGGAGGAAGGCGUGGGGAACGGCGGUGAGCUCCGCCGGAGGGAGGUGGCGGCGGUGAUGGAUCUGGAAGGGAGGAGGCAAGCUCUCUCUCUCCAUCGGGCGAGGAGACGGGGGAUCUGGAAGGGGAUCGAUAGAGAUGUGGAAAGAAAGGAGGCGGGCUAGGUUUUUGGGCGCUUGGGAGGCACGGGGAUCCGGGCUCCUCGCCGUCGACGACCAUUGUGCGUUGGCGGCGGCGGCGCUAGGGUUUGGCGAGCGGGUGCGGGUGUGGGAGAGUGGGGGCGUGGGGGCUAGGGUUGGAACGGUGGAGAGUGGGGGCUGCGUGGGUGAGGGGGUGAGAGGGUGAGGGGAUGAGGUCCGCCGUCGGAUCCCGCAGCAUCCGACGGUCUCGGAUGCAUGAUCCGCGUGAUAUGUCUAUAGACCAAUCAGAACGCAACAAACAAUUUGAAGACUUUAUGACCUUUUAAAUAGGUCACGAAAAAAUCGUUUUCCAUUUUUUAGUGCUCAAAAUGAGUUCUUUUUUGUAAAAGACCUACCAAAUAUUUGUUCAAAUGAUAUUCUUUAUAUUCUUUAUAUUUGUUCAAAAUGAGUUCUUUAUACUCUGCAAAAGUUUACAUCUUGGAAUAGUAAACAGUAUCGACAAAGGGUUUUUUAUAUUCUUUGCACAAAAAAUCAUUUUCCAUUUUUUGAGUGCCCCAAAUGAGGUUUUUUUGUGAAGGACCUACCAUAUAAUUGUUGCAAAAUUGGACCAAAUCAUUUUUAUAAAAUACUAGGCCAUAUUUAAUUCACAAUUGACCAAAUGGUUGGGUGAAAAAAGUUUUGAUCCACCUCUCGUGAAAAAGACAAAUUUCAACGAUUCAGCUGGAAGCGGGUCAAAUUUGAACUGUAGCUACCUCGUAGUUUGUUUCUUUAUUUUUUCAACAAAUCAUUUCUAGGUACAUAAGUAUCUAUUUAAUCAUAGGAACACCAAAAAAAUUCCAAGAUUCAACCACUAACUAGGAAUGGUCAAGCCCGCCGUUUUGACCGCAUUUUGAAACGGGCAUAAAAAAUUCAAAAAAAAUCAAAAAAUUGGAAAACCUUUGCAUUGUGUCAUUAUAUGUGACCAAGUUUACAAGAAAAAUAAUAAACUUGUAAUACGGUAAUUAUUUUAAAAAAGUGUUCUCAGAAAUGAGCUAUCAUGCUUGAAGAUUCAUGGCUUUCAAGCCAAAUGAUCAAUCUUAUGGCCACAUUCAUGGCAUAGUUUGUUCAAAUGAUCUCAUAUUGUGCACGAGGGUGCAUCUUGGAAUUCGAGACAAUGUUGCCUAAGGAAGUUUUCAUUUUCUUUGCACGAAAAAAUUAUUUUCCAUUUUUCGAGUGCCCCAAAUGAGGUUUUUUGUGAAGGACCUACCAAAUAAUUGUUAUAAAAUCGGACCUAAUCAAUUUUAUAAAAUACUAGGCCAUAUAUAAUGCAUAAUUGACAAAAUGGUUGGGUGAAAAAAAAUUGAUCCACCUCUCGUGAAAAAGACAAAUUGCCGUCGAUUUAGUUGGAAACGGGUCAAAUUUGAACUGUAGCUGCCUCAUAGUUUGCUCUUUAUUUUUUCCAAAAAUCAUUUCUAGGUACAUAAGUAUCUAUUUAAUCAUAGAAACACCAAAAAAAUUCCAAGAUUCAACCACUAGCUAGGAACGGUCAAGCCCGCCGUUUUGACCGCAUUUUGAAACAGGCAUAAAAAAUUCAAAAAAAUCAAAAAAUUGGAAAACCUUUGCAUUGUGUCAUUAUAUGUGACCAAGUUUCCAGGAAAAAUAAUAAACUUGUAAUACGGUAGUUAUUUUAAAAAAGUGUUCUCAGAAAUGAGCUAUCAUGCGUGAAAGAUUCAUGGCUUUGAAGCCAAAUGAUCAAUCUUAUGGCCACAUUCAUGUCAUAGUUUGUUCAAAUGAUCUCAUAUUGUGCACGAGGGUGCAUCUUGGAAUUCCAAACAAUGUUGCCUAAGGAAGUUUUCAUUUUCUUUGCACGGAAAAUUCAUUUUUCGUUUUCCGAGUGCCCAAAAGGAGGGUUUUUUGUGAAGGAACUACCAAAUAAUUGUUGCAAAAUUGGACCUAAUCAAUUUUAUAAAAUACUAGGCCACAUAUAAUGCACAAUUGACAAAAUGGUUGGGUGUCAAAUUUUUUGAUCCACCUCUGGUGAAAAAGACAAAUUGCCGUCAAUUCAGCUGGAAGCGGGUCAAAUUUAAACUGCAGCUGCCUCAUAGUUUGCUCUUUAUUUUUUCCAAAAAUCAUUUCUAGGUAAAUAAGUAUCUAUUUAAUCAGAAAUACAUGGUUUGAUGGCGAGACAUCGAGGUUUGGACGGUGGCCGAGGGCCCAAACUCUAGAGCGCGUAAGCUCGCAUGCCCGCCGCGUGGUCACUGCGUGACCAUGGUGUUGCCAUGUGUUCUGGGCGGCCUAGGCAUGUCUAGUGGGUUGGGCACUCCCCAGGUAGGUGCUAGGAAGAAAAUCACAACAUAAGAUUCUCACAAGGAGACCGAUCGAUGCUCAAACAUGAAUAAGCAGCCAAGUGUUUGAUUUGCGGCACGGGAAAUGCACAUGGCUAAUGGGUGUGAGUUUUGGCUGAGGAUGAUCAGUUACUAAGAAGACCGUCUUCACAAAUUUUCACCUCAAAAGGAGGAGCCUAGGUGGUACUUGCUUUACAAAGUACCACACUGGACAUAAAUACGAAUGUUGAAGCUGGGCUCAAAAUAAUGAAUGGAUUGAGCUAGCAUUUGGUGGAGGAUGGUUAUUUGGGCAUAGGAAAGCACUGUAGAAAAUGGAUACCAUUUGGACAUGCCAAAGUGAUACUUCCUUCACAAAGUGCUGCUCUGAUCAGAAUAGGAAAAUGAAUAUUUUUGAAUUAUUUUUGAACUAGGCAAGGAAGGUUUUUAUAUAUUUGACGAAGAUAUGACCCAAAGAAUUUAUGAGAUUUUUUUGGGAAUUUUGGGAAUAACAGAAAUAUAGGGUGCUUCACAACCUAGGGCAAAAACUGCCACAUGGACAUGACACAUAGGCAAAACUGAUGAGAUGGCGCCUAGUCAUCACAACCCACCACAAUCUACAAGGCUAUGACCAUCUAUAUUGGUCAUUAACAACUAGAAAUAAGGCAGCGGACUAGCACUGUUUGCUUUGUGACCUUUUCGUGUAAGGAAAUUACGACCUUUCUGACCAAAAUGAUCGCAAUGGUUUAGGGUUUGGAGCCCCUCGAACAGCUUUUGACCAAUUGGUCUGAAAUGGCCAUAUCAAUGACCAAUUCUUCCAGGGUCACUGACAAAAGGUCACUAGUUGACAUAUUUCUUGUAGUGCUUUGGCAACCCAGUUAUCACUGUUUGCCGGUUUAAGAUGGUCUAUCGGUUUAAGAUGGUCUGCCGGUUUAAGAUGGUCUGCCGGUUUAUGACUUCCUGCUAGUUUAUGACUUCCUACCGGUUUACCGUCUGUCUUAGCCAUCUGUCUUAACUGUCCGCCGGUUUACCAAGUCCCAGCCGGUUUACAACUCCAGCCGGGUCAUACCGCGGGGUAUAUCCCCGACAUUAGCCCCCAGUUUAAUUUGGAUUUAUCCAUGUUAAACUGAUCCUGAGCAUCUUUAAAUCCUUGUCAUUUCCUUCUAGAAAAUCCGGGUCAAUAGGCCAGCUUCAUAAUCAAUUUGCUGACAUUGGUUUGUCACAGAGAAAUAUUGUGAAGAAUAGCUUCUUUGACUCAGCUCCCAAUGCUUAACAAAAAUAUUGGUCUUUGAAAUACUCAUCUGAUCUUCAGCCGGUUUAAGAAUGUAGAACUUGCCGGUUUAAGAAUGUAGAACUUUGCCGGUUUACAAAUAUUGAUGGCACCGGAUCAUAACUGUUUGUUAACAUCAGCUUUUGAAAAUAUACCUCUUAUAUGCCUAUCACUUGUAGCCCUCAAAUCUUAAGAAGGUAACGUAGUAACAACUUAAGAUUUGCUUCAAUAUGAAUGUCACAAGCUUGAAGAAAUCCAGUUUGUUCAUCUCAAUCACUAGUCAGAACUGAGUAUUCCACAUAUGUAGCCCCCAAGUGUCGGGUUGUCAUGCUUGCAGCAACCUAGGACUUGUAAUUUCCUAAUGCUCAUAAAAACUUCAACUAGUGUAGCCCCCAAGGGCCUGGUCAUUAUGUAAAUAAUGAGCAGGGACUAUGAAAAUAUGAUCAUGUAGACUUUAACAGCAACGUGUAGCCCCCAAGGACCGACUCAAUAAGAUAAUAUUGAGCUGGGACUUUAUAUAUACUUCAAUGAAAAUAACAUCAUAUGAUGUAACCCCCAUAAUGGGGCUUGAAUCCACGUCCACAAGGUUAAGAGCCUUGUGCUUUACCAACUGAGCAGUGGACCCUUCAAUAUAAUGGAUAAAAAGCUUUGUACCUUGAAUAGUUGACAGGAGCAAUUGAUAGCCCCCAAGGGCCGGCUCAUUAUAAUGUGAUGAGUCGGGUCUUCAAUGAAGUGAGCAAAAAUGACUUUGCAUUAUCCCCCAAGUGUCAUGGUGCAUGCUUGCAACGACAUGAGACUUGCAUAUUUGAUAUAAUCUCAACUUAAAUAAUAUAUCCCUCAAGUGCCCGGUCGUAAGCCUGCAGCGACUCGGGACUACUUCCUCCAUGGUAGAAUAAAUCAUAUCCAUUGAUAAAAUAAUAACCAUUGCGCUAAAAGCGACUUUGAAAACCUCAAUCAUAAUACUGGUUAUUGAUAACCAUAAUAAAAAUCUAGCCAUGUUGGCUAUUAAAGAUUUGAAUAAUAUACCCAAUGAUUAUAAGCGCAUGAUUCCAAUGGCGCAAUCCAAAUAUAUAUACUGGCAACUUAUAGUCCAAAGCCAGGCCAGGUUAAUAAACGCCGGUGAUUUAUAAUUAUGCUUUAUUCAACUUGUUUCUGCAUACAACAAGUUUGAAGUGUCGUGGCGGUUUAUCGCCGGACGGAUCAUAAUGCCCAACAUAUAACCCGGUUUUAUAACCAAGGCUGCAAGGAUAAUAAAAUAUGAAACAUAUCAUACCUGUGAUAUUGAAUCACAUCGUUAGUUUACCAACUUUCUUGUAGUAAGGGUGAUAACCCAAAUCUGGAGUACUGAUAACUCCCACCAUGCUUUGCUGGUAAUUCCCACCAUGCUUUGCUGGUUUAGAAUGAAGCCAUGCCGGGUUAUAAUAAACACCGGAUGAUCAUCCUGGCGACUUAUAGUCAAAGCCAGGCCGGGUUAACAAACACCGGUUUAUAGUUGGUUGUGUACUAACAACUUAUAGUUGAAAGUCAAGCCGUGUUAACAAACACUAGAUUAUAUUGAUGACUUAUAGUCAGGCCAGGUCAAUAGACGCCGGUUUAUCAUAAAACCUUAUCGAAGGAGAAAAGACUUUGACAAAUAAAAGUAAAUGAAAACUUGUAGUCGAGGCUUUUCAGAGGCUGCCAGGCACAAAUUCGAGGCUUUCCAUGGGCUGCCAGGCCACUGAGUUAAACCAUUUUACAAAGCCUUUUAAGAUGGGCCUCCAAUUAACCAAUCGAUCUUUUAACUUUGACAAGUUCAGGGUCUGUAUAAGAUUGACUUGUCAAACGUUCGGCGGGUCAUACCAGGAUUACUUGGAUAGGAGUGGCUUACUUGAUGAAGGUAGGUUAACCCAGGGUUUUAGGUGAAUACACCAGGCUUCCAAGCCGUGGCUUGAUAGCCAAUUACAAGGGUCCUUUCAAACUCUUUGUUGCUUUGCACAAAGAGCCCCCAAGUAACUUUUGUGAGCUGUGCUCAAUGGGUGUCUAUGUUUGAGUUGGUGCUUUUUGCAACACUCUCUUUGACCCCUAAUUGAUUUCCCUGGUGGCCUUACGCCGAUCAAGAGGUGUAGCUAUGGUUCGAAUAUGACCAAGCCCCCAAGUGAUCAAUAAUAUGAUAAGCCAAUAAGGCAGGAUACCCAUGUUUCAACCACGCAUCAUGGCAACAGAUCCUCUUCGGCAACCUUUAACUUUUUGCAAGAGAUAAAUUCUUCUUGAACCGGGAUUUUUGAACCGGAUAUUGAGAGCUUCAAAGCUUUAUGGGAGACAUCUUUCCCUUGAACCGGAUUUUAAACCGGAAUUUUCAUUUUUAGCCGGAAAUUUUCUGACGGCCUUUAAACUCGAACUUGCGAGAAGUUAAUUCCUUUUUGAACUGGAAAUUCUUAAACCGGAUUUGAGAGCUUCAGAGCUUUGUGGGAGAUAGAUUUCCCUUGAACCGGAUUGUAAAACGGAUAUUUGAGAGCUUUAGUGAGACUGACUUCCUUUGAACCAGAAUCCUCUGAGCCAGAAAUUUGAGAACUUCUUCACCGAGCCAGGAUUUUGUCAUAUACUUUUUUGAGCCAGAAAUUCUCUGACGGCCUUUAAAUUUUCAUCAAUAUAGCAGUAGCCUCCGGGACCGGGUUAUCUUUCCCUCUAUCGUCCUAGAGUUCUUACAUUCGCUUAAACUGGCAAGAUUUGCUGAGUCAUGUCAUCAUAGCCCCCGAGUCUUAAGACGACUCAAGGUGUUGUUUUGAGAUUCUCCGUAUUUAACCAUAGCAGAAGGUGUAUAUCAUUGGUGUUGAUAACACGAUGUAAAUCCACAGAAGGUUGAGGUGACUGCGGCGGGUUAUAAAUGAUCCGUAUGAGCCGUGUCAGCAACUCGGCCAAUGGUUCCUUCCAACUGGCUGUUUGAAGUUAACUGAACUAUAGUGGCAGCGAUUUGUGCGCAUGUCCAUUGAACCAUCCAGCGCAGACAGCGGCUGAUGAUAACUUGCCUCCAAUUUGCUGGAAGAAAACCGGGCUACCCAAGCAGUGACUAGCUUUUUAUUCAAUAAAAUAGCUCAUGCAAGCAGAUGCAACCCGAUGUGUUGAUGUAGACCAGGCCUCGGGAGCGGCGAUUUGCGCAUGCCCAUUGACAACGAACAGACGCGAUCCCAACAAGCUGAUGUGGACCGGACCACAAGGGCAACAGCUUGUGCACAUCCAUUCAUCAUAUGAUACGUCCCAGAUUAUCCCCAGGCGGAAUAUUAUCAAUCCGUGCUCCAUAUCCGUGGUAUAAACCACAUUUGUAGUGAAUAAUGGUCCUGUACAUAAACAUAUACAAAUCAAAGUAAUUUGUCCUUUUGAUAGUAAUAAUAUGUGUUAAUAAAACAAAUUUGAGAUGGAUAGCACCUGAUAUUUGCAGGUGGCAAACAACUUUCGAUGAUGAAUGAUCCAUUCACCACAACCGAGGUGGCGGCUUAAAGCACUGUACCGGUCGACUCAGACGGACCCUCCGGGUCAUGUUUGACCCCCCUUUUUUUAACCGAGAUAGCUGCACGUGCACCCUGUCAGCCAGCUCUCCAGCUCGGCGUGCUCAGACUUGGGUGACUCGGCACGCUGUGGCUCACCCACGAGAAGCAACAAAAAAGGCUCGAGGCGCUCGGUGAUUUGGUGGAGAUGGGGGUGAUCCGGAGGUAACAGUGUUGGGGAACGUAGCAGAAAUUCAAAAUUUUCGUACGUGUCACGAAGAUCUAUCUAUGGAGAAACCAGCAACAAGGGGAAGGAGAGUGCAUCUACAUACCCUUGUAGAUCGUUAAGCGGAAGCAUUCAAGAGAACGGGGUUGAAGGAGUCGUACUCGUCGUGAUCCAAAUCACCGGAGAUCCUAGUGCCGAACGAACGACACCUCCGCGUUCAACACACGUACAGCCCGGUGACGUCUCCCAUGCCUUGAUCCAGCAAGGAGAGAGGGAGAGGUUGAGGAAGACUCCAUCCAGCAGUAGCACAACGGUGUGGUGGUGGUGGAGGAGCGUGGUGAUCCAGCAGGGCUUCGCCAAGCACCGCGAGAUAUGAGGAGAAAGAGAGGUAGGGCUGCGCCAACAGGAGAAGAACUUCGUGUGUUGGGCUGCUCCUAUGCCUCCACUAUAUAUAGGGGGAGAGGGGGCUGCGCCCCACCUAGGUUUCCACCCCCUAGGGGCGGCGGCCAUCCCUAGAUCCCAUCUAGGGGGGCAGCCAAGGGGGGAAGAGGGGGAAGCUUGCCCCCCAAGCAAGGUGGGGCGCCCCCUCCCCAAACCNNNNNNNNNNNNNNNNNNNNNNNNNNNNNNNNNNNNNNNNNNNNNNNNNNNNNNNNNNNNNNNNNNNNNNNNNNNNNNNNNNNNNNNNNNNNNNNNNNNNNNNNNNNNNNNNNNNNNNNNNNNNNNNNNNNNNNNNNNNNNNNNNNNNNNNNNNNNNNNNNNNNNNNNNNNNNNNNNNNNNNNNNNNNNNNNNNNNNNNNNNNNNNNNNNNNNNNNNNNNNNNNNNNNNNNNNNNNNNNNNNNNNNNNNNNNNNNNNNNNNNNNNAGGGGCUGGUCCCCUCCCAAACUUGGCCCAUGCUGCCCUCCGGGGAUGGUAGCCCCACUUGGUGGACCCCCGGGACCCUCCCGGUGGUCCUGGUAUGUUACCGAUAAAACCCGAAACUUUUUCGGUGACCAAAACAGGACUUCCCAUAUAUAAAUCUUUACCUCCGGACCAUUCCGGAACUCCUUGUGACGUCCGGGAUCUCAUCCGGGACUCCUAACAACAUUCGGUAACCACAUACGAACUUCCUUUAUAACCCUAGCGUCAUCGAACCUUAAGUGUGUAGACCCUACGGGUUCGGGAGACAUGUAGACAUGACCGAGACGUUCUCCGGUCAAUAACCAACAGCGGGAUCUGGAUACCCAUGUUGGCUCCCACAUGUUCCACGAUGAUCUCAUCGGAUGAACCACGAUGUCAAGGACUCAAUCAAUCCCGUAUACAAUUCCCUUUGUCUAACGGUAUAGUACUUGCCCGAGAUUCGAUUGUCGGUAUGCCGAUACCUUGUUCAAUGUCGUUACCGGCAAGUCUCUUUACUCGUUCCGUAACACAUCAUCCCGCGAUCAACUAUUUGAUCACAUUGUGCACAUUGUGAUGAUGUCCUACCGAGUGGGCCCAGAGAUACCUCUCCAUCACACGGAGUGACAAAUCCCAGUCUCGAUUCGUGCCAACCCAAUAGACACUUUCGGAGAUACCUGUAGUGCACCUUUAUAGCCACCCAGUUACGUUGUGACAUUUGGUACACCCAAAGCAUUCCUACGGUAUCCGGGAGUUGCACAAUCUCAUGGUCUAAGGAAAUGAUACUUGACAUUAGAAAAGCUUUAGCAUACGAACUACGAUCUCUGUGCUAGGCUUAGGAUUGGGUCUUGUCCAUCACAUCAUUCUCCUAAUGAUGUGAUCCUGUUAUCAACGACAUCCAAUGUCCAUGGUCAGGAAACCGUAACCAUCUAUUGAUCAACGAGCUAGUCAACUAGAGGCCUACUAGGGACAUGGUGUUGUCUAUGUACCCACACAUGUAUUUGAUUUUCCUAUCAAUACAAUUAUAGCAUGGAUAAUAAAUGAUUAUCAUGAACAAGGAAAUAUAAUAAUAAUUAAUUUAUUAUUGACUCUAGGGCAUAUUUCCAACAGUCUCCCACUUGCGCUAGAGUCAAUAAUCUAGUUCACAUCGCCAUGUGAUUAACACUCACACGUCACAUCGCCAUGUGACCAACAUCCAAAGAGUUUGCUAGUGUCAUUAAACUAGUUCACAUCAUCAUGUGAUUAAGACUCAAUGAGUUCUGGAGUUUAAUCAUGUUUUGCUUGUGAGAGAAGUUUUAGUGAACGGGUCUGCAACAUUCAGAUCCGAUGUACUUCGCAAAUCUCUAGGUCAUAAUGUAAAUGCUGCUUCCACGCUCCACUUGGAGCUAUUCCAAAUGGUUGUUCCACUAUACGUAUCCGGCUUCUCUACUCAGAGCUAUCCGGAUAGGUGUUAAGCUUGCAUCAACGCAAAUCUUUACGUCAAACUCUUUAUCACCUCCAUAAUCGAGAAACAUAUCCUUAUUCCUCUAAGGAUAAUUUUGACCGCUAUCUGGUGAUCCACUCCUUGAUCACCUUUGUACCCUCUUGCCAGAUAUGUAGCAAAGCACACAUCAGGUGCGGUACAUAGCAUAGCAUACUGUAGAGACUACAUCUAAAGCAUAGGGGACGACCUUUGUCCUUUCUCUCUUUUCUGCCGUUGUCGAGCUUUAAGUCUUAACUUCAUACCUUACAUCUCAGGCAAGAACUCCUUCUUGGACUGAUCCAUCUUGAACACCUUCAAGAUCAUGUCAAGGUAUAUGCUCAUUUGAAAGUACCAUUUAGCGUUUUUGAUCUAUCCUCAUAGAUCUUGAUGCUCAAUGUUCAAGCAGCUUAUUCCAGGUUUUCUAUUGAAAAACACCUUUCAAAUAACCCUAUAUGCUUUCCAGAAAUUCUACAUCAUUUCUGAUCAACAAUAUGUCAACAACAUAUACUCAUCAGAAAUUCUAUAGUGCUCCCACUCACUUCUUUGGAAAUACAAGUUUCUCAUAAACUUUGUAUAAAUCCAAAAUCUUUGAUGAUCUCAUCAAAGCGUACAUUCCAACUCCGAGAUGCUUGCUCCAGUCCUUAGAAGGAUCGCUGGAGCUAGCAUACCUUUUAGGAUCCUUAGGAUCGACAAAACCUUUCUGAUUGUAUCACAUACAACCUUUCCUUACAAAAACUGGUAAGGAAACUCGUUUUGACAUCCAUCUGCCAGAUUUUAUAAAUGCAGCUAAUGCUAACAUGAUUCCGACGGACUUAAGCAUCGCUACGGAUGAGAAAAUCUCAUCGUAGUCAACUCCUUGAACUUGUGAAAAACUCUUCGCCACAAGUCGAGCUUCAUAGACGGUGACAUUACCGUCCACGUCCAUCUUCUUCUUAAAGAUCCAUUUAUCUCAAUGGCUUGCCGAUCAUCGGGCAAGUCCACCAAAGUCCAUGCUUUGUUCUGAUACAUGGAUCCUAUCUCGGAUUUCAUGGCUUCUAACCAUUUGUCGGAAUAUGGGCCCACCAUCGCUUCUCCAUAGCUCGUAGGUUCAUUGUUGUCUAGCAACAUGACCUUCAAGACAGGAUUACUGUACCACUCUGAAGUAGUACACAUACUUGUCACCCUACGAGGUACGGUAGUGACUUGAUCCAAAACUUCAUGAUCACUAUCAUAAGCUUCUACUUCAAUUGGUGUAGGUGCUACAGGAACAACUUCCUGUGCCCUACCACACACUAGUUGAAGUGAUGGUUCAAUAACCUCAUCAAGUCUCCACCAUCCUCCCACUCAAUUUUCGAGACAAACUUUUUUCCUCGAGAAAGGACCCGAUUUAAGAAACAAUCCCUAUUGCUUUCGGAUCUGAAUAGGAGGUAUACCCAACUGUUUUGGGUGUCCUAUGAAGAUGCAUUUUAUCCGCUUUGGGCUCGAGCUUAUCAACCUGAAACUUUUUCACAUAAGCGUCGCAGCCCCAGACUUUUAAGAAACGACAGCUUAGGUUUCUCCAAACCAUAGUUCAUACAGUGUCAUCUCAACGGAAUUCCGUGGUGCCCUAUUAAAGUGAGUGCGGUUGUCUCUAAUGCCUAACCCAUGAACGAUAGUGGUAAUUCGAUAAGAGACAUCAUGGUACGCACCAUAUCCAAUAGGGUGCAACUAUGAUGUUCAGACACACCAUCAAACUAUGGUGUUCCAGGCGGUAUUAAUUGUGAAACAAUUUCCACCAUGUCUUAAUUGUGUGUCAAAGCUCGUAACUCAGAUACUCAUCUCUAUGAUCAUAUCAUAGACAUUUUAUCCUCUUGUCAUGAUGAUCUUCAACUUCACUUUGAAAUUACUUGAACCAUUCAAUAAUUCAGACUUUUGUUUCAUCAAGUAAAUAUACUCACCAUCUACUCGAAUCAUCUGUGAAGUAAGAACAUAACGGUAUUCACUGCAUGCCUCAGCACUCAUUGGACUGCACACAUCAAAAUGUGUUACUUCCAACAAGUUGCUAUGUUGUUCCAUCUUACCGAAACCGAGGCUUUUCAGUCAUCUUGCCCAUGUGGUAUGAUUUGCAUAUCUCAAGUGAUUCAAAAUCAAGUGAGUCCAAACGAUCCAUCUGCAUGGAGUUUCUUCAUGCGUAUACACCAAUAGACAUGGUUCGCAUGUCUCAAACUUUUCAAAAACGAGUGAGUCCAAAGAUCCAUCAAUAUGGCGCUUCUUCAUGCGUUUUAUACCAAUAUGACUUACAUGGCAGUGCCACAAGUAAGUGGUACUAUCAUUACUAUCUUAUAUCUUUUGGCAUGAAAAUGUGUAUCACUAUGAUCGUGAUUCAAUAAACCAUUCCUUUAGGUGCAAGACCAUUGAAGGUAUUAUUCAAAUAAAUAGAGUAACCAUUAUUCUCCUUAAAUGAAUAACCGUAUUGAGAUAGACAUAAUCCAAUCAUGUCUAUGCUCAACGCAAACACCAAAUGACAAUUAUUCAGGUUUAAUACUAAUCUUGAUGGUAGAGGGAGCGUGCGCUGUUUGAUCACAUCAAACUUGGAAACACUUCCAACACAUAUCGUCAGCUCACCUUUAGCUAGUCUCCGUUUAUUCCGUGGCUUUUAUUUCGAGUUACUAACACUUAGCAACCGAACCGGUAUCUAAUACCCUGGUGCUACUAGGAGUACUAGUAAAGUACACAUUAACAUAAUGUAUAUCCAAUAUACUUCUAUCGACCUUGCCAGCCUUCUCAUCUACCAAGUAUCUAGGGUAAUUCUGCUCCAGUGGUUGUUCCCCUUAUUACAGAAGCACUUAGUCUCGGGUUUGGGUUCAACCUUGGGUUUCUUCACUAGAGCCGCAGCUGAUUUGCCGUUUCAUGAAGUAUCCCUUCUUGCCCUUGCCCUUGCCCUUCUUGAAACUAGUGGUUUCACCAACCAUCAACAAUUGAUGCUCCUUCUUGAUUUCUACUUUCGCGGUGUCAAACAUCGCGAAUACCUCAAGGUUCAUCAUAUCUAUCCUUGAUAUGUUAUAGUUCAUCACGAAGCUCUAGCAGCUUGGUGGCAAUGACUUUGGAUAAACAUCACUAUCUCUGGAAGAUCAACUCCCACUCGAUUCAAGUGAUUGUCGCACUCAGACAAUCUGAGCACAAGCUCAAUGAUUGAGCUUUUUCUCCCUUAGUUUGCAGGCUAAGAAAAUCGUCGGAGGUCUCAUACCACUUGAUGUGGGCACGAGCCUGAAAUCCCAAUUUCAGCCCUUGAAACAUCUCAUAUGUUCCGCGACGUUUCGAAAACGUCUUUGGUGCCUCAACUCUAAAGCGUUUAACUGAACUAUCACGUAGUUAUCAAAAAGUGUAUGUCCGAUGUUCGCAACAUCCACAGACGACGUUUGGGGUUUAGCACACUGAGCGGUGCAUUAAGGACAUAAGCUUUCUAUUGUCUGCAUAAUCGCUACUGUCAACUUUCAACUAUAUUUUCUCUAGGAACAUAUCUAAACAGUGGAACUAAAGCGCGAGCUUACGACAUAAUUUGCAAAGAUCUUUUGACUAUGUUCAGGAUAAUUAAGUUCAUCUUAUGAACUCCCACUCAGAUAGACAUCCCUCUAGUCAUCUAAGUGAUUACAUGAUCCGAGUCAACUAGGCCGUGUCCGGUCAUCACGUGAGACGGACUAGUCAUCAUCGGUGAACAUCUUCAUGUUGAUCGUAUCUACUAUACGACUCAUGCUCGACCUUUCGGUCUCUUGUGUUCCGAGGCCAUGUCUGUACAUGCUAGGCUCGUCAAGUCAACCUAAGUGUUUUGCGUGUGUAAAUCUGGCUUACACCCGUUGUAUGUGAACGUAAGAAUCUAUCACACCCGAUCAUCACGUGGUGCUUCGAAACAAUGAACUUUCGCAACGGUGCACAGUUAGGGGGAACACUUUCUUGAAAUUUUAAUGAGGGAUCAUCUUAUUUACUACCGUCGUUCUAAGCAAAUAAGAUGCAUAAACAUGAUAAACAUCACAUGCAAUCAAAUAGUGACAUGAUAUGGCCAAUAUCAUUUUGCUCCUUUUGAUCUCCAUCUUCGGGGCUCCAUGAUCAUCAUCGUCACCGGCAUGACACCAUGAUCUCCAUCAUCAUGAUCUCCAUCAUCGUGUCUUCAUGAAGUUGUCUCGCCAACUAUUACUUAUACUACUAUGGCUACCGGUUAGCAAUAAAGUAAAGUAAUUACAUGGCGUUGUUUAAUGACAGGCAGGUCAUACAAUAAAUUAAGACAACUCCUAUGGCUCCUGCCGGUUGUCAUACUCAUCGACAUGCAAGUCGUGAUUCCUAUUACAAGAACAUGAUCAAUCUCAUACAUCACAUAUUAUUCAUCACAUUCUUCUUGGCCAUAUCACAUCACAUAGCAUACCCUGCAAAAACAAGUUAGACACCCUCUAAUUGUUGUUUGCAUGUUUUACAUGGCUGCUAUGGGUUUCUAGCAAGAACGUUUCUUACCUACGCAAAAACCACAACGUGAUAUGUCAAUUGCUAUUUAUCCUUCAUAAGGACCCUUUUCAUCGAAUCCGUUCCGACUAAAGUGGGAGAGACUGGCACCCGCUAGCCACCUUAUGCACCAAGUGCAUGUCAAUUGGUGGAACCUGUCUCACGUAAGUGUACGCGUAAGGUCGAUCCGGGCCGCUUCAUCCCACAAUACCGUCGAAACAAGAUUGGACUAGUAACGGUAAGCAUAUUGAACAAAAUCAAUGCCCACAACUACUUUGUGUUCUACUCAUGCAAAGAAUCUAUGCAAUAGACCUAGCUCUGAUACCACUAUUGGGGAACGUAGCAGAAAUUCGAAAUUUUCCUACGUGUCACCAAGAUCUAUCUAUGGAGAAACCGGCAACAAGGGGAAGGAGAGUGCAUCUACAUACCCUUGUAGAUCGCUAAGCGGAAGCGUUCAAGAGAACGGGGUUUAAGGAGUCGUACUCGUCGUGAUCCAAAUCACCGGAGAUCCUAGUGCCGAACGGACGGCACCUCCGCGUUCAACACACGUACAGCCCGGUGACGUCUCCCAUGCCUUGAUCCAGCAAGGAGAGAGGGAGAGGUUGAGGAAGACUCCAUCCAGCAGCAGCACAACGGCGUGGUGGUGGUGGAGGAGCGUGGUGAUCUAGCAGGGCUUCGCCAAGCACCGCGAGAUAUGAGGAGAAAGAGAGGUAGGGCUGCGCCAACAGGAGAAGAACUUCAUGUGUUGGGCUGCUCCUAUGCCUCCACUAUAUAUAGGGGGAGAGGGGGCUGCGCCCCCACCUAGGUUUCCACCCCCUAGGGGCGGCGGCCAGCCCUAGAUCCCAUCUAGGGGGCGGCCAAGUGGGGAAGAGGGGGAAACUUGCCCCCCAAGCAAGGUGGGGCGCCCCCUCCCCAAACCCUAGGCGCCUUGGGCCCUUGUGGGGGGGGGGGGGGGCACCAGCCCACCAGGGGCUGGUCCCCUCCCACACUUGGCCCAUGCUGCCCUCCGGGGAUGGUGGCCCCCACUUGGUGGACCCCCGGGACCUUCCCGGUGGUCCCGGUAUGUUACCGAUAAAACCCGAAACUUUUCCGGUGACCAAAACAGGACUUCCCAUAUAUAAAUCUUUACCUCCAUACCAUUCCUGAACUCCUCGUGACAUCCGGGAUCUCAUCCGGGACUCCGAACAACAUUCGGUAACCACAUACAAACUUCCUUUAUAACCCUAGCGUCAUCGAACCUUAAGUGUGUAGACCCUACGGGUUCGGGAGACAUGUAGACAUGACCGAGACGUUCUCCGGUCAAUAACCAACAGCGGGAUCUGGAUACCCACGUUGGCUCCCACAUGUUCCACGAUGAUCUCAUCGGAUGAACCACGAUGUCAAGGAUUCAAUCAAUCCCGUAUACAAUUCCCUUUGUCUAACGGUAUAGUACUUGCCCUAGAUUCGAUCAUCGGUAUGCCGAUACCUUGUACAAUGUCGUUACCGGCAAGUCUCUUUACUCGUUCCGUAACACAUCAUCCCACGAUCAACUAUUUGAUCACAUUGUGCACAUUGUGAUGAUGUCCUACCGAGUGGGCCCAGAGAUACCUCUCCGUCACACGGAGUGACAAAUCCCAGUCUCGAUUCGUGCCAACCCAACAGACACUUUCGGAGAUACCUGUAGUGCACCUUUAUAGCCAUCCAGUUACGUUGUGACGUUUGGUACACCCAAAGCAUUCCUACGGUAUCCGGGAGUUGCACAAUCUCAUGGUCUAAGGAAAUGAUACUUGACAUUAGAAAAGCUUUAGCAUACGAACUACGAUCUUUGUGCUAGGCUUAGGAUUGGGUCUUGUCCAUCACAUCAUUCUCCUAAUGAUGUGAUCCCGUUAUCAACGACAUCCAAUGUCCAUGGUCAGGAAACCGUAACCAUCUAUUGAUCAACGAGCUAGUCAACUAGAGGCCUACUAGGGACAUGGUGUUGUCUAUGUACCCACACAUGUAUCUGAGUUUCCUAUCAAUACAAUUAUAGCAUGGAUAAUAAACGAUUAUCAUGAACAAGGAAAUAUAAUAAUAACUAAUUUAUUAUUGCCUCUAGGGCAUAUUUCCAACAAACAGGGCCGGCUCAACCCGGUGGCCAAGCAGAACGCACAGAUCUUUCAUCGUACCGCUAGUGAGGUGAUGCGGAGGUGGUGGUGAUGCAGAUGAAGCCCAAGGCGGGUCACUUGGCGACUCGAACGGCCGCAUCGGCGGUGAGGCCGGGUCGACUUGAUCCAGCGGCGGUUCAACACCGGGACUGCGGUUCCAUGGAGGCGGAGGCGACUCAGGUGUGGGAGACCCGACAUGGCACUAUGGUGAGGCGGAGGCGGGGUGAUCCGGCGACUUGGCGCAGCAAUAGCACUGCAGGAAUGGCGGCUCGGCAGCGGCCGGCAGGUUGGAAUCUUGGAGACGCAGCAGUGCUUUCAGAAUCAAGGGAGCGUGGGUUAACACGGCGCCUUGGCAAAGCAGAGGCAAGGCCAGCGAAGAUGCAGCUAACGGGCAGUAGCAGAGGCAAACCGAGGCGGCCGGCGGUUUGUGGCUUGUGAUGGCGAUCUAUGCCAGAAACAAGACGGAGGCAGCCCAAGGGCUCGGGCACGGCUAGUGAAUCGACACGCCAGGAUGGCAGCAGAUCAUAGCAGUGGUGAAACGGCGCACGGGGUGUAGCAGCGCGAGGCGCGUUGGCUCAGAGGCCAGGGUGCAGGUCAACCGCGGCAAAGGACCGGCUCCAGCCGUAGACCAAAGGCACUGUCUAGCCAUCAUCAAAUCCUCCAAGUCGUACCACUGUCGCUCUUUGAUUUGUUCCUCCUAGUACAUCGAAACUGACCGAGACAACCAUGGCGGCGAGUUGGUGGUGAAGGUGAUUCAGCGGCGGCAGGUUGGAGAGGUGCCGGUACAGCGGGCCCGCGGCCGUGCGGCAGUCAGAGGCAAGCCUGGCAACUACGGCUUAGCAACAAAGACGGAGGCAGACACCAACUUCCGAUGCGAUGGCAGCAGGGCGAGUCAAAUCCCACGGCAAGGCGGGUUGAUACGUCUCCAACGUAUCUAUAAUUUUUGAUUGCUCCAUGCUACUUUAUCUACUGUUUUAGGCAAUAUUGGGCUUUAUUAUCCACUUUUAUAUUAUUUUUGGGACUAACCUAUUAACCAGAGGCCCAGCCCAGAUUUGUUGUUUUGUGCUUAUUUCAGUGUUUCGAGGAAAAGGAAUAUCAGACGGAGUCAAAACAGAACGAAAUCAACUCGAGAAGUUAUUUUUGGAAGGAAAGCAACACAGGGAACUGGAGUGCACGUCAGGGGAGAUACGGGCUGCCCACGAGGGUGGGAGGCGCGCCCACCCGCCACCCCCCCGGGCGCGCCCCCCUACCUCGUGGGACCCCCUAGCUCCUCCGACGUACCCCUGCACCCAUAUAUACUCUCGUACCCUAAAACUUCUAGAACAGAAGAUAGAUCGGGAGUUCCACCGCCGCAAGCCUCUGUAGCCACUAAAAACCUCUUGGGAGCCCGUUUCGGCACCCUGCCGGAGGGGGAUCCCAUCACCGGUGGCCAUCUUCAUCAUCCCGUCGCUAUCCAUGACGAGGAUGGAGUAGUUCACCCUCGGGGCUGAGGGUAUGUACCAUCAGCUAUGUGUUUGAUCUCUCUCUCUCUCUCUCUCUCUCUCUCUCUCUCUCUCUCUCUCUCGUGUUCUCUCUCAUGUUCCCUCUAUGGCACGAUCUUGAUGUAUCCCGAGCUUUGCUAUUGUAGUUGGAUCUUAUGAUGUUUCUCCCCCUCUACUCUCCUGUGAUGAAUUGAGUUUCCCCUUUGAAGUUAUCUUAUCGGAUUGAGUCUUUUAUGAGAACACUUGAUGUAUAUCUUGCCGUGAUUAUCUGUGGUGACAAUGGGAUAUCAUGUGCCACUUGAUGUAUGUUUUGGUGAUCAACUUGCGGGUUUUGUGACAUUGGGAACCUAUGUAUAGGGGUUGGCACACGUUCUUGACUCUCCGAUAGAAACUUCGGGGCACUCUUUGAAGUACUUUGUGUUGGUUCGAUGAAUCUGAGAUUGUGUGAUGCGUAUCGUAUAAUCAUGCCCACGGAUACUUGAGGUGACAAUGAAGUAUCUAGGUGACAUUAGGGUUUUGGUUGAUUUGUGUCUUAAGGUGUUAAUCUAGUACGAACUCUUUUAUAGAUUGAUCUGAAAGAAUAACUUUGAGGUGGUUUCGUACCCUACCAUAAUCUCUACAUUUGUUCUCCGCUAUUAGUGGCUUCGGAGUGACUCUUUGUUGCAUGUUGAGGGCUUGUUAUAUGAUCUAUCUAUGUUAUUAUUGUUGAGAGAACUUGCACUAGUGAAAGUAUGAACCCUAGGCCUUGUUUCCUAUCAUUGCAAUACCGUUUACGCUCACGUUUAUCACUUGUUACCUUGCUGUUUUUACUAUUUCAGAUUACAAAUACCUUUAUCUACCAUCCAUAUUGCACUUGUAUCACCAUCUCUUCGCCGAACUAGUGCACCUAUACAAUUUACCAUUGUAUUGGGUGUGUUGGGGACACAAGAGACUCUUUGUUAUUUGGUUGCAGGGUUGUUUGAGAGAGACCAUCUUCAUCCUACGCCUCCUACGGAUUGAUAAACCUUAGGUCAUCCACUUGAGGGAAAUUUGCUACUGUCCUACAAACCUGUGCACUUGCAGGCCCAACAAUGUCUACAAGAAGAAGGUUGUGUAGUAGACAUCAAGCUCUUUUCUGGCGCCGUUGCCGUGGAGGUUAGCGCUUGAAGGUAUAUCUUUAGAUCUUGCAAUCGAAUCUUUUUGUUUCUUGUUUUAGCACUAGUUUAGUUUAUAAAAGAAAAUUAAAAAAAAUGGAAUUGAGUUUGUCUCAUACGCUUCAUCUUUUUAAUAUCUUUCGUGAGUAUGAUGGAAAGGAAAAUUGUGCCAAAGUGUUAGAAGAAGAAUGCAUUAAAUUGUUUGGCACUAAAUCUUUGAAUGAUGAGCAUGAUUGCAAUGUUGUUAGUAUGAAUUCCUUGAAUAUCCAUGAUGCUAAUGAUAUGCAAAGCCACAAGCUUGGGGAAACUAUGUUUGAUGAAGAUGAUAGUUUUUGUCCGCCAAGCUUUGAUGAGCAAACUUACUAUGAUGAAAGCAUGCCUCCUAUCUAUGAUGAUUAUUGUGAUGAUACGUAUGCUUUAAAGAAUAAUGAUAACCAUGAAACUUGUCAUCUUGAUCCUAAUUUUAAAUCAUAUGAUAGUUAUUUUGUUGAGUUUGCUCCCACUACUAUUCAUGAGAAGAAUUUUGCUUAUGUGGAGAGUAGUAAAUUUUCUAUGCUUGUAGAUCAUGAAAAGAAUGCUUUAGGUGCUGGUCAUAUUGUUGAAUUCAUUCAUGAUGCUACUGAACAUUAUUAUGAGGGACGAAUAUAUGCUUGUAGGAAUUGCAAUAAUGUCAAGUUUCCUCUCUAUGUGCUUCAAAUCUUGAAGCUAUGCUUGUUUUACCUUCCUAUGCUUUUUGAUUAUUGUUCCCAUAAGUUGUUUGCUCAGAAAAUCCCUAUGCACAGGAAGUGGGUUAGACUUAAAUGUGCUAGUCAUAUGCUUCAUGAUGCUCCCGUUAUGUUACAAUUCUUAUCUUGUAUGUGAGCAUCAUUGCCAUCAUCAUGCCUAGCUAGAAAGGCAUUAAAGAAAAGCGCUUGUUGGGAGACAACCCAAUAUUUAUCCUUACUGUUUUUGUGUGUCCACAUGAUUAUGCUACUGUAAGUGAUGCGAACGUAUCUGCUACGGUGGCAACAGACAAUUUGAAGGCUGGCCAAGGGCAGAAGGAGAUAUAUGUCGUACCAGCUCGACGUCGGGCAAAAAGUGUACAUGCAGUUAUUCAAGAUGACACUCGUCGGACCGACAAAGUUCAGAUCAUACCAGCGAAGGAAGUGAAGCCGACAUUCAGGACUCCAUGCAACUUUUUGACAGUGGGCAAAAUUCAUUUGAAGUUAAACUGAAGUCAGGUCAACUUAUUGUGUGCUCUUUUUACUUUUAGGUUCAGUAGUACGUGCGUGUACUAGCUAUACACCUAGCCAAGUAUUUAAAUUAGUAUUAUAUAUAUAGUAGUAUAUAUGGGCUGUCCGACUAGUACUUUGUUAGGUGUUUUGUUCGGUUCAGCUUGGGCUGCCGUUUUGGUUUAGGAGUCUGGGUCUAGGUCUAUCUGGUCGGCCAUAUAAAAGGUCAGGGCGCUGCCCUUGUAUGAUGGGGGGUUUUUUGAUUGCGUGAGUAAAACUAGAAAAAUUGCCAUGGUUCCUGGUGGAGAAUACUGUGUGUUCGUGAGUUAAAAACCCAUCGUGGUUGUGCUUGCGCGCGAGGAUUGGGAAGCUUCUCCAAUUGCUACGCGUGAUCUUCUAAAGAUCAUCCAGGUGAUUCAAGCCGUUGCGGGGUUCGCCUGUUGUUUGGUUGGGUUUGCAUCUUGGUAAACCUAAUUCUAGAUCGUUGUCAGGCUGCUAUAUAAAUUGAGUUGUAUUGUGAAAGAUUGGGAAAGUAUUGGCGCCAUCGAUUUUCUGUCAACGGUCGCAUCAAGUGGUAUUCAGAGCAAGGUUGAUCAUGGUACAAAUUUUUUCCCCUACUAUUUGCUUCAACUGUUUGAAAGAUGGUGAACUCGCAGCAUGACAAAUCUGAUCAUGAGGAUGUCGAUGAGCUUCCAGAGGGUUUGGAGAUAAGUGAUGAUUUGCGUAUCCAUCUGAUGGCGAUCAAGGGAGCCAAUAAGAAGCUUGGGACAAGGGUUGAGGAAUUGUCCGCAAAUAUUGUAGGCGUCGAGGACAGGUUGAACGAACGUUUGACUGCCAGCGACCGACAGCGCACUGAUAGUCUACAGGUGGUGACUGAGAGUCUUAAUCGUCUCAUCGCAGCAGUUCAGUGCCUUCAGGCGAGAGAUGUGGCACCCCGACAGUCCCGCUCACCUCGACGACGUCGUGACCGUGACAACGAUGAUGGUGGUGAUUUUUCUGAGGAUUCCGAUGCCCGUGGAGGCUUACAUCACCGACCACGACAUGAUGCUGGGGCUCACCGCCAUGCUGGGCGGGGCCGUGACUAUGGCGGCAAUGGUGCCCAUGAGGAUGAUGGCUUGGGUCGAAUCAAGAUAACCAUACCAGAAUUCUCGGGACGUUGUGCCGACCCGGAGAAAUAUUUGGAGUGGGAGAUGCGCAUAAGUCAGAUUUUUGGUGGUCACAACUACUCCGAAGAGAAGAAGGUUCAUGUUGCAUCAAUGGAAUUUACAAAAUAUGCUCUUGUAUGGUGGGAUAAUAAAAACCGUACUCACGAGCGACCAGCGACAUGGGCUGACAUGAAGCGAAUCAUGAGGGAACGUUUUGUGCCUGCUUACUACACUCGCCAGCUUCAUAGUAGACUGCGUCGUCUAGUGCAAGGUACGAAAUCAGUUGAUGAGUACUAUAAGGAGAUGCAAGUUUUGAUGAUCCGCACAGCUGUGCGUGAGUCUGCGGAGGCGACCAUGGUACAUUUCUUUGAGGGGUUAGAAGAAAAGAUUCGCGACCAUGUUGAUUUAAUGCAAUAUAAUGAUAUUCAUGAGUUGCUUCAUCAAGCGGAGCGUGCUGAAUGUUGGGUAUGGGAGAAGCAAGCUUCAGAGACUCGUCCAACUUACAACAGUGGGCGACGUGGUUCUUCUCCUAUUGAUGGUGGGUUUAGUGCUAAACUGACUCCUUCUUAUAAGUCAGGAAGCAUUGAACAAAGCAAAGUGGCGGCUGCGCCAAAGGAGGUUUCUCAGGUUUCAUCUAAUGCGUCUUCAUCUCAUCAUCGUAAUAUUAUUUGCCACAAGUGUGGAGGACGUGGCCACAUGAAGCAUGAAUGUUCCAACCAACGAAGAGUUCUACUUGUUGAUGCAGAGUAUAUUUCAGAAUCUGAAGAUGAGAUGCCUAAGUUAGAGGAUGGAAUCGAAAGAGGUCAUGGUGAUACCAUACUAUGUUAUCCUCAAGAUGAUCCUAAUAUGGAGAGUUUGCUAGCACAUAAGGUCCAGCGAGAUGACAAGACCAUUGUUGAACAAGGACAACGAUAGAGUAUCUUUCAAACUGCAUGUACCAUCAAGGGAGAAGUUUGCAAAUUGAUAACUGAUAAUGCGACGUUAUGCCACUACAUGUUUGUCAUCUUAUUUUGGGGCGUCCGUGGCAGCAUGAUGUUAACGCUCUUCAUCACGGGCGAACAAACCGGUACACUUUUAUGCAUAAGGGUGAGUUUUAUGCUAUUCUUCCUAAGGAUGCACAGAAUAUAAAGUGUACUGUAGAAGUGUUCAAGAAAAAAUCUGCAAGGUAUAGGACAAAACCGAGGACGGUUUUCUUUCAAGGAAGGGAGGAUGAUGCGACCGUAUCUGCUACGGUGGCAACAGAAAAUUUGAAGGCUGGCCAAGGGCAGAAGGAGAUAUAUGUCGUACCAGCUCGAUGUCGGGCAAAAAGUGUACAUGCAGUUAUUCAAGAUGACACUCGUCGGACCGACAAAGUUCAGAUCAUACCAGCGAAGGAAGUGAAGCCGACAUUCAGGACUCCAUGCAACUUUUUGACAGUGGGCAAAAUUCAUUUGAAGUUAAAUUGAAGUCAGGUCAACUUAUUGUGUGCUCUUUUUACUUUUAGGUUCAGUAGUACGUGCGUGUACUAGCUACACACCUAGCCAAGUAUUUAAAUUAGUAUUAUAUAUAUAGUAGUAUAUAUGGGCUGUCCGACUAGUACUUUGUUAGGUGUUUUGUUCGGUUCAGCUUGGGCUGCCGUUUUGGUUUAGGAGUCUGGGUCUAGGUCUAUCUGGUCGGCCAUAUAAAAGGUCAGGGCGCUGCCCUUGUAUGAUGGGGGGUUUUUUGAUUGCGUGAGUAAAACUAGAAAAAUUGCCAUGGUUCCUGGUGGAGAAUACUGUGUGUUCGUGAGUUAAAAACCCAUCGUGGUUGUGCUUGCGCGCGAGGAUUGGGAAGCUUCUCCAAUUGCUACGCGUGAUCUUCUAAAGAUCGUCCAGGUGAUUCAAGCCGUUGCGGGGUUCGCCUGUUGUUUGGUUGGGUUUGCAUCUUGGUAAACCUAAUUCUAGAUCGUUGUCAGGCUGCUAUAUAAAUUGAGUUGUAUUGUGAAAGAUUGGGAAAGUAUUGGCGCCAUCGAUUUUCUGUCAACGGUCGCAUCAAGUGGUAUUCAGAGCAAGGUUGAUCAUGGUACAAAUUUUUUCCCCUACUAUUUGCUUCAACUGUUUGAAAGAUGGUGAACUCGCAGCAUGACAAAUCUGAUCAUGAGGAUGUCGAUGAGCUUCCAGAGGGUUUGGAGAUAAGUGAUGAUUUGCGUAUCCAUCUGAUGGCGAUCAAGGGAGCCAAUAAGAAGCUUGGGACAAGGGUUGAGGAAUUGUCCGCAAAUAUUGUAGGCGUCGAGGACAGGUUGAACGAACGUUUGACUGCCAGCGACCGACAGCGCACUGAUAGUCUACAGGUGGUGACUGAGAGUCUUAAUCGUCUCAUCGCAGCAGUUCAGUGCCUUCAGGCGAGAGAUGUGGCACCCCGACAGUCCCGCUCACCUCGACGACGUCGUGACCGUGACAACGAUGAUGGUGGUGAUUUUUCUGAGGAUUCCGAUGCCCGUGGAGGCUUACAUCACCGACCACGACAUGAUGCUGGGGCUCACCGCCAUGCUGGGCGGGGCCGUGACUAUGGCGGCAAUGGUGCCCAUGAGGAUGAUGGCUUGGGUCGAAUCAAGAUAACCAUACCAGAAUUCUCGGGACGUUGUGCCGACCCGGAGAAAUAUUUGGAGUGGGAGAUGCGCAUAAGUCAGAUUUUUGGUGGUCACAACUACUCCGAAGAGAAGAAGGUUCAUGUUGCAUCAAUGGAAUUUACAAAAUAUGCUCUUGUAUGGUGGGAUAAUAAAAACCGUACUCACGAGCGACCAGCGACAUGGGCUGACAUGAAGCGAAUCAUGAGGGAACGUUUUGUGCCUGCUUACUACACUCGCCAGCUUCAUAGUAGACUGCGUCGUCUAGUGCAAGGUACGAAAUCAGUUGAUGAGUACUAUAAGGAGAUGCAAGUUUUGAUGAUCCGCACAGCUGUGCGUGAGUCUGCGGAGGCGACCAUGGUACAUUUCUUUGAGGGGUUAGAAGAAAAGAUUCGCGACCAUGUUGAUUUAAUGCAAUAUAAUGAUAUUCAUGAGUUGCUUCAUCAAGCGGAGCGUGCUGAAUGUUGGGUAUGGGAGAAGCAAGCUUCAGAGACUCGUCCAACUUACAACAGUGGGCGACGUGGUUCUUCUCCUAUUGAUGGUGGGUUUAGUGCUAAACUGACUCCUUCUUAUAAGUCAGGAAGCAUUGAACAAAGCAAAGUGGCGGCUGCGCCAAAGGAGGUUUCUCAGGUUUCAUCUAAUGCGUCUUCAUCUCAUCAUCGUAAUAUUAUUUGCCACAAGUGUGGAGGACGUGGCCACAUGAAGCAUGAAUGUUCCAACCAACGAAGAGUUCUACUUGUUGAUGCAGAGUAUAUUUCAGAAUCUGAAGAUGAGAUGCCUAAGUUAGAGGAUGGAAUCGAAAGAGGUCAUGGUGAUACCAUACUAUGUUAUCCUCAAGAUGAUCCUAAUAUGGAGAGUUUGCUAGCACAUAAGGUCCAGCGAGAUGACAAGACCAUUGUUGAACAAGGACAACGAUAGAGUAUCUUUCAAACUGCAUGUACCAUCAAGGGAGAAGUUUGCAAAUUGAUAACUGAUAAUGCGACGUUAUGCCACUACAUGUUUGUCAUCUUAUUUUGGGGCGUCCGUGGCAGCAUGAUGUUAACGCUCUUCAUCACGGGCGAACAAACCGGUACACUUUUAUGCAUAAGGGUGAGUUUUAUGCUAUUCUUCCUAAGGAUGCACAGAAUAUAAAGUGUACUGUAGAAGUGUUCAAGAAAAAAUCUGCAAGGUAUAGGACAAAACCGAGGACGGUUUUCUUUCAAGGAAGGGAGGAUGAUGCGACCGUAUCUGCUACGGUGGCAACAGAAAAUUUGAAGGCUGGCCAACGGCAGAAGGAGAUAUAUGUCGUACCAGCUCGAUGUCGGGCAAAAAGUGUACAUGCAGUUAUUCAAGAUGACACUCGUCGGACCGACAAAGUUCAGAUCAUACCAGCGAAGGAAGUGAAGCCGACAUUCAGGACUCCAUGCAACUUUUUGACAGUGGGCAAAAUUCAUUUGAAGUUAAAUUGAAGUCAGGUCAACUUAUUGUGUGCUCUUUUUACUUUUAGGUUCAGUAGUACGUGCGUGUACUAGCUACACACCUAGCCAAGUAUUUAAAUUAGUAUUAUAUAUAUAGUAGUAUAUAUGGGCUGUCCGACUAGUACUUUGUUAGGUGUUUUGUUCGGUUCAGCUUGGGCUGCCGUUUUGGUUUAGGAGUCUGGGUCUAGGUCUAUCUGGUCGGCCAUAUAAAAGGUCAGGGCGCUGCCCUUGUAUGAUGGGUUUUUUUUUGAUUGCGUGAGUAAAACUAGAAAAUUCGCAUGGUUCCUGGCGGAGAAUACUGUGUGUCCGUGAGUUAAAAACCCAUCGUGGUUGUGCUUGCGCGCGAGGAUUGGGAAGCUUCUCCAAUUGCUAUGCGUGAUCUUCUAAAGAUCGUCCAGGUGAUUCAAGCCGUUGCGGGGUUCGCCUGUUGUUUGGUUGGGUUUGCAUCUUGGUAAACCUAAUUCUAGAUCGUUGUCAGGCUGCUAUAUAAAUUGAGUUGUACUGCGAAAGAUUGGGAAAGUAUUCGCGCCAUCGAUUUUCUGUCAACGGUCGCAUCAGUAAGUAAUCAUGUUUUAUAGCUUUUGUUUCAAUAAAGUGCCAAGUAUGACCUUUAGGAUGGCUUACGGUGAUAGUUGUGUUGAUCCUGCUGAAAAUCAGAAACUUUUGCACCCAGUAAAUUAGUUUUGUUAAUUCACCGAAACGUGCUUCUGAUCUGAUUAUUUUUGCUCUGGAUUGGUACACUAAUUGCUUAGGACUUCCUCAUUUGGUAGGAUUUUUGGAGUUCCAGAAGUAUACGUUUGAUACAGAUUACUACAGACUAUUCUGUUUUUGACAGAUUCUGUUUUCUAUGUGUUGUUUGCUUAUUUUGAUGAAUCUAUGAGUACUAUCGGAGGGUAUGAACCAUAGAUAAGAUUUAGUACAGUAGAUAUUACACCAAUAUGGAUUUAGAAUGAGUUAAUUACAGUACCAAUGUGGUGGUUUUCUUUUCUUUCACUAACGGAGCUUAUAAGACUUCCUGUUGAGUUUUGUGUUGUGAAGUUUUCAAGUUUUGGGUAAAGAUUCGAUGGACUAUGGAAUAAGGAGUGGAAAGAGCCUUAGAUUGGGUAUGCCCAAGGCACCCCAAUGUAAUAUUCAAGGACAACGAAGAGCCUAAGCUUGGGGAUGCCCCGGAAGGCAUCCCCUCUUUCGUCUUCGUUCAUUGGUAACUUUACUUGGAGCUAUAUUUUUAUUCAUCACAUGAUAUGUGUUUUGCUUGGAGCGUCAUUUUCUUUUGUUAGUAUUAGCUUGAUGUUAUUUAGAAUACUGUUUUGCAUUUUUAGUUUCAAUAAAGAAGUCAAGGAUAGCCUUUGCCAUGCUUAUUUUGCUAGUAUACAUGUUGCUGUUUGAAAAACAGAAAGUUUACCACUGUUGCAAAAAUUCCCUAGAAAAGUCAUGGAGUGGUAUAAUGUUGAAUCUUUUUGCAUAUUGAGCUCUGAUAAAUUUAUUACAUUGGGAAUUUUAGUUCAUAAUUUUUGGAGUCAGGGAAGUAUUGAUACUCUUGCAUUCAUUACAGACUGUACUGUUUUGGCAGAUUGCUGUUAUGGUUGCAUUGUUUGCAUAUGUUUGCUUGAUUAAUGAUUCUAUUUGAGGAUAGGAGUAUUAAAUAUGCAGAGGCAUUUAGUAUGCAAUGUUGAAUAAUUAUUUAAGUGAUUUGUUACAGUAGAAAAUGAUAAGGUUUUGCAUUGGUUUAUACUAACCUAUCUCACGAGUUCUUGUUGAGUUUGUUGUGAAUGAAGCUUUUGAUAAAAAAAGAAAACAUGAUAUGAGAGGAAUUAAGGAGACACAAAAGCUCAAGUUUGGGGAUGCCCAAGGCACCCCAAGAUAAUAUUUCAAUAAGUCUCAAGCAUCUAAGCUUGGGGAUGCCCCGGUAGGCAUCCCACCUUUCUUCUUCAACAACUAUCGGUUAGUAUCGGUUCAGCCUAAGUUUUUGCUUCUUCGCAUGAGUUGAGCUAUCCUUGCAAUGUAGUUUUAUUUAGCUUUGCUUGCUGUUUGAAUAAAGUAUCAAGAUCUGAAAUUAUUAAAUGAGAGAGAGUCUUCGCAUAGUUGCAUAAUUAUUUAGCUACUCAUUGACCUUCACUUAUAUCUUUCGGAGUAGUUUGUCAUUUGCUCUAGUGCAUCACUUAUAUCUUUUAGAGCAAGGAAGUAGUUUUAUUUUGAAGAAAUAGAUGAACUCUCAUACUUCACUUAUAUUAUUUUGAGAGUCUUAAAUAGCAUGGUAAUUUGCUUAAAUAAUCCUAAUAUGCUAAGCAUACAAGAUUUGUAAGAAUUCUUAUGAGUGUGUUGAAUACUAAGAGAAGUUUGAUGCUUGAUGAUUGUUUUGAGAUAUGAAGAUGGUGAUAUUAGAGUCAUGCUAGUUGAGUAGUUGUGAAUUUGAGAGAUACUUGUGUUAAAGUUUGUGAUUCCCAUAGCAUGCACGUAUGGUGAACCGUUAUGUGAUGAAGUCGGAGCAUGAUUUAUUUAUUGAUUGUCUUCCUUAUGAGUGGCGGUCGGGAACGAGCGAUGGUCUUUUCCUACCAAUCUAUCCCCCUAGGAGCAUGCGCGUAAUACUUUGCUCUGAUAACUUGCAGAUUUUUGCAAUAAGUAUAUGAGUUAUUUAUGACUAAUGUUGAGUCCAUGGAUCAUACGCACUUUUUCCCAUCCUUCCACCAUUGCUAGCCUCUCUAAUACCGCGCACUUUUCACCGGUAUCAUACACCCACCAUAUAUCUUCCUCAAAACAGCCACCAUACCUACCUAUCAUGGCCUUUCCAUAGCCAUUCCGAGAUAUAUUGCCAUGCAACUUUCCACCGUUCCGUUUAUUAUGACACGCUCCAUCAUCGUCAUAUUGCUAGCAUGAUCAUGUAGUUGACAUCAUAUUUGUGGCAAUGCCACCGUUCAUAAUUAUUUCAUACAUGUCACUCAUGAUUCAUUGCAUAUCCCGGUACACCGCCAGAGGCAUUCAUAUAGAGUCAUACUUUGUUCUAAGUAUCGAGUUGUAAUUGUUGAGUUGUAAGAAAAAUAAAAGUGUGAUGAUCAUCAUUAUUAGAGCAUUGUCCUAAGUGAGGAAAGGAUGAUGGAGACCAUGAUUCCCCCACAAGUCGGGAUGAGACUCCGGACGAAAAAAAGAGGCCAUAAAAAAGAGAAAAGGCCCAAAUAAAAAAUAAUAAUAAUAAAAAAGAGAGAAAAAGAGAGAAGGGACAAUGUUACUAUCCUUUUACCACACUUGUGCUUCAAAGUAGCACCAAGAUCUUCAUGAUAGAGAGUCUCUCAUUUUGUCACUUUCAUAUACUAGUGGGAAUUUUUCAUUAUAGAACUUGGCUUGUAUAUUCCAAUGAUGGGCUUCCUCAAAAUACCCUAGGUCUCCGUGAGCAAGCGAGUUGGAUGCACACCCACUUAGUUUCUUUUGUAGAGAUUUCAUAUACUUACAGCUCUAGUGCAUCUGUUGCAUGGCAAUCCCUACUCACUCACAUUGAUAUCUAUUGAUGGGCAUCUCCAUAGCUCGUGAUACGCCUAUUUGAUGUGAGACUAUCUUCCCCUCUUGUUGUCUUCUCCACAACCACCAUUCUAUUCCACAUAUAGUGCUAUAUCCAUGGCUCACGCUCAUGUAUUGCGUGAAGAUCGAAAAAGUUUUGAAAAUGUUAAAGUAUGAAACAAUUGCUUAGCUUGUCAUCGGGGUUGUGCAUGAUUUAAAUAUUUUGUGUGGGGAAGAUGGAGCAUAGCCAGACUAUAUGAUUUUGUAGGGAUAACUUUCUUUUGCCAUGUUAUUUUGAGAAGACAUAAUUGCUUAGUUAGUAUGCUUGAAGUAUUAAUAUUUUUAUGUCAAUAUGAACUUUUGUCUUGAAUCUUUCGGAUCUGAAUAUUCAUAUCACAAUUAAGAAGAUUUACAUGGAAAUUAUGCCAAAGUAUCACUCCACAUCAAAAAUUCUUUUUUAUCAUUUACCUACUCGAGGACGAGCAGGAAUUAAGCUUGGGGAUGCUUGAUACGUCUCCAACGUAUCAAUAAUUUUUGAUUGCUCCAUGCUACUUUAUCUACUGUUUUAGGCAAUAUUGGGCUUUAUUAUCCACUUUUAUAUUAUUUUUGGGACUAACCUAUUAACCGGAGGCCCAGCCCAGAUUUGCUGUUUUAUGCUUAUUUCAGUGUUUCGAGGAAAAGGAAUAUCAGACGGAGUCAAAACGGAACGAAAUCAACUGGAGAAGUUAUUUUUGGAAGGAAAGCAACCCAGGGAACUUGGAGUGCACGUCAGGGGAGAUACGGGCUGCCCACGAGGGUGGGGGGCGCGCCCACCCCCUCGGGCGUGCCCCCUGCCUCGUGGGGCCCCCGUAGCUCCAUCGACGUACCCCCUGCACCCAUAUAUACUCUCGUACCCUAAAACUUCCAGAACAGAAUAUAGAUCGGGAGUUCCACCGCCGCAAGCCUUUGUAGCCACCAAAAACUUCUCGGGAGCCCGUUCCGGCACCCUGCCGGAGGGGGAUCCCAUCACCGGUGGCCAUCUUCAUCAUCCCGGCGCUAUCCAUGACGAGGAGGGAGUAGUUCACCCUCGGGGCUGAGGGUAUGUACCAUCAGCUAUGUGUUUGAUCUCUCUCUCUUGUGUUCUCUCUCCUGUUCUCUCUAUGGCACGAUCUUGAUGUAUCCCGAGCUUUGCUAUUGUAGUUGGAUCUUAUGAUGUUUCUCCCCCUCUACUCUCUUGUGAUGAAUUGAGUUUCCCCUUUGAAGUUAUCUUAUCAGAUUGAGUCUUUUAUGAGAACACUUGAUGUAUGUCUUGCCGUGAUUAUCUGUGGUGACAAUGGGAUAUCAUGCGCCACUUGAUGUAUGUUUUGUUGAUCAACUUGCGGGUUUCGUGACAUUGGGAACCUAUGCAUAGGGGUUGGCACACAUUCUUGACUCUCCGAUAGAAACUUUGGGGCACUCUUUGAAGUACUUUGUGUUGGUUGGAUGAAUCUGAGAUUGUGUGAUGCAUAUCGUAUAAUCAUGCCCACGGAUACUUGAGGUGACAAUGGAGUAUCUAGGUGACAUUAGGGUCUUGGUUGAUUUGUGUCUUAAGGUGUUAUUCUAGUACGAACUCUUUUAUAGAUUGAUCCGAAAGAAUAACUUUGAGGUGGUUUCGUACCCUACCAUAAUCUCUACGUUUGUUCUCCGCUAUUAGUGGCUUCGGAGUGACUCUUUGUUGCAUGUUGAGGGCUUGUUAUAUGAUCUAUCUAUGUUAUUAUUGUUGAGAGAACUUGCACUAGUGAAAGUAUGAACCCUAGGCCUUGUUUCCUAUCAUUGCAAUACCGUUUACACUCACGUUUAUCACUUGUUACCUUGCUGUUUUUAUAUUUUCAUAUUACAAAAACCUUUAUCUACCAUCCAUAUUGCACUUGUAUCACCAUCUCUUCGCCGAACUAGUGCACCUAUACAAUUUACCAUUGUAUUGGGUGUGUUGGGGACACAAGGGACUCUUUGUUAUUUGGUUGCAGGGUUGUUUGAGAGAGACCAUCUUCAUCCUACGCCUCCUACGGAUUGAUAAACCUUAGGUCAUCCACUUGAGGGAAAUUUGCUACUGUCCUACAAACCUGUGCACUUGCAGGCCCAACAACGUCUACAAGAAGAAGGUUGUGUAGUAGACAUCACGGGUCACCGCAUCAGCAGUGUCUUGGGUGGUUUGUAUCUUGCGGCAGAUGCCGGGUUAGCCCGGCACAUCGACGGUGGCGAUUAGAGGCAGCUGGGGGUUACGGCGGCGACGCAAGUGAUCCGGUGGGUGAGCAGGAGUCACGCCGGCAGCUCACAGCAGAAGCAAGGCCGCGCAGAGGAGGUUGGGUGCGGCCGGCGGUUCAGCAGGAUAGACCGGGUCAACACACUGCUACCAAUCCGACAGGGCCAGCUCUGCGGCAGAGGUAAAUCCUCGGUAACGAGGCCAGACGGCGGCUGAGGCCUGACGGUGACUCAUGGUCGGUUCUCAUGGUAAUUCAAAGAGUGAGCCGGUGCGGCAACAGAAUGAACCGGCGUGGCAAUUUGAGGAAAACACGUGAGGCCACGGCGACUCACGGUGCAGGGGACUCAACGGCUGUGACCCGGCGGGAAGUCACAGGACCAGGGCGGUUUGCCGGUGUGGGCGAGACUACAGAAAUAGCAAAGCUGGGCACUCCACAGGAGGUUGACGGGCCGGCUGGGCCACUCGCGGGUCGAGCCAGAGGAUGUCCCGCAGUGGUAAACCGGCAGCUCAUCGGUGGCGGUAGGAAGGCGGCCCUGCACUAGCGCACCAGCAUGGCCAGGUGGAGGAGGGCAUCCAGCGCAAGAGCCUGGCAUGGAGCGAAUGGAGGCGUCGGGCGACUCAUAGCGACGAAGUACGCAGCGCUCGGUGAAGCAAAAGCAGAGGACCACGUGAAGCUGUGGUGGCCUGGCACACCGGUGCGGCUGCGGAAGCGGCUCCAGAGCAUCGGCGGAAGCGAUGGCGGGUCAUAUCCGCGAUUCAAUAGGGCAGCAGCUCGAACAGACCGGUGCCGGGGCCGGCUCAACCUUGUGUGAGGCCGAGGCGAGUCCUGCGGCUGUGAUGACGGAGGCAGCCGGUGACUCAGAGGCGACUCAGAGUGAGGCUGGAGAGUUGGAGGGGCGGUGCCUCGGAUAGAGUUAGCGGGGCGGCCAAAACCACGGCGAGACGGGGCCAAACCGACGAGCGGUGGCUCAGGCGCGCGGGCACAUCGGCCGGCGACUCAGACCGAGUUCGUGGCCAUCUCCGCUUCCUGAGUCAUGGACUCUUUUCUUCCGCUCCCGUUUUUUUAUCACUUUCCCUGAUCCAGCUCGGAUUAAUGGCUUCUUCGAUCUGUUCUGGUCCUCAUGCCAGAAAAAUAAUGACAAUAGAUUAUUCCUUCUCUUGGGUGACGCCGUACGGUAAAAAAUUGCAGCAGUUGAUGCCCUCGGGACAAGCGUAUACGGACAACAACAACACAAAUAUGGCGGAUUGGACAGAUGCUUGACGUAUAGUAAUUUGACUCGGUCGCUGACCCUACAGUGGAAAAACGCUAAUAGCUCCGAUCGACCACCGUAGUAGUUUGGGCUUCGUACUCCUCUCGAUCUCGACGAGUUAUGGCAGCUGCACUGAUGCAACCCUAAUUUCCUCUAAAUCUUAAAUCAUGAACACAACGUCUUGACUGUUCGUCGGUGAUGUAAAUUUCUGCACCGGCUCUUUUUUUAUCCGGCAUCUCACAAGCUUCUUGAUCCAUGAAGAGAUCCCCCUCCAAGAGCUCAACACCACCGUGCGCGAGCCCCACGGUGGGCGCCAAUUGUCAUGGAAUUAACACGUUAGAUGUCCUAGUGUAAGGACUUAGUCGUGAGGCCAACACAUCUAUGUGGUAGCUUGAGAGGGGUUAAGCGGAAUCGAGAGACACAACACGCAAGACAAAGAUUUAGACAGCUUCGGGCCCCGGGAAACAUCAUCCGGUAGCAACCCUACAUGCUGUUUGUGGCUAGGUCUCAUUAUCAUCACGAGGGAGUCGCCGUAAACCGGCUCUCCUAGUUAUGUCUAGCCCUAAGAUUGUUUCUUCUUGCUUCUCUCCCUUUGAGGAGCCCUGCCCCUUAGUCCUUUCGAUAAGUAAGAGUGUCGAACCCAAUGAGGAGCAGAAGGAAAUGAUAAGCGGUUUUCAGUAAGGUUUUUUCUGCAAGCACUAAAAUAGUAGGUGAUAGAUAGUUUUGUGAUAAGAUAAAUAGUAACGAACAAAAAGUAAAUAAAGUAAGUAAAGUGCAGCAAGGUGGCCCAAUCCUUUAUGUAGCAAAGGAUAAGCCUGGACAAACUCUAAUAAUGAAGAAGGAGCUCCCGAGGACACAUUGGGAAUUAUCGUCAAGCUAGUUUUCAUCACGUUCAUAAGAUUCGCGUUCGAUACUUUGAUAAUUUGAUAUGUGGGUGGACCGGUACUUGGGUACUGCCCUAACAUGGACAAGCAUUCCACUUAUGAUUAACCCCUAUUGCAAGCAUCCGCAACUACAAAAAGGAGUAUUAAGGUAAACCUAACCACAACAUUAAACAUAUGGGUCCAUAUCAACCCCUAACGAAGCAACGCAUAAACUAGGGUUUAAGCUUCUAUCACUCUAGCAACCCAUCAUCUACUUAUUACUUCCCUAUGCCUUCCUCUAGGCCCAAAUAAUGGUGAAGUGUCAUGUAGUCGACGUUCACAUAACACCACUAGAAGAGAGACAACAUACAUCUCAUCAAAAUAUCGAACGAAUACCAAAUUCACAUGACUACUAAUAGCAAGACUUCACCCAUGUCCUCAGGAACAAACGUAACUACUUACAAAGCAUAUUCAUGUUUAAUCAGAGGGGUAAUAAUAUGCAUAAAGGAUCUGAACAUAUGAUCUUCCACCAAGUAAACCAAAUAGCAUCAAUUACAAGGAGUAAUCAACACUACUAGCAACCCACAGGUACCAAUUUGUGGUUUUGAUACAAGAUUGGAAACAAGAGAUGAACUAGGGUUUUGAGAGGAGAUGGUGCUGGUGAAGAUGUUGAUGGAGAUUGACCCCCUCCCGAUGAGAGGGUCGUUGGUGAUGACGUUGGUGAUGAUUCCCCCCUCCCGGAGGGAACUGUCCCGGCAGAACAGCUCCGCCAGAGCCCUAGAUUGAUUCCGCCAAGGUUCCGCCUCGUGGCGAUAGAGUUUCGUCCCGUAAGCUUGCCCACGAUUUUUUCCAGGACAAAAACGUUCACAUAGCAGAAGAUGGCAGCCGGAAGCCCACCAGGGGGCCCAGGAGAUAGGGGGUGCACCCCCUGUCUCCUGGACAGGGUGUGGGCCCCCUGGCCUAUUUCUUUUGCCCAAAAAUUCUUAUUAAAUCUGAAAAGUUUUUUCGUGGAGUCUCAGGUCUUUUGGAGUUGUGCAGAAUAGGUUUCCAACAUUUGCUCCUUUUCUAGCCAAAAUUCCAGCUGCUGGCAUUCCCCCUCUUCAUGGUAAACCUUGUAAAAUAAGAGAGAAUAGCCAUAAGUAUUGAGAUAUAAUGUGUAAUAACAGCCCAUAAUGCAAUAAAUAUUGAUAUAAAAGCAUGAUGCAAAAUGGACGUAUCAACUCCCCCAAGCUUAGACCUCGCUUGUCCUCAAGCGAAAGCCGAAAUCGAAAAAUAUGUCCACAUGUUUAGAGAUAGAGGUGUCAAUAAAAAUAAAAUACGGAAAUGAGGGCAUCAUGAUCAUUCUAAUAACAACAACAUAUAUGGAUUUUGUCAUAUGAAUUCUUAUGUUCAGGUAAUAAGUAAUUCACAAUGUCAAGUAUGGUUCAAAAACUUCGUUGGGAACUAACAAACUAUAAUCUCAGUCAUUGAAGCAAUUGCAAUUUAUCGUAACAUCAGAAAGAGUUAAUAAUAGAGCUUUUCAACAAGCUCACAUACUCAACUAUCUCGUAGUCCCCUAUAAUUGUUAACACUCAUGCAAUACUUGUGGUUAUAGAGUUUCAGCCGGACACUGAGAAAGAUAGGGGCUUAUUGUGUUGCCUCCCAACGUAUUCACCUUUAGGUGAUGUCAACAAUAAUAGCCUAUGCCAACUUACAUCCAAUUGGAUAUAUAUAUAUCAUGAUCUUUCAAACACGAGGAGCUUGACAAAGGAUAAAACGGAAAAGGGAAAGGUGAGGAUCACCUUGACUCAAGCAUAAAGUAAAACAUAAAGUUAAAGAUAGGCCCUUCGCAGAGGGAAGCAGAGGUUGUCAUGCGCGUUUAGGGUUGAUGCAUAAAGUCUUAAUGCAAAAGAACGUCACUUUAUAUUGCCCCUUGUAUGUGGACCUUUAUUAUGCAGCCCGUCGCUUUUAUUACUUCCACAACAAGUUCGUACAAAGUUUAUUUUCUCUGCACUAAUAAGUCAUACAUAUUUAGAGAGCAAUUUUUAUUGCUUGCACCGAUGACAACUUACUUGAAGGAUCUUACUCAAUCCAUAGGUAUGUAUGGUGGACUCUCAUGGCAAAACUGGGUUUAAGGAUAUUUGGAAGCACAAGUAGUAUCUCUACUUGGUGCAAAGAAUUUGGCUAGCAUGAGGGGGAAAGGCAAGCUCAACACGUUUGGAAGGUCAAUGACAAUAUACUUUAACUGAGAUGUCGGAAAACAUAAACCAUUACGUUGUCUUCCUUGUCCAACGUCAACUCUUUUAGCAUGUCAUACUUAGUGAGUGCUUCACAAUCAUAAAAGAUGUCCAAGAUAAUAUAUUUAUAUGUGAACCCCUCUUUCCUUAUUACUUCCUAUUAAUUGCAACGAUGACCAAGGCUACGUUCAUCAACUCGCAACAAUUUUUAUGCCUCAUACUUUCUAUGUGUGAAGUUAUCACUAUCCAUAAGAUCAAUGUGAACUCUUUUGUUCCCUUUAUUUUCUCAAGAUCAUAGCAACAUAGCAAAGCCCUUGACUCAACAGUAAUCUUUAUUAUAGAUAGCACACGGACUCGAUUACAUAAAGAGAUCACAAAGCAAAACUCAAAACUACUUGAUAUCAAAACUUCGAACUAAUAGAUCAAGAUACUACUAAAAGGAUCGAACUAAAUAAAGCGGUAAAGAUAGGAGUGUGAUGGUGAUACGAUACUGGGGCACCUCCCCCAAGCUUGGCAGUUGCCAAGGGGAGUGCCCUUACCCAUGUGAUUAUUUCUUCGGAGGUGGUGAAGUAAGAGUUGUUGCACUUUUCUUCUCUAGCUUGUGUCUGAGGCUAAAAUUUUCCUCCCUCAGACCCUCAUUCUCGAGCUCAAGUUUAAUUAUCUUUUUGCAUAGUGCUGCCUUGCUGUCCUGCAAAAAACGUGGUGGGAUAGAUUGGACCUUAGGGAGGCUUGACUCCUUGAACUCCACAUGCAUAUCACCAGGUUGAGGUAGUGGAUCGUCCUCUUCAUCGGAACUUGUUUCUUCCUUCCUCUUGGGAUCAUAGUCUUCUUCUUCCUCUGUGGUCCAGCCAUGGUGUUCCACAUCCCCAUAUACUUUUGGGUUUGCAAUAUAAUCAGCCAUAUAGCUCUCUCCCUCCGAAUCCUGGGAAGACAUCUUGUUCCAAGUCUGCAAUAGGAACGGCUCGAAACGAAAACAGAGGGUAUUUGCGUGAUACGGUGGUCAAAACCUUAGGGAGUAUAUAUAAUGAAUUUUUACAGAUCAAAAUACGUAACAUACAAGAANNNNNNNNNNNNNNNNNNNNNNNNNNNNNNNNNNNNNNNNNNNNNNNNNNNNNNNNNNNNNNNNNNNNNNNNNNNNNNNNNNNNNNNNNNNNNNNNNNNNNNNNNNNNNNNNNNNNNNNNNNNNNNNNNNNNNNNNNNNNNNNNNNNNNNNNNNNNNNNNNNNNNNNNNNNNNNNNNNNNNNNNNNNNNNNNNNNNNNNNNNNNNNNNNNNNNNNNNNNNNNNNNNNNNNNNNNNNNNNNNNNNNNNNNNNNNNNNNNNNNNNNNNNNNNNNNNNNNNNNNNNNNNNNNNNNNNNNNNNNNNNNNNNNNNNNNNNNNNNNNNNNNUGCUCCUCUCUCGUGGGAGCCUCGUGCCCCUUUCGGACUACUUCUUUCUUCCUAAAAUCCUAAAAUAAUCCAAAACUGAUAAAAAUUGCCAUUAGAGUUGUUUUGGAGUCGGCUUACUUACCGCACCACGUUCCUAUGCCUUUUCGGAGUCUGAAACAUUCUGGAAAGUGUCUCUUAUGUAUUCCUCAGGGGUUAUGGUUUCAAUAAUAUUAGUUUCAACAUUGAUAGGAUUACCUGAAAUAUAAUGUUUAAUUCUUUGGCCGUAUACCACCCUCGGAUUUGUGCCUUCAAAGUUGUUGAUUUUUAUAGCACCAGAAUGAUAGAACUCCUCGAUAACGUAGGGACCUUCCCAUUUUGAGAGAAGUUUUCCUGCAAAAAAUCUUAAACGAGAGUUGAACAAUAACACAUAAUCUCCUACGUUAAACUCACGCUUCUGUAUCCUCUUAUCAUGCCAGCGUUUGGCACUUUUCUUUGAAAAGCUUGGCAUUCUCAUAUGCUUGGGUUCUCCAUUCAUCAAGGGAGCUAAUAUCAAGCAACCUCUUCUCACCGGCAAGUUUGAAGUCAUAAUUGAGCUCUUUAACAACCCAAUAUGCUUUAUGUUCAAGUUCAAGAGGUAAAUGACAUGCUUUUCCAUAAAUCAUCUUAUAUGGAGACAUACCCAUAGGAUUUUUGUAUGCAGUUCUAUAGGCCCAUAAUGCAUCAUCAAGUUUUUUGGACCAAUUCUUUCUAGAUCUAUUCACAGUCUUUUGCAAAAUUAAUUUGAGCUCUCUAUUGCUGAACUCUACUUGACCACUAGAUUGCGGGUGAUAAGGAGAUGCGAUUCUAUGAUUGAUAUCAUACUUAGCGAGCAUCUUACGGAAAGCACCAUGAAUAAAGUGUGAACCACCAUCAGUCAUAAGAUAUCUAGGGACUCCACACCUCGGAAAAAUAACUUCUUUAAGCAUUUUAAUAGAAGUGUUAUGAUCAGCACUACUAGUUGGAAUAGCUUCUACCCACUUAGUAACGUAAUCAAAAGCAACUAAAAUAUGUGUAUAACCAUUAGAGGCAGGAAAAGGUCCCAUAUAAUCAAAGCCCCAAACAUCAAAUGGUUCAAUAAUAAGAGAAUAAUUCAUAGGCAUUUCUUGAUGUCUACUAAUGUUACCUAUUCUUUGACAUUCAUCACAAGAUACGACAAACUUACGAGCAUCGUUGAAAAGAGUAGGCCAAUAAAAACCAGAUUGUAGUACUGAUACGUCUCGAACGCAUCUAUAAUUUUUGAUUGUUCCAUGCUAUUAUAUUACCCCUUUUGGAUGUUUAUGGACUUCAUUUUACAUAUUUAUAUCAUUUUUUGGACUAACCUACUAACCGGAGGCCCAACCCAUAUUGCUGUUUUAUUGCCUGUUUCAGUAUUUCGAGGAAAAGGAAUAUCAAACGGAGUCCAAACGGAAUGAAACCUUCGGCAGUGUUAUUUUUUGGAAGAAUAUGAUCCUGGAGACUUGGAGUUCACGUCAGAAGAUCCUCGAGGCAUCCAUGAGAUAGGAGGUCGCGCCCCCCCUGUAGGGCGCGCCCCCUGUCUCGUGGGCCCCUCGAGCACCUCCCGACCGACUUCUUUCGCCUAUAUAACCCUACGUACCCUAAAACCACCGAAAAUCAAGAUAGAUUGGGAGUUCCGCCGCCGCAAGCCUUUGUAGCCACCAAAAACCUCUCGAGAGCCCGUUCCGACACCCUGCCGAAGGGGGAAUCCAUCACCGGUGUCCAUCUUCAUCAUCCCGGCGCUCUCCAUGACGAGGAGGGAGUAGUUCACCCUCGGGGCUGAGGGUAUGUACCAGUAGCUAUGUGUUUGAUCUCUCUCUCUCUCUCUCUCUCUCUCUUUCUCUCUCUCUCUCUCUCGUGUUCCCUCUAUGGCAUGAUCUUGAUGUAUCGCGAGCUUUGCUAUUAUAGUUGGAUCUUAUGAUGUUUCUCCCCCUCUACUCUCUUGUGAUGAAUUGAGUUUCCCCUUUGAAGUUAUCUUAUCGGAUUGAGUCUUUAAUUUGAGAACACUUGAUGUAUGUCUUGCCGUGUUUAUCUAUGGUGACAAUGGUAUAUCACGUGCCACUUGAUGUAUGUUUUGGUGACCAACUUGCGGGUUCCACCCAUGAACCUAUGCAUAGGGGUUGGCACACGUUCUUGACUCUCCGGUAGAAACUUUGGGGCACUCUUUGAAGUACUUUGUGUUGGUUGGAUGAAUCUGAGAUUGUGUGAUGCAUGUCGUAUAAUCAUGCCCACGGAUACUUGAGGUGACAAUGGAGUAUCUAGGUGACAUUAGGGUUUUGGUUGAUUUGUGUCUUAAGGUGUUAUUCUAGUACGAACUCUUUAAUAGAUCGAUCCGAAAGAAUAACUUUGAGGUGGCUUCGUACCCUACCAUAAUCUCUACGUUUGUUCUCCGCUAUUAGUGGCUUUGGAGUGACUCUUUGUUGCAUGUUGACGGAUUGUUAUAUGAUCUAUCUAUGUUAUUAUUGUUGAGAGAACUUGCACUAGUGAAAGCAUGAACCCUAGGCCUUGUUUCCUAUCAUUUUAAUACUGUUUACGCUCACUUUUAUCAUUAGUUACCUUGCUGUUUUAUUAUUGCAGAUUACAAAUACCUAUAUCUACCAUCCAUAUUGCACUUGUAUCACCAUCUCUUCGCCGAACUAGUGCACCUAUACAAUUUACCAUUGUAUUGGGUGUGUUGGGGACACAAGAGACUCUUUGUUAUUUGGUUGCAGGGUUGUUUGAGAGAGACCAUCUUCAUCCUACGCCUCCCACGAUUGACAAACCUUAGGUCAUCCACUUGAGGGAAAUUUGCUACUGUCCUACAAACCUGUGCACUUGCAGGCCCAACAACGUCUACAAGAAGAAGGUUGUGUAGUAGACAUAAAGCUCUUUUCUGGCGCUGUUGCCGGGGAGGUGAGUGCUUGAAGGUAUAUCUUAAAUCUUGCAAUCGAAUCUUUUUGUUUCUUGUUUUAUCACUAGUUUAGUUUAUAAAAGAAAACUAAAAAAAUGGAGUUAAGCUGUCUCAUAUGCUUCGUCUUUUUAAUAUCUUUCGUGAGUAUGAUGGAAAGGAAAAUUGUGCUCAAGUGCUAGAAGAAGAAUGCAUUAAAAUGCUUGGUACUAAAUCUUUGAAUGAUGAGCAUGAUUGCAAUGUUGUUAGUAGGAAUUCCUUGAAUAUCCAUGAUGCUAAUGAUAUGCAAAGCCACAAUCUUUGGGAAGCUAUGUUUGAUGAAUAUGAUAUAUUUUUUCCCCCAAGCUUUGAUGAGAAAAUUUAUUUUUAUGAUAGCAUGCCUCCUAUUUAUGAUGAUUAUAUUGAUGAAAGUGGGUUUGGAAGAGUGUCAACUUUAAAAAGUAGUGAUCCCACUAUUUUGGAGGAUGUUGAAUUUUAUUGUGAUGAAUAUGAAAGUGGAUUUGGAAGAGUGUCAACUUUAUUUAGUGAUGAUUCCACUAUUUCGGAAGAGGUUCCAAUUGAUUAUGAGAACAAAGUUGCUAUCUAUGAUGAUUAUUGUGAUGACUUGUAUGCUAUUAAGAAUAAUGAUAACCAUGAAACUUGUCAUCAUGAUUUUAGUUUUCAAUUGGAUUAUGCCUCACAUGAUAAUUAUUUUGUUGAGUUUGCUCCCACUACUAUUCAUGAGAAGAAUUUUGCUUAUGUGGAGAGUAGUAAAUUUUCUAUGCUUGUAGAUGAUGAAAAGAAUGCUUUAGCUUCUGGUUAUAUUGUUGAAUUCAUUCAUGAUGCUACUGAACAUUAUUAUGAGGGACGAAUAUAUGCUUGUAGGAAUUGCAAUAAUGUCAAGUUUCCUCUCUAUGUGCUUCAAAUCUUGAAGCUAUGCUUGUUUUACCUUCCUAUGCUUUUUGAUUAUUGUUCCCAUAAGUUGUUUGCUCACAAAAUCCCUAUGCACAGGAAGUGGGUUAGACUUAAAUGUGCUAGUCAUAUGCUUCAUGAUGCUCCCAUUAUGUUACAAUUCUUAUCUUGUAUGUGAGCAUCAUUGCCAUCAUCAUGCCUAGCUAGAAAGGCAUUAAAGAAAAGCGCUUGUUGGGAGACAACCCAAUAUUUAUCCUUACUGUUUUUGUGUGUCCACAUGAUUAUGCUACUGUAAGUAAUCAUGUUUUAUAGCUUUUAUUUCAAUAAAGUGCCAAGUAAGACCUUUAGGAUAGCUUACGGUGAUAGUUGUGUUGAUCCUGCUGAAAAUCAGAAACUUUUGCACCCAGUAAUUUAGUUUUGUUAAUUCACAGAAACGUCCUUCUGAUCUGAUUCUUUUUGCUCUGGAUUGGUACACUAAUUGCUUAGGACUUCCUGAUUUGGUAGGAUUUUUGGAGUUCUAGAAGUAUACGUUUGAUACAGAUUACUACAGACUGUUCUGUUUUUGACAGAUUCUGUUUUCUAUGUGUUGUUUGCUUAUUUUGAUGAAUCUAUGAGUAGUAUCGGAGGGUAUGAACCAUAGAUAAGUUGGAAUACAGUAGAUAUUACACCAAUAUGAAUUUAUAAUGAGUUAUUUACAGUACCCAAGUGGUGGUUUUAUUUUCUAAUACUAACGGAGCUUACGAGUUUUCUGUUGAGUUUUGUGUUGUGGAGUUUGAAAGUUUUGGGUAAAGAUUCGAUGGACUAUGGAAUAAGGAGUGGUAAGAUGUAACGCCCCGGAUCUGAUGCGCCAGGUGUCUGCCAGUUAUUCGCCGUCCUUGCCAUGUCAUUUGCUUGUGUGUUGCAUUUUGCCAUGUCAUCAUCUGCAUUUCAUCCGCAUGUUUUCCAAAACUUGCAUCCGUUCGGGCCCUCCCGGUUCUCUCCGUUGUCCGUUCGGAGUCCAGACCUCUCGCGCGCGCCCGUCGCCCCCUCUCAGACUUAGUCUCAUGAGCGGGAUAAAAACGUUCUUGGGAUGGGCCGAGAUUUGCCGAGUGGCCUUGGUAUAGCACCGACAGGCCGCUCGUCAAAUUUCGUUCCAUUUGGAGGUCGUUUGAUGCCCCAACGGUUAACCGCGUAGCCCGAAACCCCUUCUCUUUGCAGCCCAGCACCCCUCCAAAGUGGCCCAAUAACCCAUCCAAACCCUCUACAUGCUCUCGGUCAUUCGAUCACGAUCGUGUGGGCGAAAACCGCACCUCAUUUGGACUCUCCUAGCUCCGUCUACCUAUAUAUAUGUGCCCCUCCCCGAAUUUUUGCGCAGUCCAAACCCUAGCCAAACUCCUCCCCGACGCCGGACACGUCCGCCGCCGCCACCCUUUCGGCCAACCACGACACGCCACGUUGCCCCACCGCCGUCUCCACCGCGCUAGGCCCGUCGGGCCCGGAUCGGGCCCGCGGAGCCCAUCCCGCCGCCGCNNNNNNNNNNNNNNNNNNNNNNNNNNNNNNNNNNNNNNNNNNNNNNNNNNNNNNNNNNNNNNNNNNNNNNNNNNNNNNNNNNNNNNNNNNNNNNNNNNNNNNNNNNNNNNNNNNNNNNNNNNNNNNNNNNNNNNNNNNNNNNNNNNNNNNNNNNNNNNNNNNNNNNNNNNNNNNNNNNNNNNNNNNNNNNNNNNNNNNNNNNNNNNNNNNNNNNNNNNNNNNNNNNNNNNNNNNNNNNNNNNNNNNNNNNNNNNNNNNNNNNNNNNNNNNNNNNNNNNNNNNNNNNNNNNNNNNNNNNNNNNNNNNNNNNNNNNNNNNNNNNNNNNNNNNNNNNNNNNNNNNNNNNNNNNNNNNNNNNNNNNNNNNNNNNNNNNNNNNNNNNNNNNNNNNNNNNNNNNNNNNNNNNNNNNNNNNNNNNNNNNNNNNNNNNNNNNNNNNNNNNNNCGUGUCCGGUCGCCGCCGCCCCGCGCCUCCCUCCUCGCCCCGCCGCCUCAGCCGCCCGCGGCCGCUUCCCCGAGCGUUGCCGCCGGAGUAGGCCGGAGCCAAGCGCCGCCGCCGUGGUGAUUGCCGCCCCGGCUUCGUCCUCACCCGAUCCGGUCGAGGAGCGACCGGAUCCGGCUCCCCCGCACCCCGGCGACCUCCCCCGUCCACUCCGGCCGCUGCACCGCCCAUCUCCGGCGAGCUCUCCGGCGAGCCCGGCCCGCCUCGAUCUGCGUGCCUCAGAUCCAGAUCCAAAAAACCGUAAGGUUGACCUCCAAAAUUUCCCUAAGUCCCGAAAUAUUUGCAUUUUCAUGUCCUGUUUGACGCAUCAUAACUCCAUGCAUACUGCUCCAUUUUGUGCGUGUAAUAUAUUAAAUUGUUUGUUGUGAGAUGCUCUUCAUUUCAUUCCAUUGUGCCAUGUUUGUUUGAGUUCAUCUUGAUGCUCUAACCACCAUUGCAAGAGUGCUAUAUGAUGUUAUCUGCUGUCUGGUAACAGAACUUGAUGAUUUGUCUUUUUCGUUGCAUUUUGUGUUUGCAUCCUAUGGGCAUGAGCUCUACAUGUGUUUUGAUCUAUGUCAUGCCAUCUUCACAGUGGUGCCAUCCAUGUAUUUUUUUGUGAGUCUUGUAGUGAGUGCAUUGAGAUCGUGAAAUAGAGUACUUGCUGUUACUGUUUUGCUAGUCUGAAUCUGCUAUAUCAUGUUGCUAUGUAAACCUGCUGCUACAAGUCAUUCUAUGCAUAAUCUGGAGAUGUUCACUAAGCAUGUUUUGUUGUACAUGUCAUGCUCUAUCCAUUCAUGCCCCUGUUUGCAUUUAUAGCCUGCUUUAGCUUGUUGUAAUCUGGCUCCAAACUUUCUAAAUAGUGUUGCUGUCAGCCUGUUAACAUUAAGUUCCGUUUUGCCAUGUGUUUUGCUAGUGAUCCGUGCACCCUAUGAACUUUCUCUUGCCUUGCUUAGCUUAAUAAACAUGUAGUCUUACUUUUGGUUGCCUUGCCAUGCGAUGUAUUGCUCUGUGGUGAGUUGUACAAGCUCACCAACAUGCCUACUUAUUGUUGUUCCUGCCAUGUAUGAAUCUGUCAUAUCACUUGCCAUGUUUACAUGGGUGCCAUCAUAUUUUCUGUUCCCUUUUGGCUUAUAGUCAGUAAGGGACAGUUGUUUUAUGCAAUUAGUAGAUUCAUGUCGUGCCUUUGUUUGCCAUGAUAAGUUCCUAUAGCAUGUUGUUUGAUAGCUCUGAACAUUGCAACCUGAUGUUAUUUCUGCUAAUGACUGAAACUGUUAUUAUUUGCAAUCUUGCCAUGUCAUUUUGAGCAUGUUCUAUUAGUUUCUAGAGAUAUCUCAGUGUUCAUGUUUUGUCAUGCUUUACCUGUACUUCAUGCCCAUGCCUUUUGUUUUCACGUUGGGAUGUUGUAGCUUAUUGUUUUGAUGCUUGCUAGAUGCCUAGUUGCUGUUUUGGACAGCUUGUCCAUUAAACUUGUAUAGUGUAUGUGUUGAACCGUUGCUCCGUUUUGAGUGUGCUCUAUAUGAAACUUGCUUAGAUUUGUAUGUAGUUUUAUAUUAUCAUGUUGCAUACUUGUUUUGGGGUGUUUUCUUGAUGCUUGGAUUCAUUUAGCAUCAAUGCCAUGUUUUACUUGUUUUUCUCAUAUCUUCUAGGCCGUAGCUCCGAAUUAAAUGAACUUUAUAUGUAACUUGACUAGAAUUUCGUGUAAAUCCUCCUGGUGCGUCUUAACUUGCUUUUUAACAACUUAAACUUAAUGUUUGUUCAGAUCUAGACCAAUUUCUAAAUUUGCGUAUGAGGACUUACCGAAUUGUUAUACGUUGUUUCCGGCCUCAUUUAAACUUGCCUUGAUGUGUUGCUCUUAUUUGCAUCAUCUCUUGCCAUGAGUAGCCUCAUUUAGUUUUGUCAUGCAUCAUACUUGGUUGAGCAUCAUGCCUUGUUCUUGUGUGGUGUGUUUACCAUGUUGUGUGCUUCUUCUUGAUAGUUCCUGUUUUGUUGCGAUCGUGAGGAUUCAUUCGUCUACGCUUGGUUCGGCUUCAUCCGUUCGUCUUCUUCAUGGACUCGUUCUUCUUCCUAGCGGGAUUUCAGGCAAGAUGAUCGCUACCCUGGAUCUCACUACUACCAUUGCUAUGCUAGUUGCUUCGUUCUAUCGCUGUGCUGCGCUACCUAUCUCUUGCUUAUCAAGCCUCCCAAAUUGCCAUGUCAGCCUCUAACCUUUUCACCCUUCCUAGCAAACCGUUGCUUGGCUAUGUUACCGCUUUUGCUCAGCCCCUCUUAUAGCGUUGUUAGUUGCAGGUGAAGUUGAAGAUUGCUCCAUGGUGGACAGGAUUAUGUUGGGAUAUCACAAUAUCUCUUAUUUAAUAAAUGCAUCUAUAUACUUGGUAAAGGGUGGAAGGCUCGGCCUUAUGCCUGGUGUUUUGUUCCACUCUUGCCGCCCUAGUUUCCUUCAUACCAGUGUUAUGUUCCCGGAUUUUGCGUUCCUUGCGCGGUUGGGUGAUUUAUGGGACCCCCUUGACAGUUUGCUUUGAAUAAAACUCCUCCAGCAAGGCCCAACCUUGGUUUUACCAUUUGCCUCACCUAGCCCUUUUUCCCUUGGGUUUCCGAAGCCUGAGGGUCAUCUUUAUUUUAGCCCCCCCGGGCCAGUGCUUCUCUAAGUGCUGGUCCGAACUAGAGCCCUUUGCAGUGCCCCCUCAGGGAAACUUGAGGUCUGGUUUUAGUUAUAUGGAUUGCUCAUCCGGUGUUGCCCUGAGAACGAGAUAUGUGCAGCUCCUAUCGGGAUUGUCGGCACAUCGGGCGGCUUUGCUGGUCUUGUUUUACCAUUGUCUAAAUGUCUUGUAAACCGGGAUUUCGAGACUGAUCGGGUCUUCCUGGGAGAAGGUAUAUCCUUUGUUGAUCGCGAGAGCUUAUGAUGGGCUAAGUUGGGACACCCCUGCAGGGUAUAAAGUUCCGAGAGCCGUGCCCGCGGUUAUGUGGCAGAUGGGAAUUUGUUAAUGUCCGGUUGUAGAUAACUUGACACCAGAUACGAAUUAAAAUGCAUCAACCGCGUGUGUAGCCGUGAUGGUCUCUUCUCGGCGGAGUCCAGGAAGUGAACACGGUUUUGGGUUAUGUCUGACGUAAGUAGGAGUUCAGGAUCACCUCUUGAUCAUUACUAGUUGACGACCGUUCAUUUACUUCUCUUCUCGCUCUUAUUUGCGUAUGUUAGCCACCAUACUUGCUUAGCCGCUACUGUAACCUCACCACUUUACCCUUUUCUUACCCAUUAAGCUUUGCUAGUCUUGGUACCCAUGGUAAUGGGAUUGCUGAGUCCUCGUGGCUCACAGAUUACUACAACAACAGUUGCAGGUACAGGUUAUGCGAUGACCUUGACGCGAGAGCGAUGUUUUCUUGUUUUGGAGUUCUUCUUCUUCUUCUUCUUCGAUCAGGGGAUAGGUUCCAGGUCGGCAGCCUGGGCUAGCGGGGUGGAUGUCUUUUGAGUUUCUGUUUGUGUUUCAUCCGUAGCCGGAUGGUGCUCUUAUGUAUGAUGAUGUUGUAUUCGUGUGGCAUUGUAUGCCUAUUGUAUGUAUCCCCAUCUAUUAUGUAAUGUUGAUGUAAUGAUAUCCACCUUGCAAAAGCAUAUCAAUAUGCGGUUCUAUCCUUGAUGGGACCUUCGAGUCUCUUUAGGAUAGUAUCACAUAUUGGGCGUGACAAGUUGGUAUCAGAGCCUCGACCGACCUUAGGAGCCCCCUUGUUUGAUUGAGUAGUUUGGCCGUUGUCGAGUCUAGAAGAAAACUAUUUUCGGAGUCUAGUUAUAUCGGAGAGUAGGAAUUCUUUUUACUCCUCAGCCCCUUCGUUGCUCUGGUGAGGAAUCUUGACGUAGGUGUUUCGAAUUACUCCUCUUCCCAUUCAAAUUUUUCUUUAGGUUCACGCAGUUGGAUUUUCGUUCGUUGGUUCUCAUCUCUUUUCAUCCGGUGCAUUUCUCGUCAACUUGACUCGAGCCUCUUCAUCUUUGCCAAGUUCGAUCCUCAGUUGUUUUCUUUUCCCACCCGCCCACCCUUUUUCUUCUCAGAGUCGGAGUCCGUAAUCGAGUAUCCAUCCUACUCAUGUGAAGUCUUUGCUUUCUUUCCUCAAUGAUUUCAACCGGUGUUUUCUCUUCAAGAUAUUCGUCGGUUCCCCCUUCCAAGUUUUCUUUGUUUUCCCNNNNNNNNNNNNNNNNNNNNNNNNNNNNNNNNNNNNNNNNNNNNNNNNNNNNNNNNNNNNNNNNNNNNNNNNNNNNNNNNNNNNNNNNNNNNNNNNNNNNNNNNNNNNNNNNNNNNNNNNNNNNNNNNNNNNNNNNNNNNNNNNNNNNNNNNNNNNNNNNNNNNNNNNNNNNNNNNNNNNNNNNNNNNNNNNNNNNNNNNNNNNNNNNNNNNNNNNNNNNNNNNNNNNNNNNNNNNNNNNNNNNNNAUUUGAGCUUCAAUUUCAUUCGUACGGAGCCUCUUCAGUCUUUCCUCAAUUGUUUCAACCGGUGAAUUCUCUUUUGUUUGACAUUCUUCAUCCCUUUCUUUUUCCGGUGCACACAAUUCAAGUUUUUUUCGUUGUCGAUCAUAUUCUUUCCCUCAGCUCAAAUGUUUUCCCCUUGCUCGUUCGCCUCUCGCCAGUUUAUCUUUUCGGAGUGCUCAAGACAUCUCAAGAGAUUUGUCUGUGUUCGAAUUAAUUCGAGGGUGUCACCUCAUUCAAAUAUUUCAUUUGUUCUGGUGCAUCAUCUAUCUGUUCAACAAUCCUUUCCAACGGGAUUUUCUUUUAGUGGGCCCUAACCCACAGGUCUUUUCCCAGGAUCUUACCUGACUCUUCCAAUUCCCCCGGAGUUAUUCUCAAUUCUUUUCACGUGUGACGUAAGAAUGGAUCCCAUCAGUCACGUGCCUUCUCCAAGAUCGCUUUCAAAUUCUUUUCAUUGUUGCCUCAACCUCUUCGCUUUUCGUCGUCCCGGAGUGCCUUAACAAUUUUGGUGUUGUUUCUCGUCGUCAUUCUUAACAUUGAAGACCGAAGAAGAGUUUUUCCUCUAAAUCUUGCCCGUUCUCCCAAAGAUUCGUGGUUCUAGCUUCAUGUUAUCCUCUCGAAUUAUUCCAUUUGUUAGAUAUUCUUUUCUUACCCAUCCAGAGUAUGUCAGGAGUUGUUUUUCCCGUUUCUUUUCACCGGAGGCCAUCAUCCCAGAAGAAUUCUUUGUCCUCACAUUUCAGCUACAGUUACCCAAUUAUCCCGGUGCUUCUUUCAAGUGUCCUUUAAUCAGCUCAUGAUCUCUUUGUUCUUUUGCAUCUAAAUUCCCUCUAGCAUAUUGUUCUUCCAAUCCUUCCCAGUGAUUCAUUCUCUUUCAUCAGUCAUUUUUGAGUUCUUACGGUGGUUCGUUCAUGAUUCUUUUUCCUUGAUUAUCAUAUUAAUUCAUUCGUUCUUCCCAAUCCUACCAGUGGUUCAUGAAGACCUUCUCAAGUUUGCGAUAUGUCACUUCUCAAUCCUUUUCAAGAAGAAUAAGUAAUAUGCAAAAUCCAUUGCUUGUCAUCAAUUUAUUUUGAUAAAGGAUAAGCAUACAAUAAAUCUUAUUCUUAUUUCAUCCAAGUGAGUAAUCCCUUCCUUCAGAGUUUGUUCGUGAGGAAUAAAUUUCUAGUUCCAAGUGUUUUCAUCUUUUCUUUUUCGGAGUUCAAAUUUCCUCGGCCAUUUCGUCGGAACCUCCAUCUAAAUCAUCGCAAAGCUCAUCUUAUUCUUUUCAUCCUUCAAUUCUAUCUCAUCAUCCUUUUGUCACCGGAGUUUUUCAUCUGCCAUGACGGAUGGCAAAGGCAUGGUCGGCGGAUGGCAAAGGCUUUGCCAUCUGCCAGCAGAUGGCAAACAGUUCGUUUGAAACCCUGCCGGUAAAGGCUUCUUUGCUGUCUGCUGGCUGAUGGCAAAGAGCCUGUGGCUUUGCCAUCUGCUGGCAGAUGGCAAAGCCUCUUAACGGGGUUAGCCCCGUUAGAAGGCUAACGACAUGCUUUGCCAUCUGCAAGCAGAUGGCAAAGGCUGCAGGAUCUUUGCCGUCUGCCAACAGAUGGCAAAGGCUGCAGGCUGUUUGCCGUCUGCCAGCAGAUGGCAAAGGCUGCAUGCUUUGCCGUCUGCCAGCAGAUGGCAAAGAGCCCAAAUAGGCCAGCCCAAAUUUUACAUGUAGAUGACACGUGGCCUCUUUGCCAUCUGCCAGCUGAUGGCAAAGCUCUUUUCCACCUGCCAGCAGAUGGCAAAGUGACUAUAUUGCCCCAUUUAAUUUUGUUUUUUCUUAUAUCAAUUCAUUUUCACAGAAAUCAAACACAAAUAUAUUUAUAUGACCAAUAUAGCAUAUUCAACACAUAUUACCAAUAGUCAUGAACACAUAUGUAUCCAACACAUGUUACCAAUAGUAGCAAGUUUCAUCCGUACAUAUACAUAGUUUCAUCAAUAUUACACAGUUUCAUCCAUAGGUAGCAAGUUUCACAAGGUCAAAACAAAAACUAAAUACAAGCACUCCAUCAACCCAAGCUUCCGUGAUCUUAAGCAAAUCUGUAAAAUGGGAAAGAAGAAAGUUAGAAGAAGAAGACUAGAAGAAGAAGAUUAUUAUGAUGCAACUAAAAUGUGAAGAUUAUUAUGAUGCAACUUAUAUCUGUAAAAUAGGUCAUUUUGGAGCUAAGUAUGGUUAUUAUGUCAUUUUUGAGCUAGCUAAGAAUACUAAGUCAUUUUGGUGUAAAACAUGCUAAGGUCAUUCUAGAGCUAAGUAAGGUUAUUAUGUCAUUUUGGAGCUAGCUAAGCAUGUGAAGUCAUUUAGGAGCUAAAAUAUGUCAUUUCUUAAGCAUAUUAUGUCGUUUUAGAGUUAGCUAAGCAUAUUAAGUCAUUUUGGAGGAAAAGAUGCUAAGUAUAGGUCAUUUUAGAGCUAUCCUAGGUUAAAUAGGUCAUUUUUAAGCUAGCUAAGCAUAUUAAGUCAUUUCAGAGGAAAAAUGCUAAGUAUAGGUCAUUUUAGAGCUAUCCUAGGUUAAAUAGGUCAUUUUGGAGCUAAUUAAGCUUAUUACGUAAUUUUUGAGCUAGCUAAGCAUAUUGAGUCAUUUUGGAGGAAAAAAUGCUAAGUAUAGGUCAUUUUAGAGCUAUCCCAGGUUAAAUAGGUCAUUCUAGAGCUAAGUAAGGUUAUUAUGUCAUUUUGGAGCUAGCUAAGCAUGUGAAGUCAUUUAGGAGCUAAAAUAUGUCAUUUCUUAAGCAUAUUAUGUCGUUUUAGAGUUAGCUAAGCAUAUUAAGUCAUUUUGGAGGAAAAGAUGCUAAGUAUAGGUCAUUUUAGAGCUAUCCUAGGUUAAAUAGGUCAUUUUUAAGCUAGCUAAGCAUAUUAAGUCAUUUCAGAGGAAAAAUGCUAAGUAUAUGUCAUUUUAGAGCUAUCCUAGGUUAAAUAGGUCAUUUUGGAGCUAAUUAAGCUUAUUACGUAAUUUUUGAGCUAGCUAAGCAUAUUGAGUCAUUUUGGAGGGAAAAAUGCUAAGUAUAGGUCAUUUUAGAGCUAUCCCAGGUUAAAUAGGUCAUUUUGGAGCUAAGUAAGGUUAUUAUGUCAUUUUGGAGCUAGCUAAGCAUAUAAGUCAUUUAGGAGCUAAAAUAUGUCAUUUCUUAAGCAUAUUAUGUCAUUUUAGAGCUAGUUAAGCAUAUUAAGUCAUUUUGGAGGAAAAGAUGCUAAGUAUAGGUCAUUUUAGAGCUAUCCUAGGUUAAAUAGGUCAUUUUUAAGCUAGUUAAGCAUAUUAAGUCAUUUUGGAGGAAAAAAUGCUAAGUAUAGGUCAUAUUAGAGCUAUCCUAGGUUAAAUAGGUCAUUUUGGAGCUAAUUAAGCUUAUUAUGUAAUUUUUGAGCUAGCUAAGCAUAUUGAGUCAUUUAGGAGGAAAAAAUGCUAAGUAUAGGUCAUUUUAGAGCUAGCCUAGGUUAAAUAGGUCAUUUUGGAGCUAAGUAAAGUUAUUAUGUCAUUUUGGAGCUAGCUAAGCAUGUGAAGUCAUUUAGGAGCUAAACUAUGUCAUUUCUUAAGCAUAUUAUGUCAUUUUAGAGCUAGUUAAGCAUAUUAAGUAAUUUUGGAGGAAAAGAUUCUAAGUAUAGGUCAUUUUAGAGCUACCCUAGGUUAAAUAGGUCAUUUUGAAGCUAGCUACGCAUAUUAAGUCAUUUUGGAGGAAAAAAAUGCUAAGUAUAGGUCAUUUUAGAGCUAUCCUAGGUUAAAUAGGUCAUUUUGGAGCUAAUUAAGCUUAUUAUGUAAUUUUUGAGCUAGCUAAGCAUAUUAAGUCAUUUUGGAGGAAAAAAUGCUAGGUAUAGGUCAUUUUAGAGCUAGCCUAGGUUGAAUAGGUCAUUUUGAAGCUAAGUAAGGUUAUUAUGUCAUUUUGGAGCUACCUAAGCAUAUGAAGUCAUUUAGGACCUAAAAUAUGUCAUUUCUUAAGCAUAUUAUAUAAUUUUAGAGCUAGCUAAGCAUAUUAAGUCAUUUUGGAGGAAAAGAUGCUAAGUAUAGGUCAUUUUAGAGCUAUCCUAGGUUAUAUAUGACAUUUUUAAGCUUGCUAAGCAUAUUAAGUCAUUUUGGAGGAAAAAUGCUAAGUAUAGGUCAUUUUAGAGCUAUCCUAGGUUAAAUAUGUCAUUUUGGAGCUAAUUAAGCUUAUUAUGUCAUUUUUGAGCUAGCUAAGCAUAUUGAGUCAUUUUGGAGAAAAAAUGAUAAGUAUAUGAUUAUGUCGCCAGUAUCCAUAUGGCAGAGAACCCAGGCCGACAUGACUAGUCAUAGAACCAAGGUGGCACAAACGUACAAGGACAGGCAUACAUGACCCAACAAUGCACGUGUCGGUCAUCUGCGAGUGCAACCAAGUUGUAGCAAGCUACAAGGACUUCAGUGAUACACCGCGUGACAUUUCCCCGUAGGGACAGACACAGGAGCAAAGAAGGACACAUGCCAGUCAAUCCAUGUGUUCUGGAGCAGUAGCAAACUACCAUGGCUCAGUGGAAGCACUAGGAGGCAUUUCCCUGUAUGGAAGGCUACCAAAAGCACACGACUAGGUGUCGAAUCCCACACAUACAAUGCAUUUCAAACAUACACACAUUAUGCACGAUAUGUGUAGAUACAACAUGGCAUCACAACAAAACUCUAUUAAAACAAACACUUGGGAAACUUACCGUCAUCAAGAAGGUGUAGGUGUAGGUGUAGGUGUAGGACCGGUCGCGCCAGUGGCAGACGGAGAAGGAUAGGUCGAUGCUUGUCAGGAGUUACGCUGCACCAAAGAUUAUUUCCAAUGUAUCGUUAGUAUGAUGCAACUCAAAUGUGAAGACUAGUAACUAAUGAUCGUUCAAAUGAAACUCACCAUGCCCGCCGGAGCAAUGACUGGCAUCGGUGGAGGGGUCUGGCCGUUCUUCUCGCACAUGGACUGCACAUUUGAUUUUGACGAGUUAGUCAUAUUAGUUACUAAUGAAAGGAACAUUGCCUGCAUGAUUUAGCUAUAUGCAGAAGAAACUUACCACGAAGAGAUCGUACAUGGCCAGGUUAGCCGAGUCGUUCCGGUUCCUCUCCUCCUCCAAGAGCCUAGCCGUCCUCUCCUCAUUCUCCCUGUCCCUCUCCGCCGCCUGUCGGUCCCUCUCCGCCAACUGCCGGUCCCUCUCCUCAAAAGCAGCCUGGGUCUUCGCUCUCUCUGCCUCAAUAGCAGCCUGCAACACCACUCGUUAGCAUUGUAAUCAUCGACGGCCGCAAACACAAUGUCAUGGAGAAAAGGCUACUGAGUCCGUAUAACAAAUCUGGAAUUCGAUUUCCACUGGUCGUAAACGAGGCGGUAUCUCAGGAUCAGAACUGGUCUGGCGCUUCUUGAUCUGCGGGAGAGUGCUACUACAAUGUAUUGAUGGGCAUCUCCAUAGCUCAUUGAUACGCCUAGUUUAUAUGAGACUAUCUUCUCCUUUUUGUCUUCUCCACAACCACCAUUCUAUUCCACAUAUAGUGCUAUGUCCAUGGCUCACGCUCAUGUAUUGCGUGAAAGUUGAAAGAUUUUGAGAUUACUAAAGUAUGAAACAAUUGCUUGGCUUGUCAUCGGAGUUGUGCAUGAUUAAAUACUUUGUGUGAUGAAGAUAGAGCAACAACCAGACUAUAUGAUUUUGUAGGGAUAACUUUCUUUGGCCAUGUUAUUUUGAGAAGACAUGAUUACUUUGAUUAGUAUGCUUGAAGUAUCACCAUUUUCAUGUUAAUAUGAACUUUUAUUUUGUUUCAUUUGGAUCUGAACAUUCAUGCCACAAUAAAGAACAUUACAUUGAUAAUUAUGGUAGGUAGCAUUCCACAUCAAAAAUUCUAUUCUUAUCAUUUACCUACUCGAGGACGAGCAGGAAUUAAGCUUGGGGAUGCUUGAUACGUCUCCAACAUAUCUAUAAUUUUUUAUUGUUCCAUGCUAUUAUAUUAACCCUUUUGGAUGUUUAUGGGCUUUAUUUUACAUAUUUAUAUCAUUUUUGGGACUAACCUACUAACCGAGGCCCAGCCCAUAUUGCUGUUUUAUUGCUUGUUUCAGUAUUUCGAGGAAAAGGAUUAUCAAACGGAGUCCAAACGGAAUGAAACCUUCGGCAGCGUUAUUUUUUGGAAGAAUAUGAUCCUGGAGACUUGGAGUUCACGUCAGAAGAUCCUCGAGGCAGCCACGAGAUAGGAGGGCACCCCCACUGUAGGGGGCGCCUCUAUCUCGUGGGCCCCUCGAGUACCUCCCGACCGACUUCUUUCGCCUAUAUAACCCUGCGUACCCUAAAACCACCGAAAAUCAAGAUAGAUCGGGAGUUCCGCGACCGCAAGCCUCUGUAGCCACCAAAAACCUCUCGAGAGCCCGUUCUGGCACCCUGCCGGAGAGGGAAUCCAUCACCGGUGGCCAUCUUCAUCAUCCCGGCGCUCUCCAUGACGAGGAGGGAGUAGUUCACCCUCGGGGUUGAGGGUAUGUACCAGUAGCUAUGUGUUUGAUCUCUCUCUCUCUCUCUCUCAUGUUCUCUCUCGUGUUCCCUCUAUGGCACGAUCUUGAUGUAUCGCGAGCUUUGCUAUUAUAGUUGGAUCUUAUGAUGUUUCUCCCCAUAAACUCUCUUGUGAUGAAUUGAGUUUCCCCUUUGAAGUUAUCUUAUCGGAUUGAGUCUUUAAUUUGAGAACACUUGAUGUAUGUCUUGCCGUGUUUAUCUGUGGUGACAAUGGGAAAUCACGUGCCACUUGAUGUAUGUUUUGGUGACCAACUUGCGAGUUCCACCCAUGAAACUAUGCAUAGGGGUUGGCACACGUUCUUGACUCUCCGGUAGAAACUUUGGGGCACUCUUUGAAGUACUUUGUGUUGGUUGGAUGAAUCUGAGAUUGUGUGAUGCAUAUCGUAUAAUCAUGCCCACGGAUACUUGAGGUAACAAUGGAGUAUCUAGGUGACAUUAGGGUUUUGGUUGAUUUGUGUCUUAAGGUGUUAUUCUAGUACGAACUCUUUAAUAGAUCGAUCCGAAAGAAUAACUUUGAGGUGGUUUCGUACCCUACCAUAAUCUCUAUGUUUGUUCUCCGCUAUUAGUGGCUUUGGAGUGACUCUUUGUUGCAUGUUGAGGGAUUGUUAUAUGAUCUAUCUAUGUUAUUAUUGUUGAGAGAACUUGCACUAGUGAAAGCAUUAACCCUAGGCCUUGUUUCCUAUCAUUUUAAUACUGUUUACGCUCACUUCUAUCAUUAGUUACCUUGCUGUUCUUAUUAUUGAAGAUUACAAAUACCUAUAUCUACCAUCCAUAUUGCACUUGUAUCACCAUCUCUUCGCCGAACUAGUGCACCUAUACAAUUUACCAUUGUAUUGGGUGUGUUGGGGACACAAGAGACUCUUUAUUAUUUGGUUGCAGGGUUGUUCGAGAGAGACCAUCUUCAUCCUAUGCCUCCCACGGAUUGACAAACCUUAGGUCAUCCACUUGAGGGAAAUUUGCUACUGUCCUACAAACCUGUGCACUUUCAGGCCCAACAACGUCUACAAGAAGAAGGUUGUGUAGUAGACAUCAAGCUCUUUUCUGGCACCGUUGCCGGGGAGGUGAGUUCUUGAAGGUAUAUCUUUAGAUCUUGCAAUCGAAUCUUUUUGUUUCUUGUUUUAUCACUAGUUUAGUUUAUAAAAGAAAACUAAAAAAUGGAGUUAAGCUUGUCUCAUAUGCUUCGUCUUUUUAAUAUCUUUCGUGAGUAUGAUGGAAAGGAAAAUUGUGCUCAAGUACUAGAAGAAGAAUGCAUUAAAAUGCUUGGUACUAAAUCUUUGAAUGAUGAGCAUGAUUGCAAUGUUGUUAGUAUGAAUUCCUUGAAUAUCCAUGAUGCUAAUGAUAUGCAAAGCCACAAUCUUGUGGAAGCUAUGUUUGAUGAAUAUGAUAUAUUUUGUCCCCCAAGCUUUGAUGAGCAAAUUUAUUUUGAUGAUAGCAUGCCUCCUAUUUAUGAUGAUUAUAUUGAUGAAAGUGGGUUUGGAAGAGUGUAAACUUUAGAAAGUAGUGAUCCCACUAUUUUGGAGGAUGUUGAAUUUUAUUGUGAUGAACAUGAAAGUGGAUUUGGAAGAGUGUCAACUUUAUUUAGUGAUGAUUCCACUAUUUCGGAAGAGGUUCCAAUUGAUUAUGAGAACAAAGUUGCUAUCUAUCAUGAUUAUUGUGAUGACUUGUAUGCUAUUAAGAAUAAUUAUAACCAUGAAGCUUGUCAUCAUGAUUUUAGUUUCCAAUUGGAUUAUGCCUCACAUGAUAAUUAUUUUGUUGAGUUUGCUCCCACUACUAUUCAUGAGAAGAAUUUUGCUUAUGUGGAGAGUAGUAAAUUUUCUAUGCCUGUAGAUCAUGAAAAGAAUGCUUUAGGUGCUGGUUAUAUUGUUUAAUUCAUUCAUGAUGCUACUGAACAUUAUUAUGAGGGACGAAUAUAUGCUUGUAGGAAUUGCAAUAAUGUCAAGUUUCCUCUCUAUGUGCUUCAAAUCUUGAAGCUAUGCUUGUUUUACCUUCCUAUGCUUUUUGAUUAUUGUUCCCAUAAGUUGUUUGCUCACAAAAUCCCUAUGCACAUGAAGUGGGUUAGACUUAAAUGUGCUAGUCAUAUGCUUCAUGAUGCUCCCAUUAUGUUACAAUUCUUAUCUUGUAUGUGAGCAUCAUUGCCAUCAUCAUGCCUAGCUAGAAAGGCAUUAAAGAAAAGCGCUUGUUGGGAGACAACCCAAUAUUUAUCCUUACUAUUUUUGUGUGUCCACAUGAUUAUGCUACUGUAAGUAAUCAUGUUUUAUAGCUUUUGUUUCAAUAAAGUGCCAAGUAAGACCUUUAGGAUAGCUUACGGUGAUAGUUGUGUUGAUCCUGCUGAAAAUCAGAAACUUUUGCACCCAGUAAUUUAGUUUUGUUAAUUCACAGAAACGUGCUUCUGAUCUGAUUCUUUUUGCUCUGGAUUGGUACACGAAUUACUUAGGACUUCCUGAUUUGGUAGGAUUUUUGGAGUUCUAGAAGUAUACGUUUGAGACAGAUUACUACAGACUAUUCUGUUUUUGAUAGAUUCUGUUUUCUAUGAUUUGUUUGCUUAUUUUGAUGAAUCUAUGAGUAGUAUAGGAGGGUAUGAACCAUAGAUAAGUUGGAAUACAGUAGAUAUUACACCAAUAUGAAUUUAGAAUGAGUUCAUUACAAUACCUAAGUGGUGGUUUUAUUUUCUUAUACUAACGGAGCUUACGAGUUUUCUGUUGAGUUUUGUGUUGUGGAGUUUUCAAGUUUUGGGUAAAGAUUCGAUGGACUAUGGAAUAAGGAGUGGUAAGAGCCUAAGCUUGGGGAUGCCCAAGGCACCCCAAGUUAAUAUCCAAGGACAACCAAGAGUCUAAGUUUGGGGGUGCCCCGGAUGGCAUCCCCUGUUUCGUCUUUGUUCAUCGGUAACUUUACUUUUAGCUAUAUUUUUAUUCACCACAUGAUAUGUGUUUUGCUUGGAGCGUCAUUUUCCUUUGUUAGUAUUUGCUUUCUGUUAUUUAUAUUAAUGUUUUGCAUCUUUAUUUUCAAUAAAAAAGUCAAGGAUAGCCUUUGCCAUGCUUAUUUUGCUAGUAUACACGUUGCUGUUUGAAAACAGAAAGUUUACCGCUGUUGCAAAAAUUCCCUAGAAAAGUCAGAGAAUGAUAUAAUGUUGAAACCUUUUUCAUAAUGAGCUAUGAUAAAUUUACUACAGUGGGAGUUUUAUUUCAUAAUUUUUGGAGUUAGGAAAGUAUGGAUACUCUUGCAUUCUUUACAGACUGUACUGUUUUGGCAGAUUGCUGUUAUGUUUGCAUUGUUUGCAUAUGUUUUCUUGUUUAAUGAUUCUAUUCGAGGAUAGGAGUAUUAAAUAUGAAGAGGCAUUUAGUAUGCAAUGUUGAAUAAUAAUUUUAGUGAUUUGUUAUAGUAGAAAAUGAUAAGGUUUUGCAUUGGUUUAUACUAACCUAUCUCACGAGUUCUUGUUGAGUUUGGUGUGGAUGAAGCUUUUGAUAAAAAGAGAAACCAUGAUAUGAGAGGAACUAAGGAGACACAAAAGUUCAAGAUUGGGGAUGCCCAAGGCACCCCAAGAUAAUAUUUCAAGAAGUAUCAAGCAUCUAAGCUUGGGGAUGCCCCGUUAGGCAUCCCACCUUUUUCUUCAACAACUAUUGUUUAGUAUCGGUUGAGCCUAAGUUUUUGCUUGUUCACAUGAGUUGUGCUAUCAUUGCAAUGUCAUUUUGUUUUGUUUUGCUUGAUGUUUGAAUACAAUACCAAGAUCUGAAAUUCUUUAAUGAGAGGGAGUCUUCGCAUAGUUACAUAAUUAUUUAGCUACUCAUUGAUCUUCACUUAUAUCUUUUGGAGUAGUUUGUCAUUUGCUCUAGUGCAUCACUUAUAUCUUUUAGAGCACGGCGGUGGUUAUAUUUUGAAGAAAUAGAUAGUCUCUCAUGAUUCACUUAUAUUAUUUUGAGAGUCUUUUAGAACAGCAUGGUAUUUGUUAUGAUCAUAAAGUUGGUCCUAGAAUGAUGAGCAUCCAAGUUGGGUAUAAUAAAAACUAUCAUAGAAAGUGAAUUGGAUGCUAUGAUCAAUUUGAUGCUUGAUAAUUGUUUUGAGAUAUGGAGGUAGUGAUAUUAAAGUCAUGCUAGUUGGGUGAUUAUGAAUUUAAAGAAUUCUUGUGUUUAAGUUUGUGAUUCCCGUAACAUGCACGUAUGGUGAACCGCUUUGUGAUGAAGUUGGAGCACAAUUUUAUUUAUUGAUUGUCUUCCUUAUGAGUGGCGGUCGGGGACGAGCGAUGGUCUUUUCCUACCAAUCUAUCCCCCUAGGAGCAUGCGCGUAGUGCUUUGAUUUUUGAUGACUUCUAAAUUUUUGCAACAAGUAUAUGAGUUCUUUUGAUUAAUGUUGAUUCGAUGGAUUAUACGCACUCCUUCACCCUUCCACCAUUGCUAGCCUCUCUUGUACCGUGCAACUUUUGGCGGUACCAUAUACCCACCAUUUACCUUCCUCAAAACAGCCACCAUACCUACCUAUUAUGGCAUUUUCAUAGCCAUUCCGAGAUAUAUUGCCAUGCAACUUUCCACCGUUCCGUUCAUAUGACACGCAUUACUUUUGUCAUAUUGCUUUUUGCAUGAUCAUGUAGUUGACAUUGUAUUUGUGGCAAGGCCACCUUCAUAAUUUUCAUACAUGUCGCUCUUGAUUCAUUGCAUAUCCCGGUACACCGCCAGAGGCAUUCAUAUAGAGUUAUAUCUUGUUCUAGCUUUGAGUUUUAAAUCCAUAAAAGUGUGAUGAUCUUCAUUAUUAGAGAAUUGUCCUAGUGAGGAAAGGAUGAUGAAGACUAUGAUUCCCCCACAAGUCGGGAUGAGACUUCGGACUUUACAAAAAGAAAAAAAGAGAAAGGCCAAAAAUAAAAAAGAAGGCCAAAGAAAAAGAAAAAAAAGAAAAGAAAAAGAAAAAAAGGGAAGAAAAGAAAAAAAAAUGAGAGAGAAAGAGAGAAGGGACAAUGCUACUAUCUCUUUUCCACACUUGUGCUUCAAAAUAGCACCAUGAUCUUCAUGAUAGAGAGUCUCAUAUGUUGUCACUUUCAUAUACUAGUGGGAAUUUUUCAUUAUAGAACUUGGCUUGUAAAUUCCAAUGAUGGGCUUCCACAAAAGUGCCCUAGGUCUUCGUGAGCAAGCAAGUUGGAUGCACAUCCCCUUAGUUUCUUUUGUUGAGCUUUCAUAUAUUUAUAGCUCUAGUGCAUCCGAUGCAUGGCAAUCCCUACUCACUCACAUUGAUAUCUAAUAAUGGGCAUCUCCAUAGCCCGUUGAUACGCCUAGGUGAUGUGAGACUAUCUUCUCCUUUUUGUCUUCUCCACAACCACCAUUCUAUUCCACAUAUAGUGCUAUGUCCAUGGCUCACGCUCAUGUAUUGCAUGAAAGUUGAAAGAGUUUGAGAUUAUUAAAGUAUGAAACAAUUACUUGGAUUGUCAUCGGGGUUGUGCAUGAUUAAAUACUUUGUGUGAUGAAGAUAGAGCAACAACCAGACUAUAUGAUUUUGUAGGGAUAACUUUCUUUGGCCAUGUUAUUUUGAGAAGACAUGAUUACUUUGAUUAGUAUGCUUGAAGUAUCACCAUUUUCAUGUUAAUAUGAACUUUUAUUUUGUUUCAUUUGGAUCUGAACAUUCAUGCCACAAUAAAGAAAAUUACAUUGAGAAUUAUGGUAGGUAGCAUUCCACAUCAAAAAUUCUGUUUUUAUCAUUUACCUACUCGAGGACGAGCAGGAAUUAAGCUUUUGGGGAUGCUUGAUACGUCUCCAAUGUAUCUAUAAUUUUUGAUUGUUCCAUGCUAUUAUAUUACCCCUUUUGGAUGUUUAUGGGCUUUAUUUUACAUAUUUCUAUCAUUUUUGGGACUAACCUACUAACCGAGGCCCAGCCCAUAUUGCUGUUUUAUUGCCUAUUUCAGUAUUUCGAGGAAAAGGAAUAUCAAACAGAGUCCAAACGAAAUGAAACCUUCGGCAGUGUUAUUUUUUGGAAAAAUAUGAUCCUAGAGACUUGGAGUUCACGUCAAAAGAUCCUCAAGGCAGCCACAAGAUAGGAGGGCGCGCCCCCCUGUAGGGCGCGCCCCCCUAUCUCGUGGGCCCCUCGAGCACCUCCCGACCCACUUCUUUCGCCUAUAUAACCCUACGUACCCUAAAACCACUGAAAAUCAAGAUAGAUCAGGAGUUCCGCCGCCGCAAGCCUCUGUAGCCACCAAAAACCUCUCGGGAGCCCGUUCCGGCACCCUGCCGGAGGGGGAAUCCAUCACCAGUGGCCAUCUUCAUCAUCCCAGCGCUCUCCAUGAUGAGGAGGGAGUAGUUCACCCUCGGGGCUGAGGGUAUGUACCAGUAGCUAUGUGUUUGAUCUCUCUCUCACUCUUGUGUUCUCUCUCGUGUUCCCUCUAUGUCACGAUCUUGAUGUAUCGCGAGCUUUGCUAUUAUAGUUGGAUCUUAUGAUGUUUCUCCCCCUCUACUCUCUUGUGAUGAGUUGAGUUUCCCCUUUGAAGUUAUCUUAUCGGAUUGAGUCUUUAAUUUGAGAACACUUGAUGUAUGUCUUGCCAUGUUUAUUUGUGGUGACAAUGGGAUAUCACGUGCCACUUGAUGUAUGUUUUGGUGACCAACUUGCGGGUUCCACCCAUAAACCUAUGCAUAGGGGUUGGCACACGUUCUUGACUCUCAGGUAGAAACUUUGGGGCACUCUUUGAAGUACUUUGUGUUGGUUGGAUGAACCUGAGAUUGUGUGAUGCAUAUCGUAUAAUCAUGCCCACGGAUACUUGAGGUGACAAUGGAGUAUCUAGGUGACAUUAGGGUUUUGGUUGAUUUGUGUCUUAAGGUGUUAUUCUAGUACGAACUCUUUAAUAGAUCGAUCCGGAAGAAUAACUUUGAGGUGGUUUGGUACCCUACCAUAAUCUCUACAUUUGUUCUCCGCUAUUAGUGGCUUUGGAGUGACUCUUUGUUGCAUGUUGAGGGAUUGUUAUAUGAUCUAUCUAUGUUAUUAUUGUUGGGAGAACUUGCACUAGUGAAAGUAUGAACCCUAGGCCUUGUUUCCUAUCAUUGCAAUACCGUUUACGCUCAGUUUUAUCAUUAGUUACCUUGCUGUUUUUAUUAUUUCAGAUUACAAAUACCUAUAUCUACCAUCCAUAUUGCACUUGUAUCACCAUCUCUUCGCCGAACUAGUGCACCUAUACAAUUUACCAUUGUAUUGGGUGUGUUGGGGACACAAGAGACUCUUUGUUAUUUGGUUGCAGGGUUGUUUGAGAGAGACCAUCUUCAUCCUACGCCUCCCACGGAUUGACAAACCUUAGGUCAUCCACUUGAGGGAAAUUUGCUACUAUCCUACAAACCUGUGCACUUGCAGGCCCAAUAACGUCUACAAGAAGAAGGUUGUGUAGUAGACAUCAAGUACCUUGUGUGCAGUUCUAUCUCCAGCGUGGUGUCCUCCAUAGGAUUCAGAGUGACACUUGCGUAGGAUCUGUUCCUGUUCAUGCUCAGGCACACAACGUCUAAUAAUACCAUCUACUCCUUCUUUAUAAAGGUGUGGAUCAUCCCAGAAGUAAUGUCUUAAAUCAUAAAAGAACUUUUUAUUUUGCUGGUAUGUGAAACUAGGCGGUAUAUAUUUAGCAACAAUGUAAUUAGCAUAAUCAGCAUACCAAGGAGCAGUACGAGAAGCAUUGACAACCGCUAAUUGUUCAUCAGGAAAACUAUCAUUAAUAGGCAGUGGGUCAUCAAGAACAUUCUCUAACCUAGACAAGUUGUCUGCAACGGGGUUCUCAGCUCCCUUUCUAUCAAUAAUAUGCAAGUCAAAUUCUUGGAGCAAGAGAACCCAUCUAAUGAGUCUAGGCUUAGCAUCUUUCUUUUCCAUAAGAUAUUUAAUAGCAACAUGAUCAGUGUGAAUAGUAACUUUGGAAUCAACAAUAUAAGGUCUAAACUUAUCACACGCAAACACAACUGCUAAGAAUUCUUUUUCAGUAGUAGCAUAAUGGAUAACAUUCAAUUUCUUAUCAACUCUUUGCCCUAAAACAACACCUACAGCAUAAUCACUGGCAUCACACAUAAUUUCAAAAGGUAAAUUCCAAUCAGGUGGAUGGACAAUAGGUGCAGCGAUCAAAUCCUUCUUAAGUGUUUCAAAUGCUUCUACACAAUCAUCAUCAAAGACAAAAGGAAUAUCUUUUUUGCAAUAAAUUAGUUAGAGGCCUAGAGUUAGAAAAGUCCUUAAUGAACCUCCUAUAAAAACCGGCAUGACCAAGGAAACUUCUUAUACCUUUUAUGUCCCUGGGACAUGUCAUCUUUUCAAUAGCAUCAACUUUGGCUUUGUCAACUUCAAUACCUCUCUCGGAGAUCUUGUGCCCCAAGACAAUGCCUUCAUUAACCAUAAAGUGACACUUUUCCCAAUUCAGGACGAGACUAGUGUCUUCGCAUCUCUGCAAAACUCGAUCAAGGUUGCUCAAACAAUCAUCAAAAGAGGAUCCAUAGACGGAGAAGUCAUCCAUGAAUACCUCACAAAUCUUUUCACAAAAAUCAGAAAAUAUAGCCAUCAUGCAUCUUUAAAAGGUAGCAGGUGCAUUACAUAAACCAAAAGGCAUACGUCUAUAAGCAAAAGUACCAAAAGGGCAAGUAAAAGUAGUUUUAGAUUGAUCCCCCGCUGAUACAGGUAUCUGAGAAAAGCCAGAAUAACCAUCUAGAAAGAAAAAAUGUGUGUGUUUGGAUAGCCUUUCUAGCAUUUGAUCAAUAAAAGGUAAAGGGUAAUGAUCUUUCUUAGUAGCUUUAUUUAACUUACGAAAAUCAAUUACCAUCCUAUAGCCUGUAAUAAUUCUUUGCAGGAUCAAUUCAUCUUUAUCAUUAGGAACCACGGUAAUACCUCCCUUUUUAGGGACACAAUGGACAGGGUUACCCAUUCACUAUCAGCAACGGGAUAAAUAAUGCCUGCCUCAAGGAGCUUUAGUAUCUCCUUUCUUACCACUUCCUUCAUUUUGGGAUUUAAUCGUCUUUGAGGAUCUCUAACUGGUUUGGCAUCUUUCUCCACUGAAAUUUUGUGUUGGCAUAAUGUGGGACUAAUGCCCUUAAGAUCAUCCAGAGUAUAUCCAAUAGCAGCUCGGUUCUUCUUCAGAGUUUUCAAUAAUCUUUCUUCUUCUUUCUCUGAAAGGUUAGCACUAAUAAUAACAUGAUAUAUUUCUUUUUCAUCAAGAUAAGCAUACUUAAGAUUAUCAGGUAAGGGUUUGAGUUCAAACAUGGGAUCACCCUUGGGUGGAGGGGAAUCCCCAAGAAUUUCAACGGGAAGGUUAUGUUUCAACAUAGGUUCUUGUUUAAGGAACACUUCAUCUAUUUCUUCCCUUUCCUUCAUAAACAUAUCAUUUUCAUGGUCUAGCAAAUAUUGUUCUAACGGAUCAGUUGGUGGAACAGCAAUGGAAGCAAGACCAAUAAUUUCAUCCUUACUAGGUGGUUUCCUUUCACGAGGUUGUCUACUAAACUUAGCAAAAUUAAACUCAUGAGACAUACCAUCUAUGCCAACAGUGACAAUAUUCUUUUCACAAUUAAUCUUAGCACUAGCAGUAUUCAAGAAGGGUCUACCAAAAAUAAUGGGACAAAAAUCAUCUUGUGGGGAACCAAGAACAAGAAAAUCAGCAGGGUAUUUAAUCUUCCCACACAAGACUUCAACAUCUCUAACAAUCCCAAUAGGUUUAAUGGUGUCCCUAUUAGCAAGCUUAAUAGUAACAUCAAUGUCUUCUAAUUCAACAGGUGCAAUAUCGUGCAUAAUUUAUUUAUAAAGAUCAUAAGGUAUUGCAUUAGCACUAGCACCCAUAUCACAUAAACCGUGAUAACAAUGAUCUCCUAUUUUAACAGAAAUAACAGGCAUGCCUACAACAGGUCUACCUGUCUUAGUAUCGGGUCUAGCAAUAUUAGCAGUUUCACCACAAAAAGAAAUAACAUGCCCAUCUAUAGGACCUUGAAGUAUGUCUAGAGGGUGGGGGUGAUUAUACUACUUGACCAAUUAAAAACUUAACCUUUUCCCAGUUUUAGACUUUGGCAGAUUUUAGCUAUCUUUGGACAAGUCAAGCAAUCUUCACACAAUUCAAGCAAGCAUGCAAAGAGUAUAUGAGCAGUGGAAUUUAAAGCAUGCAACUUGCAAGAAUGUAAAGGGAAGGGUUUGGAGGAUUCAAAUGCAAUUGGAGACACGGAUGUUUUUGUCGUGGUUCCGAUAGGUGGUGCUAUCAUACAUCCACGUUGAUGGAGACUACAACCCACGAAGGGCUCCACCCACGAAGGGUCCACGAAGAAGCAACCUUGUCUAUCCCACCAUGGCCGUCACCCACGAAGGACUUGCCUCACUAGCGGUAGAUCUUCACGAAGUAGGCGAUCUCCUUACCCUUACAAACUCCUUGGUUCAACUCCACAAUCUUGUCGGAGGCUCCCAAGUGACACCUAGCCAAUCUAGGAGACACCACUCUCCAAGAAGUAACAAAUGGUGCGUUGAUGAUGAACUCCUUACUCUUGUGAUUCAAAUGAUAGUCUCCCCAACACUCAACUCUAUCUCAUAGGAUUUGGAUCUGGUGGAAAGAAGAUUUGAGUGUAAAGCAACUUGGGGAAGGCUAGAGAUCAAGAUUCAUAUGGUAGGAAUGGAGUAUAUUGGCCUCAACACAUGAGUAGGUGGUUCUCUCUCAGAACUGGAAAGUUGGAAGUGUAGGUUUGUUCUGAUGGCUCUCUCCACGAAUGAAGAGGAGGUGGAGGGGUAUCUAUAGCCUCCACACAAAAUCUAACCAUUACACACAAUUUACCAAAUUCGGUGGGACCGAAUUGAGAAACUCGGUCGGACCGAUUAGCAAAUCUAGUGACCGUUAGGAUUUUCGGUGGGACCGACAUGCAACUCGGUAGGACUGAUAUGGUUAGGGUUAGGGCAUAACGUAAUCUCGGUGAGACCGAUUUUGGUAAUUAGCUAACCAGAGAGUUGGUCAGGUAAACUCGGUGGGACCGAUUCACUCUUUUCGGUGAGACCGAAAUGUUACGAAGGGGAAACAGAGAGUUUACAUUGCAAUCUCGGUGGGACCGAUCACUCACUUCGGUUAGACCGAAACGUUACGAAGGGAAACAGAGAGAUUACAAUCCCAUCUCGGUGAGACCGAGAUCCCUAUCGGUGAGACCGAUUUGCCUAGGAUUCGUGGCAGUGGCUAUGACAUUUGAACUCGGUGGCGCCGGAUAGAAAGAAUCGGUAGGACCAAUUUUGACUUUGGGUUUAGGUCAUAUGUGGAUGUGAGAAAGUAGUUGAGGGUUUUUGGAGCAUAUCACUAAGCAUUUGAAGCAAGAGGCUCAUUAAGCGAGACCUCAUCCCUCCUUGAUAGUAUUGGCUUUUCCUAUAGACUCAAUGUGAUCUUGGAUCACUAAAAUAUAAAAUGUAGAGUCUUGAACUUUUGAGCUUGAGCCAAUCCUUUGUCCUUAAUAUUUUGAGGGAUCCACUUUCAUCAUCCAUGCCAUGCCAUUCAUUGAGCUUUCCUGAAAUAUUUGUCUUGGAAUAGCAUUAGCUCAAUGAGCUAUAUGUUGUUAUGAAUUACCAAAACCACCUAGGGAUAGUUGCACUUUCGAUCUCCCCCUUUUUGGUAGUUGAUGACAACAUAUUGAUCAAAUCUUUGACAAAUGAUAAUAAAAUUGAAAAACAUCGUCGCUUUGAGAAGUAUGUGAUAAGCAAGAGCUCCCCCUAAAUUCGUGCAUAUUUUAAAAUUUGCUUUGGACUGCAAAUGCACAAGGAUCAGGCUCAUGGGUUACUCUUCCAUGUCACAUACAUCUUGGUGGAGCGCUCAUCACCAAGCAAAGUGAAUGAUCAUAUAAGGAUAAGUAAGAAAAUAUCAUCUAACAAGCAUAAGUGUAGCUUAUGAUCAAACACAUGAUCAUCAAUGUCUCACAGAUAAUAGCAUAAUGUCUCAAGCAAUCAAAAGCAAACAAAGUUUAACCAAGAAGACAAGAGAGAACAAAAGCAAACUCUCUCUCUCUCUCUCUCUCUCUCUCGAAGCCUAUGAUCUACACAAUUUUCUCCCCCUUUGGCAACAAGUUACCAAAAAGUUCCUAGAAAAUGCAUAGUACUAUAUCGUCUCUCAGGCUUGGUCUUCAGGUGGUGGUGUAGAGAUGGCUCCUUGGACGAAGGCUUCAGUUGAUGUAGAUGGAGCUGGAGGUGUAGGUGCUGGAGCUGGUUGCACUGGAACUGUAGGAGCUGUAGCUGGUGCAGAUGAAGUGGCUCUGGUGUCUGUCACAGGCACUGCAGCUGAUCUCUGAGCUCUAGGCACCCUGGCAAAUGCAUCUGUAGUUGUCCUGCCCUUCCUCUCCUGCAUGUCAUGCUAUAGCUGCUCCACAACUGACUGAAUCCCAGUUACUUUGACAUCUAAAUCAUAGAAUUUUUGUUCCAUGAUUCUUUCCAGGCUCUCCUGGUUUUGAUUUAGGGUGGCCAACCCCUUCUCAAUCCUCAGAGUUGAUGCUAUCAAGUAACCAAGCUGCUCCUGCUUGUUCUUCAAAAAGUACUCAGAUGCAUCCUCUUGAGUUGGCAUCUUGGCAGCCUUCUCUUUCUUUACUUUCUCCUUCUUCUCUUGAGCUUGUACUGAUGAUUGUUCAUUCUCAUUCAUCACAACUUGAUUGUCCUCAAAUUCUGGAUAGAGAACAAAGUGUUCCUUAUCCAACAUAUAUUUUCCUGUGCCCAUCUUUGAGUUAAUCAACUCCUGAAUUUGUGGGGCAUAUCCACAACUUCUCUUUUGGUCUGCUGCUGUCCUCUUGAUAGUCUCAACCAUGAGGCUCAUGACCUUGAAUUUCUGUGGCACAUCAAACAAGUGUAGCAAGUUUAUAGCAUGGCCUCUUAUCAUGUUGUGGUCACCUGACUUGGGUAAUAGAGUAUGCCUUAGGAUCCAGUUGAUCGUUGGCAGCCCUGACAGAAGAAAAUGUACAUAUCCAAAUUUGAAAGUCUCAAUAGCUUUGUCUGGGAUCUCGUUGUACAUAUGAGCCAUGGAAUUGUGAUCCAUCUUCUUCUUGGCAUAGACAUCCAAGUCAUCUUCACUCUCCUUUGGUGCAUUGAUCAGAUUGGCCCAUUCCUCAAUAGUUGAUUGGUACCUUGUACCUUCAGACAUCCAAACUAUCCUGCCAUCUGGAUAGAAAUGUGUUGUGGAGUAGAAUUGCAUGAUGAGCUCAUCAUUCCACUUUGUGAGCUUCUGCCCAACAAAGUCUGCAACUCCACAAGCAAUGAAACUGUCUUGCACUCCAGGAUAGUGUUCCUCAUUCUCCUUCAUGUAGGUCCAGUCGACCCACCUCAUGUCACAAACUAUAGGCUUCUUGUCCAACAACACUGUCUCAUAGAAAUCCUGCUAUUCCUUUGUGUGGAACCUGUAAUCAACAGCAGUCCUUCUCCUGCUAGCAUAGGGAUCACACAACCUCCACUGUCUGAGUCUUGCAUCCUUUCUUAGCUUCAUGUUCUCAGCCACAGGAUGAGCAUCAUUGUGGUCUGGAAUCUUGGGCUUCAGCUUUCUCAAAAUAUGCUCUUCAUCUUCUUCUUCUUCAGCAGCAGUUUCAGGCACUGGGGCCUUGUUCUUCUUAGCAGCGGGUAUGUUUUUAGUACUCCUCUUUGGUGCAAUCUUGGGCUUGGAGGCAGCUUUGGGUGCUUCUUUGGGCUUUGAUGAUGCAGCCCCUGACCUUAUAGAAUCACCCAUCAGCUUUUGUACCUUGGGUGCUGGUGCAGCAACCUCUCCUUCCUCUUCCUCAUAGUCUCUCCUCAUAGAGGAAUUGCCAAGAACUUUGGCAGUGGUGGUUCUUACUCUCUUCUUCUUCUUGUCUUGACCAGCAGCCUCAUCCUCUGACUCAAUCGUAAACUUCAUGGUUUCUCCAGGGGCAACCUUCCUGGGUUUGGAAGUGGGAAUCCUUCUUGCAGGUGCCUUUUUCUGCACAACUGGCUUAGUGGCUGCAGCUGACCCAUAUUCUUUCUUGACCACCUUCUUCUUGGAAGUGGCUUCAUCCUCUACUGCCACAUAGUCCUCAUCCUCAGAUUCUGAGGUUCUCUUCUUCCUUGUCCUGGUGGCAGCUUUAGGCAGAUUGCUUGGGGUGCUCCUGCUGCCAUCAUCUGAAGUGCUAGAGGGACUAGUGCUCUCACUCAUGUGAAUCUGCUCUUCUUCCCUGUUCUGACUAUCACUUUGGUCUGACAUGCUGAAUACACUGACUGCUGGCCCUGUGAAUAGUUAUAGCUGAGAUGGAGUGGAUGAGCAUCACAAAAUGCAGAGAUUUUUGUAAAAGAAUGAUUCAAAAACUUAGUUUUAUUUUUCCACAGAAAGCAUUUUGGAUCAACUGAUUUCCAAACUUGAUGCUACUGAAGCAGUUUUGGAACCUAAACUAGUGAACUCGGUCAGACCGAGUCAUAGUUCGGUGGCACCGAGACUGCUAGGGUUUCACAAAGUUCUAAAAUCGGUCACACCGAUUAGCAAUUCUCGGUUAGAACGAGAGUUACUAGUGCAAUGGCAUUAGCCGAAUCGGUGGGACCGAGUUUUUCAACUCGGUGGCUCCGAGAUGGUUUCGGCGGAAACCUAACCCUAAAUUUUCAAAUUGCAUCUAUUCUAAGGAUUGUUUUGACUGGAUAGAGGUGUUUCAAUCGUGGCAAGAAUCAUAAUGAACACAAUGUGUUGAGAAUCAGAUGAGGAUAGCACUAUGAUCGAGUUCAUACCCUAGUUCGGCGAUGAACUCACUACGGCGGCAACGGCGGAGAUGAAAUCCGUUGACGGCGGCGGAGACCAGCGACAGGAGGCGGUUGGUGACGAAGUCGACGAUCCGGAGACCUAUAAUGCAGAGCGAGCUAUGCACGGGCGAAGAGGUUUGGAGAAAGUUUUCCAAAAUUUUGCCCGUGUGAAUAUAUAGCCCGACCUGUCGGUGUGACCGAGUGGAACGACUCGGUGGCACUGAGAUGCAUAACUGUUGACAGUUACAGCAACUCGGUGUGACCGAAAAGUUCAAAUCGGUUGCACCAAGAUUGAAAACCUAGAUCGACUUAGUGAUCUCGGUAUGACCGAAAUGGAAGAAUCGGUCAGACCGAAACGCACAAAGAAGUUUUGGAAGUUUAAGUCUAUGGCGAAUCGGGGACUCCGAGUGCUCCUCACACACAGUGGUUUGAAUCUGACUUGAUCAAAUUUUGUGAUGUAGCAUGAAUAGAGUUUGAGACGAGAAAAGCAUAGAUAGCUUGAGAAGGUUCUUAUGCAUUCUUGUCCAUCCACUUGGCCAAAGAAAAAGAAUCCAAUCAAUCAAAACAACAAGUGGAUGUCCUCGAAUGAGUAGAAUAUGCAACCAACAUGCUCACACAAUAAAAUGGCAAAUGAAAUAUGUGGCAAAGCAUGCACAACCAAUUCUAGCAUCUAUCAAACAAUUGGCGAUGACUAGGUCAUCUAUAUAUGAGUAUAUUGACUUAGGAGUCAAAUGAGAACAUUUGAUCAUAGGUCAUACUCAUCGUUUAAGCUCAAGUGGGGUUACCACUUUUACAUAAUUCAUUGAUGUGUUCACAUCAUUAGAGUUGCUUUGACUCAAUUCUUAGAGUUAAGCUCCCCCUAGAUGUGAGAUCCCCCCUUAGAGGGAUGAACUAACCUUGGGUUUUGUCGAUGAUGACUUCAUGUAGGUGUUGAAGAUGUGGAUGCUCAAUGUUGAUGUAGAUCAUUUGGAGCAAUCCUUUGGAGUGAGUUGCACUUUCAAUACCUACAUGGGUUAGUCCCACAAGGAACAAACAAGAAUAUCCAUAGACAUAGAGUGAUGCACACACAAGAUGAUGUCCAUGAAAACAUUAGGUUACCUUUGUCCCUUGCCUUACCAAGAUGAGGGUUUGUGACUCCUUGAACUAGUGCAAGAUAUGGAAGUUGAUUGCACUUGUCCUUGCCAUAAUGAUAUGAGUGAAGAAUGUUGGAGGAGUCACCCUCAAGAACACUCUAGUUCUUCUUCUUCAGGAUACACAUCAUCUUGAUGGGAAUCCUUGGAGUUGUAGUUGUACUUGAUGAAGUAGAACUUGACGUAGUCUUGGGAACCCACUUGACCAAGGCCUUAGGUGCUUCUUCAAAUGCAUCAAUCUCCUCUUGAAGCUUGUCCUUGCCUUUGUUCUUGUGGUCUUGUGGUGGAAGAUCAUCUUGUUCUUGUGUUCCCUUGAAGGAAGUAGGAUCAUACUUCUCUUGUUGAGUAACAAACUUCAUCUUGGGGUAUUGAUCUUCUUCCCACUCAACUCCAUUGGCAUUGAACUUUCGUUCAAAACCAACACCUUGAUUCUUCCGGUGCCUUCCUUGCUUGCGUACAAUUUCCUCAAAUUGCUUACUUCCGGCAAGGCUCUUGUAUACACCUUUCUCUAUAAUUCCCUUCAAUAAGCUAUUUUCUUUCUCAAGUGUAACUUGGCUAAGAGAAUCAUUAGUGGAAUCAAGAGAACUACUAGAAGCAACAAUAUUGGAAUUAGCAUUAUUAUUGUUACUACUAGAGGAAAAAUCUUUCUUGUUCUUGUUACUAGACUUGACAUGAGGCAUGUAAGUAGAUAGGAGUAAACACUUGGCAAUGUAAGAAGAACUUUCUUACGGAGAUCAUCAUUGAUUGCCUUUAAGAACUCAUGAUCUUGCUCAAGAUUGACCUUUUCAAAGCGUAACUUCUCAUGAGCCCUUAAAAGUUCUCGAUGAUCUUCGAAGAUAGUUUCAUGAGCUAACUUAAGAGUGUUUAGUUCUUUAGUUAGAAGCUCAAUCUUCUCCUUAUCAUUGUCAUUCGUUUUAUCUUGAUUAGCAUGAUUAAUUGACGUUUCAUCAUAGUAUUCAUUACUAGAGUUGUCAAUAAGUAAAUCAUCAUCACCUAACAAGUCAUCUUCAUCACUAUUAAAAUCAACAUACUCGGGGUGUCUUACCUUAGGACCUUUGGCCAUGAAGCAUCUUCCAAUUCCUUCAUUUGGUGAAUCAAAUAUGUCGUAGAAGUUGGUUGACACAAGUGCUAGACCGGCAACACCUUCAUGUUGAGUAUAUUCGGAGUCGGAGUGAUAGCUUCUCUCGGAGUGAUUGUCGGAGUCGGAGCCGGAUGCCCAUUCACCAACAUGAGCUUGAUGUCUUCGUUUUGCGUAGCUCUCUGAUGACUUGUCCUUCCUUUCCAAAUCCUUGCUUCUCUGUGAGGGUCUUCGUUCAUAACGAUCAUCUCUACUCCUUCUCUCUGUUGGUGGUGAUUCUUCUCUUCUACUUAUUCUUUUUGGAGAAUCUUCUCUUCUUUUGUAGGGUGCCGUAUACUCAUUGGAAUAGUGUUCGGGUCUCCCACAAUUGUAGCAAUUGCGCUCUCGACUAGAAGAUCUUUUGUCAUUGUAGGACCUUGACUUAGAGCUUCUUUGUUUGCUUCUACUCUUGUAGAAUUUGUUGAAGUUCUUCACCAUUAAGCUCAAUUCUUCAUUGAAGGUUUGUUUCUUACUUGAUGAUGUGGGGGUUUCACAUGAGGCUUUGUAAGGACCACUUGACUUGUUGUGAAGUUCCUCCUUAUCCUUGAGUGACAUCUCAUGAGCAACAAUUCUUCGAAUGACUUCCGUUGGCUUGAGAUCUUUGUAAUUUGGCAUCAUUUGGAUCAAUGUGCACACGGUAUCAUACUUUCCAUCCAAUGCUCUUAGGAUCUUCUUGAUGAUGAAUCUGUCGGUCAUCUCUUCACUUCCUAAGCCGGCAAUCUCAUUUGUUAUAAGAGCAAGCCUAGAGUACAUUUCAGCGACACCUUCACCAUCCUUCAUUUUGAACUUGUCAAGCUGACUUUGGAGCACAUCAAACUUGGAUUCCUUGACGGAGUCGGUACCUUCAUGCAUAUCAAUCAAAGUAUCCCAAAUUUCCUUUGCAUUCUCAAGACGGCUGAUUUUGUUGAAUUCUUCGGGGCACAAGCCAUUGAAGAGGAUAUCACAAGCUUGAGCGUUGUAUUGCAGCAUCUUCAAUUCAUCCGCGCUAGCUUCACGGUUCGGCUCUCUCCCAUCAAAGAAUUCACCUUGGAAGCCAAUACACACAAUAGCCCAAACGGCGGGGUUAUGUCCAAGAAUAUGCAUUUUCAUCCUAUGCUUCCAACUAGAAAAAUUAGUACCAUCAAAGUAAGGACCUCUACGGUGAUAAUUUCCCUCGCUACACGCCAUACUCUCCUAGGUUGUGAAACUAAGGCUAUGACCACCAAAAGCUAUGGAAAUCAAAGGAAAUGGAGACCAAAGAUCUGAUACCACUUGUAGGACCUUGAAGUAUGUCUAGAGGGGGAUGAUUAGACUACUUGACCAAUUAAAAACUUAACCUUUUCCCAAUUUUAGACUUUGGCAGAUUUUAGCUAUCUUUGGACAAGUCAAGCAAUCUUCACUCAAUUCAAGCAAGCAUGCAAAGAGUAUAUGAGCAGUGGAAUUUAAAGCAUGCAACUUGCAAGAAUGUAAAGGGAAGGGAUUGGAGGAUUCAAACGCAAUUGGAGACACGGAUGUUUUUGUCGUGGUUCCGAUAGGUGGUGCUAUCGUACAUCCACGUUGAUGGAGACUUCAACCUAUGAAGGGUAACAGUUGCGCGAGUCCCAUGGAGGGCUCCACCCACGAAGGGUCCACGAAGAAGCAACCUUGUCUAUUCCACCAUGGCCGUCGCCCACAAAGGACUUGCCUCACUAGCGGUAGAUCUUCAUGAAGUAGGCGAUCUCCUUGCCCUUACAAACUCCUUGGUUCAACUACACAAUCUUGUCGGAGGCUCCCAAGUGACACCUAGCCAAUCUAGGAGACACCACUCUCCAAGAAGUAACAAAUGGUGCGUUGAUGAUGAACUGCUUGCUCUUGUGCUUCAAAUGAUAGUCUCCCCAACACUCAACUCUCUCUCAUAGGAUUUGGAUCUGGUGGAAAGAAGAUUUGAGUGGAAAGAAACUUGGGGAAGGCUAGAGAUCAAGAUUCAUAUGGUAGGGAUGGAGUAUCUUGGCCUCAACACAUGAGUAGGUGGUUCUCUCUCAAAACUGGAAAGUUGGAAGUGUAGGUUUGUUCUGAUGGCUCUCUCCACGAAUGAAGAGGAGGUGGAGGGGUAUAUAUAGCCUCCACACAAAAUCUAACCGUUACACACAAUUUACCAAACUCGAUGGGAUCGAAUCGAGAAACUCGGUCGGACCGAUUUAGCAAAUCUAGUGACCGUUAGGAUUUUCGGUGGGACCGACAUGCAACUCGGUAGGACCGAUAUGGUUAGGGUUAGGGCAUAACAUAAUCUUGGUGAGACCAAUUACACAAACUCGGUGAGACCGAUUUUGGUAAUUAUCUAACCAGAGAGUUGGUCAGGUAAACUCGGUGGGACCAAGUCACUCUUUUUGGUGAGACCAAAAUGUUACGAAGGGGAAACAGAGAGUUUACAUUGCAAUCUCGGUGGGACCGAUCGCUCACUUCGGUUAGACCGAAACGUUACAAAGGGAAACAGAGAGAUUACAAUCCCAUCUCGGUGAGACCUAUUUGCCUAGGGUUUGUGGCAGUGGCUAUGACAUUUGAACUCGGUGGCGCCGGAUAGAAAGAAUCUGUAGGAAUGAUUUUGAUUUUGGGUUGAGGUCAUAUGUGGAUGUGAGAAAGUAGUUGAGGGUUUUUGGAGCAUAUCACUAAGCACUUGAAGCAAGAGGCUCAUUAAGCAACACUGCAUCCCUCCUUGAUAGUAUUGGAUUUUCCUAUAGACUCAAUGUGAUCUUGGGUCACUAAAAUGUAAAAUGUAGAGUCUUGAACUUUUGAGCUUGAGCCAAUCCUUUGUCCUUAAUAUUUUGAGGGAUCCACUUUCAUCAUCCAUGCCAUGCCAUUCAUUGAGCUUUCCUGAAAUAUUUGUCCUGGAAUAGCAUUAGCUCAAUGAGCUAUAUGUUGUUAUGAAUUACCAAAACCACCUAGGGAUAGUUGCACUUUCACCAUCUAAGUCCUCAUCCAAAAGAUCUUUAAUCAUAGCAAUACCAGGUUCAACAUUAAUUUGCUCAGGAGGUGUAUAGGUCCUAGUAUUACUCUUACAGACAAUAGCCGAAGCAUUGACAUGAUCUUUUAUCCUAACAGGAAAAGGAGGAUUUUCAACAUAAGCAGUAGGAAUAAUGGGAUCACUAUAUGUAAUAGUCUUCUCUUCGACUGUAAUAGGUGCAACUACUUUAACUUCAACAUGAGGACUAUAUUUAAAACACUUCUCUUUAGGGAGAUCAACGUGAGUAGCAAAAGUUUCACAAAAGGUAGCUACUAUCUCAGAGUCAAGUCCAUACUUAGAGCUAAAUCCACGGAAAGCAUCGGUAUCCAUAAAAGAUGUAACACAAUCGAACUUAGGUGUCAUACCUGACUCCUUAACAUCGUUGGAACCCCAAUCUUCAGAGUUGAGUUUCAUUCUUUCCAAUAAGUCCCAUUUGAAAUCAAUAGUCUUCAGCAUAUAGGAACCGGCACAGGAAGUAUCGAGCAGGUUGCGAUUAUCAAGAGAAAGCCGAGCAUAAAAAUUCUGAAUGAUCAUUUCCUGAGAGAGAUCAUGAUUGGGGCAUGAAUAUAACAUUGACUUAAGCCUCCCCAAGCUUGAGCGAUGCUUUCUCCUUCGCGAGGCCAGAAAUUAUAUAUGUAAUUACGAUCACGAUGAACAAGAUGCAUGGGAUAGAACUUCUGGUGAAAUUCCAACUUCAAACGCUUAUAGUUCCAAUAUCUCGUAUCAUCACAUAGCCUAUACCAUGUCAUUGCAUCCCCCUUCAAAGAUAAAGGGAAGACCUUCCUUUUGACAACAUCAUCGGGAAUACCUGCAAGCUUAAAUAAUCCACAAACUUCAUCCACAAAGAUAAGGUGUAAGUCGGGAUGCAAUGUUCCGUCUCCUGCAAAAGGAUUAGCUAGCAGUUUCUCUAUCAUACCCGAAGGAAUCUCAAAGUGAAUAUUUUCAUAAGGUUCAGUAGGUUGAGGAUCAUCUAUUGGCUCUUCUGGUUGGGGUGAAGAUACCCCAAACAAGCCCCUUAAAGGAUUAAUUUCCAUAGUGACAAGUAACAGAAAAUUUCAGCACACUAUAUAAAUGUUUCCUUACCAAGUUCCACUCACCAAGAGCGCUACGCUCCGCGGCAACGGCGCCAGAAAAGAGUCUUGAUGACCCACAAGUAUAGGGGAUCUAUCAUAGUCCUCUCGAUAAGUAAGAGUGUCAAACCCAACGAGGAGCAGAAGGAAAUGAUAAGCGGUUUUCAGUAAGGCUUUUUCUGCAAGCACUGAAAUAGUAGGUGAUAGAUAGUUUUGUGAUAAGAUAAAUAGCAACGAACGAAAAGUAAAUAAAGUAAGUAAAGUGCAGCAAGGUGGCCCAAUCCUUUAUGUAGCAAAGGAUAAGCCUGGACAAACUCUAAUAAUGAAGAAAGAGCUCCCGAGGACACAUUGGGAAUUAUCGUCAAGCUAGUUUUCAUCACGUUCAUAAGAUUCGCGUUCGGUACUUUGAUAAUUUGAUAUGUGGGUGGACCGGUACUUGGGUACUGCCCUAACAUGGACAAGCAUCCCACUUAUGAUUAACCCCUAUUGCAAGCAUCUGCAACUACAAAAAGGAGUAUUAAGGUAAACCAAACCACAACAUUAAACAUAUGGGUCCAUAUCAACCCCUAACGAAGCAACGCAUAAACUAGGGUUUAAGCUUCUGUCACUCUAGCAAACCAUCAUCUACUUAUUACUUCCCUAUGCCUUCCUCUAGGCCCAAAUAAUGGUGAAGUGUCAUGUAGUUGACGUUCACAUAACACCACUAGAGGAGAGACAACAUACAUCUCAUCAAAAUAUCGAACGAAUACCAAAUUCACAUGACUACUAAUAGCAAGACUUCACCCAUGUCCUCAGGAACAAACGUAAGUACUCACAAAGCAUAUUCAUGUUCAUAAUCAGAGGGGUAAUAAUAUGCACAAAGGAUCUGAACAUAUGAUCUUCCACCAAGUAAACCAAAUAGCAUCAACUACAAGGAGUAAUCAACACUACUAGCAACCCACAGGUACCAAUUUGUGGUUUUGAUACAAGAUUGGAUAUAAGAGAUGAACUAGGGUUUUGAGAGGAGAUGGUGCUGGUGAAGAUGUUGAUGGAGAUUGACCCCCUCCCGAUGAGAGGAUCGUUGGUGAUGAUGUUGGUGAUGAUUUACCCCUCCCGGAGGGAAGUGUCCCCGACAGAACAGCUCCGCUAGAGCCCUAGAUUGAUUCCGCCAGGUUCCGCCUCGUGGCGGCGGAGUUUCCUCCCGUAAGCUUGCCCAUGAUUUUUUCCAGGACAAAACCCUUCAUAUAGCAGAAGAUGGCAGCCGGAAGCCCACCAGGGGGCCCAGGAGAUAGGGGGCGCCCUACAAGGGGGGGGGGGGGGCGCCCCCUGUCUCCGGGACAGGGUGUGGGCCCCCUGGCCUAUUUCUUUUGCCCAAAAAUUCUUAUUAAAUCCGAAAAGUUGUUUCAUGGAGUCUCAGGUCUUUUGGAGUUGUGCAGAAUAGGUUUCCAACGUUUGCUCCUUUUCCAGCCAGAAUUCCAGCUGCCGGCAUUCCCCCUCUUCAUAGUAAACCUUGUAAAAUGAGAGAGAAUAGCCAUAAGUAUUGAGAUAUAAUGUGUAAUAACAACCCAUAAUGCAAUAAAUAUUGAUAUAAAAGCAUGAUGCAAAAUGGACGUAUCACCCCUCCUUAUAUAUGUUGAAGGGGCGGGUUACAUGUGGAGUCCAACUCGGACUUAAAGCUUAACUAUUCUGACUUCUCUUUAUGGGCUUCAUGACGUCUCGGGCUUCAUAACCUUUGGCAACCCAGUUAUCACUGUUUGCCGGCUUAAGAUGGUCUGUCGGUUUAAGAUGGUCUACCAGUUUAAGGUGGUCUGCCGGUUUAAGAUGGUCUGCCGGUUUAUGACUUCCUGCCGGUUUACUGUCUGUCUUAGCCAUCUGUCUUAACUGUCCGCCGGUUUACCAAGUCCCAGCCGGUUUACAACUCCAGUUGGGUCAUACCGCGGGGUAUAUCCCCGACAGAGGUGUUGAUCCUUUGACAAAAACAAAGCAUCCACAGCCUUAUCCCCAAGCCAAACCACUUACCAACGACAAGCAUUAGUUUAGAGACAAGAAGUUCAGAGAACUAGUUUCAACUGAAACUAAAUACUUCGACCACUCAUUCAGUUUAACUAAAACUAAACUAGUCAAACAUAGGAGUCAAAACCAAAGCAUUCUACUCUAGGUAUUACUCCAAACUUCCAAACUUCCAUACUACUCUAGGCGUUACUAAACAGGACCAUCUUCCUUUACUACUUUUAAUCACAUUUGUGCAUAUUUCCUACAUUUGUGCAAAAUAUCCUACUCUAGGCAUAGAAUGUGAUACCAACCUAAGGGCAUCUCCAGCUGUCGCGCUGCCGGACAAGCUCUGCUGCGGCGUCCGUCCUUGGGCCGCAUCGAAGAACCGCCGCGCCGGCUACCGGCCAUGAAGCUUGGGGGCGGUGGCCGCAGUUGGGGGCGGUGGAGGAGGGGGUGGCGGUGGCCGCAGUGGGGAGCGGUGGAGGAGGGGUGGCGGCCGCAGUUGGUGGCGGUGGAGGAGGGGNNNNNNNNNNNNNNNNNNNNNNNNNNNNNNNNNNNNNNNNNNNNNNNNNNNNNNNNNNNNNNNNNNNNNNNNNNNNNNNNNNNNNNNNNNNNNNNNNNNNNNNNNNNNNNNNNNNNNNNNNNNNNNNNNNNNNNNNNNNNNNNNNNNNNNNNNNNNNNNNNNNNNNNNNNNNNNNNNNNNNNNNNNNNNNNNNNNNNNNNNNNNNNNNNNNNNNNNNNNNNNNNNNNNNNNNNNNNNNNNNNNNNNNNNNNNNNNNNNNNNNNUGGAGGAGGGGGUGGCCGCAGUUGGUAGCGGUGGAGGAGGGGUGGCGGCCGCAGUUGGUGCCAGUGGCGGCGGUAGCGAUUUCGGCGUCGACAGCGGCGGUGGCGUAGGGAAGAGAGGAGGGGAAUGAAGAUAGAAACGAAAGGGGAAAGGUUAAGAUCUAGGUUAGAUGCUUUACCGAGAGCCACAAUCAGAAAAGGUGUCCAUUACAGAGAGCCGAGAAUCGACCCUCGGUAACUGUUGAGGAUAUAACCACUGAGUGUAAACCGCCCAGGAGGGGCCAGUUCACGCUCAGCUAUGCUGAAGCCCAUGAAGACAAAGAAGAUGGCACUUUACUGAUAAGGCUUAGAGGCCCAGAGCCCAGAGGCGGAUUAGGGCCCAUAGCGGUAAACCGCCAUAGAUGUAUAACUUGUAUUGUACGUUAUGGAAAGGGAGAGACUGAGCCGGAAACUUGUAUGUGCCUGCCUCGGGACUCUAUAAACUGGCCGGGCAUCACCCUGUGUAUAUAAAGGGACGGCCCGGUGGCGGUUCAGGGACAACACACAACAACUCGAGACCCAGGCAAAGCGUAUUUGCUCCAUGGUCAUCGAAACCCCAAUAAUCCCAUCACAACUAGACAUAGGCUUCUACCUUCAUCGUAAGGGGCCGAACUAGUAUAAAGCUCUCGUGUCCCUUGUCCGGUUUAACCCCAUCUGGCUAAUCUUGUUGCGAUGGCUCCACGACUAAGUCCUUCUGCUAGGACAUCUGACGUGAUAUUUCCACGACAGUUGGCGCCCACCAUGGGGCUAUCACACGAUGGUUUUGAGUUCCUGAAGGGCAACUUUGAAGGACUCAAAGGGUACGCGGUUGGCCGGAUGACCAAGAGUCAUCGCGGCAAUCUUUAUAUCAACGAUGCAGGCUGGGGCCCCGAGGCCGGCUCAAUCGAGUACGAGUACGGGGUCCCCUUUGGCAGAAUUUAUGUUUUCAUUGGCAAGAUCGGCGAACCGGGCCCUGAGCCGGACAUCUCCACCAACCUCGUCGAGAUGGCUCAGCGUGCAAGUCCUGCCCGGGUUCAGCCUGCCAUGAAGCGUGCGUUCAUGGGAUUCAUCCAUAGUGUGGAAUCUGAACCGGUGUCCGAUGGUGAGACAGCCAUCUACUUAGAUGGUGAAUCGUCCACUGGCGAAACCGAAUCGCUAUACCAACUGCAAGAUGGCCGAUUUGGGGGAUACUCCGAUGGCGGCAGUAUUCCGGGUCCCCUUGAACCGCCAAACCGGGUUGCGAUCUUCAUGGCCGGUACGCAUCCCACCAUGCAGUCUUCAUCUACAGCAGGAAUGAUCUCCGGAUCGGCAGCCGUGGCAGGAGGCCCGGCGCGCCGGCCGACUCAAGUUCUUGCCGGUUUACUAGACGCCUUGACGGCAUUGUUGACUACAGCGUUGACUCCAGAGACUCAAGAUCAGCAUAAUACGGAUGUUACGAAGCUAAAGGAUCAGAUAGCUUAGGCCAAGGUGGACUUGGCAGCUGAGGAGGCCAGGAUGGAUGAAGAGCGGGCCGCUUUAGAUGCCCAAUCAUAGCAGAUCCAGGCGCAUAAUUACCGGCUUAUGUUGGAUCAAAACGCGUCAAACGACAUUAUGAGAAGGAAGUACAGGUCUCGUCUGCCACAAAUUUAUGAGGGUCUGAAUCUCUUCGGUACACCAGGAGCUGGGCCUAGCAAUCUGGCAGGAGUAAACCGGACCGAGGCACCUAGGGCGGCGCCGGAUCAGCCAUGGGCUAUGGACCCGCCUCGACGGACGGACAACCCGCCACAAUAUGUAGCAACACCGCCGGGUCACUUUUCUAGCCCUUUGGAUAAUAUGAUCGCGGCAGCAUCAUGUUUGGCGGCUAUUCCGAUGGAGGGUGAUUCAUUGGCGGCGAUUGAGACUCGACGAGCCAGGGAUCUUCUUCAAACCGCCGUUGUACAGCAACAUGCUUAUUCCUACAGCCGAGACAGAAUACAUUCAACCCCUCGUCCGAGCAAGGGUUAUAGCAGGCACAUAGACGAAACGGCCGUGUCAAGCAGUGCGCGGCGCCGUGAUGCCCCUCGGGGGCCUAAUCCGGCGAACGGCGGUUUGUUUGCUCAGGACGUGGUGAAUAAUGGCAGAGCGCGAAGGGAGGCGGCAUUGGCAGCACAGCAUGCGGGUCAUCAUCAACCCGCCCCAGUUCAGCCAGCGGCGUCAGUAGAGCGAGGGGCCGGGCUUGCCUUCAGCUCCUGGGGAGUGCCGUGUCUCAUCCUGGCUCUCCGUAAUGUGCAGUUGCCUAAAGAUUUUGAAGGGCCACGCAAGGUGCCUAACUAUACUGUUGAUCAGCCCCCCGAGGCAUGGGUUGAGAGUUAUGAGAUGGCAAUGGAGAUGCUAGAUGUGGAUGAAGCGGCGUGUGCAAAAUACUUCACCAUGAUGCUAGAAGGAACGGCUCGCACCUGGCUGAAGAGCCUGCCUGCUAACUCGAUUAAUUCAUGGGAUGAGUUGAAGGCCAAGUUCAUAGCAAACUUCAAAGAUACAUGCAAGCAACCUAUGUCCAUUGUAGAUCUGGCGGCUUGUGUCCAGGGACAAAAUAAAUCAACAACCCAUAGGGUGUGCUGGGUUUCAGAAAUUUUGCACUCGUCAGGCCGCAUCAAUGCGGACACAACAAUUGUGAUGUUGGAGGGCAAUUACCGGUUUAAGUCGCUAAAAAUGAAGUUGGGACGGCUCAAGCGUCACUGCAAUGAUAUGGGAACACUCAUGGCGGCUCUGGUUUAGUAUGCUGACUCUGAUAAUACCAAGGACCCUGAUUCUAAUGAAGAGAAACAGGAGAAGGGAAAGAAGAACGCCGGUUCAAAGGGACAACAUAACCAGGCGGGCCACAGAAGCAAUGGUAAGCGUAAAGCGGACAAUUCUGAUUUUGUGGCUAACACCAGUAUGCAGGGUAAUAUGCAGCGCCGUAAGGGUAAACCGCCCCAGCGCAGUGGAGGAAUGAAUCUGGAACGCCUGUUAAACCAGCCCUGCCCAAAGCACGGGACAAAGGAGGCUCCAGCCACACACCUUUGGAAGGAUUGCCACAUCAUGAGGGAAUUUAAAAAUUCUGAUCUUUUCCAGUAUGAUCAGAGUCCAUCUGGUGGUUCCGGUCCAGGACUUCAUGGGCCGGGUUACGGUGGUGGCAGUUCAAGCUUAGGAUUUCAGAAUAAUCAGGGCAAUCAGAACAACCAAGGUAACCGUCAACAGGGUAAUCAGGGGAAUCAACAGCAGUCGGGUUAUCAGAGCAACCCAAAGUAGUUAAACGGUGGACAAUAUCAUGUCUUCACUACUAGUUUGUGCAAGCGCGAUGAGAAACUCCAUAAAAGGGCAGUAAACUCUGUUCAACCAGCAGUGCCCCGUUAUCUAUGCUGGUCCGAGCAGCCUAUUGUCUGGAGCAGGGAGGAUCAUCCGCCCCGGGUUGACAAUCCGGGUCAACUAGCUUUGGUGGUUGCACCGUAGGUGGGAGGUUCCAAGUUCACCAAGGUACUCAUGGACGGAGGAAGCAGUAUCAAUAUCUUGUACUAUGAAACCUUCCGGCGUAUGGGGUUGACAGAUAAUAAUCUUAGACCAUCAAACACUGUUUUUCAUGGAGUGGUGCCUGGUAAAUCGGCUUACCCAGUUGGUAAGAUAGCUCUGGAGGUGGUUUUUGGAGAUGAUCAUGAUUCAAGGUCCGAGACGCUGACCUUUGAAGUGGUCAAGAUCAGAAGUCCGUAUCAUGCUUUAUUUGGACGGCCGGUUUACGCUAAAUUCAUGGCAAGGCCAUGUUAUGUUUAUCUGCAGCUCAAGAUGCCGGGUCACAAAGGGACCAUCACGGUUCAUGGUAGCCGUAAGAUCGCUUUGGAGUGUGAGGAAGGUGAUGCGGCCUAUGCUGAAUCAGUUUGUGCAAUGGAAGAGUUGAAGUUUUAUAAGGACAAUGUUGAUCCGGCAGACAUGACCUCUCUAAAGAAGCCCACUAUAGAGCAUGAUCUGGCUUUGAAGUUUAAAUCGGCUGAUGAGACUAAAUUGGUGGAUUUUGUUCCUGGCGAUUCAGCCAAGCAGUUCAGCAUCAGCGUCAACUUGGAUCCCAAAUAGGAAAGCACACUCAUCGAGUUCAUCCGUGAGAACCGGGACAUCUUUGCAUGGAAACCUUUUGACAUGCCAGGUGUACCGAGGGAACUCGAUGAGCACACUCUAAGUAUUGAUCCAAAAUUCAAACCGGUCAAACAGUUUCUUCGCCGCUUUAAUGAGGAGCGGUGCAAGGCCAUUGGGGAAGAGGUAGCCCGGCUCCUGGCAGCAGGAUUUAUCGUGGAAGUGUUUCAUCCAGAGUGGUUGGCUAAUCCGGUGCUGGUACUUAAGAAAAACGGCACUUGGCGUAUGUGUGUGGAUUACACAGAUUUGAACAAAGCUUGCCCAACUGAUCCCUUUGCCCUCCGUCGUAUUGAUCAAAUCAUUGAUGCUGUGGCGGGUUGUGAGUGUUUGAGUUUCUUGGAUGCUUAUUCUGGUUAUCAUCAGAUCAAGAUGGCAGUUAAGGACCAGGAGAAGACAUCUUUCAUCACUCCCUUUGGGGCCUUCUAUUAUGUAUCUAUGCCCUUUGGGCUCAAGAGUGCUCAGGCGACUUAUCAACGUUGUGUGCAGAAUUGUCUUCAUACUCAGAUUGGGCGCAACGUUCAUGCCUAUGUGGACGAUAUUGUGGUCAAGUCCAGGAAGGUAGAAACACUCAUAUCUGAUUUGCAAGAAACCUUUGAUAAUCUAAGAGUUUACAAAAUGAUGCUCAAUUUGGCUAAGUGUGUUUUUGGUGUACCGGCUGGCAAGCUCUUGGGUUUUCUGGUGUCCAACCGGGGCAUUAAGGCUAAUCCGGAAAAGAUCAAGGCUAUCACAUCUCUGGAUAAACCGGCAUGUAUCAAUGAUGUUCAAUGUCUGGCGAGUUGUAUUGCGGCUUUGAGCCAGUUUAUCAGCAAGUUGGGCGAAAAGGGGAUCCCUCUGUACUAGAUGUUGAAGAAGACAGACAAUUUUGUCUGGAGCGAGGCUGCUGAUGCGGCGUUUGAAGACUUGACGCCGGGUUAGGAGAAGAACCUUUCAAGAAGGCGACUUAGUGCUCCAGCUCAUCCAGGAUUAGACCGAUAUGCACAAGUUAUCCCUACCUUGGGAAGGACCCUUUGUGGUCAGUAAGAAUCUGCACAACGGAUCAUACUACCUCAUCAACGUUCGCAAGCACAAAGACUCAAGCAAAUCGGAGGAGGAGACCCGUCGGCCGUGGAAUAUCGCUCUUCUACGGCCUUACUACACCUAAGCCAUAGGCUUUCACUAUGUACAUAUUUUUACAAUGUAUAUAUUAUGCUCAGUAUAAUAAACCGGCAUCCUUGCUUCAAGCAGGGCCUCUGCCGUUUUUUCCAAUAUUUCUUGGUUACAAGGGGGCUUUUGCUUACAAAGCGAUGACUCGUUUUGUCCAUUAAACCGGCUAUCAUGCCAUCAUACAUCUUGGGAGCUUCACACCCAAGGGGCCAAAGAGAGUUCUGUUGCUAAAAGGUCGACUCAAACAUAGGCACCCAUUGAGCAUAGCUCACAAAGUUACUUGGGGGCUCUUUGUGUAAACUAACAAAGAGUUUGAAAGGACCCUUGUAAUCGGGUAUCAACCCACGGUUGGAAGCCUGGUGUAUUCACCUAAAACCCCGGGUUAACCUGCCUUCAUCAAGUAAGCCACUCCUAUCCAGGUAAUCCUGGCACGACCCGUCGAACGUUUGACAAGUUACUCUCAUUGAGACCCUGAACUUUUCAAAGUUAAAACAACAAUUGGUUAGUUGGAGGCCCAUAUUAAAAGGCUUUAUCAAAUGGUUUAACUCAGCGGCCUGGCAGCCCACGAAAAGCCUCGAAUUUGGGCCUGGCAGCCCUCGAAAAGCCUCGACUACAAGUUUUUAUUCGCUUUCGUUUUUGCAAAGUUUUAUCCUUAUUGAUCAACUUUUAAGGUAAACCGGCAUCUCUUGAUCCGGCCAGGCUAUAUGUCUUCAUCUCAAUCCGGUGUUUCCUAACCCGGUGUGGCUUACAGUUAUCAUCUGUUAAAGCAUAUAAUCAAUGGUGAACCGGCAUCUUUCAAACCGGCCUGGCAUUGACUAUAAGUCGCCAGAAUGAUCAUCCGGCGUUUACAAACACCCGGUAUGGCUUAUUACGCACCAGCAUAAUGUAGUGGGUACCUUCCAACACCCAAAGUUUGGGUUUUCACCCCUACUAAACGAGUUGGCGGACCAACAAAAGUGAUUUAAAAUCACAUGUAUGAUAUGAUUUAUAUUUUAUUACUUUAUAACCCUGGUGAUGAGGAUUCUAUUUCUGUAUUGGGUAUCAUAACCCGUCCGGUGGUAAACUGCCAGGACAUGUUUAAGUAUUUUACAUGCAGAAAAAGACUUAUACGGAAUACCAAGGCAAAUAAAGCAAAGCAUAGCAACAUCAUGCCGGAUUACAGUAUCAAGUAGCAUUGCACGAUGGCGCACAAUCAAAGUAUUUUAUCUAGCCUAUUACAAGGCGCUUUGAUGCCUAAAAGAAUAAUUGUUUGUUGGUCACAACACACGACAAUCAAACCGGCCGGCAGUUUAUGAUUCAGCACCAGGCUGACGUGACGUUGAAGGGUCAUCUCGCGCCGGUUCAGCUUCCUCUUCUUCACCCAGUGGCUAGAAGUCAAGGGUGGUCCAAUCAAUCCUGGUUAAGGCUUGAAAUACAGCUUCAUUGCCUAUAAGGUUGGACGGUUCAAUGUCAGGAGCAUAAGUGUGCUUACGGAUUGGAGGGAUUAAAUUUUGCGGUUCCUUCACAGCUGCGUCAACCCGUUUGCCAUCUGCAUCAUAGCUGGACCGAUAGACAGACAAAUAGGCCUCCUCAGCUAGUUGGCUUGCCAGCGGGCGCAUCUCCUUUGUCAAGACUUUUAGAGCUUCAUUAUCAAAGUCUGAUACGUCCUCUUGUUGAUCGGGUUAGCCUUUGGCAAUAUCUACCGGAUCAAGGUCAGCAAUCCACGCUUUGGCCCAUGUCAGUGCUGUUAAAGCGCUAGCUCGGGCAGCAGAUCGCUUUACCUCUUCUAUCUGCGCUGGGGUCAUAGACAGUUUGUUCAAUGUGUCCUUGAUCAAGAUGGGCGUCGGCUUGUUGAAGGAAGAUGCACAAAUGACUCGUUGAGCACCAGUAUACAAUUUUUCUAUCAAAGUGUAAGUUUCCUUCAACUUCAUCCGUAUGUCAAAGCCUAGAUGAGCAACACGGCUACCUGCAGAACAGUUUAAGAAAGUUAUUGUUAAACCGGCAACUUCAAGAAAUGUUUAUGGAAGGAUUGGACAAAAGAUGCUUACCAAAUAUUGCUAAAGUCAUAGCAUUGACUUGCUGCUUCAGCCCUGCUAGCUCCUGAGCUACCGGUUUAAGUGCUGUUUCGGCAUCUUCAGCCCGCUUUAGGAGAGCUGCCUUUUCGGUUUCCCAGUUCACCCACUCACUUUUGAAGCCAUCUUUCAACUGUUCCAUGGCAGUCAAAGCGCCCUUCAGUUCAUCUUUGGCUUUGGAGGUUUCUGCCUGCUGGGACUUAAUAUUUUCUUGAAGGCCAACAAUCUGGAUGUCUCUGAUGUUCAAGUCAGCCUGCCCAAGACAUAUGAUAAAGAUGUUAAGAUUUUUUCUAAAAAGUCCCAAGCACAUACCAAGUUAUACGCUUGGCACUUGGGGGCUAAUGCGGAUUGCUUUUUGUUUUGACUAUCAUUCAAAGUCCCAAGGCUCAAUACAAGUAUUAAUGUCGACACUUGGGGGCUAAUGCAUAUUUGAUCUGAAUAUUUAAAGAUGAAGGAAUUCAACAAAGACAAGUUUGAAAUAGAAAGUCCCGGUUUAUCAUUAAAAAGGUAAACCGGCCCUUGGAGGCUACACACUUGGAACUCUUUUUAUUUCAAAGUCUUGGUUCAUCUUGAAGAGAUAAACCGUCCCUUGGGGGCUACAAUGGAGUUAUACAUUGCAAAUAAAUUUUUUUAAGUAUUUGAAAGAUUACCUCAUAACGCUCCUUCAUCAAGUUGACUAAACCGGCCUCAUAGUCACGGCUUGUGUAAAGGCGGUUUAAGUAUCCAGAAUGAAGUUCCUGAGCGGGGAGAUGAGCGUAAGUCGAUACAUCAGCUUUCCACUUGCCUUUUUCUUCAGCAGCAAACUCCACCUUGGCACUGUGCUUGGCCAAAGUGACAGGAUUACCAGGAGAAGUAUGGCCAAUCCCAGUAAUCACAACGUCAUCAGUGGCGGCAUUUGGGUUUGCCGGUUUGUCUGAGGCUUUGGCAGGGCUUGGUGGAUCAAAGGCCGGACUUAGAGGAUUAGCUUGUGGGCUUGCUGAAUUGAUAUGAGGACUCGCCGGGGUAACUUCGGGCGGAUCACCAUCAGUGUCUUGGCCUUGUGGCACAGGGUCGUCCAUGACAACAUCAACAAUCUCACCAGCAUCUUCUGAGAUCCUGUCCGGUUCAACCUUAUCAGUGGGAGCAGUUGUUUUUCCUUCUUGCUCAAUCGGGCUUUAGCACUGCAAAAUGGCACGUGAAGGAUUAAUAUGGUAAACCGAGGCAAGAAGACAAAGGUGAAACAUUGUUAUACUUACCCAGGAACGGUCUUAAGGGGAGGCAUUUGGGUGGUUGAUGAACCGCCAGAGGACGAGUUGGAAGUGGCCUAAUAAUUUGAGUCAGACGGAUUAAGAGGAUAUCGAAAGUAACCCGCCAGGGGAUAAGACUUGAUAGAGUUAUAAGAGACCUCUACACGGCGCUUCCAGAGUGGAGUAUCUGGUAAACCGGAAGAAGUGACUUGUUGGCCACUAUGUCGGGUUGUGCGUCGAGCUUCAGGAUGCUGUGGAUCCAAAGGAGUGAAAGGAUGUGAACGCUUCACUUUCCGAACAACGUGACGGGUUUUUCUUACUGGCACAAGAUCGGAAGUGGAAUAAAGGGAGAUUACCUCUACAUUGUUAGCCCGGCUCGCUUUCGCAUCAUCCUGGUAAUGGUCGUUGUCAAUAAGAUGUAUGAAAAAUGAGCCAAGGGAGUCAAGUUCUACCUCUUGUUCCGAAUCAACAUCUUCGGACGGAUCAGAAGACUCAGUUGUUUUCUUCUUGGCUGACUUUUUGAUGGCCUUGCUCUUGGCACCAGCAGCCCUCACCGAUUUCUCUUGAGUUUUUGGCAGUUUGUCCUGAGCUUUCCUCUUCCAGAAGGAAUCUUUGGCCUGUAAAAUUAAACAAAGGAUUAUUAUAGCAGUGUUAAAGCGGAGACAGAUCAAAAAGCACAAGGUUAAAAUUUUAUCGCUGGCGGUUUGUUGGAGGCAUAAAAAGGGCGCAACCCAGUUUUGUUGCAUGCAACGAUCGGUUCGUCCAGCAUCUUCUUCACAGAUUCAGUGACUUCAUCAUCAGUCAUUUCUAUUUCAUUAAACCGUUGAGGAUCCUUGAUGUUGCCGGUAUACUCAUGCAUCAACCCGGGGCGGCGGCUUAAAGGUAGGAUACUCCAUGAAACCCAGCAGCGAACAAGGUCAACACCGGUUAAAUCGUUGGCUAGGAGAGCCCGGAGCUUGGUGAGUUGAGGUGCAUAAACUUGUCAUUCUUUGGUAGUGAGUCGUUGAGGUAAUGGGUGGCCAUUGCGCCGGUGAGCAUGGUAACCCGGCAAAGGAUUUUCUCCAGUAGGAGCGGUGUUCUAACAAUAAAACCAUGUUUGGUUCCAGUCUUUGGGGUGGCUGUGAUGUUUUGCAUGAGGAAAAUCAACUUCUUUUCUCUUCUGGAUUGACACCCCACCAAGUUCAGUGUUGGGACCAUCAGAGAACUCAGUUCGGCGGUUUAGAUGGAAAAAGUUCCGGAAGAGCUCAACAGAUGGUUCUUCUUGAAGGUAAACUUCACAGAAAACUUGGAAAUUACAUAUGUUGGACACAGAAUUCGGUCCAAUAUCUUGUGGAUGGAGUUGAAAGCUAGCAAGUACAUCCCGAAAAAACAUUGAUCCGGGAGGGCUGAAUCCCCGGUCUAGAUGCUGCAUGAACACAAUCACUUCUCCAUCUUGAGGCUCAGGAGGGCAUUCAGGGCCAAGGACUCGCCAAUGAAGGACAUUUUUCUGGGCCAAAGCGCCGGUCAGAACAUAUCCAUUGAGCUGCGUCUCCGUGAUCCGGGAAGGAACCCAGUUGCAAGAGGCGAAUUGCUCGGCCAUUGUGAAAGACAUAUUGUAAAGGAAGUGCAAAAAGCCGGUUCACGGUCCAAGAUUGACUUGCACAAACCGGUGUUAAACCGAGGAAAUUAAUUCAUACAUAUACACACUUUAAACCGGACAUGGAUGUUCAAGGCAAGAUGGCGGUUUAUGCGAGGGCUAAUGGUACCUGCCGGAUUAUCAUUCUCUAAAAGGUUAAACCGCCUACAGAUUGGAAGAAGCAUGUCUAAAAUUUACUAAGUACUAGAGAAACAGAUUUCACAAGAAGGCAUUGUAAUUUUGGAUCUACCGCAGCCUAGCGUCAAGCGGAACAGAGAAGGUUCAGAUGAGGAUCUAUUCAGGAGUAGCAAGAUGCCAUAGUAUGGUAGACUAAAACUACGGAUCCAGCCGCAAAAAGAAACUAUCAGGCCUAGAAGGAUUCGGUAAGAUGCUAAAGAAAAAAAAGUGUUGAUGAACACCGACGAACACUGAAGAAAUUUCGAAACCGUAAUGCAGAUUUGAUAAGGGAAGGAAGAGAAUACUUGCCAGGGCCACACAGCGGCAGAGGAGUGUCGCAGAUCUCUCGAAAUGUUCAGGUUGAUGCAGCGGCCUGAGAUGAGGCAGAGCUUCAAGGUCGACGGCGGCGGCGAUGCUUGAGUUCUUCGGGUCGCGAGGAGGAAGACGAUGCGGAGAGGCAAGGGAAAAAAAUGGAAGGACCCCCCCAGUCUUAUUUAUAAAGGAAAAGGGGAUAAACGGCAUGCGCAAGAAUCGAGGGGCCUGAAGCAGCAAAAGGGGGCGCAGCUGUCACCUCGAUCUUCGGGGAUUAAGAGAAGGGAAUCUUGAUAAAUCUUUUUAUGCAGAGAUGACAUCAUGACGAUUUACUGCAGUGUCAGAAGAUGACGUCAUGACGGUUCACCAUAGUUUACAGGGAGAUGACAACAUGGCGGUUUACAAGAAUCAUUAGAAGACGCUCACGAAAUUUUUCUAAGUAUUGAAGAUUGACAUGAACAGGUUCAAAUCAAUCUAGGGCCUAAUGUUGAAGAUAUAACCACUGAGUGUAAACCACCCAGGAGGGGCCAGUUCACGCUCAGCUAUGCUGAAUUCCAGGAGGCGGAUUAGGGCCCAUAGCGGUAAACCGCCAUAGAUGUAUAACUUGUAUUGUACGUUAAGGAAAGGGAGAGACCGAGCCGGACACUUGUAUGAGCCGGCCUCGGGACUCUUUAAACCGGCCGGGCGUCACCCUGUGUAUAUAAAGGGACGACCCGGCGGUGGUUCAGGGACAACACACAACAACUCGAGACCCAAGCAAAGCGUAUUUGCUCCCUGGUCAUCGAAACCCCAAUAAUCCCAUCACAACUAGACGUAGGCUUUUACCUUCAUCGUAAGGGGCUGAACUAGUAUAAAACUCUCGUGUUCCUUGUCUGGUUUAACCCCAUCAGGCUAAUCUCGUUGCGAUGGCUCCACAACUAAGUCAUUCUGCUAGGACAUCUGACGUGAUAUUUCCAUGACAGUAACCACUGCUCUAAUUUUUUCCGUUCUCCUUUUGUUUUUGUUUUGCACUAUCAUUUUUUAUCUCAUAUUUCAUAUGCUUUUACGACCAAAGUUUAUAAAUUCCAUGACUUUUGACCGUGGCCUACCCCCUCUCUCGGUGCCGGUCAACUUUCUAGACCGACACCGAGAGAGAACUUUAAAGAGUGUAAAGUAAAAAACAUGAGAAGAAGCAGUCCUUGACGUGACACGUGCCUCACAAACCACACACGGGCGGGAACGUCGAGGACCGACUGCGUCCAUCCUCGAGACAGAAUCUUCAGUGGGUGAUCCCAUGACAGAACGAGCCUAGACAUGGUCUGUCAUCUCGCGGUGACAUGCACUAACACGGAGAAGCAGUUAUUCACCGUGACUACACCCUCUCAGUGUCGAAUAACGCCCUAGACCGCCGGGGCCACCAGAUGGGUGCUCGAUAUAGAGACCGCCCGAGGGGGGAGGGCACCCCAACAUGCACGUGGCCCAUGCAUAUGCAUGCAGGGGUGGUGUGCUAUUUGAAUAAGCAACGCACGUCCUUGACGUGGCACGUGCCUCGCAAACCACACACACGAGCGGGAACAUCGAGGACCGGCUGCGUUCGUCCCCGAGACAGAGUCUUCGAUGGGCGAUUCUGUGACAGAACGGGCCUAGACUUGGUAUGUCAUCUCGCGAUGACAUGCACUAACAUGNNNNNNNNNNNNNNNNNNNNNNNNNNNNNNNNNNNNNNNNNNNNNNNNNNNNNNNNNNNNNNNNNNNNNNNNNNNNNNNNNNNNNNNNNNNNNNNNNNNNNNNNNNNNNNNNNNNNNNNNNNNNNNNNNNNNNNNNNNNNNNNNNNNNNNNNNNNNNNNNNNNNNNNNNNNNNNNNNNNNNNNNNNNNNNNNNNNNNNNNNNNNNNNNNNNNNNNNNNNNNNNNNNNNNNNNNNNNNNNNNNNNNNNNNNNNNNNNNNNNNNNNNNNNNNNNNNNNNNNNNNNNNNNNNNNNNNNNNNNNNNNNNNNNNNNNNNNNNNNNNNNNNNNNNNNNNNNNNNNNNNNNNNNNNNNNNNNNNNNNNNNNNNNNNNNNNNNNNNNNNNNNNNNNNNNNNNNNNNNNNNNNNNNNNNNNNNNNNNNNNNNNNNNNNNNNNNNNNNNNNNNNNNNNNNNNNNNNNNNNNNNNNNNNNNNNNNNNNNNNNNNNNNNNNNNNNNNNNNNNNNNNNNNNNNNNNNNNNNNNNNNNNNNNNNNNNNNNNNNGACUACACCCUCUCGGUGUCGAAUAAUGCCCUAGACCGCCGGGGCCACUGGAUGGGUGCUCGAUAUGGAGACCGCCCAAGGGGGGAGGGCACCCCUACAUGCGCGUGGCCCAUGCAUAUGCAUGCAGGGGUGGUGUGCUAUUUGAAUAAGCGCACGUCCUUGACGUGGCACGUGCCUCACAAACAACACACACGGGCGGGAACAUCGAGGACCGGCUGCGUUCGUCCCCAAGACAGAGUCUUCGGUGGGCGAUCCCGUGACAGAACGAGCCUAGACUUGGUCUGUCAUAUCGCGAUGACAUGCACUAACACGAAGAAGCUGUUAUUCCCCAUGGACUACCCCCUCUAGGUGCCGAACAACGCCUUAGACCGCCGGGGCCACCUGAGGGGUGCUGGUCUCUAGAACUGGGCGAGGCCCAUCCGAAGAAGAAAACACAAGAUGGUAAUUGUGAUGUGCUAAGGUUGUUUGCGAAGCAUGAAAUAAAACAACAAAAAAAGUAUAAUACAUAUUAUCGAGAAUGCACAAGAAGGAAAGAGAUCUAGGUUGGAUGCUUUACCGAGAGCGGCUCUCGGAAAAGGUGGCAAUUACCGAGAGCCGAGAAUCGACCCUCGGUAACCACACGUCACAUUUUCUCCCUUCUCUUUUUGUCUUUGUUUUGCACUGUCUUUUUUGUAUCUCAUAUUUCAUAUGCUUUUACGACCAAAGUUUAUAAAUUCCAUGACUUUUGAUGAUUUUUUUCAAAACUCAACUUUAAAGAGUGUAAAGUAAAAAACCAUGAGAAGAAGCAAUUGUUGACCGUGGCCUACCCCCUAUCUCGGUGCCGGUCAACUUCCUAGACCACCGAGACCACCGGAUAGCCCAUGCAUAUACAUGCGAUAUCCUCCUUUGAGAGCACAAGAAGUUUCGAGGCCAACGGAGCAACAGGACCCACACUUCCUGCACAAACCAGACACAUUCCCUCUCGAUACCCAUAGACUUGAAGGAAAUAUACCCUAGAGUCAAUAAUAAAGUUAUUAUUUAUUUCCUUAUAUCAUGAUAAAUGUUUAUUAUUCAUGCUAGAAUUGUAUUAACCGGAAACAUAAUACAUGUGUGAAUACAUAGACAAACAUAAUGUCGCUAGUAUGCCUCUACUUGACUAGCUCGUUAAUCAAAGAAGGUUAUGUUUCCUAACCAUAGACAUGAGUUGUCAUUUAAUUAACGAGAUCACAUCAUUAGGAGAAUGAUGUGAUUGACUUGACCCAUUCCGGUAGCUUAGCACUUGAUCAUUUAGUAUGUUGCUAUUGCUUUCUUCAUGACUUAUACAUGUUCCUACAACUAUGAGUUAUGCAACUCCCAUUUACCGGAGGAACACUUUGUGUGCUACCAAACGUCACAACAUAACUGGGUGAUUAUAAAGGAGCUCUACAGGUGUCUCCAAAGGUACAUGUUGAGUUGGCGUAUUUCGAGAUUAGGAUUUGUCACUCCGAUUGUUGGAGAGGUAUCUCUGGGCCCUCUGGGUAAUGCACAUCACUAUAAGCCUUGCAAGCAAUGUAGCUAAUGAGUUAGUUCUGGGAUGAUGCAUUACAUAACGAGUAAAGAUACUUGCCGGUAACGAGAUUGAGCUUGGUAUUGCGAUACCGACGAUCGAAUCUCGGGCAAGUAACAUAUCGAUGACAAACGGAACAACGUAUGUUGUUAUGUGGUUUGACCGAUAAAGAUCUUUGUAGAAUACGUGGGAGCCACUAUGAGCAUCCAGGUUCCGCUAUUGGUUAUUGACCGGAGACGAGUCAACCGCGUUGUGCUAACGCUUCCGCUUUCGGUCUACGAGGGUAUGUGGACAACACUCUCCUCUCUUGUUGCUAUGCAUCACCAUGAUUUUGCGUGUGCAUAGGAAAUUUUUUGAAAUUACUAUGGUCCCCAAUAGUGGCAUCCAAGCCAGGUUUUAUGCGUAGAUGUUAUAUGCACGAGUAGAACACAAGUGAGUUGUGGGCGAUACAAGUCAUACUGCUUACCAACAUGUCAUACUUUGGUUCGGCGGUAUUGUUGGAUGAAGCGGCCCGGACUGACAUUACGCGCACGCUUACGCGAGACUGGUUCUACCGACGUGCUUUGCACACAGGUGGCUAGCGGGUGUCGGUUCUCCAACUUUAGUUGAACCGAGUGUGGCUACGGCCGGUCCUUGAGAAGGUUCAAAUAGCACUAACUUGACGAACUAUCAUUGUGGUUUUGAUGCGUAGGUAAGAACGGUUCUUGCUCAGCCCAUAACAGCAACGUAAAACUUGCAACAACAAAGUAGAGGACGUCUAACUUAUUUUUGCAGGGCAUGUUGUGAUGUGAUAUGGUCAAGACGUGAUGCUAUAUUUUAUUGUAUGAGAUGAUCAUGUUUUGUAACCGAGUUAUCAGCAACUGGCAGGAGCCAUAUGGUUGUCGCUUUAUUGUAUGCAAUGCAAUCGCCCUGUAAUUGCUUUACUUUAUCACUAAGCGGUAGUGAUAGUCGUAGAAGCAAUAGGUGGCGAAACGACAACGAUGCUGCGAUGAAGAUCAAGGUGUCGCACCGGUGAAGAUGGUGAUCAUGAAGGUGCUUCGGAGACGGUGAUCACAAGCACAAGAUGAUGAUGGCCAUAUCAUAUCACUUAUAUUGAUUGCAUGUGAUGUUUAUCCUUUAUGCAUCUUAUUUUGCUUUGAUUGACGAUAGCAUUAUAAGAUGACCUCUCACUAAAUUUCAAGGUAUAAGUGUUCUCCCUGAGUAUGCACCAUUGCGAAAGUUCUUCGUGUUGAGACACCACGUGAUGAUCGGGUGUGAUAGGCUCUACAUUCAAAUGCAACGGGUGCAAAACAGUUGCACACGCAGAAUACUCAAGUUAAACUUGACGAGCCUAGCAUAUACAGACAUGGCCUCGGAACACUGAGACCGAAAGGUCGAACGUGAAUCAUAUAGUAGAUAUGAUCAACAUAGUGAUGUUCACCAUUGAAAACUACUCCAUCUCACGUGAUGAUCGAACAUGGUUUAGUUUAUUUGGAUUACGUGAUCACUUAGAUGAUUGGAGGGAUGUCUAUCUAUGUGGGAGUUCUUAAGUAAUAUGAUUAACUGAACUUAAAUUUAUCAUGAACUUAGUACCUGAUAGUAUUUUGCUUCUCUAUGUUUGUUGUAGAUAGAUGGCUCGUGUUGUUGUUCCGUUGAAUUUUAAUGCAUUCCUUGAGAAAGCUAAGUUGAAAGAUGAUGGUAGCUGAUACGUCUUCAACGUAUCUAUAAUUUAUGAAGCAUUCAUGCUAUUUUAUUAUCUGUUUUGAAUGAUUACGGGCUUUAUUAUACACUUUUAUAUUACUUUUGGGACUAACCUGUUAACCGGAGGCGCAGCCCAUAUUGCUCUUUUAUUGCCUGUUUCAGUAUUUCGAAGAAAAGGAAUAUCAAACAAAGUGCAAACGGAACGAAACCUUCGGCAGCGUGAUUUUUGGAAAGAUUAUGAUUCAGGAGACUUGGAGUGCAAGUCGGGGCAUCAUCGACGAGGCCAUGAGACAGGGGGGCGCCCCCACCCCCUGGGCGCGCCCUACCCUCUUGUGGGCCCCUCGAGGCUCCCCCGACCGACUUCUUUCACCUAUAUAAGCCUACGUACCCUAAAAACAUCGAUGAGGAAGAUAGAUUGGGAGUUCCGCCGCCGCAAGCCUCUGUAGCCACCAAAAACCUCUCGGGAGCUCGUUCCGGCACCCUGCCGGAGGGGGAACUGAUGACCCACAAGUGUAGGGGAUCUAUCGUAGUCCUUUCGAUAAGUAAGAGUGUCGAACCCAACGAGGAGCAGAAGGAAAUGAUAAGAGGUUUUCAGUAAGGUUUUCUCUGUAAGCACUGAAAUUGUAGGUAAUAGAUAAUUUUGUAAAAAGAUAAAUAGUAACGAGCAACAAGUAAAUAAAGUAAGUAAAGUGCAGCAAGGUGGCCCAAUCCUUUAUGUAGCAAAGGAUAAUCCUGGACAAUUUCUAAUAAUGAAGAAGGAGCUCCCGAGGACACAUUGGGAAUUAUCGUCAAGCUAGUUUUCAUCACGUCAUAUGAUUCACGUUCGGUACUUUGAUAAUUUGAUAUGUGGGUGGACCGGUACUUGGGUACUUCCCUAACUUGGACAAGCAUCCCACUUAUGAUUAACCCCUAUUGCAAUCAUCCGCAACUACAAAAAGGAGUAUUAAGGUAAACCUAACCACAACAUUAAACAUAUGGAUCCAUAUCAGCCCCUAACGAAGCAACGCAUAAACUAGGGUUUAAGCUUCUUUCACUCUAGCAACCCAUCAUCUACUUAUUACUUCCCCAUGCCUUCCUCUAGGCCCAAAUAAUGGUGAAGUGUCAUGUAGUCUAUGUUCACAUAACACCACUAGAGGAAAAGACAACAUACAUCUCAUCAAAAUAUCGAACGAAUACCAAAUUCACAUGACUACUAAUAGCAAGACUUCACCCAUGUCCUCAGGAACAAAUGUAACCACUCAAAAAGCAUAUUCAUGUUCAUAAUCAGAGGAGUAAUAAUAUGCAUAAAGGAUCUGAACAUAUGAUCUUCCACCAAGUAAACCAAUUAGCAUCAACUACAAGGAGUAAUCAACACUACUAGCAACCCACAAGUACCAAUUUGUGGUUUUGAUACAAGAUUGGAUACAAGAGAUGAACUAGGGUUUUGAGAGGAGAUGGUGCUGGUGAAGAUGUUGAUGGAGAUUGACCCCCUCCCGAUGAGAGGAUCCUUGGUGAUGACGUUGGUGAUGAUUUCCCCCUCUCGGAGGGAAGUGUCCCCAGCAGAACAGCUCCGCCAGGGCCCUAGAUUGAUUCGGCCAAGGUUCCGCCUCGUGGCGGCGGAGUUUUGUCCCGUAAGCUUGCCCACGAUUUUUUCUAGGGUAAAAGUGAUGAUAUAGCAGAAGAUGGACGCCGGAGGCCCACGAGGGGGCCUAGGAGACAGGGGCGCCCCCCCCCCCUAUAGGGCGCGCCCCCUGUCUCCUGGAUAGGGUGUGGCCCCCCUGGCCUAUUUCUUUCGCUCAUAAAUUCUUUUUAAAUACAAAAAGUUGUUUCGUGGAGUCUCAGGACUUUUGGAGCUGUGCAGAAUAGGUUUCCAACGUUUGCUCCUUUUCCAGCCAGAAUUCCAGCUGCCGGCAUUCCCCCUCUUCAUGGUAAACCUUGUAAAAUAAGAGAGAAUAGCCAUAAGUAUUGAGAUAUAAUGUGUAAUAACAGCCCAUAAUGCAAUAAAUAUUGAUAUAAAAGCAUGAUGCAAAAUGGACUUAUCAGGAACCCAUCACCGGUGGCCAUCUUCAUCAUCCCAACGCUAUCCAUGACGAGGAGGGAGUAGUUCACCCUCGGGGCUGAGGGUAUGUACCAGUAGCUAUGUGUUUGAUCUCUCUCUCUCUCGUGUUCUCUCUAUGGCACGAUCUUGAUGUAUCGCGAGCGUUGCUGUUAUAGUUGGAUCUUUUGAUGUUUCUCCCCCUCUACUCUCUUGUGAUGAAUUGAGUUUUCCUCUUGAAGUUAUCUUAUCGGAUUGAGUCUUUAAUGAUUUGAGAACACUUGAUUUAUGUCUUGCCGUGUUCAUCUAUGGUGACAAUGGGAUAUCACGUCCCACUUGAUGUAUGUUUUGGUGAUCAACUUGCGGGUUCGGCCCAUGAACCGAUGCAUAGGGGUUGGCACGCGUUUUCAUCUUGACUCUCCGGUAGAAACUUUGGGGCACUCUUUGAAGUACUUUGUGUUGGUUGAAUGGAUGAAUCUGAGAUUGUGUGAUGCAUAUCUUAUAAUCAUGCCCACGGAUACUUGAGGUGACAAUGGAGUAUCUAGGUGACAUUAGGGUUUUGGGUGAUUUGUGUCUUAAGGUGUUAUUCCAGUACGAACUCUUGAAUAGAUUGAUCCGAAAGAAUGACUUUGAGGUGGUUUCAUACCCUACCAUAAUCUCUUCAUUUGUUCUCCGCUAUUAGUGGCUUUGGAGUGACUCUUUGUUGCAUGUUGAGGGAUUGUUAUAUGAUCUAUCUAUGUUAUUAUUGUUGAGAGAACUUGCACUAGUGAAAGUAUGAACCCUAUGCCUUGUUUCCUAUCAUUGCAAAACCAUUUACGCUCACUUUUAUCAUUAGUUACCUUGCUGUUUUUAUAUUUUCAUAUUACAAAAACCUUUAUCUACCAUCCAUAUUGCACUUGUAUCAUCAUCUCUUCGCCGAACUAGUGCACCUAUACAAUUUACCAUUGUAUUGGGUGUGUUGGGGACACAAGAGACUCUUUGUUAUUUGGUUGCAGGGUUGCUUGAGAGAGACCAUCUUCAUCCUACGCCUCCCACGGAUUGAUAAACCUUAGGUCAUCCACUUGAGGGAAAUUUGCUACUGUCCUACAAACCUGUGCACUUGCAGGCCCAACAACGUCUACAAGAAGAAGGUUGUGUAGUAGACAUCAGUACCAAUUACACGGACUAGGUCCGUAACUUGAGGAUUAUCCUCAUUGCUGCACAGAAGAAUUAAGUCCUGGAAGCACCACUGGGUGCCAGGCCUGCUGCAGAUGCAACUGACGACGUUAAGAAUGUCUGGCAGAGCAAAGCUGAUGACUACUCGAUAGUUCAGUGUGCCAUGCUGUACGGCUUAGAACCGGGACUUCAACGACGUUUUGAACGUCAUGGAGCAUAUGAGAUGUUCCAGGAGUUGAAGUUAAUAUUUCAAGCAAAUGCCCAGAUUGUGAGAUAUGAAGUCUCCAAUAAGUUCUAUAGCUGCAAGAUGGAAGAGAAUAGUUCUGUCAGUGAACAUGUACUCAAAAUGUCUGGGUAUAAUAAUCACUUGAUUCAACGGGGAGUUAAUCUUCCUAAUGAUAGUGCCAUUGACAGAAUUCUUCAAUCACUGCUACCAAGCUACAAGAGCUUCGUGAUGAACUAUAAUAUACAAGGGAUGGACAAGACUAUUCCCUAGCUCUUCGCAAUGCUAAAAGCUGCGGAGGUAGAUAUCAAAAAGGAGCAUCAUGUGUUGAUGGUGAAUAAGACCACCAGGUUCAAGAAAAAGGGUAAAGGGAAGAAGAAGGGGAACUUCAAGAAGAACGACAAAAAGUUGCUGCUCAAGAGAAGAAACCCAAAUCUGGACCUAAGCCUGAGACUGAGUGCUUCUACUACAAGCAGACUGGUCACUGGAAGCGGAACUACACCAAGUAUUUGGCGGAUAAGAAGGAUGGCAAGGUGAACAAAGAUAUAUGUGAUAUACAUGUUAUUGAUGUGUACCUUACUAAUGCUCGCAGUAGCACCUGGGUAUUUGAUACUGGUUCUGUUGCUAAUAUUUGCAAAUCGAAACAGGGACUACGGAUUAAGCAAAGAUUGGCUAAGGACGAGGUGACGAUGCGUGUGGGAAAUGGUUCCAAACUCGAUGUGAUCGCGGUCGGCAUGCUAACUCUACAUCUACCUUCGAGAUUAAUUUUAGACCUAAAUAAGUGUUAUUUGGUGCCAGCGUUAAGCAUGAACAUUAUAUAUGGAUCUUGUUUGAUGCGAGACGGUUAUUCAUUUAAAUCAGAUAAUAAUGGUUGUUCUAUUUAUAUGAGUAAUAUCUUUUAUGGUCAUGCACCCUUGAAGAGUGGUCUAUUUUUAUUAAAUCUCGAUAGUAGUGAUACACAUAUUCAUAAUGUUGAAGCCAAAAGAUGCAGAGUUGAUAAUGAAGGUGCAACUUAUUUGUGGCACUGCCGUUUGGGUCAUAUUGGUGUAAAGCGAAUGAAGAAACUCCAUACUGAUGGACUUCUAGAAUCACUUGAUUAUGAAUCACUUGAUUAUGAAUCACUUGGUACUUGUGAACCGUGCCUCAUGGGCAAGAUGACUAAAACACCGUUCUUUGGAACUAUGGUGCGAGCAACAGAUUUGUUGGAAAUCAAACAUACUGAUGUAUGUGGUCCAAUGAACAUUGAGGCUCGCGGCGGGUAUCGUUAUUUUCUCACCUUCGCAGAUGAUUUGAGCAGAUAUGGGUAUAUCUACUUAAUGAAACAUAAGUCUGAAACAUUUGAAAAGUUCAAAGAAUUUCAGAGUGAAGUGGAAAAUCAUCAUAACAAGAAAAUAAAGUUUCUACGAUCUGAUCAUGGAGGAGAAUAUUUGAGUUAUGAGUUUGGUUUACAUUUGAAACAAUGCGGAAUAGUUUCGCAACUCACGCCACCUGGAACACCACAACGUAAUGGUGUGUCCGAACGUCGUAAUCGUACUUUACUCGAUAUGGUGUGAUCUAUGAUGUCUCUUACUGAUUUACUGCUAUCGUUUUGGGGAUAUGCUUUAGAGACGGCUACAUUCACGUUAAAUAGGGCACCAUCAAAAUCCGUUGAGAUGACGCCUUAUGAACUGUGGUUUGGCAAGAAACCAAAGUUGUCAUUUCUUAAAGUUUGGGGCUGUGAUGCUUAUGUAAAGAAACUUCAACCAGAUAAGCUUGAACCCAUAUCGAAGAAAUGUGUCUUCAUAGGAUACCCAAAAGAAACUAUUGGGUACACCUUCUAUCACAGAUCUGAAGGCAAGACUUUUGUUGCUAAAUUUGGAUCCUUUCUAGAGAAGGAGUUUCUCUCGAAAGAAGUGAGUGGGAGGAAAGUAGAACUUGAUGAGGUAACUGUACCUGCUCCCUUAUUGGAAAAUAGUUCAUCACAGAAACCGGUUCCUGUGACAACUACACCAAUUAGUGAGGAAGCUAAUGAUAUUGAUCAUGAUACUUCAGAUCAAGUUACUACCGAACCUCAUAGGUCAACCUGAGUAUGAUCCGCACCAGAGUGGUACGAUAAUCCUAUCUUGGAGGUCAUGUUACUUGACCAUGGUGAACCUAUGAACUAUGAGGAAGCGAUGAUGAGCCAAGAUUUCGUAAAAUGGCUUGAGGCCAUGAAAUCUGAGAUGGGAUCCAUGUAUGAGAAUAAAUUAUGGACUUUGGUUGACUUGCCCGAUGGUCGGCAAGCCAUCGAGAAUAAAUGGAUCUUCAAGAAGAAGACUGACGCUGAUGGUAAUGUAACUGUCUACAAAGCUCGACUUGUUGCGAAAGGUUUUUGACAAGUUCAAGGAGUUGACUACCAUGAGACUUUCUCACCCGUAGCGAUGCUUAAGUAUGUCCGAAUCAUGUUAGCAAUUGCCGCAUUUUAUGAUUAUGAAAUAUGGCAAAUGGAUGUCAAAAUUGCAUUCCUGAAUGGAUUUCUGGAAGAAGAGUUGUAUAUGAUGCAACCAGAAGGUUUUGUCGAUCCAGAAAGUGCUAACAAAGUGUGCAAGCUCCAGCGAUCCAUUUAUGGACUGGUUCAAGCCUCUCGGAGUUGGAAUAAACAUUUUGAUAGUGUGAUCAAAACAUAUGGUUUUAUACAGACUUUUGGAGAAGCCUGCAUUUACAAGAAAGUGAGUGGGAGCUCUGUAGCAUUUCUGAUAUUAUAUGUAGACGACAUAUUGUUGAUUGGAAAUGAUAUAGAAUUUCUGGAUAGCAUAAAAGGAUACUUGAAUAAAAGUUUUUCAAUGAAAGACCUCGGUGAAGCUGCUUACAUAUUAGGCAUCAAGAUCUAUAGAGAUAGAUCAAGACACUUAAUUGGACUUUCACAAAGCACAUACCUUGAUAAAGUUUUGAAAAAGUUCAAAAUGGAUCAAGCAAAGAAAGGGUUCUUGCAUGUAUUACAAGGUGUGAAGUUGAGUUAGACUCAAUGCCCGACCACAGCAGAAGAUAGAGAGAAAAUGAAAGAUGUUCCCUAUGCUUCAGCCAUAGGCUCUAUCAUUUAUGCAAUGCUGUGUACCAGACCUGAUGUAUGCUUAGCAAUAAGUUUAGCAGGGAGGUACCAAAGUAAUCCAGGAGUGGAUCACUGGACAGCGGUCAAGAAUAUCCUGAAAUACCUGAAAAAGACUAAGGAUAUGUUUCUCGUUUAUGGAGGUGACAAAGAGCUAGUCAUAAAUGGUUACGUCGAUGCAAGCUUUGACACUGAUCUGUACGAUUCUAAAUCGCAAGCCGGAUACGUAUUUAUAUUGAACGGUGGAGCUGUCAGUUGGUGCAGUUCUAAACAAAGUGUCCUGGCGGGAUCUACAUGCGAAGCGGAGUACAUAGCUGCUUCGAAAGCAGCAAAUGAAGGACUCUGGAUGAAGGAGUUCAUAUCCGAUCUAGGUGUCAUACCUAGUGCAUCGGGACCAAUGAAGAUCUUCUGUGACAAUACUGGUGCAAUUGCCUUGGCAAAGGAAUCCAGAUUUCACAAGAGGACCAAGCACAUCAAGAGACGCUUCAAUUCCAUCCGAGACCAAGUCCAGGUGGGAGACAUAGAGAUUUGCAAGAUACAUACGGAUCUGAAUGUUGCAGACCCGUUGACUAAGCCUCUUCCACGAGCAAAACAUGAUCAGCACCAAGGCUCCAUGGGUGUUAGAAUCAUUACUGUGUAAUCUAGAUUAUUGACUCUAGUGCAAGUGGGAGACUAAAGGAAAUAUGCCCUAGAGGCAAUAAUAAAAUUAUUAUUUAUUUCCUUAUAUCAUGAUAAAUGUUUAUUAUUCAUGCUAGAAUUGUAUUAACCGGAAACAUAAUACAUGUGUGAAUACAUAGACAAACAUAAUGUCACUAGUAUGCCUCUACUUGACUAGCUCGUUAAUCAUAGAUGGUUAUGUUUCCUAACCAUAGACAUGAGUUGUCAUUUGAUUAACGGGAUCACAUCAUUAGGAGAAUCAUGUGAUUGACUUGACCCAUUCCGUUAGCUUAGCACUUGAUCGUUUAGUAUGUUGCUAUUGCUUUCUUCAUGACUUAUACAUGUUCAUACAACUAUGAGAUUAUGCAACUCCCAUUUACCGGAGGAACACUUUGUGUGCUACCAAACAUCACAACGUAACUGGGUGAUUGUAAAGGAGCUCUACAGGUGUCUCCAAAGGUACAUGUUGAGUUGGCGUAUUUCGGGAUUAGGUUUUGUCACUCCGAUUGUCGGAGAGGUAUCUCUGGGCCCUCUCGGUAAUGCACAUCACUAUAAUUAUUGCAAGCAAUGUAGCUAAUGAGUUACUUACGGAAUGAUGCAUUACAUAACGAGUAAAGAGACUUGCCAGUAACGAGAUUGAACUAGGUAUUGAGAUACCGACGAUCGAAUCUCGGGCAAGUAACAUACCGAUGACAAAGGGAACAACGUAUGUUGUUAUGCGGUUUGACCGAUAAAGAUCUUCGUAGAAUAUGUAGGAUCCAAUAUGAGCAUCUAGGUUCCGCUAUUGGUUAUUGACCGGAGACGUGUCUCGGUCAUGUCUACAUAGUUCUCAAACCCGUAUAGUCCGCACGCUUAAAGUUAGAUGACAGUUAUAUUAUGAGUUCAUGUGUUUUGAUGUACCGAAGAUAGUUCGGAGUCCCGGAUGUGAUCAUGGAAAUGACGAGGAGUCUCGAAAUGGUCGAGACAUGAAGAUUGAUAUAUUGGUCGACUAUAUUCGGACACCGGAAUGGUUCUGGGGGUUAUCGGAUAUAUACCGGAGUACCGGGGGGUUACCGGAACCUCCCGGGGGGUUAAUGGGCCUCAUGGGCCCAAAGUGGAGAAGAGGAGGGGCGGCCAGGGCAGGCCACGUUCCCCCUCCCCCUCUAGUCCGAAUAGGACAAGGAGGGGGGCGACGCCCCCCUUUCCUUCCUCCCCUCUCUCCCUUCCUUCCCCCUCUCCUACUUGGACAAGGAAAGGAGGGAGUCCUACUCCCGAUGGGAGUAGGACUCCUCCUAGCACGCCCCCUCCUGGCCGGCCGCCCCCUCCCCCCUUGCUCCUUUAUAUACGGGGGAAGGGGGCACCUCUAGAGACAACAACAAAUGAUCCUUGAGAUCUAUUAGCCGUGUGCGGUGCCCCCGUCCACCAUAUUCCACCUCGAUAAUAUCGUAGCGGUGCUUAGGCGAAGUCCUGCAUCGGUAGAACAUCAUCAUCGUCAUCAUGCCGUCAUGCUGACGGAACUCUCCCUCGACACUCGGCUGGAUCGGAGUUCGAGGGACGUCAUCAAGCUGAACGUGUGCAGGAACUCGGAGGUGACGUGCUUUCGGUGCUUGAUCGGUAGGGCCGUGAAGACGUAUGACUACAUCAACCGCGUUGUGCUAACGCUUCCGCUUUCGGUCUACGAGGGUAUGUGGACAACACUCUCCCCUCUCGUUGCUAUGCGUCACCAUGAUCUUGCAUGUGCGUAUGAUUUUUUUUGAAAUAACUAGGUUCCCCAACAAGACUAUCUCGAAGAAUGGGCCUAGACUUGGUCUGUCAUCUCGCGAUGACAUGCACUAACAUGGAGAAGCAGUUAUUCACCAUGGACUACACCCUCUCGGCGCCGAAUAAUGCCCUAGACCGCUGGGGCCACCGGAUGGGUGCUCGAUAUGGAGACCGCCUGAGGGGGUGGGGGGGAGGGCACCCCUACAUGCGCGUGGCCCAUGCAUAUGCAUGGAGGGGUGGUGUGCUAUUUGAAUAAGCAACGCACGUCCUUGACGUGGCACGUGCCUCACAAACCACACACAUGGGCAGGAACGUUGAGGACCGGCUGCGUUCGUCCCCGAGACAGAGUCUUCGGUGGGCGAUCCCAUGANNNNNNNNNNNNNNNNNNNNNNNNNNNNNNNNNNNNNNNNNNNNNNNNNNNNNNNNNNNNNNNNNNNNNNNNNNNNNNNNNNNNNNNNNNNNNNNNNNNNNNNNNNNNNNNNNNNNNNNNNNNNNNNNNNNNNNNNNNNNNNNNNNNNNNNNNNNNNNNNNNNNNNNNNNNNNNNNNNNNNNNNNNNNNNNNNNNNNNNNNNNNNNNNNNNNNNNNNNNNNNNNNNNNNNNNNNNNNNNNNNNNNNNNNNNNNNNNNNNNNNNNNNNNNNNNNNNNNNNNNNNNNNNNNNNNNNNNNNNNNNNNNNNNNNNNNNNNNNNNNNNNNNNNNNNNNNNNNNNNNNNNNNNNNNNNNNNNNNNNNNNNNNNNNNNNNNNNNNNNNNNNNNNNNNNNNNNNNNNNNNNNNNNNNNNNNNNNNNNNNNNNNNNNNNNNNNNNNNNNNNNNNNNNNNNNNNNNNNNNNNNNNNNNNNNNNNNNNNNNNNNNNNNNNNNNNNNNNNNNNNNNNNNNNNNNNNNNNNNNNNNNNNNNNNNNNNNNNNNNNNNNNNNNNNNNNNNNNNNNNNNNNNNNNNNNNNNNNNNNNNNNNNNNNNNNNNNNNNNNNNNNNNNNNNNNNNNNNNNNNNNNNNNNNNNNNNNNNNNNNNNNNNUUAUUCACCAUGGAUUACACCCUCUCGGUGCCGAAUAAUGCCCUAGACCACCGGGGCCACCGGAUGGGUGCUCUAUAUAGAGGUCGCCCGAGGGGGGGAGGGCACCCCUACAUGUGUGUGGCCCAUGCAUAUGCAUGCAGGGGUGGUGUGCUAUUUGAAUAAGCAACGCACGUCCUUGACGUGGCACGUGACUCACAAAACAGAACGGGCCAAGGCUUGGUCUGUCAUCUCGCGAUGACAUGCACUAACACAAAGAAGCAGUUAUUCCCCGUGGCCUACCCCCUCUAGGUGCCGAACAACACCCUACACCGCCGGGGCCACCGGAGCAACAUGACCAGCACUUCCUGCACAAAACGGACACGUUCCGACACCAUUAAUAAAAAAAACACCAGGAUCCACCAUUAAGAAGAAGGCCUAUCACUUUGAAUGUUCUCUGCUCGAGAUAGGUGAACAUUCAAAGUGAUAGUCCAUCUCCUUAACAAGAGUGUAAUGAAUACCGAAGCUUACUGCAGCUGGACUAUCCCACUAUUUAAAUAGGUUUUGUUGCUUGUCUCUAGGCGAGGUGGGACUAAACUUUGAUGGUGCCCUAAUCAUUACUGAGAGCGACUCUCGGCACCUGCUCAUUUACCGAGAGCUUCGAGUCGACCCUUGGUAACCACUACUUUACCGAGAGUUCUCUCGGCAUAACUGUAACAGCCAAGUGCCUUCAACUCCCAGCGCAUGCCUCUUUGCCUUGUACCGCCCUCGGUAAAAUUUUGUUUCCAGUUCUGUUCAUAGUAUUUUUUGCUCGAGUUGGUGCAGCAAAAACAUUUAUACAAUACUCAAACUUGCAUUUCAAGUCACAUAGGUUAACAACAAACUCACAUAAGCAUUAAUCCAUAAAUAGUUCACACAAGCUUCAUUUCAAAUCACAAAGUAGCUCUUUAGUACAAGUGCCUACUUAAUAAUUAAACAACAAAGUGGUCUGCAUGCAUGCACCAUAUGAUAAAAAGCAACACCACAAUUAUGACAAACUAAAAGAGAGUUAUGAAGUUCUUCAACCCACUGAACCAGCUAAGCCGUGUCUGGCUUGCACCAUUGCGUAAUUCUGUUUUUCUCUUUUGCUUAAGCAAAUACUGAUUGUAAUGAUACUCUGUCGUCUCUCUGUUGUUGAAUGAGGUGAAGGAGUUGCCUUCAUAAUGAAGUAUUUGUUCAUUGCAUUCCGACCAUGAAUGGUAGACUCCUGGACACAGUCCUCUGUACACCACAUACCACUUCAUCUACAAAAGAAAAAGAAAUAAGGCACAUCAUACAUAAUCAACAUAAGCAUUCAUCACUCAUACAAUCAAAAGCAUCGCAAGUGGCCAUCCAAGUCCAUAUCAGCAGGUACAUAACUAUACCACUAAAUCAACGUCAAACUAUCUAGGUGACUACUCCGAGGUGUAGUCGGUGAAACCAGUGAUCGUCGAGUCAGAGCACAUGGGGGCAUCCCCCACAGUGGAGGACCAAGCAUCGUUGAGAAUGAUGGUCGGUUGACUCAAUGGCUCCUUGCGUGGUGGAGCCUUACCCUCCUUAGCUGGGGGAUUCUUCUUGGCCAGAUCCACAAAAAACAUCAUUAGGAUCAGCUAUGGGUUCUACUCAAGGAGCUCGUCCAAGCAGUACUCGGAGCUCUUCUCCGUGUCCGUGGAGUCGACCCUAAUGGAAUCUUCGCCAUUGGAGGCCAUAGCCAAAAAAUCGAUCGAUGCUAACACCUUUCAUCACACAAUGGAAAAUAACAUAAGAAUCAAACAUGAAAGAUAUAACAUGUAGAGCUCACGUAGAUCGACCGCUGCCCGCACGACCCAGCCGUCCCGGCCUCCUUUCGAUCCCCAGUCCUGACUGCCGCCAUCGUCUCCCACCUCUCGAUCCCCUACCUCCAUCGCCGGCCUUCUCUGGUUGCCAUGGCAACCAGAGCAGAUCCGUAGGGCCUUCCCACCGCUAACCACACCCCCCCUCCCNNNNNNNNNNNNNNNNNNNNNNNNNNNNNNNNNNNNNNNNNNNNNNNNNNNNNNNNNNNNNNNNNNNNNNNNNNNNNNNNNNNNNNNNNNNNNNNNNNNNNNNNNNNNNNNNNNNNNNNNNNNNNNNNNNNNNNNNNNNNNNNNNNNNNNNNNNNNNNNNNNNNNNNNNNNNNNNNNNNNNNNNNNNNNNNNNNNNNNNNNNNNNNNNNNNNNNNNNNNNNNNNNNNNNNNNNNNNNNNNNNNNNNNNNNNNNNNNNNNNNNNNNNNNNNNNNNNNNNNNNNNNNNNNNNNNNNNNNNNNNNNNNNNNNNNNNNNNNNNNNNNNNNNNNNNNNNNNNNNNNNNNNNNNNNNNNNNNNNNNNNNNNNNNNNNNNNNNNNNNNNNNNNNNNNNNNNNNNNNNNNNNNNNNNNNNNNNNNNNNNNNNNNNNNNNNNNNNNNNNNNNNNNNNNNNNNNNNNNNNNNNNNNNNNNNNNNNNNNNNNNNNNNNNNNNNNNNNNNNNNNNNNNNNNNNNNNNNNNNNNNNNNNNNNNNNNNNNNNNNNNNNNNNNNNNNNNNNNNNNNNNNNNNNNNGUGAAUCUACGAUCUCCCACUGCUUCUCAUCCUUUCUGGGCAGAAAUUGCAAAUUUACCAACGAAGGUGGCGACGGAUCCAUGCUAUCAGGGCAAAACACUACAUGGUUUUGUGUGUCUUCGCAUUUGCCAAGUAGCAUACACCAGAUCUGCCAUGUACUACGCUAGAGUUAAGCUUAAGUUCUCAGUUCGCUUGGUGCAAGUAGUUGGUAAUGAAUGGAUGCGUAGGAAUCCCUAAAAAGGGAGAGAAAUGAGAAAUUUGGAAUAAAGGGGGGGUAGGAAAAUUAGUUGCCACUUGUGUCUAACAUCAGUUGCCACCUAUCGUUGUCGUUAACUGCCACCAUGUUAACUUGUUGCUUUCCAUCCUAUUGUAGUGGUUGUUGCCAUCGAAUCAAAAGGAUAGCUGGCACCCAUAUUUUAGAAAAGAGAGUGGAUGUGCAUGUCCUACUUGCCAUGAUGUGUUGGUUUCCUACGCAUGAAAAUGUGAUAAGACUGCCGUGUGAUACGUCUCCGUCGUAUCUACUUUUCCAAACACUUUUGCCCUUGUUUUGGACUCUAACUUGUAUGAUUUGAAUGGAACUAACCCGGAGUGACGCAGUUUUCAGCAGAAUUGCCAUGAUGUUGUUUUAUGUGCAGAAAACAAAAGUUUUCGGAAUGACCUGAAACUCCACGGAAUAUCUUAGAAUAAAUAAUAAAAAAUCCUCGCCAAAGAUGAAGACCAGGGGGCCCAUACCCUGUCCACGAGGGUGGGGAGCGCCCCCUAGGGCACGCCCCCUACCUCGUGGGCCCCCUGGUGGCCCUCCGACGCCAACUCCAACUCCAUAUAUUGGCUUUCGGGGAGAAAAAAAUGAGAGAGAAGAAAUCAUCACGUUUUACGAUACGGAGCCGCCACCAAGCCCUAAUCUCUCUCGGGAGGGCUGAUCUGGAGUCCGUUCGGGGCUCCGGAGAGGGGGAUUCGUCGCCGUCAUCAUCAUCAACCAUCCUCCAUCACCAAUUUCAUGAUGCUCACCUCCGUGCGUGAGUAAUUCCAUCGUAGGCUUGCUGGACGGUGAUGGGUUGGAUGAGAUUUAUCAUGUAAUCGAGUUAGUUUUGUUAGGUUUUGAUCCCUAGUAUCCACUAUGUUCUGAGAUUGAUGUUGCUAUGACUUUGCUAUGCUUAAUGCUUGUCACUAGGGCCCGAGUGCCAUGAUUUCAGAUCUGAACCUAUUAUGUUUUCAUGAAUAUAUGUGUGUUCUUGAUCCUAUCUUGCAAGUCUAUAGUCACCUACUAUGUGUUAUGAUCCGGCAACCCCGAAGUGACAAUAAUCGGGACCACUCCCGGUGAUGACCAUAGUUUGAGGAGUUCAUGUAUUCACUAUGUGCUAAUGCUUUGUUCCGGUUCUCUAUUAAAAGGAGGCCUUAAUAUCCCUUAGUUUCCAAUAGGACCCCGCUGCCACGGGAGGGUAGGACAAAAGAUGUCAUGCAAGUUCUUUUCCAUAAGCACGUGUGACUAUAUACGGAAUACAUGCCUACAUUACAUUGAUGAAUUGGAGCUAGUUCUGUGUCACCCUAUGUUAUGACUUUACAUGACGAACCGCAUCCGGCAUAAUUAUCCAUCACUAUUCCGGUGCCUACGAGUUUUCCAUAUACUGGUUCUCGCUUAUUUACUUUUCCGUUGCUACUGUUACAAUCAGUACAAAAUACCAAAAACAUUACUUUUGCUGUCUUUACUUUUGUUACCGUUACCACCACUAUCAUAUUACUUUGCUACUAAACACUUUGCUGCAGAUACUAAGUUUCCAGGUGUGGUUGAAUUGACAACUCAGCUGCUAAUACUUGAGAAUAUUCUUUGGCUCCCCUUGUGUCGAAUCAAUAAAUUUGGGUUGAAUACUCUACCCUCGAAAUCUGUUGCGAUCCCCUAUACUUGUGGGUUAUCAAGACCUUUUUCUGGCGCCGUUGCCGGGGAGCAUAGCUCUAUUCUUUGAGUCACUUGGGAUUUAUAUCUGCUAGACACUAUGAAGAACUUGAAAGACGAUCUAAAUACUAUUUUGCCCUCAACUACGAGGGGAGGUAAGGAACUGCCAUCUAGCUCUGCACUAGAUUCUCCUUCCAUUAUAAGUAAGCUUGCAACACCUAAACCUGCUACUGCUAUUCGUUCUGAUAUGUCGCAUGUUAUUGAUGAUGCCACUUCUGCUAUGCAUGAUACUUAUGAUGAAACUACUUCUAUGCUUGAUACUACUGUGCCCCUUGGUGAAUUUCUAGAUGAACAAAUUGCUAGGUCUAGAGAAAGAGAAAUUAUUGAAUCUGAAUACGAUGAUGAUAGUGAUGAUGAAAAUAUGCCUGCUAUUCCUGAGGGUUCUCUUUUUGAUGCAGAAUCUUCUACAACUAUUUUUGCUUGCCAGGAUAGAUACGAACUUAAGAGGCUACUAGUUAAAUGGAGUAAACAAUCUCUUAGAGAUAGAAUGAGACCCGACCCUGCUUUUGCUACUUCACCUAUCUGUGUUCCCGAUAAGGAUUAUUAUGAAUUUUCUGUUGAUCCAGAUAUAAUUACUUUGGUUGAAUCUGAUCCUUUCUAUGGCUAUGAAUCUGAAACUGUUGUGGCACAUCUUACUAAGUUAAAUGAUAUAGCCGCUCUGUUUACUAAUGAUGAGAGAUCGUGCUACCUUUAUUUACUCAAAAUAUUUCCAUUCUCAUUAAAGGGUGAUGCUAAGAUAUGGUUUAAUUCUCUUGAUCCUGGUUGUGUGCGUAGUCCCCAGGAUAUGAUUUAUUACUUCUCUGCUAAAUAUUUCCCUGCUCAUAAGAAACAAACUGCCUUAAGGGAAAUAUACAACUUCGUGCAACUUAAAGAAGAGAGUCUCCCACAAGCUUGGGGGAGGCUUCUCAAGUUACUUAAUGCUUUGCCUGAUCAUCCACUUAAGAAACCUGAAAUACUUGAUAUCUUUUAUAAUGGACUAACUGAUGCUUCCAGAGAUUACCUGGAUAGUUGUGUUGGUUCUCUUUUCAGGGAAAGAACAUCGGAUGAAGCUGAAAUUCUAUUGAAUAAUAUGUUAAUAAAUGAAAAUAAUUGGGCACCUUCUGAGCCACCUCCUGAGCCAGCUCCUGAGCCAAUUACCGAGCCUAUUCCUAAUCCAACUCCGAAGAAGAGAGGUGUUCUAUUUCUCAGUCCCGAAGAUAUGCAAGAGGCAAAGAAAUCUAUGAAAGAAAAAGGUAUUAAAGCCAAAUAUGUUAAGAAUUUACCUCCUAUUGAAGAAAUACACGGUCUUAAUUUACCGCCUGUUGAAGAAGUAUAUGAUCUCAAUUCCUUAUUCACUGAAGAACCCUCCUGAUCCCGAUAUCCCGACACAGGUAGUAAAGGUAAAUUUCUCUAUAGAUAUGAUAAAACUGAAGUCCCUCCUACUAAAAUUGCUAGUCAGUGCUUGGAUGAGUUUGAUGACUUUAUGUUUAAGCAAGAUGAUUUUAAUGCUUAUUUUGGUAGACAAUUAAACAGAAUACCUUUAUGAUUAGACGCUUGGGUGAUUAUAUGGCUGAUAUUAGAGGUGAACUUAAACUUGUUAGCAAACAUGCUUCUAUGGUUACCACUCAAGUAGAACAAGUACUUAAAGCUCAGAAAGAAGUGCUUGAUGAAAUGAAUAGUAAGAAAAAUGAUUAUAAUGUUAGAGUGGCUACUAGAACUGGUAGAAUGACUCAGGAACCUUUGUAUCCUGAAGGCCACCCUAAGAGAAUCGAGCAACAUUCUCAGAGAAAUAAUAUUGAUGUACCUAGUUCUUCUAAAAGGAAGAAAAAGAAAAAUGAUAGGACUUUGCAAACUUCUAGUGAACCUAUUGCUGAACCACCUGAGAAUCCAAAUGAUAUCUCUAUGUCUGAUGCUGAAACACAAUCUGGUAAUGAACAUGAACCUUGUGAAAAUAUUAAUGAUGAUGUUCAUGAUGAUGCUCAACCUUGUAAUGAUAAUGAUGUAGAAGUUGAACCUGUUGUUGAUCUUGAUAACCCACAAUCAAAGAAUCAACGUUAUGAUAAAAGAGACUUCAUUGCUAGGAAACAUGCACUACAAAAAAUACACUUCCGUGAUGAUACGUGUUUGUCACAGUAGGUCGCAUUUUUUGUCAUGCAUGUACAUCCAUGACAAAUUUAUGAUAGAAUCAAGAUAGUCAUACCUGUGCUGUCGUAGAAGUGUUCCAUGACAUUACCAAAAUUAUCAUCACGGAAGUGUCCACUUCCAUGAAGAUAAAUCGCGCGUCACAGAAGUGCUUUCGUCAAGGGUGACCGACACGUGGAAUCCACCGUAAUGGAACGCCAUUAAGCUAUCGGGUCAGGUUUUGGAUCCGAUAACCCGUUAAUAGCCCCGACCAAUGGGAAAUUUCCACGUGUAAAAUUCUUAUUGGCCGGACAAAACACGUGUCGGCUCGUCAGUGGGUCAGAUAGGCGCCUAUGAUAUGUCAACAUGUGUCACGGCCCACCACUGGCCCAUUUAGCUUACAAAGCCGGCCCGUUUGACUUGGUCAAAAGUUAACGGGCUGGCCCAUGAAAAGCCUGUUAAUGGUCUCUUCGCAAAUAGCCCAUUUUACGGCCCGUUAGGCAGUAAAGGAAAUCGGCCCAACAACGUCAUGUGGCCCGUCGAAUAUAACACCAGCCCAUUUCACUUUUCGGCCCAUGUAUGGCCCACGACGUCUUUCGGCCCAUAUGAGACCUUCGUAUCUUUCGGCCCUUUACAGGCCCACGGUGACUCUAGCCCAUAAUGAACAGUAAUUUUCUUUGUACCCGUUAACGGCCCGUAAUUUACAUGGGCCAUUUCCAGCCCGUGUUAGCUUUCGGCCUAUUGACGGCCCAUACGUUCUUGGGCUCCUUUUCGGCCCUCGAUUACUUCCGGCCCGUUACUGGCAUGUUCCCCUAAUGGGCAAAAUUCGGCCCAUGGCAAGAGUUGGCCCGUUACUGGCAUGUUCCCCAAAUGGGCCAAAUUCGGCCCAUGGCCAGAGUCGGCCCGUUACUGGCCUGUUACCCUAAUGGGCCAAAUUCGGCCCAUGGCAAGAGUUGGCCCGUUUCUGGCCAGCUUGUCCUAUAUUCUGGCCCAUUAACGACCCGUUAUGCCUGUGACAGAAUUAAGCUUUUCAGUCCUACGGCCUAUUAACGGUCCGUUACCAUGCUGGGCCAAUACUAAUUAUGCCCGAUUACGGCCCAUGUAGACCCAUUUAUCCGACGGCCCGAGGCCCACCGAUUACAGGCCCAUUUAUCGACGGUCCGUAGGAGACCCGUGGAUCCUACGGCCCGUAUAUGGCCCAUGGGUAGUUGCGGCCACUAGCAAACUAGGGAAAAAGAAGACUAGGAAAUAAAUAAGGCCCGAACUAACGCUAUGCUAUUAAGGCGAUUGAAUAGAUUACAUCCACUCGGCAUCAAAGAUCUCCACCAGUGCAAAUAUAGGGAACAACCUACACUAUACAAAAAUGGCUUGCUGUUUUCUUCAGCCGGUGGCUGCAUGUUAAGAAUAAAUUUUGUAUCGCACCAAAACAAAUUACAACUAUAUAACAAAAGGAAGGUUGGCAUAAAACUUAAUAGUCUAGCAGAUAAAUUCACCACCAGAAGUUCAGAAGCUCGGUUCAUUUGACCUGAUUGUUACGUUUUCAUGCUGUAUUGUCUGAUGGAACACCAUAACCCUCGCCUUCAUUUCCCCUAGGCUCCUGAACAACAUAGCAAAUGUCUGAUAGUCUGGUUUCAAAACCAUGCAUAUCUUGACGACGUUGAGCAAUGUUUCUCCUUGUUUCACAAAGGGCCUCUGUUAGGGAAUGGACUUGUGUCUGGAGCGCACAUACAACAUUGCUUUGAGCUUGCAUAUCUUGAUCAUGAGGCAGUUUGGACGAUAUUGCCUUAACAACCAACCCAGUAUUAUGCAGGAACGUGCUUUUGGCACUGUUAGUGGACAGGUACUGACCCACUACAGCAAGAGUUGACAUUGCGGUUAUAGUUGCCUCGCCACCUUCAGAAGGUGGCGGUUCCACCAUUUUUUCCAUAGCUCGCUGAAAAGUUGAGGUUUUACAUUAGUAGUACCAGAACAGAAGAUAUUAAGGAGGCAUCAAAACCAAACAAAAUAGCUUUGGUCUAUAUACAGAACUUAUUCUGGUGAACCCAUGUAAAGUAUUAGUUGUAUUUUAUUGCAAAGUACAUAAUAGAACCAGGUUCCAAACAUAUGACCAUGUACCAUCGCUAAUGUAUUGUCUAUUUCUUCACAUUGUAUUGAGGGCUAAGGAUAAAGAGACAAAGUUUAUAAUACGGUAAGCAUAGUAUGACAUCAUUCAUAUCACAAAACAACUGAGAACAGACAAACAGGCAAUUGUAACGUUGUGUGGGCAAGUCCAGCACGAAACUAGAUUACGGGUCAAGAUCAAAGGAACAUCACUCCUCCCUUUUAAACCUUGUAAGGUGCAAUGAUACGCUAAGACAAUUGUGUAUAAAAUUGAAAAGAGUAAUAGACAUUGGCUGCAAACCAUGCAGUUCAAGGCACAAGUCAGAGUAAGUAGUAGUUAAAAGGCAUGAGGAUUAAGGACUUACAACAGCGACUUUGACUGGUGUAGUCACGCCCUUCUUCUUGCUGGUGUGACAGUCCUUGAAGAUUUCCACAUCAUUUGGUUUAGGUACUUUUUGGUCCUUGCGGGCUUUCCUCUGCAUUUCGAACAAGUCAAUAUAGAUCUGAUAAUAUGGUACAACAAAAAGAGUGAAACAAGAGCUAAUUACAAGAGCCUCGCAGUGUGCAAUAUAGCUACGAGAUCCUGUCGUCUGUUGGAAUUUCACUUUCGUACGGUUGGCCUUGUUCUUUGAGCAGUUCACCUACAAGAAGAUAGAUUUGUGUGGCACAUGCGUCAAUAGGACUUCAACCUGUGAUCUGAUCACAUAUAUAUAAUGUACCUGAUACUUUGGAUCAGACCAGUGUUUAACAAGGCCCCUCCAGUCUUCAUCCGAUAUAUUUUCCACUAGAGAUGUUUGGGAAAGUUCACUGUUAGCCUUGCCUUCAAAGUGAGUUUUCCUCAAGUUAUACCGAUACUGUCGCAGAGCAGACUUGAAAACAUGGGUGCAAGCUUGUCUGGUUGCAUCAUCUUGGCUAUCCAACUUGAACCUCAUCUGUUGAAAAUUAUGGGAGUCUCAUUAUCAGCAACCUAGAAAGUAUGGGACAGAGCAAGACGAUAUUACUAGUUUCCAUACAUAUCCAUACUUACAGAUAAAUGGUCGAGGAAGGUGUUGAACUAGGUUUCGUCUUUAUCAUUCCUGUACUGAAUCCAUGUUGGGAGGAUACAUACAUGACACCUAACGGCAACCGCUGCCUCUGAUACUAACUUGGCUGACUCUAUAGCAUCACGUGGCCUUUUUAAACCUACCUCAAAACGGAUCUCCAUUCUUCCUCCACUAGAUUUAGUUAACCUAUCGAGCAUUAUCCCUGAUGUUUGUUUCCUCUUGCGCCUAGGUGCUAGUCCAACAACAAACAUAGGAAGUGUUAGUGUACAUCAAACUAUGAGACUACAUAUAAAGAAGCAUGCAACUGUAACUUGACUCCAGCAACUACCUUCUUGUUGUUGAAGCUCACAAGGUUCAUCUGAUAUUGCCAACUCGUCUUGUGUCAAGAGUGCUUGGGAAGUAGUGUCAGGUGGCAAGGGAGCUUGGGAACGUGCUACUAGCUCAGUUGACGCACAAGUAUGUCGUGCAGCUGGUAGUACUGUGGUAGGUGUUGCAAGAACUACGGCUGUCUCUGCUUGUUUGGUGGCAGCUAUUUGUUUCUGUUUGGCUUUUUUUGCAGUUCGUGUAGCAUGGGAUGUCGUGUUUGUAGAAUUUUCCGCUGGACUUUCACCUUCUAUUGCACCAUCAGUACCAGCAGAAUCUGCAGGAUUCAUCCGCUUCUCAUUCCCUACCAUUCUCUGUUUCUUCCUCUUUCUUUGUGCCAUGUUAAGUCAAGCCGACAAGAAAAACGAAUAAAAUUUAGUUCUUCAGAACAAAUUGAUGCGUGAUGCAGACGAAUAAAACUUUGAUGUUAGACAACCACAUGAUAGGAGGAUGUAAUAUGUAUGAAAAACAGGACGGGAGAGAUAACCAGAACUAUGAUGUGUAAACUAAGAAGAAGACAUUUCACCAAAUUACAAGCAAUGCAGUGGAAGGUAGACACCAUAUGAAAGAUGCUACAAAUAUCGCUCUGCCAAGUUAACAGUGUCUCAACAUAAAUGGCGUUUAAACAAAUGUGAAGCAGUACAAGAAAUAAAUCAUAUGCAAGAUGCAAACAACAUCACACUACCAAGUUAGAGGUCUCUCGUCAUUAGUGCCAUUGCAUAUUCACAGCAUUGCAUAUUCACAGCUUAUGAUGUGUAAACUAAGGAGAAGGCAUUUCAACAAAUUAGAAGCAAUGAAAGCUAGACACCAUAUGAAAGAUGCAAAUAAUAUCACUCUACCAAGUUAAAACUGUCUCGUCAUAAGUGCCAUUUCAACAAAUUAGUAGUACAAGCUAGAAAAGAAUGUGAGAUGUAACCUAUAUCAAACUCCGAAGUCAAACGUGUCUUAUGAUAAGUGAUUGUUCCAGGUUACACAACAGUAGUAAUUUGAUGUAAGAACAUGGUGUGAUAGACAGAUAUUGUAUGUUCUAGAAACAAGAACACAUGUCUUAUUCAAGUAUAAUGUGUAAAGUAAGUAGAUGGAUUUCAACAAAAUUAGAAGCAAUACAAGCUAGACAUCACACAUAACAUGCAACCACAUAUAACAGUGCCAAGUUAGAGGGAGCACCAGUGAUGCUGCACUAGGGGAGACGUGCUCAUCAUAAACACAGCUUUGUUUAGUGUCUAUGCAUGUGCUGCCUUGCUAACUUCCUUCCGCUUUAUUGAUUUUAAAUUGCCAAGUAAAACCGACAAGAAAAAGCAAUAUAAUUCUCUCUUCAGAACUCAUUCAUGCAUGAUACUGACAAACACUACUUUGAUGUAAGGCAAACACAUGAUACCAGGAUGGAAUAUGUACGAAAAACAGGACGGCAUGGCAUGUUCACAACUGUUUGUGUAAACUAAGCAGAAACCAUUCCAGCAAAUAAGAAGCAAUGCAAGCUAGACACCACAUGAAAGAUGCAACCAAUAUGACUACCAAGUUAAAAGCGUCCCAUCAUAAAUGGAAUUUCAACAAAUUAGAAGCAGCGCAUGCUAUAAAUCAUAUGAAAGAUGCAACUAAUAUCGCACUGCAUAUACUAAAGGUGUCUCGUCAUAUUGAUUGAUGCGGGAUACAAAAAAACAAUAGUUUUAUGUAAGGACAUGCUUAAUAGACAGAUGUACUAUGUACUAAAUACAGGAAGGCAUGUCACAUUAACAGGUAUAAUGUCACAUUUAUAGGAGUAUAAGCUAAGCAGACUAGCACAUGCAGUUUAACCAGAUUGGAAGAAUUACAAUCUAGACACCAUAUGCAACAUGCAACCACAUAUCACGCUGCCAAGUUAGAGCAAGCACCUGCAAUGCUAGUGUAGGGGAAAUGCUGUAAUCAACUACAGAGCUACGUUCACUAUCUUCAUCUAGCAUUUCUGUUUCUUGAGAAUCAUGUCGAGAGGCUGACGCUGCAUUCUUUGAAUGAGGAGUAGUCCCCUUGCCUGCCUGCCUCACCAUAAGUGAUUGAUGAGGGAUACACAAGAACAUUAGUUUGAUGUAAGAACAUGGUUAAUACACAGAUGUACUAGUAUGUACCAAAAACAGAAAGGCAUGUCAUAUUCAAAGGUAUAAUGUGUAAGCUAAGCAGAUGCAAUUUAACCAAAUUGGAAAAAAUACAAGCUAGACAUCCGGCUGGGGUGGUGAAUAUGAUCAUCUAGGACCUGAGAGCCUGGCGGGAGGCGGGCUGCUUCACCACCAUCACGGCUUUUUAGUUGGCUUCCAGGUGAUGCAUGUCUUUGCUGGGCUUGUCACUAGCUCGGCCAGUGCCCUGACUAGCUAUUUCUCUUCUGGUGCUCACGGGAUGGUGGUUCAUGUAAAAAAUAUCUUUCCUUAUCUUAAUAAAGACCGACUUCGGCCUUUCGAGUACAAGCUAGACACCAACAUGCAACCACAUAUGACACCGUGAAGUUAAAGCAAGCACCUGGGAUGGUGGUUCAUUGCGAGCAAGGUCAUCAACUACAGAGCUACGUUUACCGUCUCCAUAUGCUGACACUGCACCCUUUAUAGUGCUGUAACGUGUCUUGCAUACCCGUAUACCAAGCUGGAGUGACUUCUCUCUUUUCUUUUCUGCUUCUCUCAAGGCAGAGUCUGAAAUACCCUUGCAUAAAAACACAAUAGUGAGAGUAUGGGUGAAGUGUGUGCAGAACUAGUGCAUUGUAAAAGUAGCAGAUAGCAGGUGGCUUAAAAAUAAAUGACAGGAGACAUAUGAUGGCUCUACAACAUUGCAUGGCAAACAAAAUUAGAUUCUACUCCGUAUGAUUUUGUAAUAUAUGAGCACAGGAAAUACAAGUACUCCUCCAGCACACCACCACAUGUGGUCAUAUCUAAGAUAACAGUUGAUUGAAAAUAAAUAGGUCAGUCGGUUUUUUUAAUGAACCGUCCGAUCUAUAAGGAACGAGCAGAUGGCCUUCGUCUACCUCCCGCCAGUCACUGUUGACGAUCUUUCUCGAACCGCCAGCGACCACCGGCCCAGACCCGUGCCUCCGCCACCCCGCCCUCCCAUCGACAUCACACCACCACCGUGCUUGGCAGCGCCCCCAAGCCAUCCCUUUAAUCCCGGUCGACCUCCAGAUCGGGUGCCAGUAGCUCUAGGCCACAGAUGCCCCUAAGAUAAACACCAAGGCGCUGCUUCCCCGGUGUAAUAGUCGUACUAGUGCCCGUUACACCGGGGAAUGCUUCCGUUAAUUGGGAAUCAACUGGCCAGAAAUUGAAAUUCAGGGGUGCGACGGACCUCUAGCUAAGGUGAAAUAGUAUAUGAGGAGAAACCUUGUGCAUCGUGAGUUACUAGGAACAUCUAGGAUCAAGAAGAAGCGGUCAACUAGUGUCUUCUGUGGAACGAAUACCGUGCAAGCAGAGACGUAAGAUUUGCACGAAUAAGGGAAGAGGAGUACCUUCUUCGGUUGCCGGUGUGGUCACCUCCACAUGGCGCGCCGAUCUUCUUGUUUUUACCGGGGAAACCGAUGUUCUGGAGGGUGCAGGCUUGGACGAACCCAUGGCCAAAUUGUUGACUGUGUUGCCGUGGCUGUAUGUCAGCGGAGGGGAAGCAGAUCCGAGGCGGCGAAGGAUGGCGUAGCAGGAACAACUCCGGUGCGGUGGAGGGUGGCGAAGUUGGAGCGGCAGCGAUGAGGCGCAGGACGGCGUGGUUGAACUGGCUCGGGUACGGAUGGCUCGACUUAGGCUUCAACUACUAGCCGUGGAGGGCGUUGCGGUUGAGGUUGCGGUGGACGACGACGUCGGGGUAUCGGCUCCGGUGUGAUGGAGGAGGGCGGCGGUUGAUGGGUGGGAUGGGGUGGCGGACGGAGGACGCCGGGGUUUCGCGGCUGGUGGAGAGGUAGUUUUGGCGCCCACGGAGUACGAAUGGGGAAUUGGACGGGUGGGGGGAAACAUGUUUCGGUCUGGGACGCGCUUGUUUUUGGCUUUUUUUGAACAGAAGAUGGGACGCGCUUGUUUGAAAUUUGGGGAAAGUACAAAAUUUGCCCCCUCUUAAAUUUCAGACCUACUAUGGGUCAGGGGUAGGAUGGUAAUCCCAGGUGUCCCAAAUAGUGGGCGGGAGCGAUUUCGGCCACGCGCAUGUGUGCUUAGGCGACCAUUGUGUAUGAAUGUUUUUCGGAGGCGGUUGUGUGGCGUCUAGAUGAAGCUACAAACCUACCCCGGUUUAGACCUUUGGAUGUCGGGCCAGUAGGUUUCACAGGUCGGAGUUAUUAGAAAAGUAAUUUCCUUGUACUACUGCUACCUCUUGAGCACUGGUUGGAUUUCCCCAAAGAGGACAGAAUGAUGCAGCAAAGUAGCGUAAGUAUUUCGCUCAGUUUUUGAGAACCAAGGUAUCAAUCCAGAAGGAGACCACACACAAGUCCCUCGUACCUACACAAAACGAUAGCAACUCACAACCAACGCUUAGGGGUUGUCAAUCCCUUCACGGUCACUUACGAGAGUGAGAUCUGAUAGAGAUAAUGUUUUUGGUAUUUUUGAUAGAUAGAUGCAAAGUAAAAGUAAAGGCAAAGUAAAAAACAAAGCAAGUAAAUAAAGUGAUAUAGAUUGAUAUGAUGAGAAUAGAUCCGGGGGCCAUAGGUUUCACUAGUGGCUUCUCUCAAGAGCAUAAGUAUUCUACAGUGGGUGAACAAAUUACUGUUGAGCAAUUGACAGAAUUGAGCAUAGUUAUGAGUAUAUCUAGGCAAUGAUCAUGUAUAUAGGCAUCACGUCCAAAUCAAGUAGAUCGAAACGAUUCUGCAUCUACUACUAUUACUCCACUCAUCGACCGCUAUCCAGCAUGCAUCUAGAGUAUUAAGUUAAAAACAGAGUAACGCCGUAAGCAAGAUGACAUGAUGUAGAGGGAUAAAUUCAUGCAAUAUGAUAAAAAACAUCUUGUUAUCCUCGAUGGCAACAAUACAAUACGUGCCUUGCUGCCCCUUCUGUCACUGGGUAAGGACACCGCAAGAUUGAACCCAAAGCUAAGAAACUUCUACCAUUGCAAGAAUUACCAAUCUAGUUGGCCAAACCAAAAAGGAUAAUUCGAAGAGACUUGCAAAGAUAACUCAAUCAUACAUAAAAGAAUUCAGAGAAGAAUCAAAUAUUUUCCAUAGAUAAUACUGGAUCAUAAACCCACAAUUCAUCGGUCUCAACAAACACACCGCAAAAAGAAGAUUACAUCGAAUAGAUCUCCACGAGAGAUGGGGAGAACAUUGUAUUGAGAUCCAAAAAGAGAGAAGCCAUCUAGCUACUAGCUAUGGACCCGAAGGUCUGAAGUAAACUACUCACACUUCAUCGGAGGGGCUAUGGUGAUGAUGUAGAAGCCCUCCGUGGUGGAUGCCCCCUCCGGCAGAGCUCCGGAACAGGCCCCAAGAUGGGAUCUCGUGGAUACAGAAGGUUGCGGCGGUGGAAUUAGGUUUUUGGCUCCUGUUCUGAUCAUUCGGGGAUACGUAGGUAUAUAUAGGAGGAAGGAGUACGUCGGUGGAGCUCCGAGGGGUCCACGAGGUAGGGGGCGCGCCCAGGGGCACGCCCUCCACCCUCAUGACCUCCUCGGGCACUACUUGGAGUAGGUUCCAAGUCUCCUGGAUCACGUUCGGUUGGAAAAUCACGAUCCCGAAGGUUUCAUUCCGUUUGGACUCCGUUUGAUAUUCUGUUUCUUCGAAAUACUGAAAAAGGCAAAAAACUACAAUUCUGGGCUGGGCCUUCGGUUAAUAGGUUAGUCCCAAAAGUAAUAUAAAAGUGGAAAAUAAAGCCCAAUAUAGUCCAAAACAGUAGAUAAAGUAGCAUGGAGCAAUCAAAAAUAUAGAUACAUUGGAGACGUAUCAGGCAUCCCCAAGCUUAAUUCCUGCUCGUCCUCGAGUAGGUAAAUGAUAAAAAAUAAUUUUUGAUGCGGAGUGAUUCUUUGGCAUAAUUUCAAUGUAAAUCUUCUUAAUUGUGAUAUGAAUAUUCAGAUCCGAAAGAUUCAAGACAAAAGUUCAUAUUGACACAAAAAUAAUAAUACUUCAAGCAUACUAAUCAAAGCAAUCAUGUCUUCUCAAAAUAACAUGGCAAAAGAAAGUUCAUCCAUACAAAAUCAUAUAGUUAGUGUUGGAAAUAUGCCCUAGAGGCAAUAAUAAAAGUAUUAUUAUAUUUCAUUGUUCAUGAUAAUUGUCUUUUGUUCAUGCUAUAACUGUAUUAUCCGGAAAUCGUAAUACACGUGUGAACACAUAGACCACAAUAUGUCCCUAGUGAGCCUCUAGUUGACUAGCUCGUUGUGAUCAACAGAUAGUCAUGGUUUCCUGGCUAUGGACAUUGGAUGUCGUUGAUAACAGGAUCACAUCAUUAGGAGCAUGAUGUGAUGGACAAGACCCAAUCCUAAGCAUAGCACAAAGAUCAUGUAGUUCGUCUGCUAGAGCUUUGCCAAUGUCAAGUAUCUCUUCCUUCGACCAUGAGAUUGUGUAACUCCCGGAUACCGUAGGAGUCCCUUGGGUAUAUCAAACGUCACAACGUAACUGGGUGACUAUAAAGGUGCAUUACAGGUAUCUCCGAAAGUGUCUGUUGGGUUGACACGGAUCGAGACUGGGAUUUGUCACUCCGUAUGACGGAGAGGUAUCUCUGGGCCCACUCGGUAAUGCAUCAUCAUAAUGAGCUCAAGGUGACCAAGGUGUUUGCCACGGGAUCAUGCAUUACGGUACGAGUAAAGUGACUUGCCGGUAACGAGACUGAACAAGGUAUUGGGAUACCGACAAUCGAGUCUCGGGCAAGUAACGUACCGAUUGACAAAGGGAAUUGUAUACAGGGUUUUGAUCGAAUCCUCAACAUCGUGGUUCAACCGAUGAAAUCAUCGAGGAGCAUGUGGGAGCCAACAUGGGUAUCCAGAUCCCGCUGUUGGUUAUUGCCCGAGAGUCGUCUCGGUCAUGUCUGCGUGUCUCCCGAACCCGUAGGGUCUACACACUUAAGGUUCGGUGACGCUAGGGUUUUAUGAAUAUGAGUAUGCAGUAUACCGAAUGUUGUUUGGAGUCCCGGAUGAGAUCCUGGACGUCACGAGGAGUUUCGGAAUGGUCCGGAGGUAAAGAAUAAUAUAUAGGAAGUGGUAUUUCGGCCAUCGGGAAAGUUUAGGGGUCACCCAGUAUUGUACCGGGACCACCGGAAGGGUCCCGGGGGUCUACCGGGUGGGGCCACCCAUCCCGGAGAGGCCCAUGGGCUGACGUGGGAGGGGAGCCAGCCCAUAGUGGGCUGGUGCGCCCCCCUAGGCUCACCCCCUGCGCCUAGGGUUUAAACCCUAGGGUGGGGGCGCACCACAUGCCUUGGGGGGCACUCCUCCCCCCUUGGCCACCGCCCCCUUGGGAGAUUGGAUCUCCUAGGGCCGGCGCCCCCCCUUGGGGUCCUAUAUAAAGGAGGGCAGGGGGGAGGGCAGCCGCACCCAUUGCCUUGGCGCCUCCCUCCCCCUGCUACACCUCUUCCUCCUCCCGUAGACGCUUGGCGAAGCCCUGCUGGAGUUCUGCUGCAUCCACCACCACACUGUCGUGCUGCUGGAUCAUCAUCAACCUCUCCUUUCCCCUUGCUGGAUCAAGAAGGAGGAGACGUCUCCCGUCCUGUACGUGUGCUCAACGCGGAGGUGAUGUCCGUUCAGCACUUGGACAUCGGUGAUUCGAGUACGACUCCAUCAUCACCAUCCCCUUGCAAGCUUCCGCAUGUGAUCUACAAGUGGUAUGUAGAUGCAAACUCUCUCCCAUGACUCGUUGCUUAGAUGAACUCACAGAUGGAUCUUGGUGAAACCGUAGGAAAAUUUUUAAUUUUCUACAACGUUCCCCAACAGUGGCAUCAUGAGCUAGGUCUAUGCGUAGUUCUCUAAUGCACGAGUAGAACACAAUUUUGUUGUGGGCGUGGAUCUUGUCAACUUACUUGCCUCUACUAGUCUUUUCUUGCUUCAACGGUAUUGUGGGAUGAAGCGGCCCGGACCAACCUUACACGUACGCUUACGUGAGACCGGUUCCACCGAUUGACAUGCACUAGUUGCAUAAGGUGGCUGGCGGGUGUCUGUCUCUCCCACUUUAGUUGGAGCGGAUUCGAUGAAAAGGGCCCUUAUGAAGGGUAAAUAGAAGUUGACAAAAUCACAUUGUGGUUAUUCGUAGGUAAGAAAACGUUCUUGCUAGAACCCAAUUGCAGCCACGUAAAAGAUGCAACAUCAAUUAGAGGACGUCUAACUUGUUUUUGCAGCGAUUGAUCAUGUGAUGUGAUAUGGCCAGAAGUUGUGAUGAAUGAUGAAUUGUGAUGUAUGAGAUCAUGUUCUUGUAAUAGGAUUCACGACUUGCAUGUCGAUGAGUAUGACAACCGACAGGAGCCAUAGGAGUUGUCUUUAUUUUUUGUAUGACCCGUGUGUCAUUGAAGAACGCCAUGUAAACUGCUUUACUUUAUUGCUAAACACGUUAGCCAUAGAAGUAGAAGUAGCCAUUGGCAUGACAACUUCAUGAAGACACGAUGAUGGAGAUCAUGAUGAUGGAGAUCAUGGUGUCAAGCCGGUGACAAGAUGAUCAUGGAGCCCCGAAGAUGGAGAUCAAUGGAGCUAUAUGAUAUUGGCCAUAUCAUGUCACAACUAUAUAAUUGCAUGUGAUGUUUAUUAUGUUUAUGCAUCUUGUUUACUUAGGACGACGGUAGUAAAUAAGAUGAUCCCUUACAAAAAUUUCAAGAAGUGUUCUCCCCUAACUGUGCACCGUUGCUACAGUUCGUCGCUUCUAAGCACCACGUGAUGAUCGGGUGUGAUGGAUUCUUACGUUCACAUACAACGGGUGUAAGACAGUUUUACACAGCAAAAACACUUAGGGUUAACUUGACGAGCCUAGCAUGUACAGACAUGGCCUCGGAACACGGAGACCGAAAGGUCGAACACGAGUCGUAUGGAAGAUACGAUCAACAUGAAGAUGUUCACCAAUGAUGACUAGUCCGUCUCACGUGAUGAUCGGACACGGGCUAGUCGACUCGGAUCGUGUAACACUUAGAUGACUAGAGGGAUGUCUAAUCUGAGUGGGAGUUCAUAAUUUGAUUAGAACUUAAUUAUCAUGAACUUAGUCUAAAACCUUUGCAAAUAUGUCUUGUAGAUCAAAUGGCCAACGCUAAUGUCAACAUGAACUUCAACGCGUUCCUAGAGAAAACCAAGCUGAAAGAUGAUGGCAGCAACUAUACGGACUGGGUCCGGAACCUGAGGAUCAUCCUCAUAGCUGCCAGGAAGCAAUAUGUCCUAGAAGGACCGCCAGGUGACGCUCCCGUCCCAGAGAACCAAGACAUUAUGAAUGCUUGGCAAACUCGUGCUGAUGAUUACUCCCUCGUUCAGUGCGGCAUGCUUUACAGCUUAGAACCGGGGCUCCAAAAGCGUUUUGAGCAUCACGGAGCAUAUGAGAUGUUCGAAGAGCUGAAACUAGUUUUCCAAGCUCAUGCCCGGGUCGAGAGAUAUGAUGUCUCCGACAAAGUUCUACAGUUGUAAGAUGGAGGAAAACAGUUCUGUCAGUGAGCACAUCCUGAAGAUGUCUGGGUUGCACAACCGUAUGACCCAGCUAAACAUUAACCUCCCAGAUGAGGCGGUCAUUGACAGAAUCCUCCAGUCGCUCCCACCUAGCUACAAGAUCUUUGUGAUGAACUACAACAUGCAGGGGAUGGUGAAGACCAUUCCUGAAGUGUUCUCGAUGCUGAAGUCAGCAGAGGCUGAAAUCAAGAAAGAACAUCAAGUGUUGAUGGUCAAUAAGACCACUAAGUUCAAGAAGGGCAAGGGGAAGAAAAACUUCAAGAAGGACGGCAAGGAUGUUGCCGCGCCCGGUAAGCCAGUUGCCGGGAAGAAGCCAAAGAAUGGACCCAAGCCUGAGACUGAGUGAUUUUAUUGCAAGGGGAAGGGUCACUGGAAGCGGAACUGCCCCAAAUACUUAGCGGAUAAGAAGGCCAGCAACACCAAAGGUAUAUUUGAUAUACAUGUAAUUGAUGUGUACCUUACUAGUACUCGUAGUAACUCCUGGGUAUUUGAUACCGGUGCCGUUUCUCAUAUUUGUAACUCACAGCAGGAGCUGCGGAAUAAACGGAGACUGGCAAAGGACGAGGUGACGAUGCGCGUCGGGAAUGGUUCCAGAGUCGAUGUGAUCGCCGUCGGCAUGCUGCCUCUACAUUUACCCACGGGAUUAGUUUUGAACCUUAAUAGUUGUUAUUUAGUGCCAAGUUUGAGCAUGAACAUUGUAUCUGGAUCUCGUUUAAUACGAGAUGGCUACUCAUUUAAGUCUAAGAAUAAUGGUUGUUCGAUUUAUAUGAGAGAUAUGUUUUAUGGUCAUGCUCCGAUGGUCAAUGGUUUAUUCUUAAUGAAUCUCGAGCUUAAUAUUACACAUGUUCAUAGUGUGGACGACAAAAGAUGUAAAGUUGAUAACGAUAGUCACACAUACUUGUGGCACUGCCGCCUUGGUCACAUUGGUGUCAAGCGCAUGAAGAAGCUCCAUGCUCAUGGACUUUUAGAGUCUCUUGAUUAUGAAUCAUUUGACACAUGCGAACCAUGCCUCAUGGGCAAAAUGACCAAGACUCCGUUCUCCGGAACAAUGGAGCGAGCAACCAACUUGUUGGAAAUCAUACAUACCGAUGUGUGCGGUCCAAUGAGCGUUGAGGCUCGCGGAGGAUAUCGUUAUGUUCUCACUCUCACUGAUGACUUGAGUAGAUAUGGGUAUGUCUACUUAAUGAAACACAAGUCUGAGACCUUUGAAAAGUUCAAGGAAUUUCAGAAUGAGGUGGAGAAUCAACGUGACCAAAAGAUAAAGUUCCUACGAUCAGAUCAUGGAGGAGAAUACUUAAGCCACGAAUUUGGUACACACUUAAGGAAAUGUGGAAUCGUUUCACAACUCACGCCGCCUGGAACACCUCAGUGAAACGGUGUGUCCGAACGUUGUAAUCGCACUCUAUUGGAUAUGGUGCGAUCUAUGAUGUCUCUUACCGAUUUACCGCUAUCAUUUUGGGGAUACGCUCUAGACACAACUACAUUCACUUUAAAUAGGGCACCGUCUAAAUCCGUUGAGACGACACCGUAUGAAUUAUGGUUUGGGAAGAAACCUAAGCUAUCGUUUCUAAAAGUUUGGGGAUGCGAUGCUUAUGUCAAGAAACUUCAACCUGAAAAGCUCGAACCCAAGUCGGAAAAAUGCGUAUUCAUAGGAUACCCUAAGGAAACUGUCGGGUAUACCUUCUACUUAAGAUUCGAAGGCAAGAUCUUUGUUGCCAAGAACGGAUGCUUUCUGGAAAAAGAGUUUCUCUCGAAAGAAGUAAGUGGGAGGAAAGUAGAACUCGAUGAAGUACUACCUCUCGAACGGGAAAGUGGUGCAGCGCAGGAAAUUGUUCCUGUGAUGCCCACACCAACUGUAGAGGAAAACGAUGAUGAUGAUCAAGGUGCUUCGGAUCAAGUUGCUACUGAACUUUGUAGGUCCACAAGGACACGUUCCGCACCAGAGUGGUACGGCAACCCUGUCCUGGAAAUCAUGUUGUUAGACAACGGUGAACCUUCGAACUAUGAAGAAGCGAUGGCGGGCCCAGAUUCCAACAAAUGGCUUGAAGCCAUGAAAUCCGAGAUAGAAUCCAUGUAUGAAAACAAACUAUGGACUUUGACAGACUUGCCCGAUGAACGGCAAGCGAUAGAAAACAAAUGGAUUUUUAAGAAGAACACGGACGCGGAUGGUAAUGUUACCAUCUAUAAAGCUAGACUUGUCGCUAAGGGUUAUCGACAAGUUCAAGGGAUUGACUACGACGAGACAUUCUCUCCCGAAGCGAAGUUGAAGUCCGUCCGAAUCAUGUUAGCAAUUGCCGCAUACUAUGAUUAUGAGAUAUGGCAGAUGGACGUCAAAACGGCAUUCCUUAACGGACAUCUUAAGGAAGAGCUGUAUAUGAUGCAGCCGGAAGGUUUUGUCGAUCCUGAGAACGCUAACAAAGUAUGCAAGCUCCAGCGAUCCAUUUAUGGACUGGUGCAAGCAUCUCGGAGUUGGAACAUUCGCUUUGAUGAGAUGAUCAAAGCGUUUGGGUUUAUGCAGACUUAUGGAGAAGCCUGCGUUUACAAGAAAGUGAGUGGGAGCUCUGUAGCAUUUCUCAUAUUAUAUGUAGAUGACAUACUCUUGAUGGGAAAUGAUAUAGAACUUCUGGACAGCAUUAAGGCCUACUUGAAUAAGUGUUUUUCAAUGAAGGACCUUGGAGAAGCUGCUUAUAUAUUAGGCAUCAAAAUCUAUAGAGAUAGAUCGAGACGCCUCAUAGGUCUUUCACAAAGCACAUACCUUGAUAAGAUUUUGAAGAGGUUCAAAAUGGAUCAGUCCAAGAAGGGGUUCUUGCCUAUGUUACAAGGUGUGAGAUUGAGCUCGGCUCAGUCACCGACCACGGCAAAAGAUAAAGAAGAGAUGAGUGUCAUCCCCUAUGCUUCAGCCAUAGGAUCUAUUAUGUAUGCCAUGCUGUGUACCAGACCCGAUGUAAACCUUGCCGUAAGUUUGGUAGCGAGGUACCAAAGUAAUCCCGGCAAGGAACACUGGACAGCGGUCAAGAAUAUCCUGAAGUACCUAAAAAGGACAAAGGACAUGUUUCUCGUUGAUGGAGGAGACGAAGAGCUCGUCGUAAAGGGUUACGUCGACGCUAGCUUCGACUCAGAUCUGGAUGACUCUAAGUCACAAACCGGAUAUGUUUAUAUGUUGAAUGGUGGAGCAGUAAGCUGGUGCAGCUGCAAGCAAAGCGUCGUGGCGGGAUCUACGUGUGAAGCAGAGUACAUGGCAGCCUCGGAGGCAGCGCAUGAAGCGAUUUCGGUGAAGGAGUUCAUCACCGACCUAGGAGUCAUACCCAAUGCAUCGGGGCCGAUCAAACUCUUCUGUGACAACACUGGAGCUAUUGCCCUUACCAAGGAGCCCAGGUUUCACAAGAAGACCAGGCACAUCAAGCGUCGUUUCAACUCCAUCCGUGAAAAUGUUCAAGAUGGAGACAUAGAUAUUUGCAAAGUACAUACGGAUCUGAAUGUCGCAGAUCCGUUGACUAAACCUCUCUCGCGAGCGAAACAUGAUCAACACCAGAACUCUAUGGGUGUUCAAUUCAUCACAAUGUAACUAGAUUGGUGACUCUAGUGCAAGUGGGAGACUGUUGGAAAUAUGCCCUAGAGGCAAUAAUAAAAGUAUUAUUAUAUUUCAUUGUUCAUGAUAAUUGUCUUUUGUUCAUGCUAUAACUGUAUUAUCCGGAAAUCGUAAUACACGUGUGAACACAUAGACCACAAUAUGUCCCUAGUGAGCCUCUAGUUGACUAGCUCGUUGUGAUCAACAGAUAGUCAUGGUUUCCUGGCUAUGGACAUUGGAUGUCGUUGAUAACGGGAUCACAUCAUUAGGAGAAUGAUGUGAUGGACAAGACCCAAUCCUAAGCAUAGCACAAAGAUCGUGUAGUUCGUCUGCUAGAGCUUUGCCAAUGUCAAGUAUCUCUUCCUUCAACCAUGAGAUCGUGUAACUCCCGGAUACCGUAGGAGUGCCUUGGGUGUAUCAAACAUCACAACGUAACUGGGUGACUAUAAAGGUGCAUUACAGGUAUCUCCGAAAGUGUCUGUUGGGUUGACACGGAUCGAGACUGGGAUUUGUCACUCCGUAUGACGGAGAGGUAUCUCUGGGCCCACUCGGUAAUGCAUCAUCAUAAUGAGCUCAAGGUGACCAAGGUGUUGGCCACGGGAUCAUGCAUUACGGUACGAGUAAAGUGACUUGCCGGUAACGAGACUGAACAAGGUAUUGGGAUACCGACGAUCGAGUCUCGGGCAAGUAACGUACCGAUUGACAAAGGGAAUUGUAUACAGGGUUUUGAUCGAAUCCUCGACAUCGUGGUUCAACCGAUGAAAUCAUCGAGGAGCAUGUGGGAGCCAACAUGGGUAUCCAGAUCCCGCUGUUGGUUAUUGCCCGAGAGUCGUCUCGGUCAUGUCUGCGUGUCUCCCGAACCCGUAGGGUCUACACACCUAAGGUUUGGUGACGCUAGGGUUGUAUGAAUAUGAGUAUGCAGUAUACUGAAUGUUGUUCGGAGUCCCGGAUGAGAUCCCGGACGUCACGAGGAGUUUCAGAAUGGUCCGGAGGUAAAGAAUAAUAUAUAGGAAGUGGUAUUUCGGCCAUCGGGAAAGUUUCGGGGUCACCCGGUAUUGUACCGGGACCACCGGAAGGGUCCCGGGGGUCCACCGGGUGGGGCCACCCAUCCCGGAGGGCCCCAUGGGCUGACGUGGGAGGGGAGCCAGCCCAUAGUGGGCUGGUGCGCCCCCCUAGGCCCACCCCCUACGCCUAGGGUUGAAACCCUAGGGUGGGGGGCGCACCACAUGCCUUGGGGGGCACUCCUCCCCCCUUGGCCGCCGCCCCCUUGGGAGAUUGGAUCUCCCAGGGCCAGCGCCCCCCCUUGGGGUCCUAUAUAAAGGAGAGCAGGGGGGAGGGCAGCCGCACCCAUUGCCUUGGCGCCUCCCUCCCCCUGCUACACCUCUUCCUCCUCCCGUAGACGCUUGGCGAAGCCCUGCUGGAAUUCUGCUGCAACCACCACCACGCCGUCGUGCUGCUGGAUCAUGAUCAACCUCUCCUUUCCCCUUGCUAGAUCAAGAAGGAGGAGACGUCUCCCAUCCCUUACGUGUGUUGAACGCGGAGGUGCUGUCCGUUCAGCACUUGGACAUCGGUGAUUCGAAUCACAUCGAGUACGACUCCAUCAUCACCAUCCCCUUGCAAGCUUCCGCACGUGAUCUACAAGUGGUAUGUAGAUGCAAACUCUCUCCCAUGACUCGUUGCUUAGAUGAACUCAUAGAUGGAUCUUGGUGAAACCGUAGGAAAAAUUUUAAUUUUCUGCAACGUUCCCCAACAGUUAGGCUAUGCUUCAUUUUUGUCACACAAAGAUGUUCCCAACUUCUAUACCCCCGAUGACAAGCCAAGCAAUUGUUUCAUACUUAAAUAAUCUCAAACUUUUUCAACCUUCACGCAAUACAUGAGCGUGAGCCAUGGAUAUAGCACUAUGGGUGGAAUAGAAUAUGAUGAUGGGGAUUGUAUGGAGAAGACAAAAAAGGAGAAAGUCUCACAUUGACGAGGCUAAUUAACGGGCUAUGGAGAUGCCCAUCAAUUGAUGUCAACAUGAGGAGUAGGGAUUGCCAUGCAAUGGAUGCACUAGAGCUAUGAAUGCUCAACAAAAGAAAACUAGUGGGUGUGCAUCCAACUCGCUUGCUCACGAAGACCUAGGGCAUUUGAGGAAGCCCAUUGUAGGAAUAUACAAGCCAAGUUCUAUAAUGAAAAAUUCCCACUAGUAUGCAAAGACAACUUAUGAGACUCACUACCUGAGGAACAAGGUGCUACUUUGAAGCACAAUAUAUGAGACUCAUUACAUGAAGAACAAGGUGCUACUUUGAAGCACAAGUGUGGAAAAAGAGAUAGUAGCAUUGCCCUUUUUUAUUUUCUUUUUUUUGGGCCUUUCUUUUUUUUCUUUUGGCCUUUCUCUUUUUUGGGGCAAUGCUCUAAUAAUGAUGAUCAUCACACUUCUAUUGAUUACAACAUAAGGAUUACAACUCGAAACUUAGAACAAGAUAUGACUCUAUAUGAAUGCCUUCGGCGGUGUACCGGGAUGGUGCAAUGAAUCAAGAGUGACAUGUAUGGAAAAUAAUGCAUGGUGGCUUUGCCACAAAUAUGAUGUCAACUACAAGAUCAUGCAAUUGCAAUAUGACAAAAGUAAUGUAUGUCAUGAUGAUGAUGAUGGAAGUUGCAUGGCAAUAUAUCUCGGAAUGGCUAUGGAAAUGCCAUGAUAGGUAGGUAUGGUGGCUAUUUUGAGAAAGAUAUAAGGAGGUUUAUGUGUGAUAGAGUAUAUCGUAUCACGGGGUUUGGAUGCACCGGCGAAGUUUGCGCCAACUCUCAAUGUGAGAAAGGGCAAUGCAUGGUACCGAAGAGGCUAGCAAAGGCGGAAAGGUGAGAGUGCGUAUAAUCCAUGGACUCAACAUUAGUCCAAAGAACUCAUAUACUUAUUGCAAAAAUUUAGAAGUCAUCAAAAAUUCAAGUACUACGCGCAUGCUCCUAGGGGGAUAGAUUGGUAGGAAAAGACCAUCGCUUGUCCCCGACCGCCACUCAUAAGGAUGCACAAGCCAGGUACACUUCAUGUUUCAAAUUUGUUACACAACUUUAACCAUACGUGCAUGCUACGGGAUUUGCAAACUUCAACACAAGUAUUUCUCAAAUUCAUAAUCACCCAACUAGCACGACUUUGAUAUUAUUACCUCCAUAUCUCAAAACAAUUAUCAAGUAUCAAACUUAUCUUAGUAUUCAACGCACUCAAAAGAAAGUUUCACAUAUCUUGAAUACCAAGUAUAUUAACAUUAAGCAAAUUACCAUGCUAUCAACGACUCUCAAAAUAAUCUAAGUGAAGUAUGAGAGAUCAAAAGUUUCUUUAAAACAAAUCCACCACCGUGCUCUAAAAGAUCUAAGUGAAGUACUAGAGCAAAAAUUAUCACGCUCAAAAGAUAUAAGUGAAGUACUAUGAACAAAACUAUCAAGCUCAAAAGAUAUAAGUGAAGCACAUAGAGUAUUCUAACAAAUUCCAAUUCAUGUAUGGCUCUCUCAAAAGAUUUGUACAGCAAGGAUGAUUGUGGUAGACUAACAAGCAAGGACACAAAUAAUACAAGACGCUCCAAGCAAAACACAUAUCAUGUUGGUGAAUAAGAAUAUAGCUCCAAGUAAAUUACCGAUGGAAGUGGACGAAAGAGGGGAUGCCUUCCGGGGCAUACCCAAGCUUUGACUUAUUGGUGUCCUUGGAUUAUCUUGGGGGUGCCAUGGGCAUCCCCAAGCUUCGGCUCUUGCCACUCCUUGUUCCAUAAUCCAUCAAAAGAAUUCACCCAAAACUUGAAAACUUCACAACACAAAACUCAACAGAAAUUUCGUGAGCUCCGUUAGAGAAAGAAAACAAAAGACUACUUCAAGGUACUGUAAUGAACUCAUUAUUUAUUUAUAUUGGUGUUAAACCUACUGUAUUCCAACUUCUCUAUGGAUUAUAAACUAAUUUACUAGCCAUAGAUUCAUCAAAAUAAGCAAACAACACACGAAAAACAGAAUCUGUCAAAAACAGAACAGUCUGUAGCAAUCUGUAACUAACGCAAACUUCUGGAACUCUAAAAAUUCUACCAAAAUAGGAAGUCCUGGAAAAUUUGUUUAUUGAUCAUCAGCAAAAAGAAUCAACGCAAAAUCACGUUCCUGUGAUUUAUCAUAACUAAAUUGGUGCGCGCAAAGUUUCUGUUUUUCAGCAGAAUCAAAUCAACUAUCAUCGUAGGUUAUCCUAUAGGUUCUACUUGGCACAAACACUAAUUAAAACAUAAAACCACAUCCAAACAGAAGGUAGAUGGAUUAUUUAUUCCUAAACAGAAGCAAAAAAAACACAAAAUAAAAUUGGGUUGCCUCCCAACAAGCGCUAUCGUUUAACGCCCCUAUCUAGGCAUAAAAGCAAGGAUAGAUCAAGGUAUUGCCAUCUUUGAUUUUCAUUUUUUUAGUGGAGUCAUGCUCGAAUCCGGGAGGUUCUUUCCGCUUCCCUUCAUAUUCGGAAAUUUUUAGAUCUAAAGAAUCCAACCGCUUAUUACAAAGAGUAAUCAACAUAUUCAUGCGGUGAAGAUUUCCACUAACACUUUUAAGAGGCUCAAGAGAGUUUUGUAGAAAAUUUGUUACUUCGCAAAUCUUCUCAAACACUUGGGUUUCUUCCUGGGUAGGAUGAGAUCCUCCCUUUUGGGGUAGUGUUCCCACUAUUCCCUCUAUAAUUUCAUGCGCAAUACUAGGAUCAAUCUCAAUGAAAUUUCCCUUGGCAAUGCAAUCCAAGAAUUGUCUAUGCGUCAUAUUUAACCCAACAUAAAAAUUGCGAAGAAGAAUUCUAAAGUUCACCUUUAGGGUGCACUUACGAUAAGAUUCCAUCAUCCUAUACCAAGCAUCUUUUAAAUUUUCUCCUUGCCUUUGCUUGAAGUGAAGAACUUCAAACUCGGGAGACAUAGGAGCGGAUAAGGAAUUAGACAUAAUGACAAGCAAACGAGCUAGCACACGAGCAAACAGAAAGGCAACAAGAAAAAAGGCAAACGGGAAGAGAGGAGGAGAUUGGGAAAGAGAGGGCAAAUAAAACGGCAAGGGUGAAGUGGGGGAGAGGAAAACAAGAGGCAAAUGGCAAAUAAUGUAAUGCGAGAGAUAGGGAUUGCGAUGGGUACUUGGUAUGGUUGACUUGCUUGCGUGAGCCUCCCCGGCAACGGCGCCAGAAAUUCUUCUUUCUACCUCUUGAGCACUGCGCUGGAUUUCCCCGAAGAGGAGAGGAUGAUGCAGCAAAGUAGUGUAAGUAUUUCCCUCAGUUUUUGAGAACCAAGGUAUCAAUCCAGUAGGAGACCACACACAAGUCCCUCGUACCUACACAAAACGAUAGCAACUCGCAACCAACGCUUAGGGGUUGUCAAUCCCUUCACGGUCACUUAUGAGAGUGAGAUCUAAUAGAGAUAAUGUUUUUGGUACUUUUGAUAGAUAGAUGCAAAGUAAAAGUAAAGGCAAAGUAAAAACAAAGCAAGUAAAUAAAGUGAUAUAGAUUGAUACGAUGAGAAUAGACCCGUGGGCCAUAGGUUUCACUAGUGGCUUCUCUCAAGAGCAUAAGUAUUCUACGGUGGGUGAACAAAUUACUGUUGAGCAAUUGACAGAAUUGAGCAUAGUUAUGAGUAUAUCUAGGCAAUGAUCAUGUAUAUAGGCAUCACGUCCAAAACAAGUAGAUCGAAACGAUUCUGCAUCUACUACUAUUACUUCACUCAUCGACUGCUAUCCAGCAUGCAUCUAGAGUAUUAAGUUAAAAACAGAGUAAUGUCGUAAGCAAGAUGACAUGAUGUAGAGGGAUAAAUUCACGCAAUAUGAUAAAAAACAUCUUGUUAUCCUCGAUGGCAACAAUACAAUACGUGCCUUGCUGCCCCUUUUGUCACUAGAUAAGGACACCGCAAGAUUGAACCCAAAGCUAAGCACUUCUCCCAUUGCAAGAAUUACCAAUCUAGUUGGCCAAACCAAAAAGGAUAAUUCGAAGAGACUUGCAAAGAUAACUCAAUCAUACAUAAAAGAAUUCAGAGAAGAAUCAAAUAUUUUCCAUAGAUAAUACCGGAUCAUAAAUCCACAAUUCAUCGGUCUCAACAAACACACCGCAUAAAGAAGAUUACAUCGAAUAGAUCUCCACAAGAGAGGGGGAGAACAUUGUAUUGGGAUCCAAAAAGAGAGAAGAAGCCAUCUAGCUACUAGCUAUGGACCCGAAGGUCUAAAGUAAACUACUCACACUUCAUCGGAGGGGCUAUGGUGAUGAUGUAGAAGCCCUCCAUGGUGGAUGCCCCCUCCGGCGGAGCUCCAGAACAGGCCCCAAGAUGGGAUCUCAUGGAUACAGAAGGUUGCGGCGGUGGAAUUAGCUUUUUGGCUCCUGUUCUGAUCGUUCGGGGAUACGUAGGUAUAUAUAGGAGGAAGGAGUACGUCGGUGGAGCUCCGAGGGGCCCACGAGGUAGGGGGCGCCCAGGGGGGCGCACCCUCCACCCUCGUGACCUCCUCGGGCACUACUUGGAGUAGGGUCCAAGUCUCCUGGAUCACGUUCGGUUGGAAAAUCACGAUCCCGAAGGUUUCAUUCCGUUUGGACUCCGUUUGAUAUUAUGUUUCUUCGAAAUACUGAAAAAGGCAAAAAAAACAGCAAUUCUGGGCUGGGCCUCCGGUUAAUAGGUUAGUCCCAAAAGUAAUAUAAAAGUGGAAAAUAAAGCCCAAUAUAGUCCAAAACAGUAGAUAAAGUAGCAUGGAUCAAUAUAAAAUUAUAGAUACGUUGGAGACGUAUCAACUACCAAACAUGGGUCUCACGCGGUUUCGGGCGAGUAGAGGCUCUUUUGGCACUUCGUUCGAAAUUUUGAAACACAAGCAUUCACGUUUAGAGUACUCUUGAGCUAUGAGGAUUGACCUAAAUAGACAACGUUAUAUUUGACCUUGUAUGUUUGAAAACCUCAUUAAAUUAUCCGCUUCCUUUUGAAAUUUUGACACUUGAAAAUCCUAUAACUACGAUUAUUUGGGAAUGGAGGAGCUAAAUUUGAAUCUAUUUUGUACACGACUACAUAUGCUAUUAUGUACAAAAUCAGAGCAAAGAUUGGUACCCCCAUAGUUUAGGUAUGGUUUAUAAAUGCCAUGAUAUCAAAUUCAAAUAAUUGAAUGGACUUCAUGUUGAAUUCGAUUUUUUUAAAACACCUUAGGUUGAAUUCAAAUGUAUACUAGUUCAUAGGUAGCUAUUUAUAAAUGUUCAUUGUGUAACUUUCGUAUGUAUAAUGUGCUUUACCAACACAACAUGGACUAUACUCACGUUUAUAUUCGAUUGCUAAAGUGAUGCAUUGUCUGGAGUUCAAAAUACUAACUAUGUGGAUCAAUUGUGUCGAAUAAUAACAUAGACAUGCUCAAAUUCGAUAGAAUCUAGAUGUCUGAUGGAUCAAUGACCGCUCCUUACGCGAAUUGCAAGUAUCAUGAUCCCAUCCUAAUAUUUGGAUACAAUUUAUAUCUUUAAUCAAUGUGUAGAGCAGUCUUUUACGUGUAGUUUCACUCUCCAUGGGUGGUCUCUCACACAUGCUCACACACUCUCUCCCGAGGUGUCUUUCUCGCACACAUUCUCUAGAUAUAACCCUCCCUCCCUCUCGUAACCAUUUACAACUAUUUUCACUAACCUUUAUCACAAGCACUCUUCCUCUCGCAAACAUACACACGCACAAUCCUCAUCGACCCUUUCUAUAUACAUGGACCUGCCUACGUGUCUCAUGUACGCACAUUAUCUUUACGCCUGUCUCUCACGCAUUAUCUCACACCUCUCUUCCUAAUCGAUGAGUAUGAUUCUAGCAGAGCAUUCUGUAGGAUGCCCCUUAAAGUUAGGUUGGAUGAAUAGUAAUAUAAGAGAUAGAGGGGUUACCUUAGUCUGAGAACCUAGGGUUACAAAUCCUAGCCGGCUUUGUCAGUGGACACAGAGUCCUUCAAAAUUCUGCUAUCUUUGUCUUGUAUGACUAGUCAUCCAUGGGUCUUCCUAAAUGUGUCAUGGGCCGACCAAUGUGGCGUAGGACGGAACCGAACAAAGGGCCUCACCUCGACCCACCGGACCUCACGCGGUGACACACCCUCUGCCCCCACGUCUCAUUAUAUUCUCACACCCACACAUACCAACACAAACACCACACAGACAGAAAAUUUCUCCUGGUGCCUCUAUUCCCUCCCCCCUUGCAUAUACACACUCAAGGGAAUGGAAUCUCUUGUCGUGACGUCAUAUUCGUCUCUCUCUCUCUAGACCACCCUCAUUUCUCGUGCUAUCUCUCCCACCACCACCCCAUCGGCCCCUCUAUCCAUGCCUCUCUCGAAUAUGUAAUACACACACAUACCUCUCUAGGCCCCGCCAAAUGCAUCAACUACACAUUCACACAUGUUACAUCACGUACCCCAUUGAUCUAAAAAGCCCUCUCUUCACGUUUAUUUCGCAUACAACAUUUCUUUUGAAUAAAGUGUGGCCAAAAAAUUAUUUUAGAGUUUCUACAUAUAUACAACAUUACAAAGUUAUAUGGAGGAGUAUGAACACUAAUUUGCAUUGCAUUGUGCCCACAAUGAUAUUUAUUCCGCACUGUGAAUUUGUAUAUUUUUAUACUAUAUACAAAGUUAGUCAUAAUAAAGAGAAACGAAGAGCAUCUCUCUCUCCAUCGCAUACCCCCCCCCUGUACGCCCCUUUCACGUAUGCACACAAAACUAUCUCCAGGUCCUCUAAAAGUAAGCCCCCAGAAAAUUCACGCGUGUUUCAUCUUUCUCUCACGAUAUAUGCAAUGAUGAUCAUUGUAUUUGAAGUGAAAGCACGAUACAUACAUUGGACUUCAUAAUCCACUCAUUACGGUCACCGUUUACAUUUAGUGGUUAUUAUACAGUCACGGGCUCAUCGUACAACUUUGUAUUUGCUCAUGACAUGACAAGUUGACCAGUUGAACGCUCCACGUGGCACCUCUAGUGUUGCAUCACAUUAUCUCACUAACAUCGUGCCCACCUGUCGACUUGUAUCAACUCUACAUCUACACUAUUAUAAAAUACAUAAAAUACACUUAUAAAAAACAGAGUUGGUGAUGAUGGUGUGCCUGCCAUCCUGCAAUAUAGGCCAUCCGAUUUAUAUCUGACGGAUAGGAAAGAAACUAUGGCAAUUUUGCAAAAAGGUACCCACACACCUCUCCACAUUUGCAAAUAAGGCCUUCCCUCGUUCAUCCUUUUAUCUCACAAGAUAAACAAGUCAUACAAAUGCAUCUUGAUGUUACGUGCAACGCACAGGCAUCUUGCUAGUAAGAAUGAAAACAAAUGACAAAAAAAUAUUUUGACGUUGGUGCGAAGUCAUGACCGCGGGCACAGCGGAUAAGGUGGCCUUGUAUUGGUAUGUUAAGCCGUCUGUUUUAACACACAGGAGCUGGUGUGGUGAUUAUAGACACACACGCACGCAUGCACACGAACCCCAUCCACGCAACACUCACACAAACACAUGCACCCAUGCACGCACGCAACACUCACAUGUACACACGCAGCCACGCAUGCACGCAACACUCACACGCACACACGCACGCAUGCAUGCACACACCAGUACACCACACGACCAACACACACUCUCACGCUCAAGUGCUCAACCUACACGUGCAUGCGCACACAUCAGGCCCUGACAGACACAUACACAACCAGGUGAUUCCCGCACACGGGUUGGAGCCUUGUCGCGCCUGUGUAAAUUUGUGUUUAUCUGACCUUUUACCUAUGCGAACUGACAGGUGGGACCCACAAGGAACGUGGUCAAUUUAACUAGUCAACAUGGCACCACGCAGACUAUUUGGCCGGUCAACAGAGUGCAAUCUGAUGCUGAACUUUGAGCAAGUGACUGGAUAAUCACCGCAAAAUGUAUAUAGUGACCGUAAUAAGCUUAUUCUGAAGUUCGUUGACCAUAUUACGCUUUUCUCUCUGUAGGCCCUCCAAAACUAUUACAUCUCUACACGUUCUCGCAUGUUAGAUCUAACAACUAUGCAAUACAGCACUACUACUACACUCUAACACAAUAAAUCAUAUGUGUUUUUAGUUUUACUAGAUAUCAUAUUGUUACUUAUAAUUAUUCAAUUUGCAUACAUUAAAAUUGCCUUUGAAAUGUAUGGCCAGCAUCAUCUACCGCGCGGGAAAAAUCCCGCCCUUUCUUGUUUAAUCGGGUUUGUAUCGAUGGAUCGUGCGAAACAGCAAAACUAUAGUACUAUACAGUACAAGUGACAGUUCACUGGGCCGUCGUGUCGUCUACUCCUCCGUCGUAAGAGUGGAGCGCUCACUUUCAUAAAUCCCUAGUCCCUUUCGCCGAGAUGUGGGACAUCAAGCUACCGGGUCCACGUGCCAUACCGGAAUACAGUGCAGAGCAGCCGGGGUGAAGCACCCCAGUCAUGGUGCCAGCAUAGUAAAUGAGCAAUGAGGCAUCAAAUCACAAAGCUGCACCUUUUCUGCAGUUAAGUUGGAGGGACGAAGUAAUAAUGCUAAAAAAGAAGUUGGAGGGACGAAGCAACCAUCGUUUCACUCGUUGCUGAAUCCUCUUCUCCCUCAUCUUCUUCAACUUAACCACGUGUUGCUUCUGCCGUUGUUCCGCCUCAUGUGGGACGCGGAUCAGCUUGGUAAAGCACUGACACGUGGGACCGCAUGUUAGCAAACCACCAGGACAACAUCCUCCGAAAAUAAGAAACCUCCCCCGCCAUUUGCGUGGCAAAAUCACCUCCUUUUUACUAAUCUUUGAUUCUAUAAUUUUUUAGAUCAAUAUAAUUGAGAUUUGUAUAGAUAGCACACAGGAGCAAAACCAAGUGGUACGGUUAAGGGCAUCCACAAUGUGUAGCCAAAUGUGAAAAUAGCUUUUGGCAUUGUGGGAACCAUUGUGGACGGCGUUGCCAAAGCCAAAAAGAUGGAACCGAAGCUCCCUGAUUGAUUGAUUGAAGGAAUAGAAAAAUGCAACGUCUCUCCUCUCUCUCACAUGCUUGGACGCAUGUAGGAGUAGUACAGUAUAGAGCACAGAGUCUACUCCCCUGUCCCUUCUAUCACAAAUCACAAAGCAGUGAGGCGUCAAAUCACAAAGCACGGACGAAGCAACUAUCAUUUUCACUCUUCGCUGACUCCGCUUCUCCAUCGUCUUCUUCGAGAAACCAUCUCACUGCACUAGUACUCCUAGUAGUAGUACUAGUAAAGGACUUCCUGGAUGCAAAUAAGGCGGUUGUCUCGGCUUGCAGGCAGCACUUGCGAACGACUUACCGUGGUCUCCCUCAAUGGUGUUCUCCGUCGAACGCACUUUGCCAAACCACAAAAAAAAGUCGUCGACAUCACCGCGAUGGGCAAGGAAUUCAAAUAUAGUUACUACCUCCAUUUUUUUGUACACAAGGCUAGUAUAUCAAAAUUACAAUUUGCAAAGGGCCACUAACACUAAUCGAGGCAAAAUUGAUGGGGUUAGCAACCAAGGACAUUAAUAUCCGCUGCAUGCAUGCAGAAGUGAGAAGGUUCGUUUGCAUGGCGCUGCAUUAAUCAAGAGAUGAGGAGUGAGAUGGUUAGCUCUUUGGUCUUUCGAGAAAAAAAUAUGCAUUAAUUGACACAUGAAACGAGGAUUUGUAUCGAAGGAAAACCCCGCCUUUCUUUUUUAACACUAGUACUCCUAGUACGUACGUACUUAUCCUGUUUGGGUCUAGGCCUUGCAUUGCCAAACUUCGCCACACAUUUUUGCCAAGCUUGCCUAAAGUUUUCAAAAUGAGAAGGAGGUACACUUGCGCACGGCUGUCGCGGUCGCACCGCACCCUCACACGGUCGCUCUUGCAAGCCACGGUCACACUGCACCCUCACACAGUCGCUCCUGCACGCCGCAAACCCAACCAAGGGAACGCACCCUCACUGACACGUGUUGUCGCAUGUGAACAAACCAAACUCAGCCAUCCUAUCGCUGACACAUAAUUUUCGUUCAUAGAGUAUGUUUAUCCAACGGGAGUAUAUGUACGGCCCGUGCGGUGGUCUGUUGGGGAAGAAGAAGAGGUGAGGAAGAAGGAAAGAAGGGUUAGGAGACAUAGGAUAUUCAUCCAACCGCCUGAAAUGGUAGACUGACCCAAGUCAGGCGACUUGCAUAACAAAUAGUAUGUUUUUACACAGCAAAAGAUCCAUAAUAAUAAAAACAACAACAUAAAGAAAAACUAUCACUGCUCGCCGAAAGAGACGGGCUCGUCGUCUUUGGCUGCCGGCGCGAACCAGCCGUCGUUGCCGACGUGUGUCUCCGCACCGUGGUUGUCCUCGGCCUCCAGCUACUCGUUCAAGCGGAGCGUGCGGGCGCUCUGCGCGGACGAGAGCACAACCCGGUUCAAGUCGAGGACGUCCGGUUUUGCCUGCAGGAGGGCCUCGAUGGCAGCGGCAUCCGUGCGCUCCGUGUCAAGUCAAGCCUCUGCCGCCCGGUUCAAGUCCAGGACUUCCGGUUCCGCCUGCAGGAGGGCGUUGAUGAGAGCGGCAUCCGCGCGCUCCGCGUCGAGUCGAGCCUCUGCCGCCCGGUUCAAGUCCAGAACUUCUGGUUCCACCCGCAGGAGGGCCUCGAUGGUAGCGGCAUCCGCGCGCUCCACCUCAAGUUGAGCCUCCGUCGCCGGGUUCAUGUCCAGGACGUCCGGUUCCGCCUGCAGGAGAGCCUCGAUGGCAGCAGCAUGCGCGCGCUCCGCGUCGAGUUGAGCCUCUGCCUCCCGGUCCUCCUUUAGUAUUUCCAUGUUGAACCGCUGGUCCGCCUGCACCAUGGGGGACUCGGACGCCGGCACGAAGUUGACGUUCAUCGUCUCAUACCCAUCGGGGGCCUUCUGCGCCGCGACCUCCGCAGUGAACAUUGGAUCGGCUUCCUCCUCCUCAUAGCUUGGCUCCAGAGAACUCAGGGAUUGACCCGCCGCAAAGCGAGCUUGGGCACGGAGGUCUGUGGCGCCGACCACCGCCGCGAUUUUUGCGCGGUGCUCCAGCGUCAGCAUCUUGUAGUAAGUGAUCUUGCGGCGCACCAUGGCUUUCCGGCGAACUAGGGGACGCUUGAUGCGGGCUAGGGGAUCGAAAGGUGGGGGAAUGGGCUGGAGAUUUGGUGUGGUUUUAGGGCAGUGGCUGGCGUAGACCGAGCAGCGAAGGUUCUGGUGUGAAUAGUGGUUCCGGUGACGACCGGUCAAUCGGUUUUGACUGUACAUCGCUCUUGUCACGUUCGCGUUGCAGCCCGGCAUGUUGGACCCUCCAUGUUGCUCACCAAAUGGAACGCGCUUUGUCUUGCGUUUUUGCUCGUUUGUGGGACCGCAGUUGAGAGCAAACCGACGUCCCUCCCCCUCCCCCGCCCGCGUCAUUUAUUAUACCAAUACUCCCUCCAUUUUAUGCGGAGUAAAUAAAAACAGAGGGAGUAUACUACGGAUGAGGAUCCCCUGACGUGGCCGAACCCAUUGAGUAACUGACAUGCGGGGCCUAGCAAGCAUGGGGUCCGCCAGUGAGUGACCGAAAGGGAGGGUAAGGCAGGCCUAUGUCAGAGGAUCCACUUCCACUAUACUACUUUGACCAAAUGUUAGAGUAAUAAUAUAUGACAUUCAACUUACACAAAUGUUAGAGUAAUAAUAUAUGACAUGCAACUUACACAAAGCAUACAGGGUCUAAUGCGUUUUUCGAGGCUAACUUUGACCAAAUGUUAGAGUAAUAAUAUAUGACAUGCAACUUACACAAAGAAUAUGGUCAAUUUCGUAUGUGAAAGGAGUUUCCAAUGAUAUAAUUUUCACAUUAUACAUCUCAUGUACUCCCUCCGUCUAGGUGUGUAAGUCAUCUUACGAAAACCAAAUAAUCCCAAAACACGUAGGCGCGGUGCAUUAACUUCUACCUCAUUUCUUGUUUCUUGACAUAUGAACCAAUAAGAGAUGAGGGUGUGCAUGCUUUUAAUGACUAGCUGAGACUAUCAAACAUGACAUGCAGUGGUUAGUUCAUUGCAUGCAAUACUAUUAAUUAGCAAUUAAACAUUAAUGUGUCUCGUUUUCCCCUCCUCCUUGGUCACGGUGCACAACCUAAGAUGACUUACUCACCUAUGUGAAAGGAGUACAAUUAAUCUUGUCAAUAGUCAAAUUGGAAACCAUCUCGAGUACAAAUCUAGGAGUACGUACGAAUCUAACAAUAUUGAUUGGGCGUUGUUGAAUGUUGAUACCUUUUUUAUUAUAGUAGAGAUACUUUGACUACACAUAAAACUUAUAUGUAAGGUAGAAAGGGUAGGAGGGAGUAUAUUGUACGUUCAAAAACAAAAUGAACAUUGAAUACCCUUUAUAUAUGAUUUGCGGAUGCUAUGGUCACCGGUUCAAAAUUUUGAAUCCGCCUUAGGUAUCACGUGCCCCCACUCGUUCCCUCUCGAUUUCAUUUCGGGGUCCGGAGAUCUAUUAAAGAGGACUAGGUUGGGUACAUGCGAAUGAUACUCGGCGGAAUGUUCAAAUGAGGCAUGCGGGAGGAUGGACUCGACUGGAGGGCGACAUGAUCGAUGGAGAAGAGGGUUGGAGAGGAAUGAGAAAUAAGCAAAUGCCACAUGAUUACACUUGAACGGCUCAAAUAAACAAUAAGUUGUCUCACUUGGCCUACAUAGUGAAAGGCCUAAUGCGCAACUCGGAGCACUAAUGCUCGAAUAUGGCCGGGAAAACAGGGAAACUGACAUGUGGGGCACACCCGUCGGGACGAUGUAGCGCAGACUAGUCCAAUGGAGGAGCUGGCCCACGACCUCCUCGCCACCAACAACCAUUCAUGUGGGUCUUUGGGGCCAAAAACGGGGUGCAGCUCCAGCACCACCUCUGGACACGACGACCGCGGUGAGCGACACGCUCAUAUCAUCGAUAGACACGGUCGUUUUCAGUGUGCCAAGGGUGGCGUUUGUGCUGUGGCACGACCAACGGUAUGUUUGGUUUGUGCCCACGGUUGCCCCAUCAAAGCAUUGGGUAGCCAAAAUUUUGGUUGAGGUAUUGGUUGCCCAUGAUUUGGCCAACAUUGGGAAGAAAAAUGAACUAGAGUUGGCUACAGUUCAUUGGCAUGCCAAAGAAAUGGCAACCAUCCAAACAAAGACCAAUCUUUGGGUCAUGACCAAAACUUUGGUAAGGUGCACUUUGGCCACAAUCCAAAGACACCCCAACACCCGGCUCGUCAAGGAUGCACGGGGCGCCGCGACGCGUCUGCGGAGUGGUGUAGCAUGGCCAAGUGCAUCCUCUGGACCUGAGACCAUGCCGGGUCGUCUUGCUUUUUCAAUGACAUGCGGGGAUCGCAUUUGAGCAAAGGGCAUCUCCAACGUUGCCACGACCGCAGCUGACUACCCUGGCACACCAAAGCCCUCGUCCCUCGCGCCGUCACGCGGUGCGUUCCCAGCCGGUGCCAGCUGCCCACAUUCAUGCCGUUAGUUCGUAUGUCGUCGUUAAGAGGCUCGGUGCCCGAGGAACCAACUCCGGCGACUUAAUGACCCACCCAGACGCUUGGCCUCACCGGAAUGCGCUACUUAAAGCAGCAACGCCCAGCUAACCUCCACACCAUAGCGCAUCGUCCUCCUACCUGGCACCACAUCCGCCAUGACCGCAAGUGCAAACGCUCUGCGGGAGAGCUUGUCUUCGGGGAUGAAGCUCGAGGUCGCCGCCCUCGCUCAAGUCGCCUCUCACGACGCAAUAGCGGCAUAGCCAGACACGGACGCGACCGCACAAGCGGUGGCCACGCUGGCGGACGACGAUGGGAGCACCGUCAGCCACGCGUCCUAUUUGCCGCCGUCCAACGUCCGGCACCGCCGAGGUCAGGGACUCCUCCGAGGAUGAGUAGGGCAUGGGAGGCGGCAGGGCAUGGUGUGCCAACUGGCCGGUCCGUAUCCCGUGUUCUACUCUUCCUCGCCGGAGACCACACCUUCACUUCACGGGUCUUGAACCCCGCCCCCGUACAUAGAGAUCGCAGAUGGAGGACGUCGGUCGCCACUGUAGAAUAGGUUUAGGGUCAGGUUUCUUUUAUUAUUCUGUCUUAUAAAAGUUCGAAAUGUAAUGAAAACCUGCCGUGUUUGGAUUAAUCUCGGCCGGUGUAUAUGAACUUUCAAAAUAAUAUACAUAUUGUAGGAGUACUAGUGCACGGAAGAUCAAGAUCUUGUGGGAGAAAAGGAUGAACGAGGGAAAGCCUUAUCUGCAAAUGUGGAGAGGAGUGCAGGUAAAUUGUCAUAGUUUCCUUCCUAUCCGUUAGAUAUAGAUCGGACGGCCUAUAUUGCAGGAUGACAGGCACACCAUCAUCACCAACUCUGAUUUUUAUUGAACCGAGACAAAUCUAAAAAACCCAACUAAGCCAACCUCCCAGCAUAUCGCGCGGGAAAAGACCCGGCCGCGCCGUUUUAGUCGGGAUUACUGGAUUACUAGUAGUAGUAUCGAUGGAUCGCGCGAAGCAACAUUUUUUUUGAGGGGGCGAAGCACCUAGUUUAAAAGGAAAAAAGGUGGUACACUUACAGCACUCCUAUCGCGGUCGCAUUGCACCCCACACACGUUCGGUCCUGCACACGGCUCACGCAAACGGAACGCGCUUCGGCUUGCCUCUUCACUGACACGUGGGACUGCACUUGGAGAAACCGACCAUGCACCAAACUCCCCCCGCCCACCGCGCGAAAAUCCUCCCCCCCCCCACACACACAAAAAUUCCCCCCAAAUUCGAUUCAACCGCCCUUCGGCCAAAUAUUCCCCAAACCCCCUCCCCCCGUCCCCCUCCACUCCAUUCGCUCCGCCAAAGCCGCCCUCCCAUCCGCGCCGAUACGUCGGCGCCACGGUUCGUCGAGGGGACGCACGGCGAUCCUCUCGCUCCCACAGUACGCUCUCGUAGACUGCCGUCCUCUAGCCGCGCCGCCACCUUUGGCUACGUUCUUGUGGAGGCGCACGGCGGUCAGCGCCGCCACCACUGGCGACAUUCGUGUGGAGAUGCACGGCGGUCAGCUUCUCCCGCGGUACACGCAUUCUAGACUGAGGCCCCGUUCAUGUCAAUGUAGCGCUGAAUGUUAGCUGAUAGACGCUGUUAAUCUCACUGUUUGCCGAAGUAGUUUACUGUCAAUAUGCUCUGCUUAAGAAGCUUCCUUGCCCUGUUCUGCACUCAAUCUGCUUAGCUGAGAUGGCAUGCCAAGGCCGAUUAGUUGCUAAAAUAUCCUACCAUAUAUUUAUUAUGACGUAGAUUGCCAUGGUCUAGUAGACAAUCUGUUAGGUGAAAUAGCUCUACACCGUUUUAUACUCGAUCUUUGUUGCUGCGAUGGCCUUCGAUAGUUCGAUGGUUGUGUGCUCGGGCUCAUUGACUGCUGAAACAGCCUGCCAUAAUUUAGCACUCAAAUCUGUUUGCUGAAUUAGCUUUACAUAUAUUUCGUUACUUAGAUCUGCUCGUCCAAAUAUCUUGCCAUAGCUUUAGACAUCGACCUAGGUAUUUUUUUCUGGACUUCAUAAAAAAGCAUAUAUGUUUUUCUUGUAAUAUCUAGUAGAAGAACUAAUUUGUAUGUCUAACAGAUGGACGGGACUUGGAUAACUUCUACUUGAAGAUUCUCCGCUGCAUAUGUCGAGGGGGUUGAAAACUUCAUGAACUUUAUCAGAGCUGAGUAUGGUGGUCCGAAAUCAGAUGUGCUCUGCCCGUGUAGCAGUUGUAUGAAUUCAGUUACAAGACCCCAGUCAACUGUGCAAAAUCAUCUACACUUGUAUGGGAUGUCGGUCACAUAUACUAGGUGGGUUCAUCAUGGUGAAGCUGUGAACGUCAAUGUUAUUGACUACGUGGAAGCAGCAGAUCACCAUCUUGAUCUGCCUGAUGCUCAGAUGGAAGAGGAGGAGGAGGUGGUGGUGGCGGAGCCAGUGAGUUUGACCAACAUUGAAACAAUGCUACGAAAUGCUCGUGCAUUCCGUGAACUUUCCCCUGCAGAAGAAACACGGUGGGCCCGCAUGUUGGAACAAUGCAACGUUGUUGUCACCCCAGGAAAUAAGCUGUCAGUAUUCUCAGCUAUGGUCACCUUUCUUCAGGUGAAGACAUCUGAGUGGAUGACCAACAAAUCAUUCGAUGCGAAGUUGGCUGCUUUCCGCAAAUCUUUCCCAGAUGCGUCUGAGCUGCCACACACCUAUAGUAAAAUGAAGAAUUUCCUUUGUGAAGUUGGAAUUGAAUAUGAUAUGAUCCAUGCUUGUAAGAAUAAUUGUGUUCUGUUCCGGAAGGAUUAUGCCAACUUAAGUGAAUGCCCGAAAUGCAGAUCAUCAAGAUGGAAAGAUGGCAAUGUUGUGAAGAGGGUUCCUCAUAAUGUUCUGAGACAUUUUCCAAUUACACCAAGAUUGCAGAGGUUGUUUCAUGAUGCUGAAACAAGAGAGGAUGUACUAUGGCAUUCUAGGAACCAGGAGUACAGAGAUCAGAAUGUAAUGAGCCAUCCAUCUCAUGGUAGUGAGUGGAAAAGCUUUAAUGAUAAACACAAAGAGUUUGUUGCUGACCCGAGAAACAUUAGACUUGGCUUAGCUUUAGAUGUAUUUAACCCAUUUGACCACCAGAGGCCACAUAUAGCAUGUGGCCAGUGCUUGUUAUCCCUUACAACAUGCCUCCAAAUGUCUACACCAAAGAAUCAAACUACAUGAUGGCCUUACUCAUCCCAGGUCCAAAAAUUCCUAGAAAGGAUUUUGAUUUGUUCAUGGAGCCUCUUGUGGUGGAACUUCAAUAGCUAUGGAAGGGUGUUCUCACUCGAGACCUAUAUAGCAGCCCACCAGCUGAUUUCUUUCUGCGUGCUGUUGUAAUUUGGUGCAUCCAUGAUUAUCCGACUUUGGGCACUAUGUCAGGGCGAACGACACAUGCUUACAAUGCAUGUAUUCGCUGUGACAGGAAUCCGCUAUCAUACGCAAUACUUAGCAAGAUCUGUUACAUUGGACACCGUCGUUUCCUUGCCAAGGACAAGCCGCAUCCUAGAAAAUACCAAAGACAUGUCUUCAAUGCAAAGCAUGAAAACCGUGAUGCGCCAAAGAGGCUCACCGUCGAUGAGUUGCAAGUGGAAUUAGAGAAGGUCAGGCAUAUUACACAAGGAAACCAUCCUGGUAAUGGUAGCGGGAAAAGGAAGCGUGGCACGGUAGAAGAGAGAUUAUUGUUUACCCGCAGGUCCACUUUGUGGGACAUGGAGUAUUGGAAAGAUUUGGAUCUGCGGCAUAAUCUUGAUGUGAUGCACAUCGAGAAAAAUAUAUGUGACAGCAUUAUCGGCACACUUCUUAACAUUGAAGGCAAGAUGAAAGAUACCUUAAAAUCUAGGAUUGAUUUGACACACCUGGGUAUCAGAAAGGAUUUGCAGGUGCAAGAUGAAGGUAAACCAUGGGAUAUGGCACCAGCUGUGUACGUCUUGGACAAGGUAAAAAGAAAAGAAUUCUGCGAGGUCCUGUCAUGUGUGAGAUUCCCACAUGGAUUUGCUUCCAACCCUGAAAGGAGAGUCAGUGCAGAUGGAAACAAGGUACAAGGGUUGAAAACUCAUGACUGCCACGUCCUACUUCAAAGGGUUUUACCUGUUAUCCUUAGAGGAUUGGGCCACCCUCACUUAUACAGAGCAGUUGCAGAGUUGGGACAAUUCUUCAGGGAACUCUGCAGUAGAAAUAUCAGGAUAGAUGCUUUGGAGCGUCUUAGAGACAAGAUACCAACUAUCCUAUGCGACCUUGAGAAGAUAUAUCCUCCAGCCUUCUUUGAUGUGAUGGUGCAUUUGGCUGUUCAUCUACCUGAUGAGGCACUACUUAGAGGUCCAGUACAGUAUGGCUGGAUGUACCCUAUUGAAAGGCAGCUAGGCACUUUCAAGGGCUAUGUUAGGAACAGAGCUAGACCCGAGGGUUCCAUUGCAGAGACCUACAUUGCUACAGAAGCGUUGACACUCUGCUCAAAAUACAUUGAAACAGCUGAUCAGCUUAGCAAAGAGGUGGGUGAAGACAAUCCCGGGCUCAAUGUUUUCGAUUAUUCUGUUCGAGUUACAGGGAAGAGUCGACAAGAGGACAAACCUAAAGAUUUGGACAAAAUGGUUUGGUAUGUGUUGAAUAACUAUCCUGAGAUACUACCUUAUAUCAAGUAAGUGCAGUAUUGUAGCUUAUACCUCGUAAUCUACUAAACUUGCAACACGUUCUUAUAUAUUUAGAUGUUUGACGCGAUCACUAUGUUGUGCAGCAUGUACAAAGAGGAGUUACUGCCGCAAAAUCCAAGAAACAUUGACAAACUGGUUAUGGCAGGAUUUGCGAAAUGGUUCAAGAACCAUGUAAGCUUUUGAAGUGCACUAUCAGUUUUUUUAAUAUAUUGAGUACAUAAGAUGAUCAGCUUGUCUAUUUUCUAACCAUAGGUUAAGAAGAUGCGGGAGGAUGGGCAGGCAGUUGAUGAUGCCCUUUACUCACUAGCAAUGGGUCCUGAUACUCGGAUAAGACAUUAUGAAUCUUGCGUUGUUGGAGAUGUGCGCUACAACACCCUUGCACGAGACGAAGGCAGGAAGACACAAAACAGUGCCAUCAUGAGCACGGAUACGUAUGACAAAGAGACAACUGAAAUGUAUGCUAACAUAACAGACAUUGUUCAGUUGCAGUAUAUCUCCAGUUCCGAGGAUCAUUGGUGUGUGGUUCCGUUGCUGUCGUUGGUAUAACCUGUUUUCCAGGAUCGCAAAACCCAGAGCUGAUGAUUAUUUCAAAUCCGUCAAUGUCAAGGCGGCGUACCAGACCAACGAACCUUUUAUUUUGGCAAAUCAAGCAACACAAAUAUUUUUCUUGGAAGACACAUUUGCAUGUAGCGAUGACUGGAGAGUAUUGCAAAGGUUUGAGCAGAGUAAUUCGUUUAAUGAAGUUGCACAACAAGAUGAUGCUUACACUGCUCCUGAUGUACAAGAUAACAUAGAUGUUCCUAAUAUCUUUGAGAACCAUCACGUCAAUGACGCCGGCGAAAAGAUUGCCUGUCGUGCUGUGGACAUACAAGAGUUCAUCAAGAAGAAGCCAACGUUCGAGGACGUUGAGGACGAAGAAGAAGAUGACACCAUGGGGAAUUACGAUUCAGACAGAUACACAUGGCAAAGAUGUUGACGCUGCUGCUGCAGAUGAUGAUUACAUUGCUUUUGUUGUAUUUGCCUGUAAGAAGACGUUUUUUUAUAUACUAUGUGAAAUUGUGUUUGCUAUGACAACUGAAACCUGAUGAACAUGUUGUUUAGUAUUUUGCUGUGAGAACAUCACUUGUUAUGUAUGCUGAUUUGUGUUUGGUGAUUGUAUGACAACUAAAACAUGAUGACAUUGUUGUUUAGUUGUACUCAUAUUUGGCUGUGAAACUUGAAUUUGAUGACAUAGUUUGCUGUUGGACUGCAAUUUGCUCUACGCCUUCGAAUGAGAACAAAGCUGACCCGACAGGGCCUCUGCUAUCUAUUUAUUUAUAUGAGCAAAAGGGGAUACCCCCUGAUUUCCGUUAAUAGAAAUCAUUAGAUGUUCACAACACUACGUCCAGCCUGCUACACAUGUUUCAUUCAUUACUAGUUUCAGCAAAGUGCUCAUGUCAUAGCCACUGAAUACAUCACGAGUGCUACAUACACUGCAAAUAAAGAGACAAUCAUCCUACAGAGCACAUUGAUUUUUCCCAUUAUCUUCACAAGAUCUUUCAUCUCCUCAUUGCUGUCAAGGCCGUUCAGCAGGUGUUGCUUGGCCAUGAUCAGAGGAAAUGCAUCUUUAACCUUCUGCUCUGCAUCUUCCUCUUCUGUCGUUCCUUCAGUUACUUGUCCAACACCCCAACCUGCUGGUAUUGGGAUUCCUCGGCUAACCAAAUAAUCAGCUUAGUUGCAUUCCCCCACAUCAGCAACUUCCCAAAAAUACAAAUCACACGAAUCUUCCCUUUUCUGCCCGAAUCAAAUUGGAAGAUCAUCAACCAUACUAUUAAAAAAUCAGCAACUGAAAGCAGCAGAACAACACUUAAACAUAUUAUUACCCCAUGAUUCGGGCAUUUGUAGAAGACUCGGCCAGGGUUGCGAAUUGUGGUUGAGACACGAUGGAUGACUCUGCGCGAUUUGCAGCAGUGGCACCACACCAAUUACAGCAGGUUGCGAUGAGCAAUCGGCUGUGGUGCGUGUGCCGGCGGGGGUGUGAUGAGACCGAUAGGCGAUGGUACGGGUGGCGACUUGGCGCAUAUCUGGUUGUUGCCUGCUGAAGAGCAGGUGGACGAGCAGCCAGCGGACAUGGUUGCUGCGGCCAGAGCUUCUGAUGCUAGGCAGAGUAAGUAGAGAAGAGGAGAAGCGAACGUUGGAUAUGUCAGUUUCAUUACUUGCAGAGUAGCAUAGCACCAUAUAUAGUCAUAGUCUAGGUUUGGAUUCGAACCAGCUACAGGAGCACGUCUUUCUUUUUUCUAAAACUCAGCAAUGUCUCUUUACUGGUACAUUAGCUUCUUCUGUACGCCUUCCCAAGUCUUUGAUUUUCUUUCCCUUUUUUGCGAGGAAGGAAGGAGGACAAAAUUGAGAGUUCCUCGGACUCAAACCCAAGACCUCUCGGUUGAAAACCAAGGGUGCUAGUCACUUAUGUGGCGAACGUUCCCUAUGAGGAGGACGGCAGACGAACGAAUUUUCCUUGCAGUUUUCUUCCUAUAUAUAAAAAAGUAUGCUACUUGGUGUCCACUUAUUCAAAAAAUGAUUGUGCCAACCUCGACCGUUCGAUUGACAUUCAACGUCUGUCGCAUUUCUUCAGUCUCUUCUUCCUCGAGCCGCCAAAGCCAAACCAGCGCCGGCGGGACCGCUUGCUCCCGCCUCCCAUGGCUGGCUGUGAUCUUCCCCGGCUCCUGUUCGUUCCCGUCCGAGGCCUCACCAUCGUCCUCUGCGCUCGCCGCGGCUCCGCUCUCCGGUGUUGUCAACAUGGUCAACAACCGAGAGGAAUAAGGAGAUGACUGUACAUGGUGAGGAUGAUAGUAGGGACCCAGCAGCGGGCGCAGUAAUUUUGUUUUUUCGGGACGGAGAAGGGUAUCAACUGGGUUAUGCGGGACCCGUGGCCCGUCUAGCCCAGGCUUUUAUUUCAUAUGUUUAGCACAUGACCAGCCCAGUUUGUUUUUUUUUCUUUCUGAAAAAUGGCUACCCAGCUAUUUUGUUUUUUGCAGAAUAACCAACAUAGGCCUACUUGCUUUUCUACGCCCUGCUGGGCCGGAAAUCUUUCAAGACGAGGAGGGAUGCAUUUUGCCCAGAAAAUGGGCUAUAAGUAAUAAGAAAUGGGCUAUGAGUAAUAAGAAAUGGGCUAUAAGUAAUAAUAAAUGGGCUAUAAGUAAUAAUAAAUGGGUUGUAAAAUGAAAAAAAUACAGCAAACACGCAAUUAGUUCCCAAAUACUGUUUUCUUUCGGAUUGUGAUAUUUUAAAUUUCAUUGUUUUGUGCGGGUAAAAUUUCAUUGAAUUUAAAUUAAGGUAUAUUUAGAUUUAAAAUUAAUUUGAAUCCGUCCAGAAAUUUCGGGCUGUAUGCUGUUUGGGACAGAUUUGGAGGCUGACUUGUGGGUCUACUAGGUUGACGUGUACUUUGGCUUUGUCAACUUAGUCCACAAACGAUUAUAGCAGCAGUGACCAUUGGAUGUUAAUCCAACGGCCAUGCUGCUUCUUCAAUAUCUGAUCUUCUUGCUCCAGCCUCCCAAACCAGCUCCGGUGGGACUGCCUGCUCCCGCUUCCCGUGGCCGGCUGUGCUGCCGCACAGGCCGCACCGCCCCACCCUACUUCAUUGCUGGCCAGGCCAUUCCUCUACUCACCCACACCUCCUGUUAUUUUCCGGCGACGGCAGCGGGACCAGUAAACCCUCAUACUCCCCACCGCGUGGGCAACCAUUGCCGAGUCUUCCCCGGCUCCGUGGCGUUCCCUUCCUAGGCCUCGCCAUCGUCCACCACCAUGGUGCUCUCGGCGCGGCCUGGUCAACGUGGUCAACGAACGACAUCCAUCGGUCGUGGACUGUACGCGCAAAAUAAUGAUUCCUCCACCUGACAGCUGGGACCCACCGAAAGGGCCUCUGUAUUUCGCGAAAAAAACGUUCCCCCCGCUGACAUGUCAGACCCACCAGCUAUAUCUUCGCACGCAAGGAAGUGCCUCCUUAUUACGCACAAAAAAAUGAAUACCCACCCUGCUAGAUUGGACCCACCAUAGUGGGAGGAUGACUUGUGGGCCAACUCAGUUGACGGGGACGGAGGGCUUUGUCAACUUAGUCAAUAUGAACGAUUCUAGCUCCACUGACCGUACGAUGUCCAUCCAACGGCCAUAGUGCUUCUUCAACCUCUGGUCUUCUUGCUCCAGCCGCCCAAAGCAGCGCCGGUCGUGCCGCGUGCUCCUGCCUCUCGUGGCUGGCUGUGAUGCCGCGGAGGCCUCACCGCCCCCUACUACUCCUACCGCUGGCCCAGGGUAUCCCUCUACUCACCCACACCCCCUGUUAUUCUGCAGCGACGGCAGCCUCACACCGCAGCCGAACCAGUGAACCCUCGUACUCCUCUCCGUGCGGGCUACCACUGCUGCUUCUUCCCCGGCUCCGCGUCGUCCCCUUCCUAGGCCUCUCCGUCGUCCAGACCACCGCCCUGGUGCUCUCGGCGCGGCGUGGUCAACGUGGUCAACGACCGACUUCCAUCGGAAGAGUACUGUACGUGGAGAGGCUGACAGCUGGGUCCAGGCGGCCGCAAGGAAGUGCCUCCUUAUUACGCGCAAAAUAAUUAUUCCUCCACCUGACAGCAGGGACCCACCGGACGGGCCACCUUAUUUCGUGAAAAAAACUUUCCCCCCUGACUAUUGGGACCCACCGGACGGGCCAGCGUAUUUCGCGAAAAAAAUGUUCCCUGCGCUGUCAGCUCGGACCCACCGGAAGUGCCUCCUUAUUAGGCACAAAAAAAUGAAUACUCCCCUUGCUAGCUGGGACCCGCCAUGGUGGGAGGCUGACAUGUGGGACUACUAAGUUAACUGGGACGGGGGCCUUUGUCAACUUUAGUCAAUAUGAACGAUUCUAGCUCCAGUGACCGUACGAUGUCCAUCCAACGGCCGUAGUGCUUCUUCAACCUCUGGUCUUCUUGCUCCAGCCGCCCAAAGCAGUGUCGGUCGUGCCGCCUGCUCCUGCCUCCCAUGGGGCUGUGCUGUCGCGGAGGCCUCACCGCCCCCUACUAUUCCCACCGCUGGCCAGGCCUUGCGGCGACGGCAGCCUCACACCGUAGCCGAACCAGUGAACCCUCGUACUCUUCUCCGCGCGGGCUUCCACUACCGCGUCUUCCCCAGCUCCCCGUCGUCCCCUUCCUAGGCCUCGCUGUCAUCCACCACCCUAGUUCUCUCGGUGCAGCGUGGUCAACGUGGUCAAGGAACGACUUCCAUUGGACGUGGACUGUACGUGGAGAGGCCGACAGCUGGGUCCACGGCCGCAGCAAGGAAGUGCCUCCUUAUUACGCGGAAAAUAAUGAUUCCUCCACCUGACAGCUGGGACUCACCGGAUGGGCCACUGUAUUUCGCGAAAAAAAAUGUUUCCCCCUGACUGUUGGGACCCACCAGCUACAUCUUCGCACGCAAGGAAGUGCGUCCGGGCAAAAAAACAAAACGAUUCGCCCCCCUGACCGCUGGGACCCACCAGUGACACCUUCGCACGCAAGGAAGUGCGUCCGGGCAAAAAAAAAGAUUCCCCCUGACUGCUGGGACCCACCAACUACAUCUUCGCACGCAAGGAAGUGCGUCCGGGCAAAAAAAACGAUUCGCCCCCCUGACUGCUGGGACCCACCAGCUACAUCUUCGCAUGCAAGGAAGUGCCUGACAGUCGGGACCCACCUGGUCGAAGCGUACGUAGCGUUGUCAUUCUGGUCGCGAACGUGUAUGUACAUACUGGUCGAUGUAGAGGCGCGCACGUGUCGUAGAUGUAGAGGCGCGCACGUAGCAUGUACACGUACGUACAGCGGCGAGGGUGCAAGAAAGAAAAUACGACCACGUACGUACAUACGGGUAGGGUCUCAAACGCCUACUUGCACAUACGUGCAUGGCUGGGUCGGAACGGAGAAACAACGUCGUCGUCGUGUUCAUGGGGAGCCAACCGGCUGGGUCGGAAUGGAAUGCAUGGUCGUGUUCAUCGGGAGGGCUUGGACGGAACAGGCGAUGGAAACAAGGCUAGGCGUACCGCAGAACGGAGGAAAUGGACCUCCUACAUUCGGAACGGGGUCCUGUUGAUCGGGAGGGGUGUGGCGUACCGCAAAAUGGAGGAAACGGACCUCCUACGGUCGAAACGGGGGUCCCGUUGAUCGGGAGGGGUGUGGUGUACCGCAAAACGGAGGAAACGGACCUCCUACAGUCGAAACGGGGGUCCUGUUGAUCGGGAGGGGUGUGGCGUACCGCAAAACGGAUGAAACGNNNNNNNNNNNNNNNNNNNNNNNNNNNNNNNNNNNNNNNNNNNNNNNNNNNNNNNNNNNNNNNNNNNNNNNNNNNNNNNNNNNNNNNNNNNNNNNNNNNNNNNNNNNNNNNNNNNNNNNNNNNNNNNNNNNNNNNNNNNNNNNNNNNNNNNNNNNNNNNNNNNNNNNNNNNNNNNNNNNNNNNNNNNNNNNNNNNNNNNNNNNNNNNNNNNNNNNNNNNNNNNNNNNNNNNNNNNNNNNNNNNNNNNNNNNNNNNNNNNNNNNNNNNNNNNNNNNNNNNNNNNNNNNNNNNNNNNNNNNNNNNNNNNNNNNNNNNNNNNNNNNNNNNNNNNNNNNNNNNNNNNNNNNNNNNNNNNNNNNNNNNNNNNNNNNNNNNNNNNNNNNNNNNNNNNNNNNNNNNNNNNNNNNNNNNNNNNNNNNNNNNNNNNNNNNNNNNNNNNNNNNNNNNNNNNUCACUGUUCAUCCCAGAGGUAGCAUCGAUCGGCUUCAAUUAGCAGCUGUAGCGAAGGAAUAGCUCCAUCGGGUUCAGUUAACAGCCAUCGAUCGAUCGCUCGGGUUCAGUAACGCGUAGCCUGCAGUGCAAUCACUCGGGUUCAGUUAGAGCCCAACGCCUCGCUCGGGUUCAGUUAGAGCCAACGCCUCGCACACACACGCGUACCUGUACGAGAGAAACACGCAUCGCUCUCCCACCAUAACCGGUAACUCCCCGAAAUUUUCCUCCCCCUCGCUUCUACCACGAUUUUUUCCGUCAUGGACGGCCCAAAGAAUGUCAUGCAGCUGCGUCUCCGGCCCGCCCAGGACGAAAAGCCCAUUUUCUUUCAUGAUUUUUUGUCAUAGAAGUAGGAGCAAACCACAUCUAUGAUGAUACCGGGUUUUGUCACAAUUAUCGUCAUAGAAGUAUCAUAUGUAUGACAGAAAAAAAAUCGUUCGGCCCAAAAUGUCAUGGAUAUGUCUUUUUUUGUAGUGAUGGUAAAGAAAGGGAACCAUGGGUUCAGAAACCCGUGCCUUUUCCUCCGAAACCAUACAAGAAAAAGGAUGAUGAGGAUUUUGAGCGUCUUGCUGAAAUGAUUAGACCCAUCUUUUUGUGUAUGCGAUUAACUGAUGUGCUCAAAACAAAUCAUUAUGCUAAGUAUAUGAAGGAUAUCAUUACUAAUAAACAAAGGUACCGGAAGCUGAAAUUUCCAACAUGCUUGCUAAUUAUACUUUUAAGGGUGGAAUACCAAAGAAACUUGGAGAUCCAGGAGUACCUACUAUACCAUGCUCCAUUAAGAGAAAUUAUGUUAAAAAUUCUUUAUGUGAUCUUGGAGCCGGUGUUAGUGUUAUGCCUCUCUCUUUAUAUCGUAGACUUGACUUGAAUAAGUUGACACCUACUGAAAUAUCUCUGCAAAUGGCUGAUAAAUCAACUGCUAUACCUGUCAGUAUUUGUGAAGAUGUGCCUGUUGUAGUUGCAAACGUUACUAUUUUAACGGACUUUGUUAUUCUUGAUAUUCCCGAGGAUGAUAGUAUGUCUAUUAUUCUUGAAAGACCUUUCCUUAAUACUGCAGGGGCUGUCAUUGAUUGCAACAAAGGCAAUGUCACUUUUCAUGUUAAUGGUAAUGAGCACACGGUACACUUUCCGAGGAAACAAACUCAAGUUUAUAGUAUCAACUCUAUUGGAAAAAUUCCAUCGAUUAUAUUUGGAGGUUUUGAAUUUCCUCUCCCUACUGUCAAGAAAAAGUAUGAUCUUCUUAUUAUUGGGGAUUUUCAUAUCCCCGUUGAGGUAACUUAGUGUUAUUCGAAAUUUCUCUGGUUCUGUGUUAUUCGGAAUGAGUUUGCUAACAAGACUUGAUCAACCUUGUUAGUGGGUUCAUUUUUAUGAUCACGAGAUGGAUGAAACUAGAAGCACAACCUUCUGUGCCCUCUUUAUAUUUUCUGUUAUUUAGUAGAAAUAAAGUAAAAUAGUAUUUUUCUGUCUGUCCCUGACUUAUCCAUGCAAUAUAAAAAUAUCCCAAAAAUAAAAGUCCUCGGAAUGCCAUGCCAAUUUAAUAUGAUUUUUUCGGGAAUAUUUGAGGAUUUACUGUGCAAAAAUUACCGCGGGGGGAGCUGCCACCUGGCCACGAGGGUGGAGGGCGCGCCCUACCCCCCUGGGCGCGCCCCCUACCUCGUGGGCCCACGGUGGCCCUCCUCCACUUAUCCCCGCACCCAUCUUCUUCCUCUGCCUCACACAAACACGAAAAAACAACUCAAGCACGAGUUCCAGCCCCCGUUGCUGUGAUUUUUCGAUCUCCUUGCUCAAAGCACCUCUCGCAAAACUGCUUGGGGAGAUUUGUAACGCCCCGGAUUCGUUGCUCCAGGUGUCCGCCAGUUACUCAUCGUCGUUUCCAUGUCAUGUGCUUGCGUGUUGCACUUUGCCAUGUCAUCAUCUGCAUUUCAUAUCAUGUCAUCAUGUGCAUCGCUUUUGCAUACGUGUUCGUCUCAUGCAUCCGAGCAUUUUCCCUGUUGUCCAUUUUGCAAUCCGGCACUCCUAUGUCCUCCGGCGUUCCCCUUUUGCCUCUUUUCGUGUGCGAGUGUUAAACAUUCUCGGAAUGGCCCGAGAUUUGCCAAGCGGCCUUGGUAUAGCACCGGUAGACCGCCUGUCAAGUUUCGUGCCAUUUGGAAGUCGUUUGGUACUCCAACGGUUAACCGGGUAACCGCAAAAGCCUCUUUUGUGUGCAGCCCAACACCCCUUCCAAAGUGGCCCAAAACCCAUCCAAACCCCAUCCAUUCUCUCGGUCGUUCGAUCACGAUCGCGUGGCCGAAAACCGCUCCUCAUUUGGACUCUCCUAGCUCCCCCUACCUAUAAAUAUGUGCACCCCACCCCCCCCNNNNNNNNNNNNNNNNNNNNNNNNNNNNNNNNNNNNNNNNNNNNNNNNNNNNNNNNNNNNNNNNNNNNNNNNNNNNNNNNNNNNNNNNNNNNNNNNNNNNNNNNNNNNNNNNNNNNNNNNNNNNNNNNNNNNNNNNNNNNNNNNNNNNNNNNNNNNNNNNNNNNNNNNNNNNNNNNNNNNNNNNNNNNNNNNNNNNNNNNNNNNNNNNNNNNNNNNNNNNNNNNNNNNNNNNNNNNNNNNNNNNNNNNNNNNNNNNNNNNNNNNNNNNNNNNNNNNNNNNNNNNNNNNNNNNNNNNNNNNNNNNNNNNNNNNNNNNNNNNNNNNNNNNNNNNNNNNNNNNNNNNNNNNNNNNNNNNNNNNNNNNNNNNNNNNNNNNNNNNNNNNNNNNNNNNNNNNNNNNNNNNNNNNNNNNNNNNNNNNNNNNNNNNNNNNNNNNNNNNNNNNNNNNNNNNNNNNNNNNNNNNNNNNNNNNNNNNNNNNNNNNNNNNNNNNNNNNNNNNNNNNNGGCCGACCCCGGCCUCGCCGCCCGGCCUCGCCCUCGCCUCCACCGACGCCGGAUCCGGCGAGAUCCGGCCGGGCCGACCCGUCCCCGACCCUCUUCGGCAUCCCUGCAGCCCGUCCCCGCCAUCUCCCUCCUUUCCGGCCACAUCUCCGGCGAACCUCGAGCUCGGGCCCGAUCUAGAUGCAAUCUGAGGUUGACCCCGAAAAUUCCCAAGUCCCCAGAUCUGCAUAUUUUCAUGCCAUGUUCAUCGCAUCAUAACUUGCUGUAUACUGCUCCAUUUUGUGCGUGUAAUAUGUCAAAUUGUUCGCCUCGAUGAGUACUUCAUUUCAUUCCAUUGCAUCAUGUUCAUUUGAGUCCAUCUUGACGCCCUAAAUGCUGUUGGAAGAGUGCAUGUUGCUGUUAAUCUGCUGAAACUAUUAUAACUUGCUCAUUUGUCAUUUUUCCCAUGUUUGAUCUGUGCAUCCUAUGAGGAUGAUGUCUACAUGUGUUUUGAUCUAUGAUAUGCCAUCUUCACAGUGGUGCCACCCAUGUAUUUUUGUGAGUUGUGUAGUGAGUGCAUCAAGCUUGUUAAGUAGGGUACUUACUGUUGUUGUUUUCCUGACUGAUUCUGUUAUAUUUUGCUGCUAUAUUAACCUGCUGCUACAAGUCAUUUCAUGCAUAAUCUGGAGAUGUUCACUAAGGAUGUUUUGUUAUACAUUUCAUGCUCUAUCCAUUCAUGCCCCUGGUUGCAUUUAUAGCCUGCUGUAACAUGUUGUUAUCUUGCUCUCAAAACUGCUAAAUAAUGUUUCCUGUCAGCCUGUUAACAUUAAGUUCAAUGUUGCCAUGUUUGUUGUUAGUGAUCCAUGCACCCUAUGAACUUGUUCUUGCCAUGCUUAGCUUCAUAAACAUGUAUCUUACUGUUGGUUGCCUUGCCAUGCCAUUUAUUGCUCUGUAGUGAGUGGUUCAAGCUCACCAACAUGCCUACUUAUUGUUGUUCCUGCCAUGUUUGAAUCUGUCAUAUAAUUUGCCAUGUUUACAUGGGUGCCAUCAUAUCUUCUGAUCCUUUUUGGCUCAUGGUCAGUAAGGGACUUUUGUUCUAUGUAAUUAGUAGAUUCAUGCCAUGCCUUUGUUUGCCAUGUUAAGUUCCUGUAGCAUGUUGUUUGAUAGCUCUAAACAUUGCAACCUGAUAUUAUUUCUGCUAAUCCUGUAAACUGUUAAUAUAUGCAAUCUUACCAUUUCUUUUUGAGCAUGUUCUAGUGAUUUCUGGAGAUAGCUCAGUGUUCAUGUUUUGUCAUGCUUUACCUGUAAUUCAUGCCCAUGCCUUUUGUUCUUAUGUUGGGGUGCUGUGGCAUAUUGUUUUGAUGCUUGCAAUAUGCCUAGUUGCUGUUAUGGACAGAUUGUUGUCAUAUCUUGUAUAGUGUGUGUGUGUUGAACCGUUGCUCCAUUUUGAGUGUGCCCCAUAUGAAACUUGCUUGAUUUUGCAUGUAGUUUCAUAUUAUCAUGUUGCGUCCUUGCUUUGAGGUGUUUGCUUCAUGUUUGGAUGAAUUUUGCAUCAAUGCCAUGCUUAACUUGUUUUGCUCAUAUCUUCUAGGCCGUAGCUCCAAAUCUAAUGAACUUUAUAUGUAACUUGACUAGAAUUUCGUGUAGAUCAUCUUGGUGCAUCUUAACUUGCUGUUUAACAACUUGAACAUAAGGUUUAUUCAGAUCUGGACCCAUUUCAAAAUUUGUAUAUGAGGACUUACCGGAAUUGUUAUAUGUUGUUCCCGGCCUCAUUUAAACUUGCUUUGAUGUGUUGUUCUUGUUUGCAUCGUCUCUUGCCAUGAGUAGCCUCAUCUAGCUUUGUCAUGCAUCAUGCUUGUUGUGCAUCAUGCCUUGUUCAUGUGUGGUGUGUUUACCAUGUUGUGUGCUUCUUCUUGAUAGUUCCCGUUUUGUUGCGAUCGUGAGGAUUCGUUCGUCUACGCUUGGUUCGUCUACGUGGCUUCAUCUUCUUCAUGGACUCGUUCUUCUUCCUUGCGGGAUUUCAGGCAAGAUGACCGUCACCUUGGAUCUCACUACUAUCAUUGCUAUGCUAGUUGCUUCGUUCUAUCGCUUUGCUGCGCUUCCAAUCACUUGUUCUUCAAGCCUCCCAAAUUGCCAUGAACCUCUAACUUUUGACACCCUUCCUAGCAAACCGUUACUUGGCUAUGUUACCGCAUUGCUCAGCCCCUCUUAUAGCGUUGUUAGUUGCAGGUGAAGUUGAAGAUUGCUCCAUGGUGGACAGGGUUUAUGUUGGGAUAUCACAAUAUCUCUUAUUUAUUUAAUGCAUCUAUAUAUUUGGUAAAGGGUGGAAGGCUCGGCCGUAUGCCUGGUGUUUUGUUCCACUCUUGCCUCCCUAGUUUCCAUCAUACCGGUAUUAUGUUCCCGGAUUUUGCGUUCCUAACGCGGUCGGGUGAUUUAUGGGACCCCCUUGACAGUUCGCUUUGAAUAAAACUCCUCCAGCAAGGCCCAACCUUGGUUUUACCAUUUGCCUCACAACCACCUAUUUUUCCCUUGGGAGUAAUUAACCCGAGGGUCAUCUUUAUUAUAGCCCCCCCGGGCCAAUGCUUGUCUAAGUGUUGGUCCAAACUAGAGCACCGUGCGGGACCAUCCCUUGGCAACUUGGGUUACAUCGGUACCUGUACGCUUAGCUUAUCCGGUGUUGCCCUGAGAACGAGAUAUGUGCAGCUCCUAUCGGGAUGUCGGCGCAUUGGGCGGUCUUGCUGGUCUUGUUUUACCAUUGUCGAAACGUCUUGUAAACCAGGAUUCCGAGACUGAUCGAGUCUUCCUAGGAGAAGGAAUAUCCUUCGUUGAUCGCGAGAGCUUAUCAUGGGCUAAGUUGGGACACCCCUGCAGGGUAUAAACUUUCGAGAGCCGUGCCCGCGGUUAUGUGGCAGAUGGGAAUUUGUUAAUGUCCGGCUGUAGAUAACUUGACACCAGAUCCGAAUUAAAAUGCAUCAACCGCGUGUGUAGCCGUGAUGGUCUCUUCUCGGCGGAGUCCAGGAAGUGAACACGGUUUCUGUGUUAUGAUUGACGUAAGUAGGAGUUUAGGAUCACUUCUUGAUCAUUGCUAGCUUCACGAUUGUUCCUUUGCUUCUCUUCUCGCUCUCAUUUGCGUAUGUUAGCCACCAUAUAUGCUUAGUCGCUGCUGCAACCUCACCACUUUACCCCUUCCUUUCCCAUUAAGCUUUGCUAGUCUUGAUACCCAUGGUAAUGGGAUUGCUGAGUCCUCGUGGCUCACAGAUUACUACAACAACAGUUGCAGGUACAGGUUAUGCGAUGUUCAUGACGCGAGAGCGAUGCUUGCUUGUUUUGGAGUUCUUCUUCUGCUUCUUCUUCGAUCAGGGGAUAGGUUCCAGGUCGGCAGCCUGGGCUAGCAGGGUGGAUGUCGUUUGAGUUUCUGUUUGUGAUCUGUAGUCGGAUGUGUUGGGUUUCGUAGUAAUUUCAAAAAAUUUCCUACGCACACGCAAGAUCAUGUGAUGCAUAGCAACGAGAGGAGAGUGUUGUCUACGUACCCAACGUAGACCAACUGCGGAAGCGAUGACACGACGUAGAAGAAGUAGUCGUACGUCUUCACAAUCCAACCGAUCAAGCACCGAAACUACGGCACCUCCGAGUUCGAGCACACGUUCAGCUCGAUGACGAUCCCCGGACUCCGAUCCAGCAAAGUGUCGGGGAAGAGUUUCGUCAGCACGACGGCGUGGUGACGAUCUUGAUGAACUACAGCAGCAGGGCUUCGCCUAAACUCCGCUACCGUAUUAUCGAGGAAUAUGGUGGCAGGGGGCACCGCACACGGCUAAGGAAUCGAUCACGUGGAUCAACUUGUGUCAACUUGUCUGUUUAGAGGUGCCCCUGCCUCAGUAUAUAAAGGAGCCAAGGGGGGAGGGUGCGCCGGCCAGGAGGAGGAGGCGCAGGAGGAGUCCUACUCCUACCGGGAGUAGGACUCCCCUCCAAUCCUAUUCCAACUAGGAUUCCCAAGGGGGAAAGAGGGAGAGGGGUGGCCGGCCACCUCUCCUAGUCCUAAUAGGACUAGGGGAAGGGGGGAGGCGCGCAGCCCCCUUGGGCUGCCCCUUUCUCCUUUCCACUAAGGCCCAUGAAGGCCCAUGUGGUUCCCGGGGGGUUCCGGUAACCUCCCGGUAACCCGGUAAAAUCCCGAUUUCACCCGGAACACUUCCGAUGUCCAAACAUAGGCUUCCAAUAUAUCAAUCUUUAUGUCUCGACCAUUUCGAGNNNNNNNNNNCGUCCUCUACUUUGUUGUUGCAUGUUUUACGUGGCUGCUACGGGCUUAAGUAAGAACCAAUCUCACCUACGCAUCAAAACCACAACGAUAGUUUGUCAAAUAGACUCCGUUUUAACCUUCGCAAGGACCGGGCGUAGCCAUACUUGGUUCAACUAAAGUUGGAGAGGCAGUCGCCCGCAAGCCAUCUCUGUGCAAAGCACGUCGAGGGAACCGGUCUCGCGUAAGCGUACGCGUAAGGUUGGUCCGGGUCGUCUCGUCCAACAAUACCGCCGAACCAAAAUAUGACAUGCUGGUAGGCAGUAUGACUUGUAUCGUCCACAACUCACUUGUGUUCUACUCGUGCAUAUAACAUCAACAUCAUUAACCUAGGCUCGGAUGCCACUGUUGGGUUUCGUAGUAAUUUCAAAAAAAUUCCUACGCACACGCAAGAUCAUGUGAUGCAUAGCAACGAGAGGAGAGUGUUGUCUAUGUACCCAACGCAGACCGACUGCAGAAGCGAUGACACGACGUAGAAGAAGUAGUCGUACGUCUUCACAAUCCAACCGAUCAAGCACCGAAACUACGGCACCUCCGAGUUCGAGCACACGUUCAGCUCGAUGACGAUCCCCGGACUCCGAUCCAGCAAAGUGUCGGGGAAGAGUUUCGUCAGCACGACGGCGUGGUGACGAUCUUGAUGAACUACAGCAGCAGGGCUUCGCCUAAACUCCGCUACCGUAUUAUCGAGGAAUAUGGUGGCAGGGGGCACCGCACACGGCUAAGGAAUCGAUCACGUGGAUCAACUUGUGUCAACUUGUCUGUUUAGAGGUGCCCCUGCCUCAGUAUAUAAAGGAGCCAAGGGGGGAGGGUGCGCCGGCCAGGAGGAGGAGGCGCAGGAGGAGUCCUACUCCUACCGGGAGUAGGACUCCCCUCCAAUCCUAUUCCAACUAGGAUUCCCAAGGGGGAAAGAGGGAGAGGGGUGGCCGGCCACCUCUCCUAGUCCUAAUAGGACUAGGGGAAGGGGGGAGGCGCGCAGCCCCCUUGGGCUGCCCCUUUCUCCUUUCCACUAAGGCCCAUGAAGGCCCAUGUGGUUCCCGGGGGGUUCCGGUAACCUCCCGGUAACCCGGUAAAAUCCCGAUUUCACCCGGAACACUUCCGAUGUCCAAACAUAGGCUUCCAAUAUAUCAAUCUUUAUGUCUCGACCAUUUCGAGACUCCUCGUCAUGUCCGUGAUCACAUCCGGGACUCCGAACAACCUUCGGUACAUCAAAAUGCAUAAACUCAUAAUAUAACUGCAUCGUAACCUUAAGCGUGCGGACCCUACGGGUUCGAGAACAAUGUAGACAUGACCGAGACAUGUCUCUGGUCAAUAACCAAUAGCGGGACCUGGAUGCCCAUAUUGGCUCCUACAUAUUCUACGAAGAUCUUUAUCGGUCAGACCGCAUAACAACAUACGUUGUUCCCUUUGUCAUCGGUAUGUUACUUGCCCGAGAUUCGAUCGUCGGUAUCCAAUACCUAGUUCAAUCUCGUCACCGGCAAGUCUCUUUACUCGUUCCGUAAUACAUCAUCUCACAACUAACAUAUUAGUUGUAAUGCUUGCAAGGCUUAUGUGAUGUGUAUUACCGAGAGGGCCCAGAGAUACCUCUCCGACAAUCGGAGUGACAAAUCCUAAUCUCGAAAUACGCCAACCCAACAUCGACCAUUGGAGACACCUGUAGUACUCCUUUAUAAUCACCCAUUUACGUUGUGACGUUUGGUAGUACCCAAAGUGUUCCUCCGGUAAACGGGAGUUGCAUAAUCUCAUAGUCAUAGGAACAUGUAUAAGUCAUGAAGAAAGCAAUAGCAACAUACUAAACGAUCAGGUGCUAAGCUAAUGGAAUGGGUCAUGUCAAUCAGAUCAUUCUACUAAUGAUGUGACCUCGUUAAUCAAAUAACAACUCAUUGUUCAUGGUUAGGAAACAUAACCAUCUUUGAUUAACGAGCUAGUCAAGUAGAGGCAUACUAGUGACACUCUGUUUGUCUAUGUAUUCACACAUGUAUUAUGUUUCCGGAAAAUACAAUUAUAGCAUGAAGAAUAAACAUUUAUCAUGAUUAUAAGGAAAUAAAUAAUAACUUUAUUAUUGCCUCUAGGGCAUAUUUCCUUCAGUCUCCCACUUGCACUAGAGUCAAUAAUCUAGAUUACACUGUAAUGAAUCUAACACCCAUGGAGCUUUGGUGCUGAUCAUGUUUUGCUCGUGGAAGAGGCUUAGUCAACGGGUCUGCAACAUUCAGAUCCGUAUGUAUCUUGCAAAUCUCUAUGUCUCCCACCUGGACUAGAUCCCGGAUGGAGUUGAAGCGUCUCUUGAUGUGUUUGGUCCUUUUGUGAAAUCUGGAUUCCUUUGCCAAGGCAAUUGCACCAGUAUUGUCACAAAAGAUUUUCAUUGGACCCGAUGCACUAGGUAUGACACCUAGAUCGGAUAUGAACUCCUUCAUCCAGACUCCUUCAUUUGCUGCUUCCGAAGCAGCUAUGUAUUCCGCUUCACAUGUAGAUCCCGCUACGACGCUUUGUUUAGAACUGCACCAACUGACAGCUCCACCGUUUAAUGUAAACACGUAUCCGGUUUGCGAUUUAGAAUCGUCCGGAUCAGUGUUAAAGCUUGCAUCAACGUAACCUUUUACGAUGAGCUCUUUGUCACUUCCAUAUACGAGAAACAUAUCCUUAGUCCUUUUCAGGUAUUUCAGGAUGUUCUUGACCGCUGUCCAGUGAUCCAUUCCUGGAUUACUUUGGUACCUCCCUGCUAAACUUAUAGCAAGGCACACAUCAGGUCUGGUACACAGCAUUGCAUACAUGAUAGAGCCUAUGGCUGAUGCAUAGGGAACAUCUUUCAUAUUCUCUCUAUCUUCUGCAGUGGUCGGGCAUUGAGUCUUACUCAAUUUCACACCUUGUAACACAGGCAAGAACCCUUUCUUUGCUUGAUCCAUUUUGAACUUCUUCAAAAUUUUGUCAAGGUAUGUGCUUUGUGAAAGUCCAAUUAAGCGUCUUGAUCUAUCUCUAUAGAUCUUAAUGCCUAAUAUGUAAGCAGCUUCACCGAGGUCUUUCAUUGAAAAACUUUUAUUCAAGUAUCCCUUUAUGCUAUCCAGAAAUUCUAUAUUAUUUCCAAUCAGUAAUAUGUCAUCCACAUAUAAUAUCAGAAAUGCUACAGAGCUCCCACUCACUUUCUUGUAAAUACAGGCUUCUCCGAAAGUCUGUAUAAAACCAAAUGCUUUGAUCACACUAUCAAAACGUUUAUUCCAACUCCGAGAGGCUUGCACCAGUCCAUAAAUGGAUCGCUGGAGCUUGCACACUUUGUUAGCUCCUUUUGGAUCGACAAAACCUUCUGGUUGCAUCAUAUACAACUCUUCUUCCAGGAAUCCAUUCAGGAAUGCAGUUUUGACAUCCAUUUGCCAAAUUUCAUAAUCAUAAAAUGCGGCAAUUGCUAACAUGAUUCAGACGGACUUAAGCAUCGCUACGGGUGAGAAGGUCUCAUCGUAGUCAAUUCCUUGAACUUGUCGAAAACCUUUUGCGACAAGUCAAGCUUUGUAGACAGUAACAUUACCAUCAGCGUCAGUCUUCUUCUUAAAGAUCCAUUUAUUCUCAAUUGCUUGCCGAUCAUCGGGCAAGUCAACCAAAUUCCAUACUUUGUUCUCAUACAUGGAUCCCAUCUCAGAUUUCAUGGCUUCAAGCCACUUUGCGGAAUCUGGGCUCACCAUCGCUUCUUCAUAGUUCGUAGGUUCAUCAUGAUCUAGUAGCAUGACUUCCAGAACAGGAUUUCCGUACCACUCUGGCGCGGAUCUUACUCUGGUUGAUCUACGUGGUUCAGUAGUAUCUUGAUCUGAAGUUUCAUGAUCAUUAUCAUUGGCUUCCUCACUAACCGGUGUAGGUGUCACUGAAACAGUUUUCUGUGAUGAGCUACUCUCCAGUAAGGGAGCAGGUACAGUUACCUCGUCAAGUUCUACUUUCCUCCCACUCACUUCUUUCGAGAGAAACUCCUUCUCUAGAAAUGAUCCAUUCUUAGCAACGAAUGUUUUGCCUUCGGAUCUGUGAUAGAAGGUGUACCCAACAGUUUCCUUUGGGUAUCCUAUGAAGACACAUUUCUCCGAUUUGGGUUCGAGCUUAUCAGGUUGAAGUUUUUUCACAUAAGCAUCGCAGCCCCAAACUUUAAGAAACGACAACUUUGGUUUCUUGCCAAAACACAGUUCAUAAGGCGUCGUCUCAACGGAUUUUGAUGGUGCCCUAUUUAACGUGAAUGCGGCCGUCUCUAAAGCAUAUCCCCAAAAUGAUAGCGGUAAAUCAGUAAGAGACAUCAUAGAUCGCACCAUAUCUAGUAAAGUACGAUUACGACGUUCGGACACACGAUUACGCUGUGGUGUUCCGGGUGGCGUGAGUUGCGAAACUAUUCCACAAUUUUUCAAAUGUACACCAAACUCGUAACUCAAAUAUUCUCCUCCACGAUCAGAUCGUAGAAACUUAAUUUUCUUGUUACGAUGAUUUUCAACUUCACUCUGAAAUUCUUUGAACUUUUCAAAUGUUUCAGACUUUAUGUUUCAUUAAGUAAAUAUACCCAUAUCUGCUUAAAUCAUCUGUGAAGGUGAGAAAAUAACGAUAUCCGCCACGAGCCUCAAUAUUCAUCGGGCCACAUACAUCGGUAUGUAUGAUUUCCAACAAAUCUGUUGCUCUCUCCAUAGUACCGGAGAAUGGUGUUUUAGUCAUCUUGCCCAAGAGGCACGGUUCGCAAGUACCAAGUGAUUCAUAAUCAAGUGGUUCCAAAAGUCCAUCGGUAUGGAGUUUCUUCAUGCGCUUUAUACCGAUAUGACCUAAACGACAGUGCCACAAAUAAGUUGCACUUUCAUUAUCAACUCUGCAUCUUUUGGCUUCAACAUUAUGAAUAUGUGUAUUACUACUAUCGAGAUUUAGUAAGAAUAGACCACUCUUCAAGGGUGCAUGACCAUAAAAGAUAUUACUCAUAUAAAUAGAACAACCAUUAUUCUCUGAUUUAAAUGAAUAACCGUCUCGCAUUAAACAAGAUCCAUAUAUAAUGUUCAUGCUCAACGCUGGCACCAAAUAACAAUUAUUUAGGUCUAAUAUUAAUCCCGAAGGUAGAUGUAGAGGUAGCGUGCCGACUGCGAUCACAUCGACUUUGGAACCGUUUCCCACGCGCAUCGUCACCUCGUCCUUUGCUAGUGCCCGCUUAUUCUGUAGUCCCUGUUUCGAGUUGCAAAUAUUAGCAACAGAACCAGUAUCAAAUACCCAGGUGCUACUGCGAGCUCUAGUAAGGUACACAUCAAUAACAUGUAUAUCACAUAUACCUUUGUUCACCUUGCCAUCCUUCUUAUCCGCCAAAUACUUGGGGCAGUUCCGCUUCCAGUGACCAGUCUGCUUGCAGUAGAAGCACUCAGUUUCAGGCUUAGGUCUAGACUUGGGUUUCUUCUCUUGAGCAGCAACUUGCUUGCCGUUCUUUUGAAGUUCCCCUUUUUCUUCCCUUUGCCCUUUUUCUUGAAACUAGUGGUCUUGUUAACCAUCAACACUUGAUGCUCCUUCUUGAUUUCUACCUCCGCAGUUUUCAGCAUUGCGAAGAGCUCGGGAAUAGUCUUGUUCAUCCCUUGCAUAUUAUAGUUCAUCACGAAGCUCUUGUAGCUUGGUGGCAGUGAUUGGAGAAUUCUGUCAAUGACGCAAUCAUCCGGAAGAUUAACUCCCAAUUGAAUCAAGUGAUUAUUAUACCCAGACAUUUUGAGUAUAUGCUCACUGACAGAACUGUUCUCCUCCAUCUUGCAGCUAUAGAACUUAUUGGAGACUUCAUAUCUCUCAAUCCGGGCAUUUGCUUGAAAUAUUAACUUCAACUCCUGGAACAUCUCAUAUGCUCCAUGACGUUCAAAACGUCGUUGAAGUCCCGAUUCUAAGCCGUAAAGCAUGGCACACUGAACUAUCGAGUAGUCAUCAGCUUUGCUCUGCCAGACGUUCAUAACAUCUGGCGUUGCUCCAGCAGCAGGCCUGGCACCCAGCGGUGCUUCCAGGACGUAAUUCUUCUGUGCAGCAAUGAGGAUAAUCCUCAAGUUACGGACCCAGUCCGUGUAAUUGCUACCAUCAUCUUUCAACUUUGCUUUCUCAAGGAACGCAUUAAAAUUUAAUGGAACAACAGCACGAGCCAUCUAUCUACAAUCAACAUAAACAAGCAAGAUACUAUCAGGGACUAAGUUCAUGAUAAAUUUUAAGUUCAAUUAAUCAUAUUACAAAAGAACUCCCACUUAGAUAGACAUCUCUCUAAUCCUCUAAGUGAUCACGUGAUCCAAAUCAACUAAACCAUAACCGAUCAUCACGUGAGAUGGAGUAGUUUUCAAUGGUGAACAUCGUUAUGUUGAUCAUAUCUACUAUAUGAUUCACGCUCGACCUUUCGGUCUCCGUGUUCCGAGGCCAUAUCUGCAUAUGCUAGGCUCGUCAAGUUUAACCUGAGUAUUCUGCGUGUGCAAAACUGGCUUGCACCCGUUGUAGAUGGACGUAGAGCUUAUCACACCCGAUCAUCACGUGGUGUCUGGGCACGACGAACUUUGGCAACGGUGCAUACUCAGGGAGAACACUUCUUGAUAAUUUAGUGAGAGAUCAUCUUAUAAUGCUACCGUCAAUCAAAGCAAGAUAAGAUGCAUAAAAAGAUAAACAUCACAUGCAAUCAAUAUAAGUGAUAUGAUAUGGUCAUCAUCAUCUUGUGCUUGUGAUCUCCAUCUCCGAAGCACUGUCAUGAUCACCAUCGUCACCGGCGCGACACCUUGAUCUCCAUCGUAGCAUCGUUGUCGUCUCGCCAAUCUUAUGCUUCCACGACUAUCACUACCGCUUAGUAAUAAAGUAAAGCAUUACAUCGCGAUUGCAUUGCAUACACUAAAGCGACAACCAUAUGGCUCCUGCCAGUUGCCGAUAACUCGGUUACAAAACAUGAUCAUCUCAUACAAUAAAAUUCAGCAUCAUGCUUUGACCAUAUCACAUCACAACAUGCCCUGCAAAAACAAGUUAGACGUCCUCUACUUUGUUGUUGCUUGUUUUACGUGGCUGCUACGGGCUUAAGUAAGAACCAAUCUCACCUACGCAUCAAAACCACAACGAUAGUUUGUCAAAUAGACUCCGUUUUAACCUUCGCAAGGACCGGGCGUAGCCAUACUUGGUUCAACUAAAGUUGGAGAGACAGUCGCCCGCAAGCCAUCUCUGUGCAAAGCACGUCGAGGGAACCGGUCUCGCGUAAGCGUACGCGUAAGGUUGGUCUGGGUCGUCUCGUCCAACAAUACCGCCGAACCAAAAUAUGACAUGCUGGUAGGCAGUAUGACUUGUAUCGUCCACAACUCACUUGUGUUCUACUCGUGCAUAUAACAUCAACAUCAAUAACCUAGGCUCGGAUACCACUGUUGGGUUUCGUAGUAAUUUCAAAAAAUUUCCUACGCACACGCAAGAUCAUGUGAUGCAUAGCAACGAGGGGAGAGUAUUGUCUACGUACCCAACGCAGACCGACUGCGGAAGCGAUGACACGACGUAGAGGAAGUAGCCGUACGUCUUCUCGAUCCAACCGAUCAAGCACCGAAACUACGGCACCUCCGAGUUCGAGCACACGUUCAGCUCGAUGACGAUCCCCGGACUUCGAUCCAGCAAAGUGUCGGGGAAGAGUUUCGUCAGCACGACGGCGUGGUGACGAUCUUGAUGAACUACAGCAGCAGGGCUUCGCCUAAACUCCGCUACAGUAUUAUCGAGGAAUAUGGUGGCAGGGGGCACCGCACACGGCUAAGGAAUCGAUCACGUGGAUCAAAUUGUGUCAACUUGUGUGUUUAGAGGUGUCCCUGCCUCCGUAUAUAAAGGAGGAGAGGAGGGGAGGCUGGCCGGCCAAAGGGGGGAGGCACAGGAGAGUCCUACUCCCUCUGGGAGUAGGAUUCCCCCUCCAAUCCUAGUCCAACUAGGAUUCCUCGGAGGGGAAAAGAGGAGGAGGGGGCCGGCCACCUCUCCUAGUCCUAAUAGGACUAGGGGAAGGGGGGGGCGCAGCCCAACUAGGGCAGCCCCUUCUCUUUUCCACUAAGGCCCACUAUGGCCCAAAUAGCUCCCGGGGGGUUCCGGUAACCCUCCCGGUAUUCCGGUAAAAUCCCGAUUUCACCCGGAACACUUCCGAUAUCCAAAUAUAGGCUUCCAAUAUAUCAAUCUUUACGUCUCGACCAUUUAGAGACUCCUCGUCAUGUCCGUGAUCACAUCUGGGACUCCGAACAACCUUCGGUACAUCAAAAUGCAUAAACUCAUAAUAUAACUGUCAUCGUAACCUUAAGCGUGCGGACCCUACGGGUUCGAGAACAAUGUAGACAUGACCGAGACACGUCUCUGGUCAAUAACCAAUAGCGGGACCUGGAUGCCCAUAUUGGCUCCUACAUAUUCUACGAAGAUCUUUAUCGGUCAGACCGCAUAACAACAUACGUUGUUCCCUUUGUCAUCGGUAUGUUACUUGCCCGAGAUUCGAUCGUCGGUAUCCAAUACCUAGUUCAAUCUCGUUACUGGCAAGUCUCUUUACUCGUUCCGUAAUACAUCAUCUCACAACUAACAUAUUAGUUGUAAUGCUUGCAAGGCUUAUGUGAUGUGUAUUACCGAGAGGGCCCAGAGAUACCUCUCCGACAAUCGGAGUGACAAAUCCUAAUCUCGAAAUACGCUAACCCAACAUCGACCAUUGGAGACACCUGUAGUACUCCUUUAUAAUCACCCAGUUACGUUGUGACGUUUGGUAGUACCCAAAGUGUUCCUCCGGUAAACGGGAGUUGCAUAAUCUCAUAGUCAUAGGAACAUGUAUAAGUCAUGAAGAAAGCAAUAGCAACAUACUAAACGAUCGGGUGCUAAGCUAAUGGAAUGGGUCAUGUCAAUCAGAUCAUUCUACUAAUGAUGUGACCUCGUUAAUCAAAUAACAACUCUUUGUUCAUGGUUAGGAAACAUAACCAUCUUUGAUUAACGAGCUAGUCAAGUAGAGGCAUACUAGUGACACUAUGUUUGUCUAUGUAUUCACACAUGUAUUAUGUUUCCGGUAAAUACAAUUCUAGCAUGAAUAAUAAACAUUUAUCAUGAUUAUAAGGAAAUAAAUAAUAACUUUAUUAUUGCCUCUAGGGCAUAUUUCCUUCAGGAUGGUGCUCUUAUGUAAGAUGGUUUUGUAUUCGUGUGGCACUGUAUGCCUCUUGUAUGUAUCCCCAUCUAUUAUGUAAUGUUGAUGUAAUGAUAUCCACCUUGCAAAAGCGUAUCAAUAUGCGGUGUUGGGGAACGUAGUAAUUUCAAAAAAAUUCCUACGCACAUGCAAGAUCAUGGUGAUGAUAUAGCAACGAGAGGGGAGAGUGUUCGUCCACGUACCCUCGUAGACCGUAAGCGGAAGCGUUAGCACAACGCGGUUGAUGUAGUCGUACGUCUUCAUGAUCGACCGAUCCAAGCACCGAACGUACGGGGCCUCCGAGUUCAGCACACGUUCAGCUUGAUGACGAUCUCCGGCCCUCCGAUCCAGCAAAGGCUCCGGAGAUGAGUUCCGUCAGCACGACGGCGUGGUGACGAUGAUGAUGUUCUACCGGCGCAGGGCUUCGCCUAAACUCCAUGACGAUAUGACCGAGGUGGAAUAUGGUGGAAGGGGGCACCGCACAUGGCUAAGGAACAAUCCAUAGAUCAACUUGUGUGUCUUUGGGGUGCCCCCCUCCCCCGUAUAUAAAGGAGCCAGGGGGGAGGAGGCGGCCGGCCAAGAGGGCGCGCCAAGGGGGGAGUCCUACUCCCACCGGGAGUAGGACUCCCUCUUUCCUAGUAGGAUUAGGAGAAGGGGGAAAGAGGAGGAAGAGGGGAAGGAAAGGGGGGGCGCCGCCCCCCUUCCCUUGUCCUAUUCGGACUAGGAGGGGGAGGGGCGCGCGGCCCCCUCCUGGCUCCUUCCUUCUUCUCCCUCUUGGCCCAUGUAGGCCCAUUAACCCCCGGGGGGUUCCGGUAACCUCCCGGUACUCCGGUAAAAUGCCGAUUUCACCCGAAACCAUUCCGAUGUCCAAACAUAGGCUUCCAAUAUAUCAAUCUUUAUGUCUCGACCAUCCCGAGACUCCUCGUCAUGUCCGUGAUCACAUCCGGGACUCCGAACAAACUUCGGUACAUCAAAACUUAUAAACUCAUAAUAAAACUGUCAUCGAAACGUUAAGCGUGCGGACCCUACGGGUUCGAGAACUAUGUAGACAUGACCUAAAACCAUUCUCGGUCAAUAACCAAUAGCGGGACCUGGAUGCCCAUAUUGGUUCCUACAUAUUCUUCGAAGAUCUUUAUCGGUCAAACCGCAUAACAACAUACGUUGUUCCCUUUGUCAUCGGUAUGUUACUUGCCCGAGAUUUGAUCGUCGGUAUCUAAUACCUAGUUCAAUCUCGUUACCGGCAAGUCUCUUUACUCGUUCUGUAAUACGUCAUCUCAUAACUAACUCAUUAGUUAUAAUGCUUGCAAGGCUUAAGUGAUGAGUAUUACCGAGAGGGCCUAGAGAUACCUCUCCGACAAUCGGAGUGACAAACCCUAAUCUCGAAAUACGCCAACUCAACAUGUACCUUCGGAGACACCUAUAGUACUCCUUUAUAAUCACCCAGUUACGUUGUGACAUUUGGUAGUACCCAAAGUGUUCCUCCGGUAAACGGGAGUUGCAUAAUUCUCAUAGUUACAGGAACAUGUAUAAGUCAUGAAGAAAGCAAUAGCAGAAUACUAAACGAUCAACUGCUAGGCUAACGGAAUGGGUCAAGUCAAUCACAUCAUUCUCCUAAUGAUGUGAUCCCAUUAAUCAAAUGACAACUCUUUUGUCCAUGGCUAGGAAACAUAACCAUCUUUGAUAAACGAGCUAGUCAAGUAGAGGCAUACUAGUGACACUAUGUUUGUCUAUGUAUUCACACAUGUAUUAUGUUUCCGGUUAAUACAAUUCUAGCAUGAAUAAUAAACAUUUAUCAUGAUAUAAGGAAAUAAAUAAUAACUUUAUUAUUGCCUCUAGGGCAUAUUUCCUUCAGUCUCCCACUUGCACUAGAGUCAAUAAUCUAGUUCACAUCGCCAUGUGAUUUAACACCAAUAUUCAUAUCUGUAUAUGAUUAACACCCAUAGUUCACAUCGUCAUGUGACCAACACCCAAAGUGUUUACUAGAGUCAAUAAUCUAGUUCACAUCUCUAUGUGAUUAACACCCAAAUAGUACUAAGGUGUGAUCAUGUUUUGCUCAUGAGAGAAGCUUAGUCAACGGGUCUGUCACAUUCAGAUCCGUAUGUACUUUGCAAAUAUUCUCUGUCUACAAUGAUCUGCACGGAGCUACUCUAGCUAAUUGCUCCUACUUUCAAUAUGUAUCUAGAUUGAGACUUGGAGUCAUCUGGAUCGGUGUGAAAGCUUGCACCGAUGUAACUCUUUACGACGGGCUAUUUUAUCACCUCCAUAAUCGAGAAAUAUUUCCUUAGUCCUCACUAAGGAUAUUUUUUGACCAAUGUCCAGUGAUCUACUCCUAGAUCACUAUUGUACUCCCUUGCCAAAUUCAGAGCAAGGUAUACAAUAGGUCUGGUACAUAACAUAGCAUACUUUAUAGAACCUAUGACUGAGGCAUAGGGAAUGACUUUUAUUCUCUUUUCUAUUUUCUGCCGUGGUCGGGAUUUGAGUCUUACUCAAUUUCACACCUUUGCAACACAGGCAAGAACUCUUUCUUUGACUGUUCCAUCUUGAACUAUUUCAAAAUCUUGCCAAGGUAUGUACUCAUUGAAAAACUUAUCAAGCGUCUUGAUCUAUCUCAAUAGAUCUUGAUGCUCAAUAUGUAAGUAGCUUUUACUGAGGUCUUUCUUUUAAAGAACUCCUUUAAAACACUCCUUUAUGCUUUGUAGAAUAAUUCUACAUUAUUUCCGAUCAACAAUAUGUCAUUCACAUAUACUUAUCAGAAACGCUGUAGUGCUCCCACUCAUUCUCUUGUAAAUACGGUCCUUUCCAAAAGUCUGUAUAAAACCAUAUGCUUUGAUCAACUCAUCAAAGCGUAUAUUCCAACUCCGAGAUGCUUGCACCAGUCCAUUGAUGGAUUGCUGGAGCUUGCACACUUUGUUAGCAUCUUUAGGAUUGACAAAACCUUUCUGGUUGCAUCAUAUACAACUCUUAUUUAAUAAAUCCAUUAAGGAAUGCAGUUUUGACAUCCAUUUGCUAGAUUUCAUAAAAUCUGGCAAUUGCUAACAUGAUUCAGGCAGACUUAAGCUUCGAUACGAGUGAGAAAAUCUCAUCGUAUUCAACACCUUAAACUUGUUGAAAACCUUUCGCAACAAGUCGAGCUUAGUAGAUAGUAACACUACUAUUAGUGUCCGUCUUCUUCUUGAAGAUCCAUUUAUUUAACAUGGCUUGCUGAUCAUCGAGCAAGUCAAUCAAAGUCCAUACUUUGUUCUCAUACAUGGAUCAUAUCUCAGAUUUUAUGGCCUCAAGCCAUUUCGUGGAAUCUGGGCUCAUCAUCGCUUCCUCAUAGUUCGUAGGUUCAUCAUGGUCUAGUAACAUGACUUCCAGAACAUGAUUACCGUACCACUCUGGUGCGGAUCUUACUCUGGAAGACCUACGAGGUUUGGUAGCAACUUGAUCUGAAGUUUCAUGAUCAUCAUCAUUAACUUCCUCAAUAAUUGGUGUAGGAAUCACUGGAACUGAUUUCUGUGAUGAACUACUUUCCAAUAAGGGAGAAGGUACAAUUACCUCAUCAAGUUCUACUUUCCUCCCACUCACUUCUUUCGAGAGAAACUUCUUCUCUAGAAAGGAUCCAUCUUAGCAACGAAUAACUUGCCUUCGGAUCUGUGAUAGAAGGUGUACCCAAUAGUUUUCUUUGGGUAUUCUAUGAAGACACACUUCUCCGAUUUGGAUUCGAGCUUAUCAGGAUGAAACUUUUUCACAUAAGCAUCGCAGCCCCAAACUUUAAGAAACAACAACUUGGGUUUCUUGCUAAGCCACAGUUCAUAUGGUGUCGUCUCAAUGGAUUUAGAUGGUGCCCUUAUAACGUGAAUGCAGCUGUCUCUAAUGCAUAACCCAAAAACAAUAGUGGUAAAUCAGUAAGAGACAUCAUAGAUCGCACUAUAUCCAAUAAAGUGCAGUUACGAUGUUUGGACACACCAUAAUGUUGUGGUGUUCCAGGUGGCGUGAACUGUGAAACUAUUCCACAUUGUUUUAAUUGAAGACCAAACUCGUAACUCAAAUAUUCUCCUCCACGAUCAGAUCGUAGAAACUUUAUUUUCUUGUUACGAUGAUUUUCCACUUCACUCUGAAAUUCUUUGAACCUUUCAAAUGUUUCAGACUUGUGUUUCAUUAAGUAGAUAUACCCAUAUCUGCUCAAAUCAUCUGUGAAGGUGAGAAAAUAACGAUACCCACCGCGAGCCUCAACAUCCAUUGGACCACAAACAUCAGUAUGUAUGAUUUCCAACAAAUCAGUUGCUCGCUCCAUAGUUCCGGAGAACGGCGUUUUAGUCAUCUUGCCCAUAAGGCACGGUUCAAGCAUCAAAUGAUUCAUAACCAAGUGAUUCCGAAAAUCCAUCUUUAUGGAGUUUCUUCAUGCGCUUUACACCGAUAUGACCAAAACGGCAGUGCCACAAAUAAGUUGCACUAUCAUUAUUAACUUUGCAUCUUUUGGCAUCAAUAUUACGAAUAUGUGAAUCACUACGAUCGAGAGCCAACAAACUAUUUUCGUUGAGUGUAUGACCAUUGAAGGUUUCAUUCAUUUAAAUAGAACAACAAUUAUUCUCUGAUUUUAAAUGAAUAACCAUAUUGCAAUAAACAUGAUCAAAUCAUACUCAUGCUCAAUGCAAAUGCCAAAUAACAUUUAUUUAGGUUUAACACUAAUCCCGAAAGUAUAGGGAGUGUGCGAUGAUGAUCAUAUCAAUCUUGGAACUACUUCCAACACUCAUCGUCACUUCCCCUUCAACUAGUCUUUGUAUUCUGUAACUCCUGUUUCGAGUUACUAAUCUUAGCAACCGAACAAGUAUCAAAUACUCAGGGGCUACUAUAAACACUAGUAAAGCACACAUCAAUAACCUGUAUAUCAAAUAUACCCUUGUUCACUUUGCCAUCCUUCUUAUCCACCAAAUAUUCAGGGCAUUUCCGCUUCCAGUGACCAUUUCCUUUGCAGUGUAAGCACUCAGUUUCAGGCUUUGGUCCAGCUUUGGUCUUCUUCACGGGAGUGACAACUUGUUUGCCAUUCUACUUUGAAGUUUCCCUUUCUUUCCCUUUGCCCUUUUCUUGAAACUAGUGGUCUUGUCAAUCAUCAACACUUGAUGCUCUUUCUUGAUUUCUACCUACGUCAAUUUCAACAUCACGAAGAGCUCGGGAAUUGUUUUCGUCAUCCCUUGCAUACUAUAGUUCAUCUCGAAGUUCUAGUAACUUAGUGAUGGUGACUAGAGAAUUCUGUCAAUCACUAUCUUAUCUGGAAGAUUAACUCCCACUUGAUUCAAGCGAUUGAAGUAUCCAGACAAUCUGAGCACAUGCUCACUAGUUGAGCGAUUCUCCUCCAUCUUUUAGCUAUAGAACUUGUUGGAGACUUCAUAUCUCUCAACUCGGGUAUUUGCUUGAAAUAUCAACUUCAAUUCCUGGAACAUCUCAUAUGGUCCAUGAUGUUCAAAACAUCUUUGAAGUCCCGAUUCUAAGCCAUAAAGCAUGGUGCACAAAACUAUCAAGUAGUCAUCAUAUUGAGCUAGCCAAACGUUCAUAACGUCUGCAUCUGCUCCUGCAAUAGGUCUGUCACCUAGCGGUGCAUUAAGGACAUAAUUCUUCUGUGCAGCAAUGAGGAUAAACCUCAGAUCGCGGAUCUAAUCCGCAUCAUUGCUACUAACAUUUUCAACACAAUUUUCUCUAGGAACAUAUCAAAAUAAACAUAUGAAAGCAACAACGCAAGCUAUUGAUCUAUAACAUAAUUUGCAAAAUACUACCAGGACUAAGUUCAUGAUAAAUUUAAGUUCAAUUAAUCAUAUUACUUAAGAACUCCCACUUAGACAGACAUCUCUCUAGUCAUCUAAGUGAUCACGUGAUCCAAAUCAACUAAACCAUGUCCGAUCAUCACGUGAGAUGGAGUAGUUUUCAAUGGUGAACAUCACUAUGUUGAUCAUAUCUACUAUAUGAUUCACGCUCGACCUUUCGGUCUCCGUGUUCCGAGGCCAUAUCUGUAUAUGCUAGGCUCAUCAAGUAUAGCCUGAGUAUUCUGCGUGUGCAACUGUUUUGCACCUGUUGUAUUUGAACGUAGAGCCUAUCACACCCGAUCAUCACGUGGUGUCUCAGCACGAAGAACUUUCGCAACGGUGCAUACUCAGGGAGAACACUUCUUGAUAAUUAGUGAGAGAUCAUCUUAAAAUGCUACCGUCAAUCAAAGCAAGAUAAGAUGCAUAAAGGAUAAACAUCACAUGCAAUCAAUAUAAGUGAUAUGAUAUGGCCAUCAUCAUCUUGUGCUUGUGAUCUCCAUCUUCGAAGCACCGUCAUGAUCACCAUCAUCACCGGCGCGACACCUUGAUCUCCAUCGUAGCAUCGUUGUCGUUACGCCAUCUAUUGCUUCUACGACUAUCGCUACCGCUUAGUGAUAAAGUAAAGCAAUUACAGGGCGUUUGCAUUUCAUACAAUAAAGCGACAACCAUAUGGCUCCUGCCAGUUGCCGAUAACUUCGGUUACAAAACAUGAUCAUCUCAUACAAUAAAAUAUAGCAUCACGUCUUGACCAUAUCACAUCACAACAUGCCCUGCAAAAACAAGUUAGACGUCCUCUACUUUGUUGUUGCAAAUUUUACGUGGCUGCUACGGGCUUAGCAAGAACCGUUCUUACCUACGCAUCAAAAACCACAACGAUAGUUCGUCAAGUUGGUGCUAUUUUAACCUUCGCAAGGUCCGGGCGUAGCCACACUCGAUUCAGCUAAAGUGAGAGAGACAGACACCCGCCAGCCACCUUUAAGCACGAGUGCUCGUAACGGUGAAACCAGUCUCGCGUAAGCGUACGCGUAAUGUCGGUCCGGGCCGCUUCAUCUCACAAUACCGCCAAAUCAAAGUAUGACAUGUUGGUAAGCAGUAUGACUUGUAUCGCCCACAACUCACUUGUGUUCUACUCGUGCAUAUAACAUCAACGCAUAAAACCUAGGCUCGGAUGCCACUGUUGGGGAACGUAGUAAUUUCAAAAAAGUUCCUACGCACACGCAAGAUCAUGGUGAUGAUAUAGCAGCGAGAGGGGAGAGUGUUCGUCCACGUACCCUCGUAGACCGUAAGCGGAAGCGUUAGCACAACGCGGUUGAUGUAGUCGUACGUCUUCAUGAUCAACCGAUCCAAGCACUGAACGUACGGGGCCUCCGAGUUCAGCACACGUUCAGCUCGAUGACGAUCUCCGGCCCUCCGAUCUAGCAAAGGCUCCGGAGAUGAGUUCCGUCAGCAGGACGGCGUGGUGACGAUGAUGAUGUUCUACCGGUGCAGGGCUUCGCCUAAACUCCGCGACGAUAUGGUGGAAGGGGCACCGCACACGGCUAAGGAACGAUCCGUAGAUCAACUUGUGUGUCUUUGGGGUGCCCCCCCGCCCCCGUAUAUAAAGGAGCCAGGAGGGAGGAGGUGGCCGGCCAAGAGGGCGCGCCAAGGGGGGAGUCCUACUCCCACCAGGAGUAGGACUCCCUCUUUCCUAGUAGGAUUAGGAGAAGGGGGGAAAGAGGAGGAAGAGGGGAAGGAAAGGGGGGGCGCCACCCCCCUUCCCUUGUCCUAUUCGGACUAGGAGGGGGAGGGGCACGCGGCCCCCUCCUGGCUCCUUCCUUCUUCUCCCUCUUGGCCCAUGUAGGCCCAUUAACCCCCGGGGGGGUUCCGGUAACCUCUCGGUACUCCGGUAAAAUGCCGAUUUCACCCGGAACCAUUCCGAUGUCCAAACAUAGGCUUCCAAUAUAUCAAUCUUUAUGUCUCGACCAUCCCGAGACUCCUCGUCAUGUCCGUGAUCACAUCCGGGACUCGAACAAACUUCGGUACAUCAAAACUUAUAAACUCAUAAUAAAACUGUCAUCGAAACGUUAAGCGUGCGGACCCUACAGGUUUGAGAACUAUGUAGACAUGACCUAAAACCAUUCUCGGUCAAUAACCAAUAGCGGGACCUGGAUGCCCAUAUUGGUUCCUACAUAUUCUUCGAAGAUCUUUAUCAGUCAAACCGCAUAACAACAUACGUUGUUCCCUUUGUCAUCGGUAUGUUACUUGCCCGAGAUUUGAUCGUCGGUAUCUAAUACCUAGUUCAAUCUCGUUACCGGCAAGUCUCUUUACUCGUUCUGUAAUACGUCAUCUCAUAACUAACUCAUUAGUUAUAAUGCUUGCAAGGCUUAAGUGAUGAGUAUUACCGAGAGGGCCCAGAGAUACCUCUCCGACAAUCGGAGUGACAAAACCUAAUCUCGAAAUACGCCAACUCAACAUGUACCUUCGGAGACACCUGUAGUACUCCUUUAUAAUCACCCAUUUACGUUGUGACGUUUGGUAGUACCCAAAGUGUUCCUCCGGUAAACGGGAGUUGCAUAAUUCUCAUAGUUACAGGAACAUGUAUAAGUCAUGAAGAAAGCAAUAGCAGAAUUCUAAACGAUCAAGUGCUAGGCUAACGGAAUGGGUCAAGUCAAUCACAUCAUUCUCCUAAUGAUGUGAUCCCGUUAAUCAAAUGACAACUCUUUUGUCCAUGGCUAGGAAACAUAACCAUCUUUGAUAAACGAGCUAGUCAAGUAGAGGCAUACUAGUGACACUAUGUUUGUCUAUGUAUUCACACAUGUAUUAUGUUUCCGGUUAAUACAAUUCUAGCAUGAAUAAUAAACAUUUAUCAUGAUAUAAGGAAAUAAAUAAUAACUUUAUUAUUGCCUCUAGGGCAUAUUUCCUUCAUGCGGUUCUAUCCUUGGUGGGACCUUCGAGUCUCUUUAGGAUAGUAUCGCAUAUUGGGCGUGACAAGUUGGUAUCAGAGCCUCGACCGACCUUAGGAGCCCCCUUGAUUGAUCGUGUAGUUUGGCCGUUGUUGAGUCUAGAAGAAAACUUUUUCGGAGUCUAGUUAUAUCGGAGAGUAGGAAUUCUUUUUACUCCUUAGCUCCUUCGUCGCUCUGGUGAGGAAUCUUGACAUAGGUGUUUUGAAUUACUCCUCUUUCCCUUCAAAUUUUCUUUAGGUUCACGCAGUUGGUUUUUCGAUCGUUAUUCCUCAGCUCUUUUCAUCCGGUGCAUUUCUCGUCAAGUUGACUCGAGCCUCUUCAUCUUUGCCAAGUUCAAUCCUUAGUUGUUUUCUUUUUCCCACCCGCCCACCCUUUUUAUUCUUGGAGCCGGAGUCCGUAAUCGAGUAUCCAUCCUACUCAUGCGAAGUCUUUGUUUUUUUUCCUCAAUGAUUUCAACCGGUGUUUUCUCUUCAAGAUAUUCGUUGGUUCUCCCUUCCAGGUGCCUUUGUUUUCCCGCCCUCCCACCCUUUCUUCUUACCGGAGCCUGAGUCUGUUUUCGGGCAUCAAUUUCAUUCAUGUGGAGCCUCUUCAGUCUUCCCUCAAUUAUUUCAACCGAUGAAUUCUCGUUUUGUUCGACAUUCUUCAUCGCUUUUUCUUUUCCGGUGGACCCAAUUCAAGUAUCCGGUGUUGAUCACAUUCUUUUCCUUGGUUAAAGUGUUAUCCUUACUCGUUUGGCUCUCGCCAUUCAAUCAUUCCGGAGUUCAAGACAUCUCUGGAGAUUCGUCUUUGUUUGAAUUAAUUCGAGGUUGUCACCUCAUUCAAAUAUGUCAAUUGUUCCGGUGCAUCAUCUAUCUUUUCAACAACCCUUUUCAAUGGUGUUUUCUCUUUAGUGGGCCCUAACCCACAGGUCUUUUCCUAGGAUCUUACCUGACUCUUCUAAUUUCACCGGAGUUAUUCUCAAUUCUUAUUCAAGUGUGAUGUAAGAAUGGAUCACAUCAUUCACAUGCCUUCUCCAAGAUCGAUUUCAAAUCAUUUUCAUUGUUGCCUCAACCUCUCUGCUUUUCAUUCUCCCAGAGUAUCUCAAUAAUUUUGGUGUUGUUUUCUGUCGCCAUGUGAAGACCGAAGAAGAGUUUUUCCUCUAAAUCUUGUCCGUUCCCCGGAGAUUCGCGGUGCUAGCUCGAUGUUAUCCUAUCAAAUUGUUUCAAGUCAUGCAAAUUCUUUUCAUCCAUCCGGAGCAUUCAGGAGUUGCUUUCUCUCUCGAUCAUCCGGAGGCCAUCUUUUCGGAAUAUCUCUCCGCUCUAAGUUUUUCAAAUUCGUUCUCCAAUUAUUCCAUAUCCAUGCCCCUUCAUUCGUCUCAAUAUUCUUCCGGUGCUUUGUUCAAGUGUUCUUUAAUCAGCUCGAGUUCUUCCUGUUCUUUUGCAUCUAAAUCCCCUCAAGCAUAUUUGUUCUCCUAAUUCUUCCCGGUGAUUCAUUCUCUUUCGUCAUUCGAUUUUCGAAUUAUUACGGUGGUUCGUUCAAAAAUUCUUUUUCUUUGGUUAUCAUAUUAUUUCAUUCGUUCUUUUCAAUCCUACCGAUGGUUCAUGAAGAUCUUCUCAAGUUUGCAAGAUGUCACCUCUCAAUCCUUUUCAAGAAGAAUAAGUAGUAUGCAAAAUCCAUUGCUUGUCAUCAAUUUAAUUUGAUGAAGGAUAAGCAUACAAUAAAUCUUAUUCUUAUAUCCUCCAAGCGAGUAAUCCCUUCCUUCAGAGUUUGUUCUUGAGGAAUAAAUUCUAGUUCCAAGUGUUUUCAUCUUUUCUUUUCCGGAGUUCAAUUUCCUCAACCAUCUUGUCGGAACCUCCAUCUAAAUCAUCGCAAUGCUCAUCUUAUUCUUUCAUCCUUCAUUUUAUCUCGUCAUCCUUUUUGUCACCGGAGUUCUUCAUGGCGUUCUUCAGGAUUUAAUUCAUUCUUCAAGAGUUCAUCAAGAUUUUGUUGGUUGAGUUCAAGUAUCUUUUCUUCUCGCGUCUCGAAGUGCAAUUAAUUCUCCAUGUUCUUUUGAAGUGGAGUUUUGCAUUUCUUCGUUCUUCUCAGUUAUCCAAUCAUUUCCGUUUGGGGUCGGAGAUCACCUCAUAAUUUUGAGAUGUUACCUAUAAGUCCACAACAAUCUUAUUCUUUUCGUUGUUAAUUUUCUCAACAACUCCGUUUAAACCUUCCUUCUAAAGAUGCUUUCAAUUUCAUUCGUGGCACAAGUUGCCAUUUCCUUCCCCAUUCUUUUCAUUAAACUUUUCCAAUUCUUCCGGAGGCUUUGUGUUGUUCCUCUCGUCAAGUAUCAUUCCAUCUUCUCUAGUUCAUGAUUCGAUCCUCUCCCUGUUUCAGCCGGAGUGCUGCCUGAAUUCUUCCAUUCAUAUUCGAUUUUUUUAUCUCGUUCUAACCGGAGUGGUCUCAUAGUCUAUAUGAUUCCCUGAGCUUUCGAUUCUCGUCAUUCUUGUCGUUCCUCUCUUCUUCUCGAGUGCUCUCGAGUCUUUGCUUCUUCCCUUGAGUUCUUGUUUCACCUCAUCCCUUUUCCCUUCCGUCUCGGUCCUAAGAUCUCGGGACGAGAUCUCUUGUUAGUGGAGGAGUGUUGUAACGCCACGGAUUCGUUGCGCCAGGUGUCCGCCAGUUACUCGUCGUCGUUGCCAUGUCAUGUGCUUGCGUGUUGCACUUUGCCAUGUCAUCAUCUGCAUUUCAUAUCAUGUCAUCAUGUGCAUCGCUUUUGCAUACGUGUUCGUCUCAUGCAUCCGAGCAUUUUCCCCGUUGUCCGUUUUGCAAUCCGGCACUCCUAUGUCCUCCGGCGUUCCCCUUUUGCCUCUUUUCGUGUGCGGGUGUUAAACGUUCUCGGAAUGGCCCGAGAUUUGCCAAGCGGCCUUGGUAUAGCACUGGUAGACCGUCUGUCAAGUUUCGUGCCAUUUGGAGGUCGUUUGGUACUCCAACGGUUAACCGGGUAACCGCAAAAGCCUCUUUUGUGUGCAGCCCAACACCCCUUCCAAAGUGGCCCAAAACCCAUCCAAACCCCCUCCAUGCUCUCGGUUGUUCGAUCACGAUCGCGUGGCCGAAAACCGCUCCUCAUUUGGACUCUCCUAGCUCCCCCUACCUAUAAAUAUGUGCAUCCCCCCGAUUUUUCGCGCAGAUCAAACCCUAGCCAAACUCCUCCCCGCCACCGGACAUGUCCGCCUCCGCGCCGGACACGUCCACGGCCCGCCGCCACGUCGCUCCAGCCAAUCGGAGGCCACCACCUCAGCCGCGCCGCGGCCCCCGUCCAGCCAGCGCCUGCCACGUGGCCUCCGGCCUCGNNNNNNNNNNNNNNNNNNNNNNNNNNNNNNNNNNNNNNNNNNNNNNNNNNNNNNNNNNNNNNNNNNNNNNNNNNNNNNNNNNNNNNNNNNNNNNNNNNNNNNNNNNNNNNNNNNNNNNNNNNNNNNNNNNNNNNNNNNNNNNNNNNNNNNNNNNNNNNNNNNNNNNNNNNNNNNNNNNNNNNNNNNNNNNNNNNNNNNNNNNNNNNNNNNNNNNNNNNNNNNNNNNNNNNNNNNNNNNNNNNNNNNNNNNNNNNNNNNNNNNNNNNNNNNNNNNNNNNNNNNNNNNNNNNNNNNNNNNNNNNNNNNNNNNNNNNNNNNNNNNNNNNNNNNNNNNNNNNNNNNNNNNNNNNNNNNNNNNNNNNNNNNNNNNNNNNNNNNNNNNNNNNNNNNNNNNNNNNNNNNNNNNNNNNNNNNNNNNNNNNNNNNNNCCCUCGCCUCCGCCGGCGCCGGAUCCGGCGAGAUCCGGCCGGGCCGACCCGUCGCCGACCCUCUUCGGCAUCCCUGCAGCCCGUCCCCGCCAUCUCCCUCCUCUCCGGCCACAUCUCUGGCGAACCUCGAGCUCGGGCCCGAUCUAGAUGCAAUCUGAGGUUGACCCCGAAAAUUCUAGUCCCCAGAUCUGCAUAUUUUUAUGCCAUGUUCAUCGCAUCAUAAAUUGCUGCAUAUUGCUCCGUUUCGUGCGUAUAAUAUGUCAAAUUAUUUGUCUCGAUGAGUAAUUCACUUCAUUCCAUUGCAUCAUGUUCAUUUGAGUCCAUCUUGAUGCCCUAAAUGCUGUUGGAAUAGUGCAUGUUGCUGUUAAUCUGCUGAAACCGUUAUAACUUGCUCAUUUGUCAUUUUUGCCAUGUUUGAUGUGUGCAUCCUAUGAGGAUGAUGUCUACAUGUGUUUUGAUCUAUGAUAUGCCAUAUUCACAGUGGUGCCACCCAUGUAUUUUUGUGAGUUGUGUAGUAAGUGCAUCAAGCUUGUUAAGUAGGGUACUUACUGUUGCUGUUUUCCUGACUGAUUCUGUUACAUUUUGUUGCUAUAUUAACCUGCUGCUACAAGUCAUUCCAUGCAUAAUCUGGAGAUGUUCACUAAGGAUGUUUUGUUAUACAUGGCAUGCUCUAUCCAUUCAUGCCCCUGGUUGCAUUUAUAGCCUGCUGUAACAUGUUGUUAUCUUGCUCUCAAAACUGCUAAAUAAUGUUUCCUGUCAGCCUGUUAACAUUAAGUUCAAUGUUGCCAUGUUUGUUGUUAGUGAUCCAUGCACCCUAUGAACUUGUUCUUGCCAUGCUUAGCUUCAUAAACAUGUAUUCUUACUGUUGGUUGCCUUGCCAUGCCAUGUAUUGCUCUAUAGUGAGUGGUUCAAGCUCACCAACAUGCCUACUUAUUGUUGUUCCUGCCAUGUUUGAAUCUGUCAUAUAAUUUGCCAUGUUUACAUGGGUGCCAUCAUAUCUUCUGAUCCUUUUUGGCUCAUGGUCAGUAAGGGACUUUUGUUCUAUGUAAUUAGUUGAUUCAUGCCAUGCCUUUGUUUGCCAUGUUAAGUUCUUGUAGCAUGUUGUUUGAUAGCUCUAAACAUUGCAACCUGAUGUUAUUUCUGCUAAGCCUGUAAACUGUUAAUAUAUGCAAUCUUACCAUGAGGCGAACAUGUCCAGCGGCGGGGAGGAGUUUGGCUAGGGUUUGAUCUGCGNNNNNNNNNNNNNNNNNNNNNNNNNNNNNNNNNNNNNNNNNNNNNNNNNNNNNNNNNNNNNNNNNNNNNNNNNNNNNNNNNNNNNNNNNNNNNNNNNNNNNNNNNNNNNNNNNNNNNNNNNNNNNNNNNNNNNNNNNNNNNNNNNNNNNNNNNNNNNNNNNNNNNNNNNNNNNNNNNNNNNNNNNNNNNNNNNNNNNNNNNNNNNNNNNNNNNNNNNNNNNUGCGCAUAUUUAUAGGUAGGGGGAGCUAGGAGAGUCCAAAUGAGGAGCGGUUUUCGGCCACGCGAUCGUGAUCGAACGACUAAGAGCAUGGAAGGGGUUUGGAUGGGUUUUGGGCCACUUUGGAAGGGGUGUUGGGCUGCACACAAAAGAGGCUUUUGCGAUUACCCGGUUAACCGUUGGAGUACCAAACGACCUCCAAAUGGCAUGAAACUUGACAGGCGGUCUACCGAUGCUAUACCAAGGCCGCUUGGCAAAUCUCGGGCCAUUCCGAGAAUGUUUAACACCCGCACAUGAAAAGAGGCAAAAGGGGAACGCCGGAGGACAUAGGGGUGCCGGAUUACAAAACGGACAACGGGGAAAAUGCUCGGAUGCAUGAGGUGAACACGUAUGCAAAAGCGAUGCACAUGAUGACAUGAUAUGAAAUGCAGAUGAUGACAUGGCAAAGUGCAACACGCAAGCACAUGACAUGGAAACAACGACGAGUAACUGGUGGACACCUGGCGCAACAAAUCUGGGGCGUUACAAGAUUGUUCCUUGGCAUGUGACUCCUCCAUUGGUCCAAUUAGUUUUUGUUCUAAUGCUUUAUUCAUUGCAAAUUUGUGCUGCAUAGGUGACCAUGUUCUUGAGCUUGCAUGUCAAAUUUAUAUGGUUCCAAGUAGUUCUAAUGCUUGAUAUAGGCUCUAGGCACUCGUGGGAGUUGUUACUAUCAAUUUUAUUGAAGUUGGUUCACUUUUAUUUGAAGUUACUAAAAAAUUUAGAAAUUUUUCAGAGGAAACAAUAUGUUUAGGAAGAUGUUCCAAGGUGGUUCUUCAAGAAAGCAAGGUCCCAGGAUUGCAAUACGUGAUGCUGACGAGGAACCACCAAGAGACGCUCCUGUGAGGCCCUGUGAAUGGCCUUCGGAAAAUUUUAUGAAUCAAGCAGGAAUCAAAGAAGAAUUUAGUGCAUAUUUGCAUAAUGCCGGUCUUGAGGACUUUGAAGCUGACAAAUUCCCCCAGUAUCAUGAUCUCACAAGUUCAUUUGUGAGGAGGUUUGAGUUUUCAUCUUCGCGUAAUUCUCCUUCAGUCAUGUUUGACCUUUAUGACAAAUCUUAUACCAUGGACUUAGAGGAUUUCACUUUUGCUUGCAAACUUCCAUCUUGGGGUAGUGUCAGAGAUCCCCCUAAAUCUGAAUAUAGAGACUUUCUUGCUAGAAUAACUAUGGGGGAAUCUAGAGAUAUAACACAAGACACUAUAGGGAGCGUUCACUUUCCUGCUAUACAUUAUUUUGCUCUCUUCAUAUGUAGAUGCAUAAAUGCUAAGGAUGAAGCAUGUCACAUAUGUGUCCCUGAUCUCAGCAUUCUCAGGAGUGUUGUGUUAGGAGACCAAUCUUAUCAUAUGGGAGCCAUUGUAGCUCGUAGGUUGCAUCAUAAUAGACAUAACUGAGAUUUCUUUGGAGGAAUUUAUGCAACCCGUUUAGCUAAUUUUCUUGAGGUAGACAUUUGUGAGGGUGAUAUGGAAUUACCCCCUACUUAUUUAGAUUUUGAUUCUAUGGUCUACCACCAGUUUGUUGAGAGGACUGAACUACCUCUCCAGUAUCGAUUAAUCUUUAACAAACGGCAUGUUGUCCGUAUUACUCUUCCUGCUCCUGCCUUCUUUGAUUCUCAGACAAAAGGAAGAUACAUUAUUACCAGAGAGGAGGCAGAUGAGUAUGAAAGGAGAGCGGAGGCUGCUCGACGCCAUGCUACAGCUCAGGAGGCGAUAGCCGCUGCAUCGCAGUAUGACCCCAGCUUCACCUACGGGUAUCCGCCAGGCUAUCCCUGGCAAUAGACCAACUUAGGCCAAAAGUCUAAGCUUGGGGGAGUACGUAUUUCUCACCGACAUUACAUUCAUGUUCACACACACUCAUUGCUAGAUGUUGGUGCUCAUACUCUUUCACUAUAAUAACCAUGCUAGUUUAAAUUUCUUUUUCUAGUUUUCUUCUUGUGUGCUUGAUAAAUCUUGAGAAAAACCAAAAAAAUUAGUUAGUUUAAUUUCCAUGCUUGUAGUAGUUAUUAAAAAGAAAACCCAAAAAGAUUUCCAAUUCUUAUUUUGCUUGUUGAGAGCUUUCCCGUGUAAAUAAUUUUUAUUUCAUUUCUUUUCUUUGGGGGUCAGUAGGAGAAGACCAUGAUUAAAUUGCUUAGGGGCUCUUAUAUGCAUGAUUGUUUAUUUAACUUAGAGCCCAUAUUACUUGUCUUCUCUCUUGGGUUGAAUGCUCGCAGAUUCCAGCUUAGUCCAAUGCACGUGCACUCUUAUUAUUAUACACAUCGUUCGGUCGUGUAAGUGCAAGGCAAUAAUGAUGAUAUAUGAUGGACUGAUUGAGAUGGGAAAAGCUGGUAUGAACUCGACCUCUCUUGUUUUUGUAAAUAUGAUUAUUCAUCGUUCCUGAGUCAGCUAUUAUGAAUUAAACAUAUUUUCAAUGACAUUUAGAGAUUAUAGUUGCUUGUGCCAUGCUUGAUCAGCUAUGAGUUAUAAUGGUUUACCUCGCGUGCCAACAUGUUAUUAGAAUGAUUAUGAUGUGGUAUGAUGGGAUGGUAUCCUCCUUUAAAUGAAUUGAAUGACUAAACUUGGCACAUGUUCACGCAUGAAGUUGAAUCAAAUCAACAUAGCCUUCAUGAUAUUUAUGUUCAUGGUAGAUUAUAUCCUACUCAUGCUUAUUUGGUGUAAAUUAAUUUUAAUGCAUGUUUACAGUGAGCUCAAGCCUAGAAUACAAAGUUUUGAUGCUAGAAUAUAUCGGUUGCCAUGUAUUGGCAGCAGUAUUUGCCAUGUAUGUAGGACUGCAGCUGCCAUGGAUAUAGAGUCCAAGUUUUGGUACUGAAAGGAGUUGGUUGCCAUGCAUUGGCAACAGUAGUUGCUGUGUUUGUUGGACUGUAGCUACCAUGACUGGAGAACUACAGUUACCAUGCAUGUCCACAUGCAGACUCGCAGCUUGUUGUUUGAAUGAUGUCAUGCCAAGUCACUUGCAGUUGAUGUACUCCGUUACGAUAAACAUGUCAUUCAAGCAAAAUCUUAUGCUCGUACCUGUUUUUUAUUACAGGGCCUUCAACUACAAUCAACACCGGUGCGGGGACAUCUACUGCGGGGAGCUCUGAGCGCACGGAAGACGCGUUCCACCAGCCAGCCAACAAUCAUGCCGCAAACAAUGUCGAGUUAGAGUCGGAAAUGGCAAUCAUUCCAGCAAUGCCAACAAGCACACCUUUGAACACAAGCACUGGCAAUACUCAAGUAGAUGAAAUUGCUGCCGAUACUGAAGUGAAUGAUGAAACUGAUGACGAAGCACAAGGGGAUGAAGAUGGUGGGUAAUCAGAGCUCAUGGUAUCUCAGCCACCGUACGUUGGGCAGAGAUUUGAAUCGUUCGCAGAAGCAAAGGAAUUCUACCAGACAUAUGCAAAGUUCCAUGGGUUUGCGGUCAACAUCGAAUACCAUAGGAAAAUUAAGAAAACUAACGAGUACAGCAGAGGUGAGAUGAGGUGCCACAAGGCACGAAGGAACAAGAAGGGGAAAGGUGUUGCGCCUGUCAUUCCGAAACGAAAGAGAGGUAUCAUUCUCAAGACGGAAUGCCCUAUUCGGUGUAAGCUAAACAUAGAUGGAGCACGGUGGGUGGUCACUAAAUAUUUUGACGAGCACAACCACAAACUCAUAAAGAAGUUCGACAUGGUAAAAUUUCUGACCGCCCACAGAGGAUUCACCCCCCUCGAGAAGAAAUUCAUAAAGCUGCUACAUGAUUGUAACGUCGAUCCAUCAAGAAUGGUCCAGAUACUAUCGCUCAUCCACAGCAAAAAGGGACUCUGAGUAGCAUGCCCUACAUACCAGCUGACGUCACAAACCUAAAGGAAAAGUACCAUAGAGAGAGCAAGUUGGCUGACAUAGAGGCCACAAUGGCCUACUUCGAUGAGAAAGCGAAGGAAGAUCCAGAUUUCUUCUAUAGGAUAAGAUUGGACGAUGAGGACCGUGUCAGGAACAUGUAUUGGGUGGAUGGUGCUGCAAGAAGAGCCUACAAACAUUUCCGAGAGUGCAUUUCAUUCGACGCGACAUAUCUCACUAAUAUGUACAAGAUGACAUGCGCUCCAUUCAUAGGAAUAAAUAACCACAAUCAGUCGUUGCAGUUCGGAUGCGGGCUCGUUUGGAAUGAAGACGCGGGUGGGUACAUUUGGCUGUUCAAGACCUUCUUGGAGUGCAUGGAUGGACUUGCUCCAAUGAACAUAAUAACGGACCAGGAUUUGAGCAUGCGUGCAGGCAUAGAGGAGGUCUUUCCGUUGGCAGUGCACAGGCACUGCAGGUGGCACAUUAUAAAGAAGGCCGACGAGACGCUAGGACCGUUCUUUGCAGACCGUCCAGAGUUGCACAAGGCAUUCGAGUUGUGCAUGGACCAUAGCUUGACGGUGGAGGAGUUUUAAAGGAGCUGGAUGGCCAUGAUUGAAACAUAUCAAGUCCAAGACAACGAGACUCUUGCUAGCCUGUGGGAGAAGCGAAUGUACUAGGUGCCGGCCUACUUCAUGCAGUGCUUCUUCCCAUUUCUGCAUACUACGCAGCGCAGCGAGGGGUUUAAUGCUGUUUUGAAGCGGUACGUGAGCCCUGGCAACUCAUUGCUACAGUUUGCCAAGCAAUACACAACUUUGCAACAAAAAAUACUGGGAUCUGAGCUACAGCAAGAAGCGAACACCGCGCUAAAGCAGCCAAAUUGCUAACAUAUUUACCGAUGGAGAGGCAAAUGAGCAAGAUAUACACCAACAAGAUCUUUAACAAGUAAGUCAGUUGUGUUGCAAUCUUAUUUGCACAAGCAUGAAGGCAGUAGGUGUUGGGGAACGUAGCAGAAAUUCAAAAUUUUCUACGCAUCACCAAGAUCAAUCUAUGGAGUAACUAGAAACGAGAGAGAGGGGAGUGCAUCUUCAUACCCUUGAAGAUCGUGAUGCGGAAGUGUUGCAAGAACGCGGUCGGUGGAGUCGUACACGAAGCGAUUCAGAUCACGGCCGAAUCCGAUCUAAGCACCGAACAACGGUGCCUCCGCGUUCAACACACGUGCAGCCCGGUGACGUCUCCCGUGCCUUGAUCCAGCAAGGAGAGAGGGAGAGGUUGGGGAAGACUCCGUCCAGCAGCAGCACAACGGCAUGGUGGUGAUGGAGGAGCGUGGCACUCCAGCAGGGCUUCGCCAAGCAUUGUGAGAGACGAGGAGGGAGAGGGGUAGGGCUGCGCCAAGAGAGAGGGAGACUCCUGUUCUUGGCAGCCCCAAAACCCCCACUAUAUAUAGGAGGAGGGGAGGAGGGUGCGCCCCCUCUAGGGUUCCCACCCCUAGGGGGCGGCAGCCCUAGAUGGCAUGGAGGGAGGCGGGCAAGAGGGGGAGAGGGGGCGCGCCCUAGGGUGGGCCUUAGGCCCAUCUGCGCCUAGGGUUUCCCCUCUCUCCUCUUUGUUGCGCCUUGGGCCUUGGUGGGAGACGCACCAGCCCACUUAGGUGCUAGUCCCUUCCCACUCUUGGCCCAUGCAAGCCUCCGGGGCUUGUGGACCCCGGAACCCUUCCAGUGGUCCCGGUACAUUACUGAUGACACCCGUAAUACUUCCGGUGACCAAAACCUCACUUCGUAUAUAUUAUUCUUUACCUCCGGACCAUUCCGCAACUCCUCGUGACAUCCGGGAUCUCAUUCGGGACUCCAAACAACAUUCGGUAACCACAUACAAAACUUUCCUAUAACCCUAGCAUCAUCGAACCUUAAGUGUGUAGACCCUACGGGUUCAGGAACCAUGCAGACAUGACCGAGACAUCUCCCCGGCCAAUAACCACUAGUGGGAUCUGGAUACCCAUAUUGGCUCCCACAUGUUCCAUGAUGAUCUCAUCGGAUGAACCACGAUGUCAGGGAUUCAAUCAAUCCCGUAUACAAUUCCCUUUGUCAAUCGGUACAUUACUUGCUCGAGAUUCGAUCGUCGGUAUCCCAAUACCUCGUUCAAUCUCGUUACCGGCAAGUCACUUUACUCGUUACGUGAUGCAUGAUCCCGUGACUAACUACUUAGUCACAUUGAGCUCAUUAUGAUGAUGCAUUAUCGAGUGGGCCCAAAGAUACCUCUCCGUCAUACAGAGUGACAAAUCCCAGUCUCGAUUCGUGCCAACCCAACAGACACUUUUGGAGAUGCUUGUAGUGUACCUUUAUAGCCACCCAGUUACGUUGUGACGUUUGGUACACCCAAAGCAUUCCUACGGUAUCCGGGAGUUGCACAAUCUCAUGGUCUAAGGAAAUGAUACUUGACUUAAGAAAAGCUUUAGCAAACGAACUACGCGAUCUUGUGCUACGCUUAGGAUUGGGUCUUGUCCAUCACAUCAUUCUCCUAAUGAUGUGAUCCCUCUAUCAAUGACAUCUAAUGUCCAUGGUCAGGAAACCAUGACCAUCGAUUGAUCAACGAGCUAGUCAACUAGAGGCUCACUAGGGACAUGUUGUGGUCUAUGUAUUCACACAUGUAUUACGGUUUCCAGUUAAUAAAAUUAUAGCAUGAACAAUAGACAAUUAUCAUAAACAAGGAAAUAUAAUAAUAACCAUUUUAUUAUUGUCUCUAGGGCAUAUUUCCAACAGUCUCCCACUUGCACUAGAGUCAAUAAUCUAGUUCACAUCACUAUGUGAUUGUAAUGAAUCCAACACCCAUUGGGUUUGAUCAUAUCUCGCUUGUGAGAGAGGUUAUUAGUCAACGGGUCUGAAUCUUUUAGAUCCGUGUGUGCUUUACAAAUCUCUAUGUCAUCUCCUAGAUGCAACUACCACGCGCUAUUUGGAACUAUUCCAAAUAACUACUCUACUAUACGAAUCUGGUCUACUACUCAGAGUCAUCCAGAUUAGUGUCAAAGUUUGCAUCGGCGUAACCCUUUACGAUGAACUCUUUUACCACCUGCAUAAUAGAGAAAAUUCCUUAGUCCACUAGUUACUAAGGAUAACCUUGACUGCUGUCCUGUGAUCCAUUCCUGGAUCACACUUGUACCCCUUGACUGACUCAUGGAAAGGCACACUUCAGGUGCGGUACACAGCGUAGCAUACUGUAGAGCCUACGUCUAAAGCAUAGGGGACAACCUUCGUCCUUUCUCUCUCUUCUACCGUGGUCAGGUCUUGAGUCUUACUCAAUACUCACACGUUACAGCACAGCCAAGAACUCCUUCUUUGCCGAUAUAUUUUGAACUCCUUCAAAAUCUUGUCUCGGUAUGUGUUCAUUUGAAAUUACUAUUAAGCGUUUUGAUCUAUCCUUAUAGAUCUUGAUGCUCAAUGUUCAAGUAGCUUAAUCCAGGUUUUCCAUUGAAAAACAGUUUUCAAAUAACCCCAUAUGCUUUCCAGAAAUUCUACAAAAUUUCUGAUCAACAAUAUCUUAACAACAUAUACUUAUCAGAAAUUUUAUAGUGCUCCCACUCACUUCUUUGGAAAUACAAGUUUCUCAUAAACUUUGUAUAAACCCAAAAUCUUUGAUCAUCUCAUCAAAGCGUAUAUUCCAACUCCGAGAUGCUUACUCCAGUCCUUAGAAGGAUUGCUGGAGCUUUGCAUACUUGUUAGCAUCUUUUAGGACUGACAAAACCUUCUGGUUGUAUCACAUACAACCUUUCCUCAAGAAAAUUGUCGAGGAAACAAUGUUUUGACAUCCUAUCUGCAAGAUUUCAUAAAUAAUGCAGUAACUGGCAAUACAAUUCCAACAGACUCUUAGCAUCGCUACGAGUGAGAAAGUCUCACCGUAGUUAACUCCUUGAACUUGUCGGAAAACAUCUUAGCGACAAGUCGAGCUUUCUUAAUGGUGACACAUACCAUCAUUGUCUGUCUUCCCUUUUAGAAUCCAUCUGUACCCAACAGCCUUACGACCAUCAACUAGUUCUUCCAAAGUCUACACUUUUUUUCAUACAUGGAUCCUCUCUCGGAUUUUAUGGCCUCAAGCCAUUUGUCGGAAUCCGGGCCCACCAUCGCUUCUCCAUAGCUCGUAGGUUCAUUGUUGUCUAGCAACAUGACCUCCAAGAUAGGAUUGAGUACCACUCUGAAGUAGUACGCGUCCUUGUCGACCUACGAGGUUUGGUAGUGACUUGAUCCGAAGUUUCAUGAUCACUAUCAUCAGCUUCCACUUCAAUUGGUGUAGGCGCCACAGGAACAACUUCCUGUGCCCUGCUACAUACUAGUUGAAGUGACGGUUCAAUAACCACAUCAAGUCUCCACCAUCCUCCCACUCAAUUCUUUCGAGAGAAACAUUUCCUCGAGAAAGGACCCAUUUCCAGAAACAAUCACUUUUGCUUCCGGAUCUGAAUUAGGAGGUUUACCCAACUGUUUUGGGUGUCCUAUGAAGAUGCAUUUAUCCGUUUUGGGUUUGAGCUUAUCAGGCUAAAACUUUUCCACAUAAGCGUCGCAGCCCCAAAAUUUUAAUAAACGACAGCUUAGGUUUCUCUAAACCAUAGUCCAUACGGUGUCAUCUCAACGGAAUUACGUGGUGCCCUAUUGAAGUGAAUGCGGUUGUCUCUAAUGCCUAACCCAUAAACGAUAGUGGUAAUUCAAUAAGAGACAUCAUGGUAUGCACCAUAUCCAAUAGGGUGCAGUUAUGAUGUUCGGACACACCAUCAUUGUGGUGUUCCAGGCAUCAUUAGUUGUGAAACAAUUUCCACAAGGUCUUAAUUGUGUACCAAACUUGUAACUCAGAUAUUCAUCUCUAUGAUCAUAUCAUAGACAUUUUAUCCUCUUGUCACGACGAUCUUCAACUUCACUCUGAAAUUACUUGAACCUUUCAAUAAUUCAGACUUGUGUUUCAUCAAGUAAAUAUACUUAGCAUCUACUCAAAUCAUCUGUGAAGUAAGAACAUAACGAUCUUCACUACGUGCCUCUGCACUCAUUGGAUUGCACACAUCAAAUGUAUUACUUCCAACAAAUUGCUCUCUUGUUUCAUCUCACUAAAAAACGAGGCCUUUCAGUCAUCUUGCCCAUGUGGUAUGAUUUGCAUGUCUCAAGUGAUUGAAAAUCAAGUGAGUCCAAACGAUCCAUCUGUAUGGAGUUUCUUCAUGCAUAUAUACCAAUAGACAUGGUUCACAUGUCUCAAUCUUUUCAAAAAACGAGUGAGUCCAAAGAUCCAUCAACAUGGAGCUUCUUCAUGCGUUUUAUACCAAUAUGACUCAAGUGGCAGUGCCACAAGUAUGUGGUACUAUCAUUACUAUCUUAUAUCUUUUGGCAUGAACAUGUGUAUCACUACGAUCGAGAUUCAAUAAACCAUUCAUUUUAGGUGCAAGACCGUUGAAGGUAUUAUUCAAAUAAAUAGAGUAACCAUUAUUCUCCUUAAAUGAAUAACUGUAUUGCCAUAAACAUAAUCCAAUCAUGUCUAUGCUCAACGCAAACACCAAAUAACAAUUAUUUAGGUUUAACACCAAUCUCGAUGGUAGAGGGAGCAUGCGAUGCUUGAUCACAUCAACCUUGGAAACACUUCCAGCACAUAUCGUCAUCUCACCUUUAGCUAGUCUCCUCUUAUUCCGUAGCUCUUUUAUUUCGAGUUACUAACACUUAGCAACCGAACCGGUAUCUUAAUACCCUGUUGCUACUAGGAGUACUAGUAAAGUACACAUUAAUAUAAUGUAUAUCCAAUAUACUUCUAUUGACCUUGCCAACCUUCUCAUCUACCAAGUAUCUAGGGUAGUUCCGCUUCAGUGACCGUUCCCCUUAUUUCAGAAGCACUUAGUCUCGGGUUUGGGUUCAACCUUGGGUUUCUUCACUAGAGCAGCAACUGAUUUGCCGUUUCAUGAAGUAUCCCUUCUUGCCCUUGCCCUUCUUGAAACUAGUGGUUUUACCAACCAUCAACAACUGAUGCUCCUAUUUGAUUUCUACUUUCGCGGUGUCAAACAUCGCGAAUUGCUUAAGGAUCAUCAUGUCUAUCCCUGAUAGGUUAUAGUUCAUCAUGAAGCUUUAAUAGCUUGGUGGCAGUGACUAUGGAGAACCAUCACUAUCUCAUCUGGAAGAUUAACUCCCACUUGAUUCAAGUGAUUGUAGUACUCAGACAAUCUGAGCACAUGCUCAAUGAUUGAGCUUUUCUCCCUUAGUUUGCAGGCUUAAGAAACUCGUCAGAGGUCUCAUACCUCUUGACGUGGGCACGAGCCUGAAAUCCCAAUUUCAGCCCUUUGAACAUCUCAUAUGUUCCGCGAUGUUUCAAAAUCGUCUUCGGCGCCUCAAUUCUAAACCGUUUAACAUUACUGGACUAUCAUGUAGUCAUCAAAACGUGUAUGUUAGAUGUUCGCAACAUCCACAGACGACGUUCGAGGUUCAGCACACCGAGCGGUGCAUUAAGGACAUAAGCCUUCUACGUAGGAACGAGGACAAUCCUCAGUUUACGGACCUAGUCCGCAUAAUUGCUACUAUCAACUUUCAACUAAAUUUUCUCUAGGAACAUAUCUAAAACAGUAGAACUAAAGCGUAAGCUACGACAUAAUUUGCAAAGACCUUUUGACUAUGUUCAUGAUAAUUAAGUUCAUCUGAUUAUUUAAUGAACUCCACUUAGAUAGACAUCCCUCUAGUCAUCUAAGUGAUACAUGAUCCGAGUCAACUAGGUCGUGUUCGAUCAUCAUGUGAGAUGGACUAGUCAUCAUCGGUGAACAUCUUCAUGUUGAUCGUAUCUGCUAUACGACUUAUGUUCGACCUUUCGGUCUCUUGUGUUCCGAGGCCAUGUCUGUACAUGCUAGGCUCGUCAAGUCAACCUAAGUGUUUUGCUUGUGUAAAUCUGGCUUACACCCGUUGUAUUCGAACGUUAGAAUCUAUCACACCCGAUCAUCACGUGGUGCUUCGAAACAACGAACCUUCGCAACGGUACACAGUUAGGGGGAACACAUUCUUGAAGUUUUAGCAAGGGAUCAUCUUAUUUAUGCUACCGUCGUUCUAAGCAAAUAAGAUGUAAAAACAUGAUAAACAUCACAUGCAAUCAAAUAGUGACAUGAUAUGGCCAAUAUCAUUUUGCUCCUUUUGAUCUCCAUCUUCAGGGUGCCAUGAUCAUCAUCGUCACCGGCAUGACACCAUGAUCUCCAUCAUCAUGAUCUCCAUCAUCGUGUCUUCAUGAAGUUGUCUCGCCAACUUUUACUUCUACUACUAUGGCUAACGGUUUAGCAAUAAAGUAAAGUAGUUACAUGGCGUUAUUCAAUGACACGCAGUUCAUACAAUAAAUUAAGACAACUCCUAUGGCUCCUGUCGGUUGUCAUACUCAUCGACAUGCAAGUCGUGAUUCCUAUUACAAGAACAUGAUCAAUCUCAUACAUCACAUAUAUUUCAUUCAUCACAUCCUUUGGCCAUAUCACGUCACACGACAUAUGCUGCAAGAACAAGUUAGACGUCCUCUAAUUGUUGUUGCAAGUUUUUACGUGGCUGCUAUAGGUUUCUAGCAAGAACGUUUCUUACCUAUGUGAAAAGCCACAACGUGAUAUGCCAAUUGCUAUUUACCCUUCAUAAGGACCCUUUUCAUUGAAUCCGAUCCAACUAAAGUGGGAGAGACACACACCCGCUAGCCACCUUAUGCAACUAGAGCAUGUAAGUCGGAGGAACCUGUCUCACGUAAGCAUAUGUGUAAGGUCAGUCUGGGCCGCUUCAUCCCAUGAUGUCGCCGAAUCAAGAUAAGACUAGUAACGGCAAGUAAAUUGACAAAAUCGACGCCCACAGCAACUUGUGUUCUACUCGUGCAUAGAAACUACGCAUAGACCUAGCUCUGAUACCACUGUUGAGGAACGUAGCACGCAACACCAAGAUCAAUCUAUGGAGUAACUAGCAACGAGAGAGGGGAGUGCAUCUUCAUACCCUUGAAGAUCGCGAUGCGGAAGCGUUGCAAGAACACGGUCGGUGGAGUCGUACACGAAGCGAUUCAGAUCGCAGUCGAAUCCGAUCUAAGCACCAAACAACGGUGCCUCCACGUUCAACAGACGUGCAGCCCGGUGACGUCUACCAUGCCUUGAUCCAGCAAGGAGAGAGGGAGAGGUUGGGGAAGACUCCGUCCAAUAGCAACACAACGGCAUGGUGGUGAUGGAGGAGCGUGGCACUCAGCAGGGCUUCACCAAGCACUGCGAGAGACGAGGAGGGAGAGGGGUAGGGCUGCGCCAAGAGAGAGGGAGACUCCUGUUCUUGGCAGCCCCAAAACCCCCACUAUAUAUAGGAGGAGGGGAGGAGGGUGCGCCCCCUCUAGGGUUCCCACCCCUAGGGGGGCGGCAGCCCUAGAUGGGAUGGAGGAAGGUGGCCAAGAGGGGGAGAGAGGGGGCGCGCCCUAGGGUGGGCCUUAGGCCCAUCUACGCCUAGGGUUUCCCCUCUCUCCUCUUUGCUGCGCCUUGGGCCUUGGUGGGAGGCGCACCAGCCCACUCAGGGGCCGGUCCCUUCCCACUCUUGGCCCAUGCAAGCCUCCGGGGCUUGUGGUCCCUCCCAGUGGACCCCGGAACCCUUCAACGCUUGAGUGGACUGGUUCCUUGCUUAGAUUGGUCUCGGGAGCGUCCACUUCAACGCUUGCUGAUGGGGCGGCAUGGCUCACAACAGCAUCCUUCAUUGCCAGCAGAGUGGGCAAUAUUUCAGCAGUCCUGGCAGAUACCGACUCGUCACUCCCUGAUGUACGGAUGCCUGUUGUUGUAGCCUGCACAUCUGCAACCGGCGGAGAUGGUCGGCCACUCGCGUCAGAGUUAGUGGGAAUAGUUGACGGUGCAGCAGCAGUUUUGUCGACUGGCGCCUCAUGAACAUCUGAGUUGCCACCUGUUGACAACUUUGAAUGAAGGCGUUCAAGUGGGUCCUAAUGAUAUACUUGGCCGCGCGUGUAGUAGUCUUCUUCACCCUGCAAAAAAGAAAGCACAUGAAAAAUGUAUUAAGAAAUGAACCAAAAAUUUGCCAUGGUGGAAAUCUUAAAAAAUGAAAAGUAGGUGGAAAGCUGGUAGUUGCCAUGUAGGUGGAAUAAGAGUUGCCAUGUAGCAUAGUUAGCAGUUGCCAUGCAAAACCAGCAAGAGUUGCCAAGCUAGCCAACUUGAAGAAUGAUAAAAAUGUCUGAUCUACCAGGAAUGCAAUUUCAAAACUAGGUAUGGGAUGAGCACACAAGCCAAUGGAAAGAUGGCAGUUGCCAUGUAGGUACAAUAAGAGUUGCCAUUUGGCCUAGAUAGCAGUUGCCAUGCAAAAACAAGCAGGAGUUGCCAUGCAGUUAAAAAGGAAUGAGAUCAUUAGAAAAACAAUAGUUGCCAUGUGGGACUGAUGACAGUAGCCCAUGUGGCAAGCUGAACAGAUGCAUUGAAAAAUAAAAAAUAUAGCACUAUGGCAAUGAAAGAACAGGGAAAACCUACUUCUUGACUGGCUUUCUCAUGUCUGGAAACAAGACAGGAUCCCCGGUGUUGGACGUCAUCGUACGAGGAGAUGACCUGGUGGAAGUGGUGUCACCAGCAAUGGGGGCACCUUUGUUCAAUCGAGCAGAAGCACGGGUUGUCGUUGGUGCCUGUUUCUUCAUAACUGCUCGUCCACCAGCUGUCGCCUCACUGCACGUAUAAGAUGGAAGCAAAAAAAAGGUGGCAAGUGUCAGACAGGAAACUCAUUGCCGUGCUUAGCAAAACAAAUGCAAAAAAGGGUCAGUCUGUUCAAAAAAUAUAGACAAAACAAAACACUAAAAUAGAAGUCAAACCUCCUCCUAGCAGCUACGGGAUCGGUCCUAGAACUCUUGCCAGGAGAACCCUGCCCAACAUCCUCUGGAGCCCUCCCCCUCUUUGAGGGCAACACCCCCUCGCCUCUCGCAGCUGUAUGUUAUUUGACUUUCUCCGGUGGGAGGACAUCUGAUGCAUCCUUGCCCUUCUUACCACCUGCACGAACUUCAACAUGUUCAUCAUCAUCGAUGUCGUGUUGCACGUUCUCCAUGUCAUCAUCAUCGUCCUUGUUGAGAGCAGUGUCUCCAUCUAGUUCAUCUUGUGUGUCAGCGAGCUCUUGGGAACUGUUGUAGUCGUACCGGCCACGGCAACCAGUUGGCCGAUGUGUCCGUUCUGCAACAAAUGUAGUGAACUGCCUCGCAACCGCGUCUCUGUCAGAGCCAUUAAGGGACGUCCAAUCCUCAACCAACUUCCCGGGCAAGCUGGUCAUUCCGGAUGCAAACUGCCCAAUUAGAUGCUCAACAGGUGCCCUCGCCUGUGCACGAAACAAGAAGCAGCAAUAACCGAUCAUAUUAGAGUCACUUGCACAAGAUCAAAAAUAAUCCAAAGCAACCAUAGAUAUAUAUCUUUGAUUACCUCAGUAGGGCAAGAGGGAGCUGAGUACACGUCCAUCCACUUUCCAAAGUUUUGAGGCCCCCCAAACACGUUGUAGUCUAUAGCAUGCUUGGCCAUCAGCUGGAAAUAACCAAAAAAUAGCUAGGAUGUAAGAGAGAAAAUGAUGAACACUGACUAACAGUUCAUGUAUUGCAAAUAAAACAAAAAAAGAAGACGAGAAUAGAAGUUUCAGCACGGAUGACAGAGUUGCCAUGUGGAGUGAGACAUGUAUACCAUGCUCAGACAGCCAUGGCUAACAAGGUAGUCAUCUCUUGUUAGCCACAGACGGUUGCCACAUGAGGAUUUUUUUCAUAUGUUAUGCCGCAAAAAUUUGUAAGAAUGUCGUGCAGAGAAAGAAACCAGAACUAACCUGCAGUUUUCCAUAUUUGGUAUCAAUUACCUUGUCUGCAGCAAGCACAACCUUGACAGCAUCGUAAGUCCACGCAGAAACAGCAAACUUGUGUGUGGGCGGUGGGCCUCCUGUCCCAAAGAAAUCCACGGUGGACAGAUCAAGACAGUCAACGUACAUGAGCUGAUGUACAACAAUUUUAAAAGAAAGAAAUAUCAGUUCCCAUCAUGGUAUUUUACAAAAACAAGCUAAUGUAUGUUCCUACAAUCAUCAAGUUGAAGUGCAUGAAAAAGAAAGGAAGAAGUUGCCAUCUGUCUGUGUUAGGUGCCAUCAUGGUAUGAUGGCAGUUGCCAUAUUGUCAUGAUGGUAGUUGCCAUCUUGUUAUGAUCAGGUUGCCAUGCAUAAAUGAAGGUGUUAAAGAGUGUUCACAAAAAAGGACUGGUAAAAAAAUACCAUUAAAUGUAGUCGACAACCCUUCUGGUACAUCUUGUUUGAGAAUGCAUCAUGCAGGAAGUCGGCAAUGAACUUACACCACUUCAUGUUCUUCACAUCUUUUAGUUUCGCCUGCACGGCACAAUUUUCAGCACAACGAGUUGCCGCAUCAGAAACCGAAUGGAAAAACAUCAAAAAAACUGGCAGUGACUAGCUUACACAUGACAUCAAAGCCAAGAGAUUGAAGGAAAAUAAUGGAGUAAGGAUAGAUCAUUCACCAGGAUGGGGAAGCAUUUGUUGCUUGGGCGAAGAGAAGUGGUCGGUGCGAAAACAGCUGAGAUGAGGUACAUGAGUAGUUUCAUCUUAAAAAUCUCGCCAUGGGUUGUCAUGGCCUACAGCGAAUCUGCCAGGAAAGUCAUGUUCAGCAUGGAUUCCAACCCAGGAAACAAACGGGGGAACAACGUUUCCUCGAUCUUAUUAUUGACCUCAUACGGGACUUUGAUUUCUCCAUGGGGCACACCCAAAGUGCAGAACACGGAUUCCUCGUCCAACGGCAGUCUUCCAUGUCCCGGAAUCACAAAUUCCCUGGAGGCGGGGUCGCAAAUGUCACCAAGCCAGUCGCAUACAGGGUUGACUAGAUUCUUGCACCUGACAUCCAUCAGAGCCUGCAUACCCAUCUCAGCAGCAGCUCCCUUCUGAUCAUUGGUAAAUCUGUCGGUCAAUGAAGUCAGGCGUUCCUGCGAGGCCCUAUUGCGAGUACGUUUCUUCUUCUGCAAAACAGACAAAUGAUCAUUUGUUGCCAUGUUUUCACUGUCAUGAAAUUUUAGUUCAUAACAGACGACUGCAAGCUCGAGGUGGCAUCCAAGAACAUAUGCAGGAGGAGGAGGGGUGUGGACAGUUACCUCAUCACCGUCUUUUCUCCUUCCAGUUGCCCGAUUCUACUGCGGUGCAUCCAUGAAAUCAUCAUCAUCAUUUUGAUGAUCGCCGCGAGCCAUUCUGCUGAGGUAAGAACAGACCAAAUUGUCAGGGUGGAAAUGAAAUGUAGGAAGUAAGCAGUUGCCACCUAACAGAAUGUGCUUGCCACAUGGGCUCGAUUGAAAUGGCAACUAGUGAAGGAAAAUAUCACAUGAACACACACGCACCCCCCUAUGAUUGUCGAAAACAUAAAUGUGGCAAUUAAGCACAUUGGUUUCAUUUGAAAAAUGUACAGAUCGUAAUGCACUUAAAAACAAAUGUUGAAGUUGCCAUGUUAGCACAAGAUAUUACGAAAGAAAGGCACAAAUCUUCCACUGCACAAAUAUAAAAUGUGGCAGCUCACACCCUGUCCUCAUACAAAAAUGACUUGCCAUGUGUUCAAUGGCAAAAUGUGCUAGGUUGAAAUUGCCAUGUUAAAAUGCAACACAAAAUUCAAAAAAGCGAUGAAAAACAUCUACUGAACAACCUAAAAUUGCAAUGCACGCACUGACCUCAUAUUAAAAAUGAGUUGCCAUUUAGUAUAGACAAAUAUGUUCAAAUAUCACAAGUCAGCGUGGCAAAACAUGAAAUUGGGUUUGCAGUACAAUGAAUUUGUCACAUUAUCCUGCCUAUAACAUGGCAACAGACAUGCUGUGUUCAGAGAGAUACUUGCCACAUGGAAAGCAUAUAUGUGGCAUCUGACACAGUUGAUGUGGAAAUUAGUUGCCAUCCAGUGCACAUAGUUACUAAAACUGACAAGACUACCUAGAUACUAUACUUUGCCAUGCCACAUUAUCCUGUCAGUUGCCACAAGUCAGCGUGGCAAAACACAAAUUUGGGUCUGUAGUACAGUGAAUUUGCCACAUUAUCCUGCCUACAACAUGGCAACAGCCAUAGUGUGUUCAUAGAAAUACUUGCUACAUGGAAAGCAUAUAUGUGGCAACUGACACAGUUGAUGUGGAAAUUAGUUGCCAUCCAGUGCACAUGGUUGCUGAAACUGCAAUUACUACCUAUUUACUACACUUUACCGUGCCUACAACGUGGCAACAGCCAUAGCAUGUGCAUGAAAUUAGUUGCCACAUGGAAAACAUAUUUGUGGCAACUAUCACAUUCAAUCAGGAAAUUAGUUGCCAUACGGUGCAGAUAGUUACUCAAACUAUCAUGUUUGCAUUUAUACUGCACUUUGGAAAACAACUACCUAGAUCUAGGGUUCAAUGGCAACUAUCAUGACUUGAAAUUCAUCACCAAAAUUCUCCCCGCACUGAUCGCAAAUAACAGUUCGAAGCAAUGCGCAACUAUCAGACAGAAAAACAACGGCCCAAUCCCAAGGCACAACCAGGAUGUGGCUCCGGACAGGCCGAACCACACCGGCGUGAUUGCCACCGCGGCGGCGACGAAACUGCCCAAUGCCACCGAAAAUGGCAAGCACAGGACUCUGCCACCAGCGGGAACGCCGGUGCAUCGCGAGCCCGCCUGAAUCUCGAUGAAUCUCGAGCGAAGCAUCGAACACAAAGGGCAGGGGAGAAAUGCAGACAAGGAUUUUGAGCAUGGGAGGGAGCAUUACCUUCAAUAUGUAGGCGCUCUGGCGAAGACACUCCGGUUAGGCGAGCACCACUGACGGCCGCGAAUGCCGUCGACUCUUCCGCCUCCGCCGUCGCCUUCUCCUCUCGUCUUCUCCUCCAAUCGACUGAACUGCGAGGUGGGCGAGUAACUAAAUGGAGGAGUAAAUGGAACCAUGAGGGGAGGGGGGCGAAGUGCGCGACGUGUUUGACGUCAACCACGGUCGGUGCGUGGCGUGCGGGUGCAGAGCAGUUCCACCGCACGCCCCCGAGUGGCAACCGCUGACCGCAGGGGGGCAACCCGCGUGUGGGUGAACUAUGUCACACACCACACACGCGCCUUGUCGUACAUGGCACACAAAAUUGGCCAAAACAUGCCAAGAUUCGUGCAGAUACUGCUGGACGGCAAUGGAGGCAUGUGGUUGAGAUGGCUAACGCCCACACGUGUGGGCGUUAACAUUUCCGUUAGCUUGAAAGCUACCCUCAUUUUAGAGAACCAAAUUUUGGACACUUCAAAUAGAUCUCAUGUGUGUGCGAAUUAGAUUUAGGGAGCUUUUUUGUGCACGCGAGGGGGGGGUGAUUUUGGUUUGGGAACACAUCAGUUAGCCAACAUUAUCCAUACUUAGGCCUAGUUUGGCAGUGUAGUUUUUAAAUACCGCAGUAUUCUUUUUCGAAAGAAAAGGUAGAUCAUGAUCUACCUUAUGCAUUCAAAACAGAUAAGGACCUAAAUGGCCAUGGUCAAUUACAUGAAGGUGAUGUUAACGCUGCACGGAUCAUGCAGCAGGCCAUCACCAAGCUUGAAAUAGAGAAAAAAACAAGUACAAGGGUGGGGUUUUUGGGGGUCAGAGAGGGCUUCUUAUUCAACAGUGUCAGCCCAAGCACUUAGCACGGCUCGAUCAACAUCCCUUGGCGCUCUAAAACACCACAACCUAAGAGAGGUUGCAACUGUAGAGAAGGUUUGUGUUGAUGACCAUCUGGCAUUGUCGAAAACCUGCACAUUACGGCAAUUCCAAAGUGCCACCGCACAUGCUGCAAAAAGGAUGUGCCACUGUUUGUCGUACUUGUGUCUUGCAGUUUGCGAAAGAAGGAAGCCAUGUAGAUUAGAUGAGCCUCGUGCUGAAUCAGAUAAGCCUAAUUUCACCCCAAACUACAUCUGGAAGCCUACAUCGAAGAAUAAUGUGGCAGCUGGAUUCCACGGCUGGACAAAGGUCACAUCCAUUGUGCUGCACAAGCGCCGUCCAAUGCUUUUUCAUCAUGUUAUCCCUGGUGUUCAGCCGUCCACGAAGAGCAAGCCACAAAAAACUCGAUGUUUAUUGGGUAUGAUCUUAUCCUAGACAUAAAGAGCCACCAGACACUCCACACCGGUGAAAUAAAGCAAGCUGUAGAAGUAGGCAGUGGAUAGCUGGUUACUAGUACAGGCUGGGCGUCGAGCAUCUCCCUUGUCCGGUUGAGAUAACAUAAGUAGUGCCUCACACUCCCUGGCUGCAGUGGCGGAGAGGUCCGGGUGCAAAUGGAGGUCCCAUUGCCCAUCCCUGAAUUGUGAUGCAACCGUGCAAUAUUUGUGUCUCGCAAAAGAGAAAAGCACCGGGGAGGUGAUCAUAAGUCUCCCACAUUCCAGCCAAGCAUCAAACCAGAAGAAGAUAGUGGACCCGUUACCAAUCUCAUAGACCAUAGCCUCCAUGAUGGUUUUGAAGGUGCAUUUGAUCCCCCUCGAUAUGGCAGUGUCCCUAUUAUGGUAGUCCAAGGAAAUUUUAUUCUGACAAUAUUGCCUUGCAAACCAAUUGUAGCAUGGGACUUCGUUUGACUACAGAAUCUUGGAGGCUAGCUUACAUAUCAGCGAUAUGUUGUGACAUUGAAGGUUUCUGGUCCCUAAACCACCAGACUCUCGAGGCAGCGUGACGAAGUCCCACACAACCAAGCAAUGACCACCAAAUGCAUAACUCUUUCCUUGCCAGAGAAAACCUCUAAGAAUCCUUUCAAGCUUUUCAAGAGAUUGAGUAGGCCAUAUGAAGCAUGCCAUGAAGUAGUUUGGGAUGGAAGCAAGAACCAAGCUGAUUAGGGUGAGGCGGCCGCCCUAGAACAGGAAGGUGGCAAGCCAGCCAGAGAGCCUCUUGUCAAUCUUAUGAAUAACUGGCAUCAAUAGGUCGUGUGAUAUCUUUUUCAUGGAGAGAGGCAUACCCAAGUAGAUGCAUGGGAACGACGAAAUGGAGCAUUGGAACAUCUCAGCCACUCUCAAACUUGUAGCUUCAUCCAUACAUAUUGGGAUGAAGGUGCUCUUGCUGAAAUUUAUAUGUAACCCAGUGAAAUUGGAGAAAGCAUGUAAAAUCCUUUUAAUGAUCUGGGUUUGUUCAUAAUUUCCUUGGAUUAGCAGAAGCAUGUCGUUGGCGUAUUCCAAUAUUGGGAAAGGUACAUCCACAGCAAGGGGUGCUUAAGAUUUCCUUUUUCAAACUCAGAUAUGCAGAGUCUCUGUAACAAGUCAGCCACAAAAAUGAAAAGAUAAGGGGACAUGGUGCCACUUUGGCAAAGUCCACCUUUUGACAAAAUCGUACUGCCCAUUUUACCAUUAAUUAUAACCCUGGAAGAGCUGGAAUAUAAGAGUGUGUGAAUCCACUUGAUCCAUCGUUGGCCAAACCCCUUGCUGAUAGAAUCCACUUGUCAAAGGCUUUUUGGAAAUCCAGCUUGAGCACUAUCAUGGGCAUUCUCCUCUUCAUCGCCUGUUGUACCAAUUCGGCUGCGAGAACAAAGUUCUCCAUGAUGCAUCUUCCUGGCAGAAAUCCGGACUGUAACGGGUGUACCAGCAUCGGGAUCAUUUUCUGUAAGCGCACAACCAGUGCCUUGGUCGUCAUCUUGGGAAUGCUAUGUACCAGCGAUAUUGGUCUGAAAUCCUUGAUAUUUACUGGAGCUUCUUUCUUGGGCAGAAGCACCAUGUUGGAGGUGUUAAUUUGUCGAAUAUCAGCCUUAUGAUCAUAGAAGUAUUGUAGAAAACAUAUCAAAUCAUCCUUCAUUGUGUGUUUAAAGGCCAUGUAAAAUUCAUUUGUGAAACCAUUAGGCCCCGAACUUCUGUUGUUUGGUAGCUUGUCAAUAAGAGAGACGAUAUCUCCCCAUGAGGAAGGCUGUAUUAACAUGCUCAUGUCAGCUAGCUCAUAAACUUGUGAAACAUCAAUCGCUGGGAGAGAAAAAGAAGUUAUGCCGAAAAUGCUUGUGAAGAAAUCGGUGGCAAUGUACAACUUGUCUUGGUCGUCAUAAAACUCAAUCCCAUCUUCCAAAAACAUCCUUAUCUUGUUUUUUCUAGGAUUGCAAUUUGCUGCGGCAUGAAAAUAAACAGGUAUUUUCAUCGCCCAUGACACAAUCUCUGAUUUUAACACGCCGUCGCCAGGCGCUGGUUUACCCUAUACUCCCUCUGUUCCAAAAUAGAUGACCCAACUUUGUACUAACUUCGUACUAAAGUUGAGUCAUCUAUUUUGAAACGGAGGGAGCAACUGUUUGUUGUGCCUUCGUUGUGGCAUGCUUUCUCAGUGAAAACUCAAGGGCUGUCAAGAUUCUUUUUUCCUCAGCCGCAUCAAAAUACGAGAUGACAUGUUUGCAGUUAUCUCACCGGAGUAUGGCCCAUGGGGCAUAGGGGCUACCCGCGCCCUUCCACGCCCGCACGCGCCUCCUUCUGCCCUUCCGCCGCGGACGAUGCCGACUUCUCUGAGUCUAAUGCGAUCCUAGUGGUGGCCGCGCCCUGCGAGAGUCUGCUGCUGGCUGCUGCUCAUCCCAGCGUCUUGCCAUGGUGGGCGCCUGUCGUUAGAGCUCUGGUUGUUGGUUCCAGAGUCGGGUGGUUCCACACAGGGGCGCCUAUCCUGUUGUGCCACCAAUCACUUAAUUCGGCUCUCUGGAGCUGCCCGGCUCCGGCCGCGAAGAUGAUGGCGACGCCUAGGACACAACAGCCACAUGUGAUGAAACUAGCAGAGAUGAAGAAGGAGGCGGUCGUUGGGAGGAGAAGAUUUCCCGGAAGCUGGAGGGCGUGCACCAGCUGCGGCUGCUGGAUAACCGCUACGUUUAGUGGCUGAGAGAAUUGUUGGGCUACGAGAAUCAUUCGCUGAUAAGAGGGCUGAGGCUGACAAGAUCAAGAGGGAUCAAAGAUUGUGCUCAAUUGUUGGUGGUCAGGACGUCAGGUAACAAAUUUUUUGGCACAUUUUGCUUUCUGAAUAUUUGGAGGUUGUUUUAUAGGCCUUUAUAAGUGAUUCUUAGAUAAAUGUAUGACUAUUUAAGUGAGCUAUCAAAAUGUUUCAAUUGGGUAUGUCAUAUGAAUGAAUUUAUUUCCUCACUUGCAUGAGAUGUAGCCAUCAAAGGGAUAUGACUCAGCAUCACCACCUUCACUGUUUUGAUCUCAGUUUGUCCAACUAUGCGCCAACUGAAGUAUGACACUAAAUCGUCUGUUGUCUAUUAUCUACUCCCAGUGGAGUCCUGAAAUUUUAACAUACAGCUGUUAGGUUGAUCUCUCCACCGAGUGGGCCCAACGGCCCAUCGGGCCAUGAUCUAUUCGCGCCCUGAUCGGGGGCGCCCAACCCUCUUAUGGUUGGUGGGCCCCUGUGACCUGCGAUAUAUAGAGAGGUGGGGGCCGGGGCACACGGUACAAGGUUAACCGCGCCGCCAGACUCCCCACCGAAAUCCCCUUUCGAUCUAGGGCAAUCGCAGUGCUCACGGGAAGCACCACUGCCACCUCUCCAUCUCGAUCUCUCUGCGAUUACCGGCCUCUACAUCACCAUGGCCGGCUCUGGAUCAAGCUCUUCCGCACCCAAGGAAGGAGAUCUACCCGACUCGAUCCAAAGCAUUCUUUCAAUGGUAUCAGCCAGAUCGGGUCCGAUUUUUCGGUCGAAAAGAAAUCACAGAGAAAGAAAAAUCCCUCCCCAAAGAACCCUAGCAGGGCAGAGUAAAGAAAACCCCAAAAGUUCACCGGAGUAUGGCCUAUGGCCUCGCCGGCAAAGAGCGCCGCCGCAAGGCCGCGCUGUCCCUCUCGAUUCAGAUGCGCAUCGGCAAGCCGAGGCAUCCGAAAGAAGGACAACACCCUGCAAAGGGCAAAGGGGGCACCGCAGCCACGCCGUUCGUCGGAGGCGCGCUUCCGCUAAGGGAAAUGCGUCACCGGCGAAGGGGAGGCAACGGCGCCACGGAUCGCUGUCGUCGCGCACAUGGGAGCAGAAGUGGGUUUGGCUCAUGCUUUCUCUCUCCACGGCGCGGUGGACAGACGAAUAGAAAAGAGGAGGGAAAGACAGGCUCGCGCGGUGGCCGUCACUGGCAACUGCGUGCAGCGAGGUGGCCCGGCGACCUGUAAAGAGGCCGCCGUCGAGAGGCGAGGGGGAGCAGAGGCGCAUCCGUCUUGCUCUCUCUCUCUCUCUCUCUGCCAGAGAAAUGAAAAGGAGGCCAGAGCGGCUCGCGUGGCGCGGUGGCCCGACGCGGUCGCCGGCGGCCGACGGCCGGCGUGGCUUUUCCGCGCGGCCGGCGAGGCGCGAACCCCUCUAUGAGGGAGAGACGAGCGAGCGGCGCGCGAGGGGAGAAUGGGCUAGGUUUCGGUCGGGGAUCGAGAUCGAGGCGUUUUUGUUCUAGCGAGAGGCGCGGUCGUCCGUCGGAUCGCGAUGGACGGCAGAGAUCGAAACCCUAGCCCCGCCCUGGGCCACUGGGCCGAAAGAGAGGGAGGCCGCAGCCGCGCGCCGGGCCGGACCGAGACCGCAGCCGCGUGCUGGGCCAAGGCCGCAGACGCGCGCUGGACUGCGCUGCUGUUUUUUCCUCGUUUGUUUUCUGUCCAGACUUUGGGCAGAUUUAAUAGUUUUUCUAUGCAAUUUUUCCAACGAAAUUUUUUUUUAGAAAAUAUAAAAGUAAACAGGAAAAGUUUAUGAAAAUGAAAAUAGAAAUUUUUCAGAAAAGAAAUGUUCAUGAAUUUUUUAUAAAGAAAAUAAUAAAGUUCAUGAUUUUUUUAUUCGGUCAUAGAAAAGUUUCUGUAAAGAGUAAAAAAGUUCAUGAAUUUUUAUUCAUGUUUUUCCGCUGCGUAAAUAAUUAAUGCUCUUUUACACAGAAAAUAAAAUUUAUAUAGUAUUAAGUUUUUUUAAGAGCAUGUUAAAGUGAUUAUUAAAAUGAAUAUGAUUAUGUUAUUUUUUAUGACCAACGUUGUUUAAAUAACAUGAUCAUGUUUUAUUAUUGAAAUUUAAAGGUGCAUUUAUUUCUAAUAUUUUGCCCAACUGUAAUAUAGAUUUAAUUGCAUAGACAAUUAUAUGUUUAAUUUGACCAAUGUUAGAUUAAUGCAUAUGAUUGUUAUAUUGAUGUCACUUAAAUUGUGAUUUCAGGAGGCUUUCACUUGAUGAGUUGCCUAAAAGAAGUUCCGACACUCAGAGGUGACAACCACACUGAGUGGAGGAAGAAAGUUGAACUGGCAUUUCUUUGUGCUGAUCUGGACUGGGUUCUGGAAGAACAACAGCCGGUCAGACCUACAGAGCCAGUAAGAGAGACUACUGAGGAUGAUGCUGCAUGGGCUAAAAGGAAAGGGGAUUAUGCUCCUUUGGAGAUGUCCUACAUCAUAGCCAACCAAAAGUGGGUCAAUGCAAAUAAAAAAUGCAUGGCCUUUAUAAAGAAUACAAUUGAGAGCAUCAUUGUGGGCUCCAUUGGAGAAUGCACUUCCGCAGGGGAGUUGCUGACAAAGAUAAAGAGCCAGUUCACUGGCUCUUCAAAGAUAUAUGCCACCCAGGUGUUAAAACAACUUGUGACAGAACAAUACACAUGUGGUGGAAUAAGAGAGCACAUCCUGAGGAUGAGCAAUAUGGCAGCAAAGUUAAAGCCCAUGGAUGAGGAUCUGGAGAUCAAACCAAAGCUCCUGGUUCACCUGGUCAUGGCUUCACUGCCAAAGGAGUUUGAAACUUUUGUUGUGAACUAUAAUAUGUCACCUGGAACAUGGGACAUAGAAAAGACAAUUGCUAUGUGUGUCCAAGAAGAGGACAGACUAAAAGCCUCACAUGGUGGAACACUCAACUAUGUGAAGGAUCACAAGAAAAAGAACUACAAUCAAAACAACAAAAAGUUCUCCUUCAAAGCCACAAGGAAAAGCUCCCUAUCAGCAUCAGCGUCAGCAACAGUCUUUCCCAGUGGACAAAGACACUUGUCUCCACUGUAAGCAGACCGGGCAUUACAAGAAAGACUGCCCUGUUUGGCUAAAGUCCUUAAUGGCAAAGCAAGGUAACAACAUUGUUUCCUUAGUUAAUGAAUCCUUGUACACACAGUUUUCGAAAUCUACUUGGUGGAUUGACUCAGGGGCAACUGUUCAUGUUUCAAAUUGUUUACAGGGAUUCCAUUCGACCCGGACUACGCUAAGAAGAGAAGGAGGCAUUGAAGUAGCCAAUGGAAUAAAAGCAGAAGUUGAAGCUGUCGGCGACAUCUCCUUGGAGUUAGCUGAUGGAUUCAAGCUUCUACUUAGAGAUGUUCUUUAUGUUCCUUCAUGUAAUAGAAACUUAAUUAGCGUUUCAUGUUUGGACAAAGAAAAUUAUGAGUGUUAUUUUGGACAUGGCAAGUGUGCCAUCUGGUAUAAUAAUGCUUAUGUUGGUAAUGCUUUACUACAUGAUGAGCUUUAUCUGUUAUCACUUCGUGAAAAAGUGCAUUCUGUAUGCAAUGUGAAUGAACAUGUUUCCGCGUCGAAUAAAGAACAAAAGAAAAGAAAGAGAACAUUCGACUCAUCGAAAUUAUGGCACUGUCGCUUGGGCCAUAUUUCGAAGGGGAGAAUAGAAAGAUUAGUCAAAAGUGAAAUUCCUCCACAGUUAGAAUUCUCAGACUUAGAACAAUGUGUCGAUUGCAUUAAAGGAAAGUAUAUAAAACAAAUCAAAAAGGGUGCAAUCCAUAGCUCAAGCACACCAGAAAUCAUCCACACCGACAUUUGUGGACCAUUUCCAGUGAAAAGUGUGGAUGGAUAUGACUCGUUCAUAACAUUCACAGAUGAUUACUCUCGCUAUGGUUAUAUUUAUCCAAUCAAAGAAAGAUCUGAAGCGUUGGAUAAAUUUAAAAUAUUCAAAGCUGAAGUUGAAAAUCAGCAUGAUAAAAGAAUAAAGAUAGUAAGGUCCGACCGUGGGGGAGAGUACUACGGUCGGCACACUCCAUAUGGCCAAGUCCCUGGACCUUUUGCAAAGUUCUUACAGGAGACUGGCAUAGUCGCCCAGUAUUCAAUGCCGGGUGAACCUCAGCAAAAUGGGGUAGCUGAAAGGCGCAAUCGUACACUUAUGGAUAUGGUGCGCAGCAUGAUGAGUUAUUCCAACUUGCCAUUGGGAUUAUGGAUGGAGGCGCUUAAAACCGCCAUUCACAUUCUCAAUAGAGUACCAAGCAAGUCGAUGCCCAAAACACCGUACGAGCUAUGGACAGGAAGGGUGCCCUCCCUACAUCACUUUAAGGUGUGGGGGUGUCCUGCUGAGGCCAAAAUGUUUAAUCCAAACAUUGCAAAGUUAGAUUCCAAAUCCGGGGGGUUGCCACUUCAUUGGCUAUCCAGACAGAUCAAAAGGUUUUCGUUUCUACUGUCCAGACAGAUAUACAAAGUUUAUAGAAAUGAGACAUGCAGUCUUCUUUGAGGACGAAAUGAUGAGGGGGAGCUUGGUAGCUCGGAAAAUUGAUCUUGAGGAGAAGAGGGUGCAUGCACCUAAUCCGAUGAUUCAGGAGCCAUUUUUCUCACUACGAGUUGCAACUCCAUCCAUGACAACUUUUGGGGCAGACCUGGAACCUGUCCGUCAGGAGCCGACUGAACCCGUUGUUGAGCAUGAAAGGGAGGUGCAACAGCAAAUUUUAGAAGAAGUGCCAGAAAUUGAGGCACAUAAUGUGCCAGAAACCGAGGCCCUUAGAAGGUCUACACGACCAAGAAAGUCAGCUAUUUCUACUGACUUUAAAGUUUAUAACACAGAAAUGGUUCAUAUGGAAAAAGAUCCCACCUCAUAUGAAGAAGCCAUGAGAAGCCCUCAUUCAUCGAUGUGGAUGAAGGCAAUGGAAGACGAGAUGAAAUCAAUGAGUUCCAAAGAUGUUUGGGACUUAGAGGAAAUUCCUAAAGGAGCCAAAUCAGUAGGCUGCAAAUGGGUCUACAAAAUUAAGUAUGACUCUAAAGGGAAUAUAGAAAAAUAUAAAGCACGACUUGUGGCAAAAGGAUUUACACAAAGAGAAGGGAUAGAUUACAAAGAGACAUUUUCUCCGGUCUCAUGUAAGGAUUCCUUCAGAAUCAUAAUGGCAUUAGUUGCUCAUUUUGAUUUAGAGUUACAUCAAAUGGAUGUAAAGAUGGCAUUUCUCAACGGAGAUUUAAAAAAAUAUCUACAUGAAACAACCCAAGGGUUUUAUCAUGGAAGGCGAGGAAAAUAUGGGAUGCCGCCUAAAGAAAUCCAUUUAUGGAUUAAAGCAAGCCUCUAGGCAGUGGUAUUUAAAGUUUAAUCAAACGAUUAAAAGUUUUGGAUUUAAAGAAAAUAUUGAGGAUAAUUGCAUUUAUGCAAAGUUUAAAAAUGGGAAAUAUAUUUUCCUAAUCUUGUAUGUGGAUGACAUUCUGCUUGCUAGCAGUGAUGUUAGUCUACUACAAGAAACAAAGAAGUUCUUAUCCUCGAAUUUUGACAUAAUAGAUCUUGGUGAAGCAUCAUAUGUUUUGGGCAUAGAAAUUCACCGAGAUAGAAACAAUGGAGUCUUAGGACUAUCGCAGAAAGCAUAUUUAGAAAAGGUUCUUAAAAAGUAUAAUAUGCAUGCGAGUAAAGCCACACCUGCUCCUAUAGUUAAGGGCGAUAGUUUUGGGAAAUUCCAAUGUCCCCAAAACCAGUACGAGAUCGAUCAAAUGAAAGGAGUACCAUAUGCUUCGACAGUUGGCAGCUUGCAGUAUGCACAAGUGUGCACUCGCCCUGACUUAGCCUUUAUCACCGGCGUACUCGGUAGAUAUCAAGAGAAUCCAGGCAUAGAGCACUGGAAGAUGACAAAGAAAGCAUUGCGUUAUGCGCAAGGCACGAAGGACUACAUGCUAACAUACAUGAGAUCUGAUUCCCUAGAGAUAAAAGGGUAUUCAGACGCAGAUUUUGCGGGGGACAAAGAUGAUAGAAAAUCCACGUCAGGAUACGUAUUCACCCUCGCUGGGGGAGCUAUUUCGUGGAAAAUCUCCAAACAGUCGAUAGUUGCAUCAUCCACGAUGUAUGCAGAAUUCAUAGCAUGCUUCGAAGCCACGGGGCAGGCGAUAUGGCUAAAGAAAUUUGUACCCGACUUGAAGGUGGUAGAUUGUAUUCACAAACCACUAAAGAUGUACUGCGACAAUCAGGCCGCGGUAUUUUACGCUCACAACAACAAGUCGAGUAACGCUGCCAAAACAAUAGAGAUAAAGUAUUAUGUUGUGAAAGAUAAAAUCCAGGAUCAAACUAUAAGUCUCGAGCAUAUAAAGACAAAAGAUAUGCUUGCGGAUCCGCUAACGAAAGGCUUACCACCCAAUGUGUUCAAGGAACACUUAGCCGGCAUGGGUUUAAGGGAAAGCCUUAUGAUUCCUGGAUAGGCCCAAAAGGAACAGAAUUUGCUUCUAAUCAUAACAUAUGUUGUAGUUGUAUGAUUCUAACGGCAAUUAAGCUGUGACGAUGAAACAUGCUCUAUGUACCAAUAUGUGAUGAAACAAAUAAACUAGAAAGUAUAAGGUUAAAAGUAAAAGUUGAGAUCAAGGGGGAGAAUGUUAGGUUGAUCUCUCCACCGAGUGGGCCCAACGGCCCAUCGGGCCAUGGUCUAUUCGCGCCCUGAUCGGGGGCGCCCAACCCUCUUAUGGUUGGUGGGCCCCUGUGACCUGCGAUAUAUAGAGAGGUGGGGGCCGGGGCACACGGUACGAGGUUAACCGCGCCGCCAGACUCCCCACCGAAAUCCCCUUCCGAUCUAGGGCAAUCGCAGUGCUCACGGGAAGCACCACUGCCACCUCUCCAUCUCGAUCUCUCUGCGAUUACCGGCCUCUACAUCACCAUGGCCGGCUCUGGAUCAAGCUCUUCCGCACCCAAGGAAGGUAGGUUACCGGAAAGAUCUACCCGACUCGAUCCAAAGCAUUCUUUUAACAACUACAUUCAAUAUGUGCCCAAUGGAUAUUUCGUGUGUGCACUAGAUCAGCACACUUAGGAUGAUAUAUGUGUAAGUGGUUCAAACUAAAAAUAAUAAUCUGCAUACAUAGCUUACUCUGGUUUCCCUCUUCUAUCUUGCUGGAACAACCCCGCUCGUGAUUGGUGUUCCGGUGGCGCGCGUUGUGUUGGUCGUAAUCGCCAGAAACCUCGCUCAGCUUUGCCCAUCUAACCUGAGUUGGUCUUUAAGGCAAUGCUUACUAAUUUUUUUUUGUGAAGUUUGCAGGAGUUAUCUGAAGAAAGGACUCACUAUCUGGUUAAAUGUUCCAUUGGAUGCCCUUGCAAGAAGGAUUGCUGCGGUGGGUUCAGCAUCACUGCCCCUCCUGCAUCAACAAUCUGGUGAUCCAUAUGCAAAGGUAGGUAGCUACUGAGGCUCUUACCUAUUUCUGCAAUUUCAGUGUGGCAUGCGAACGGAGCUAAUAAUGUGUUGUUUUCUUAUGCAACCCUAUGCAAAACUUACAUCAUUUUCUGAACAAAGAAUAGACUCAUAUGCUAAUGCUGAUGCACGAGUUUCCCUUGAAAGUAGUUCAAUAACACCAAUAUACAUAAUUCUGGUUUUCGUUCCAGUGCUCGAUGCUACUACAAAGAUGUACACAGUUCACCGAUAUGAUGCUUCUAGCUCCCUGUAAAUACAAUUAUCCAUAACGCAAACAUUGCAUUCAGAAAUUGGCAUAAUGACUUGGCUAAGAUGAUCUUUUAAACUAUGUCUGUCUAGGAUUUCUACCUUCCAUUCUUGAUAUAAAUGGGAGCUUUCUUUUUGAGAAGGCCGUGGUUAGAACCUCAUGGUAGAUUGUCGGCAAGAUCAAGGCCUACCAGCCCCUUUGCACCGUGCUAUAUUGUGAGUCCUGAAAAGCCGUCUAGAUAACAACAACAGCAUUGUGAAUGAGGGAGAAGAGUUUUCCAGUCCUCUUAUUUGGAGGUUCACUCCGAAAGAGAACAGCUUGGUGUGGCACAACUAUUCUGUACUAUAUCGCACAGCUAUUGGGGAUCGUUCUUUAGUAAAACAAAUCUGUACUAUAUCGCACUUCAAUUUAAUUGGCGUGGCACAACUAUUCAUUUUAGGAGAGUCGAGACUUCUAUCUCAUAAGAUAUUCAAUGGAUAUUAUGUUAAACUAUUCUACCUCAGUGUUUGCCCAGAAGAAACAAACUCACGUGAGUGAUAUUCAGUAGCCUUAUAGUAGCUAUUUGUGAGUGAGUUCGUCUGCAUCCCUAAUGUAUAUUGUGGCUUUCGCAGGUUCAGGAAGAGCUAUUUUGUGUACAUGAGUUGCUAUUGGCAGUGGACAGAUUGUCUAUGCAGAGUGCGUAGAGAAAAAAGUGAGUGGUUCAAUUUUAUGUGAUGGGAAUUUUCACAAGGCUCUUAAAUUUUGGAGAGAAAUAAGCCCAUAAAUAAUUCAGAACUGUGCUUUAACAUGAUGCACCAUUAACUUAUUUUUUUAGAUGCUCACAUACACACACAAACGACAUCCAGUAGGCGCUUGGAACACCCGACAGAUUGAAAGCACAGAAGCAAAGAUUUCCAAUACGAGGCCACGAUGCCCGACAGAGAUAUAGCCAAUAUGCGCCCAAUCCUUAUUUCUUGAUGUUGGAACAACAAGUAAGAGCAAGUUCAUGUUUACUUAUUAUGUUUUUUGAGAAAUUUAUGGGAUUUACAAGCUGAAAUUAUUGACUGCUUCAAAAGAUGUUUUAACCAAAACUGUUUGCACGAUAUUUCCCUGGUUCUGCAUUCAUGGAAUUGCUAAAAAAAUGAACAAGUUCAGUGAUAGUUUUGUUCCUAUUAAUAUGUCGUCCAAGGUGCCAGUUUGUUUCUUCACUUGAUGAUCUCCUAAUGUUGAACUAUGCAUGUACUUGUCUUUAAAGUUCUGUUGUCUUUCUGAACUAAUUAGAUUUUUUUAGCACUACUGAACUAAUUAGAUGCCAUCUUAAAUUGCCUUCCCUUUGACACUAUUGUACACAUUCUUGAAACACUGCACAGUGGUUCAACUGUGUGCAUGUCUACAACAAUACUAGCAGGUCUAAAUUCGUGUUGCUAAGGUGCAUACUGGCCUCACUUCGAGGAAAAACAUGGAGUAGUGCCAUUUUUCCCUGCCAGAUUCAUUUUCAGCAACCUUCAGAGAUGCCUCUUCAUUUGUUAGGAAAUACCUUUUGUGAAUUAUGAGAUUGGUCUUUCAACAUGGCAUAGAAGAUGUACUUUUCGAGUACUUUCAAUAUUAUUUUGCUACUUGCAAAAUUGUUCGAGUGGUAAAUUGUUUUUUAAAUUUGGAUAUAUUGUCUUUUUAGAUCAACAGGGAAAGGCUCCCCUACUCCAUUUGCAUUAGAAGCCUGAACAAACAUCCCCGGCUUCCUCUGAAGUGACAUAUUGUUUUGAUGUGGCUGCUGAAGAGUAUACCAAGUUAUCAACAGGCUGCAUCAGCGGGCUCGCAGCGGAGGAAGCUGUGGCGACUGCUACUGCUGCAGCAAGGCGCUAGCUAGCUAGGUGUAGCUGACACAAUUAAGUUUUCUUUUCACUUCAAAAUUCAGAGGAAGUCAAUGUUUGUUUAGUUCAAACCAAUCACUGGUUCAAAAGAUCUAUUCCAAAAUGAUAUUGUCUCUUGAUGCGAGGUUACCAAAAUAUAUUCUUCAUCAUGGCCAAAGAUAAAUUUAAUUCCGGGUUAAAAACUUUAGAAUAACUGUGUUUAUAGAUUUUCUAGCUAAGGGUUGCUUUUGUUUAGCUGGAACUCAAAUGAUGAUCAGAUGUACCUAAAAUGAUGAUUUCGGCUCCAUGCUAGCUAUUUCUGAUUUUGAAGCUAUCCCUGCACAUUACAUUAUACAAGUUGAAAAACUGUGCAGAGUGGAAGUUGGUACUAAAGCGGACUGCUCCUUUUGAUCUGCACACAAAUUUCAGUUAUAGUAUGUGCCACUCAUUUUGUUACCAAAAGUUGGGAUGAUUUUUACCACUUUGUUUUAAUUCAGUUAUUCCCACGCUCACCUAAUAUUCUUUUAGAAUGCUUCCCAUCUCAACAAAUUUAUCAUACCGCAAUUUAUGCAUAAUGAUAAAAUACUCAUGGCAGUAUGUCAAACGCAUUUUAGUAUAUUCUCGUUGGUUCUGUAGUGUUUUUUAGCACAAAAAUGGGACCCACUAUCAUUAUAGGUAUGAGGAAUUAGAACCCGGUGCUGGGAGGGGAUCGCAAAAGCUGUGUGCUAGCGUGUAAUGCACAAGCAAUCUGUAGAAUUUUUUUUGGUGGAGGGGCUUAAUAAGUCUUUUGCCCCCUCAGGAAACUAUGUUCCGUGUUUGGUCCCUCCAGGCAUUCCUGUGAAACUCUGCCUCUGAUGUAAUGACCAAGCUCACCACCUUGGGAUCGAUCACAUUCGUUGUGAAUAGGUGGACGACGUGACCAUUAUCGACAAUGGUGGUGAGCAGGAGAUGUGGAAAUACAAACUAUGACGUACAAGGAUUUGUUUCUCCCGUUGCAACGCACGGGCCCUUAGUCUAGAAUUAAUUGUAGAUUGGAUCAAUAUAUUACUAAUAUUUUCGAGUCUUUUUAUUAUAUACAUAGACGGUUUUUUUUGACUAGUGUUAUACUCCUACUAGUAAGCUUGCACGUGCAACGCACGUCUCGAUCAAAGCAGCUUAUUAAAAUCACGAGUAUUGAAUUCUUAAUUCAUAUUCUAGAAAUAUGGGGAAAAAGAAUAUCUAUAGUGCCUGAUGAUCCCGCAUGUCUAAAGGUCAAGUUAAUGCAAACCAUCAAUUAUCUUUUGAUGAUGUCAUUUGAAGUUCAAGAAUACCAGAAUGAUUGUAUAGUAAAGAUUUCAGGAUAUCUAAUUUUUCUUGUCUGAACUUGAAGGACUUAUAAUAGGUAUAGGUAUUGUCCAAGUGAACAUGACUGCAAUUUUUUAAUAAAUAUAAAAAAAUAGUUGUCCUGGAAAAACUAAACCCGUUCCCUCUUGGGUUUCGUGCUACAUGUUAUCAUCACAAGUUGAAUUGUUGGGCUUGACUACAACGCCACCAAUGGGAACGCGGCAAGCUAAAAGAGUUCGCCAGUAGUCAUGACUAUUUUGCUCCCAUUCUGAGUUUGUCUCAUCUCAUGUAGUGCAACAUAUUCAUGUACAAAAAUGAAGAAAUUUAAUUUAACAUUUUUGUAUGACACAGGUGGCAUGCAGCAAGCACAGUUUCUCUAAGCUAAGCUUAGCUCUGGAAUGAUUAAACAUGAAUUAAACUUUUCAUAUCAACAUCCUAACUGUGGAGAAAAUUCUAGUCUUCUAGAAUGAUAAUCUGUGCAAUAAGGUAAAAAGCCCUUAGUACAGCAUGCGCUAGAAUAAUAAUUGGUUAGCUAACCAGGAAAAAAAACACGCGAAAUUUAGAAAGACAAAAGCCACACAAAAUAAAUUUCUGGUGAGAUGAAUAUACCCUUAGGAAAAUAAAUCGCACCAAUAUCAUGACGGACACACAAGUGUCAGGUUUAAAAUGAAGCAAAUGCAUAAUGUGAUGCAACUAUUAGUACAUAUUCCAUUUGAAGCAACCUUAUGUCAGUUAACUCGCAAAAAAGGGGGGACAAAACAUACUGAAAAUGCUAAAUACUCGAAUUUCCAUGAUAGCGAUAGUGACUCACUUCCUGUAAAAUGAAACUUCAUAGGUGUUCUUUAGAAAGUAAAUGAUUAGGUGCAAACCUGAAAUACAGUUACAAAAUAGUCAAGUUAUCUGUCAUCAUGGUUAUCGAAUCACGUAAUGAAAAGCAUGGAAGAAAGAUAAGAUAAGUGCUUUCUUUAUGUAUUGGAAUAUGAAAUAGUUGUUCUGACUAAGCUUUUUAAGUGUAAGAAAUGAACAGCAUAUCUUGCAAACUCUAUACACAACAUGCCUGCCCUAUUUGGCUGCUGAACUUAAGCUCCUCCGUCCAUUUUAGAGCCCCAUUCUUAAAAUAAAACAGGGUUAUUGUUCAUGCAUAAAAAUCCGAUCAUUCUACAAAGGGGGAGUGGUAGUUAAAAAUUAAUUCAGGAGCUAUUAUCAAUAUAAAAUAAGAAGAAAAGAGAGAAAUUUAUUGUUAGCACUAAUUCUGUACAAUGUAAACUUGUCAUAGUCUGGAUCCUCCUUUAUUUGGCCACUAUUAGCAAAAAGUAGAUCUAUUUUUGUUGCAAUUAUUAACAAACGUAUUGUUAGACCACAAAUUAAAUCGUCUUGCUGUUUAACAUGUAUGGCCACAAGCCCUAGCAGCAAAAUAAAAGAAAAAAUAGUUGUUGCAGCUAAUUGUCGAAACUGCAUGUAUACAUAGAACAGAAAAAAAAUAGCAAAAAAAUGGCAAAAAGUGCACUGAUGAUGGGCAUAUCUUUCCCCAAUUGACAUGUGGAAAUUGUUGUCAGUGAUAGGACCAAAUGCACUGGCCAAUUUGUGCCAGCAACUAUGAAUCAAAAAUGGAAAAAUAGACUCACCUGAUUGAGCAUCAAAUGACAAAGAAUACAGCUGCAAAUACUCCACGGAUAAUGGCGCGGAGCAUUGCGUAAUACAUGAUUUAUCCAGUUAUUAUCUAGUUACGGCUGGUGUAGGAACUUAUUCUGAAUUUUCUGAAACCCAAAGGCAAAUUUCAAACAAACUUCCUCCAAUCUAGAAAUCUAGAAAGCCCGACCAGUCCGAAAAGAGAUACUGUAAUUAAAAGAAAAAAACAUAUAUGCAUCAGUACAGAGGGAGUUCUGUUUAUAACAACAAAUGAAAAAUAUAAUGCAUUAGUGCUACAUCCCUGUAAUAACAUCUAUAUGACAACCAUAUAGAGAUUUGAACAAUAAAAAUGAAUGAUAAAGGGAUCUACAUGAAGCAAUACAAUGGUGUAGGAUCAUGGAGAAAAGAAAAAUAUCUGGGAACCUCAAUCUUGCAGGCACACAUAGCGUUGGCCUUGUUUCCUGCGGAUCGUCGUUCUGUUAGGAACAUUUGGCUUCAGGCCUUUGGCUCUUCACCUCAAACCAUUUUAUUAAGUAAAUAAUAUGCAAAUAAACCCACAUCGAACCCAUGAGUUGGCGCGGCGAUGGUCGGCCUCGGCUGCGACCUCAUUAAUCUAGCAGGUACAGUUUGGCGAUUACUGGGAGCGGCUUCGGUGGUGGCCCAUCUUCCCAGCCACCAAUGGAGGAAUGCAAGAGGACGACCAGAGAUGGGGAAGCCAUGCUGGGGUAGAGCUCUUGUGCUGGAAAAGGACAAGAAUACAUCAUAUAUUUGUCAUGCUUAUGGUCAUCAAUUUCUUAUACGCACAAGGAUACUUCAAGAGAAAAAAACAUCAUCUGUUAAUUCAUGGAAGUACCUAAGCAAAAUCCCUACUGAUGAUCCACUUCCCGUUUUGAAAAUGGUGAUAACCAAGGUCUAUAUGAAGUACUAAAAUUUCAAUAAGUGUGCUUAGUAAAGGUUAUGCUGACAUACUGGUUUCAUUAGGGGUACACGAAAUCAACAGUCGCCUGGACGUACUUCCCUUCAUGACACCAGCCGGGCCUCCCCUGAAUCCAUACAUGGGUAAUCAGAUCCACAACAUCAACCAUGACAAGUCAACGGCAAGAAUUAUUCAGGAAACACAUCAAAGCAACAAAAUCUAACAAGAUAUAUCCUCAGAUUUUCAUCAGAGAAGAGACUGACGCAGUGCACUAACACCUUUUUAAUUCAAUAAUGAACACCUACUUCCAAUUUCAAUUGGUCUCAGCUAGUGCUAAAGGAACGUGCAGCUAGAGAUCACUCGCACUUACCAGAGACAUCACAGAUCACAUUCUGCCCCCCUAGAGCCUAGCCACCAGAAAGCACGACGACUGAUCUUGAGCAACUUCAUUGCGGCCGGCUCGGCCGAAGGCUGGCCGUACAAGUUGGGGAACAGCUUGGCGAUCUCAUCUGCGACAGAUUGAGUCAUGGCCGUCAAAACCCAAAAUAAAAGAAGCCCAGACCGCGAUUCUGCAGGCCAAGGUCCGGGAGCGACGCAUCCCAGGAAAUAGGGAGUUCAUUACUCACCGGGGCUUCCCGUGGCGGUGGUGGUUGGCCCGUCGGCGAGCGUGAAAUAGAAGCGGAGGGCGCGGUGGCGAAGGGCGCGGCGGCGAUCGCGGCCCGCGGCGAAGGGCGGCUCCGGCGGCCUGUGGCCCGCGGCGAAGGGCGCGGCGGCUCGGGCGGUGAACUGCGGCGAAGGGCGCGGCGGCUCGGGCGGUGAACUGCGGCGAAGGGUGCGGCGGCGACCGCGGCCCGCGGCGAAGGGAGGCUCCGGCGGCGGCUCGCGACCUGCGGCCCGCGCCCGGCUGCGGGAGGAGGAACGGCGCGGGGGAGUCGUGCGGGCGAGGCGAGAGUCGUGUGAACGGUUUCUUUUUUUUAGCGGCGGUGUAGGGUUAGCGAUCGAUGGAUUGUUGGCUUAAUGAGUGGCUUGCUGCGUUAAACACGGAAUGAUUAUGGGCCAUCAGAUUUUGUAGAUGGACGGGUAUUAUUGUUUGGAUCUGCCACCUCUUUUUUUUUUACAGGGGUAGUAGAUGCACGUAGUUUUUUUUACUAGUGUUAUAUACAAAGAGAAGCGUACGAGCACCUGUACUGGACCAAUAUGUUAUACUUUGGGCUAAGACUGGCCCUUGAGAUUUACUGCUGGGCCGACGACGUAGGGCCGGACUGGGGGCUCAAAGUCCNNNNNNNNNNNNNNNNNNNNNNNNNNNNNNNNNNNNNNNNNNNNNNNNNNNNNNNNNNNNNNNNNNNNNNNNNNNNNNNNNNNNNNNNNNNNNNNNNNNNNNNNNNNNNNNNNNNNNNNNNNNNNNNNNNNNNNNNNNNNNNNNNNNNNNNNNNNNNNNNNNNNNNNNNNNNNNNNNNNNNNNNNNNNNNNNNNNNNNNNNNNNNNNNNNNNNNNNNNNNNNNNNNNNNNNNNNNNNNNNNNNNNNNNNNNNCGAUUCUGGCAUCGCCGCAUCGGGCGCUCCUGGGGCAUCGCCGCCCAUCGCAGGUCGCCGCCGAUCGGUCCUCGGCAGCGCCGGCCAACCGCCAACGGCGCACUGGCCUGCGCACACUCGUCAGCAAAUCGGCUUCACGGUGGCAAUUGCAACAGCGAACCCAUCGUCAGUGUUCUUCCUGAUCUCUCUUGAUUCCCGAUUUCCCCCGAUUGUCAAUUGAGAGUAGAAGAUGAUUAUCGUUAAUCCUUAAUUUGUCGACUGGUACGUCGAAGAAUUCAGUUGAAUUUGACUUACGAUUUGCAUUGUUUCGCUAGAAAACUUGGCAGUGCUAGUUGGCAACAAAAGAGGCGCUAGAGAAUUAAGGUGAUUUUUAUGCAUUAUUAUGCUUAAGUUUAUAACCCCGCAAAUAAAAAAGAACAUUCAAAUUUACAAGUAUCCGCCAUCCACUAUCUAAUAUGCAUAACUUUUGGUUUGUAGAGUUAUAUGUAUGAAAGAUGAAGAAUGUGAUCAAUCCUCCUUGUUCUUGCAACGUAACUAAAUUGCUAGAGAUGUUUUCGCUACAAAGAACAAUUUGUAGCUUCAUUAUCAUUAUUGUGAAAUUUUAUGUCUUAAAUCGUUGCACUACAAUUUUUUUUUUUUACCAUGCAUACCCAUGUCAGGAAACCUUCUCCGCCACUAAUUCCAGGAGCUCAGUGAAGGGACACACAUCAGCCAUGAAACUUCAUCACAAACACUUAGCAUAUGGAAAACACGAGUGUCACCAAUAACUUCAUAAAGAAACACCAGUAUUAUGAAUUAUUACGAGUAGCCAACCAUAUGAGAAAAGUGCAGCUCCUGUAUUUGAGAAAAUUGGCAAUGUGACAAGGAAGCAGUGUAGGGAAACAUGUAUCGAUUUAACCAAAUAAUAAGGGAAUAUCUGGCAAUAGAGUAGAAGGAAACAGAAUAGAGAUAUCACAUGCCACACAAAUCUCCUGUUGUAAUCCUCGGUUGUAAUCCUCAAACCCCCCCUCUUUUGAGUGGUAAUAUAUUCAGGUGGGGAAGCUCUCCCCCCCCGGUGACCGUUCAAAAAAACAUGCCACACAAAGGAUUAUUCACAGCAUAUUCACAUAAACUUCAUGAUUUUUUAAGAUGAACCAACUUCAUGGUUUCUUCUCACUUAAGAUGGUAAUCAUGCAAAAAAUGGUUUUCCAACAUAAGAAAUGGUGAACCUAACUACUCAAGUAUUGAUGUAUAUGGGGUGUGUUGCCGAACAGGCCCUAGUAUCCUUUACAAUUAACAUGUAUCACAUAUGUGUCUCAGAUAUAUAAGGACAACUACACAGUAAGGGCACCCAAAUCAAAUCAAAUAAAGCCUGACCAAGAUCCUCCACAUAGAUCAUGAUAGGGAUGAAAAAGGAACUAUGUUCACAAACUAAAGCAAAAAACAGGAAGUACCUUAUUUUGAUGAUCCCUGUUGAGAAAACUCUGGAGCAACCAUAAAAAUAGUGAUUCAAAUCAUUUGUUUUGGUCAAUCUCUAUUAGUCCAAGCGUUUCAUACAUUGCAUCUAAAGAAAUCAUGGUGCCCACCUAUUUAUUCAGUUAUUCCUCUAUCAUCCAACCUUCCCACGAACCGCCUAAUGUCUUGAAUUCCCUGCUCAUCUGUUUCACACCAAAGGAUUAAAUAAUGAACUGUUGUGUGAAUCCAUUCAUGGCGUACGUUAAUGGCAAUUGAGACCCCAAUUCAUCCAAGUUCAAUUUGUAUAACUGACCUUUGUAAGAAGGACUAGGCAUCAUCUAAGCAUCAAAUUAGCCAUCAUUUAAGCAGCCCCACAGACACCAAGAGAUGAAACAAAAAUAAAUACUGCCUGUUUAUAGAAGUAACCAUUAGGAAGCAAUGCAGAUUCUAGUAUUUGUCAUACCAAAGACAACAAGGCAUAUCUUAGAAACACGACCCUAAGAAAGUAAUGAAAAUUUUAGUAGGAACCCCAUUAAAAAAAUAGGGAGUGUAUCUUUGAUAAUCUGCUUACAGUGUAUACACACAAUGAAUGGAUAAAUAAAAAGAAAUUUCAAGGAGAGACAACCUACCCCAGCAAUGCUGCUCGUACCAUCUAGGUAAGUGUGAUAUGGGUCCAUGUUAUGUGCUGGGAUAAGCAAUAGGGGGCACAUUUAACUUCUUUCUGAAAUCGUUUAUGAAUCCUUUCGUGCCCCACCAAAUUAUUAAAUCCACAAUAAGAUAGGAUAGCUGAAAAGUGAGGGGAUAAAGAUGUCAGAAUCUGAAUAUCCAUAUUUCAGAGGAAAAUAGAGACAACAAUUUCACAAUCAUAUACACCAAGGGACUAAUUCACAUGUUUAAAUGGCAUGCACACUCAUCGGCAAAUCGGCUUCACGGCGGCAAUUGCAACAGUGAACCCAUCGCCAGUGUUCUUCCUGAUUUCUCUCGAUUCCCAAUUUCCCUCAAUUGUCAAUUGAGAAUAGAGGAUGAUUAUCCUUAAUCCUUAAUUUGUCAAUUGGUAUUCCCUCUGUAGAGAAAUAUAAGAGCGUUUAGAUCACUAAAGUAGUGAUCUAAACACUCUUAUAUUUCUUACAGAGGGAGUAGUAUAGAAAGGGCCACUAUCAGCAGUAGGGUUUGGAUUUGAGAAAAGUGCAGCUCCUGUAUUUGAGAAAAUUGGCAAUAUGACAAGCAAGCAAUGCAGGGAAACAUGUAUCGAUUCAACCAAAUAAUAAGGGUAUAUCUGGCAAUAAAGUAGAAGGAAACAGAAUAGAGAUACCACAUGCCGCACAAAGGAUUGUCCGCAGCAUAUUAACAUAAACUUCAUGAUUUUUUAAGAUGAAUUAACUUCAUCAUUUUCUUCUCACUUAAGAUGUUAAUCAUGCAAAAAAUGAUUUUGCAACAUAAGAAACGGUGAGCCUAACUACUCAAGUAUGGAUGUAUGGGGUGUGUUGCCGAACAGGCCCUAGUAUCCUUUACAAUUAACAUGUAUCGCAUAUGUGUCUCAGAUAUGACAUAUGGAAACUUUUUUUACAUAAGAAAACUUGCAUAUGUCAUAUCUGAGACAUAUAUAGUGAAAUCCAUGCAAAUGUUAGUUAAAGCAAACUAUACCAUGCGUAAACCUGAAUCAUAGCCAUGCAUGUUCCCAUGCGCAUGUUGAGAAGACUGGGGCCAUUAUUUGAACAAACAUGUAUAUGAGAAAAGAUAAAUUAGUAAUAGCAGCGGAUGCUUCUUGACACUAAUAUAAUUGGACACAUUGUGAACAAAACUUAAAAAUGAGGAUAAUAACAACAUAUACUAUUCCACCCCCCAAAAAAACCCAGUAUACAAGCAGUGCAAAGUGGAAUAUAGUGGUUUUCCUUACAUUAACCUUAUAUGACAUAAUAUCAAUAUAUGCUAGUACUGUAGUCAAUAACAUGUACAGAGUAAAAGGCUAGUGCAUUUUGAGUAUUUGACUACAGACUAAGAUAUUUAGACCUACAGUUUCCAUCGUGGAUACAUGUUACAUGACCCUGUUAGCAUAAUACACUGUACAAAGAUAAAGGUAGUUCAUUUUGUGUUUUUCACUACAAAUUAAGAUAUUUAGACUAAAAGCUGAGGUUCUUUUCUCAUUAAUUGACACGAGUUGCAGUAGGCAAGGCACAUGAUAUGUUUUCAUGUGCAGAACCGCCAAGUAGUGUCACUGUAUCACAUCGACAUGCAAAAGCAAUUACAUCUCCACGUUUAAGCAUCCAGGAGAUCUACAUGUCUCGUCUUAAUUGAGUCAAANNNNNNNNNNNNNNNNNNNNNNNNNNNNNNNNNNNNNNNNNNNNNNNNNNNNNNNNNNNNNNNNNNNNNNNNNNNNNNNNNNNNNNNNNNNNNNNNNNNNNNNNNNNNNNNNNNNNNNNNNNNNNNNNNNNNNNNNNNNNNNNNNNNNNNNNNNNNNNNNNNNNNNNNNNNNNNNNNNNNNNNNNNNNNNNNNNNNNNNNNNNNNNNNNNNNNNNNNNNNNNNNNNNNNNNNNNNNNNNNNNNNNNNNNNNNNNNNNNNNNNNNNNNNNNNNNNNNNNNNNNNNNNNNNNNNNNNNNNNNNNNNNNNNNNNNNNNNNNNNNNNNAAAUCUUCAGCAAAUUAACCUAGUAUGAAGGGAAUCCUUGCUGCUCUGAAGCACAGAAACAUAAACAGAAGAAGAGACCACUCAUAAAUUCGAACUCCCCAAACAUGUUUCCAUAUAGAACCCAACUGAAUAAGCAACUCCUUUGCACGAACAGAUGAUAGAUUAGUGCCUCAGGAGACGGCAAAGGAUGCCUUUUGCGGAGAAGGCCACGAGAGGAUGUGUGGACCAUAAGAAGCAGCUGCCAACUGGCAGGAAGUCAUCACUAUGGCUUCUUCAUUCUGCAGAGCACUCGACUGGCAGCUCUGGCCCAUGACCAGCACGAUGCUACUGGGCACCAUCUUCGGAACCGGAUCCACCUGCAUAUCUCCAGGGUAGCCCUCCUCCCCGAUGACAGGGAAUCAUAUAGGUCGCUUGAGAGCAGCAGCGGCGAAUCUUCGAUCUGACGGAGGUGGUGACCAGACGGGGCACAUCAUAGAGGCAUAACAUAAUAGCAAAACUGUCAGAAAUUGCAGCGCAAAUAACAAAAUUGUCAAGGUGAGUUUCAUGCAAUGGCAUAACAAAUAUACUUAAAGCCUUCGAACAACAAUAAUUUGAGGAUUUAUUGAAGUGGAUAACAACUUUACCUUAUUACCUGCGCCAUUUAUAUUCUGUUUCACGAGUAUCCAACAGUGGAAGUGCGGCAAGGUGCUUUAAUUUAAAGGGCAGGUCCUGUGUUUUAAAGAUCAAAUAACAGCAUACAAAGCACUACACUUCAGAAACAAUUCUCAGAAGCAGGCAAUAUGUUGAGUACAAAAACCGAACAUUUUUUUUCUGCCAACACGAUUCUUAGUAGUCAUUCCAUUUGAAGAAGAAAAAGCUUACAAGGCCAUCUCGCCACUCUAAAAUAAGAACAGUAAAAACUUGAACAAGAAUAACAAAAAGACACACGAGAAAAAUGCUCUAAGCCUCUAAGGACUAGAGAAGCCAUCUGCCAGCAGGCAACAUGUCCAAUGGCCUUGAGCUUAUCUUGCAUUCUCCUCUGAUUUUCUCCAUGAGUACCAGAACGUCUAGUUCCAUAAAACAGUCAAUCAUUACAGUGUUUCCAGAGCAUACGUGGAUAUGAGGUGUUUGAUGGCAUUUAAUCCCCACUUAGUGGAAAAUGGCAGUCAGAGAGCCAAUCACUAUCUUGUGUAAGCCCCUCUGGUUAUAGACUUGAGGUCUGCUGAACUCCAUAUGCUGGGUCACCUCAAACAGAAAAGGGCAUGGAAACUGAAUCUUAAGCAUGGCCAAUUUCAGCAGGAGGCAUGUAUGUUGCUUCUUCUGCAACCAAUGAAUAGAUUAUCGGGCCAAUAUGAAGUUAACUUCAAUCAGCUGGCCAGUUGAGGUAACCUGCCAGACCUCGGUGACAAGAACUUCAGCAGCCAGUUAGACAUGUUGUCAACUAAGCUAAAUGCUAUAGAGACCAGGAUGAUCGUUGAGUCAGUUUUCUUCGGUAGAAAUGUUACAAAUGUCGUUGUAUGAAACCACAGUUCCUGACAUCCAUACAUAAAACAUUGUGCAGCCAUAACAUUGUUAUUUGUGCUCUUUUGUCACUUUAGUUCUGCAUCUUGCCUGUUAUCCACUGAAUAUGGAACUCUUUGUAGCAAGUUCUAUCUUCAGACAUAGAAGAACCCAAAGAUAUCAGAGGUAAGUAUGACUUGCUCAGUCCUUGACAUCCCAUGCUAUUGUUUAGACUGAGUACCAAUGGGCUAAAUUUUGAGGGCUCACAGUCAGCGGUACCUAUUUUAAGUUGCAGAGAAGUGAUGACCUUGUUUUUGUUGAUGAGGAUUACAUUGUGCACCUGUCAACUGUUAAGCCACCAAAGAUCAUCUAUAGUAUCAUUGUGCAUCUGUCAACUGUUAAGCUACCAAAGAUCAUCUAUAGUAUCAUACUAACAAGUGCAAGCAGGUCAUCAAAGUUAUCUAUUCCAGGAAUAGCUCCAAAAGCAUCUCUACCGUCACGUAUCUUCUCACAAUAAACUGACCAAUCCUGGAAAUGAUGCGACAACCAUUCAAUAUUCUCUGCGGAAGACAGACCCAUGGACAUGCGGUCACGUAUGUACUUGCGAAGCAUUGGAAAUCGCAUGCUCUCUGAAAAGCUGACCACACUCAGCUUGAGCUGUGGUUUGAUUUCUUUCCCAGGAAACUCAGUAAUGCCUUUGUAAAUUUGGAAGAGCGCAUAACCUCCUAAGUUAAUGCUACUGAAUUCAGAACCCAGUUGGUUAUAGUUGCCAGUAAAACCAAGUGAUCUUAAAUUGGUUCCUGCAAUUUCUCCACGCUGUUGCAUCUCUAGAUAGAUAUCUUUAAAUAGGUACCACUUGCCUUUUCGGUGAAAACCAUCAGAAUACAGAUUAUGGAAGGAAAACAAUAGUCUAACUGGAUCAGUGUUAUUGCGCACCCAGUGUUGUGGAGCGAGUAGCACAAUAAUGAAUUUGCCUGCACCCUGGGGCAAGCUUAAAAUACCUUCCACCAUCCCAUUCUGCUGUCCAUUCACUUGACCCCAAAGCUGUCUGAUAUGCUGGAUAAUUUCAUCAAGCAGAGCGUCAUAAUUACUGCUCAUGGUCUCAGGAUCCUCGUCCAGCUGCAAGUGGAAUGUCGGGGAGUUCUGCAAGUGAAGAUUAUAUAACAUGAGCGUAGGAUCCAACCAUGCAAUCAAUCGGUAGAAGAUACCAAUUUAUGUUGAUGAGAUGGUUUAAGGCCGUAAGAUCCCAUCAUCAUGUAAAAGUAUAUGAAGGAUAAACAGUAUUAUCUAGUACUAUUUCGUUUGCCAGCAACUUGCGUUUGCUGUAUAUCGUCCCAAUCAAUCAUCAUAUAUAUAACAAUAAUAAAUGCAACAAUAAAUGUAGGAAAUCCGUACGGAACCAAACAAACGCACACGUGACACGAAAUCUGCGAGAAAUCCAAUCCCAGCCAGCCCUACUAACCCAACGCCCCCUACUUGAUGGGGGAAAUAAUCGGACCAUGAACUGAUUCCAAACCGCACGGACCGCAAUUAAUAAAUAAAGUGAUUAAGGCCCAGGAUUAAGAAAGGUGGGUUUUGUGCGGAGGCCCAUGAGAAAAACGAGGAGGGGGGCGGGGAGAGUGGAGGGGGGUGGCACCUCAAAAGGAUCCAUGCCGCCAAUGCUGGUCCGCCGAUCGUCGAACCUCAGCAGAUCGUACCAGAUUCGGCUAGGGUUUUGCCGGAGGAGCGAGGUUUUUCUGGCUGAGAACGAUGGUGAAGCAAGCCGCGCGCCGGUGCGUGUGUGUGUGUGUGUUGAGGGAAGGCAGCGUUUUUCGUUGUCUUGUCCUUGGUUGGGGGGUGAUCGUGAGGGCUACUAUGGGCCAGAAUGGCCCAACGAGUCCAACACGAUGAUGCCCACUGUGUUGGACGACACACAGUGAAUGGGCCUAGGCCUCUGACCGUCGAGCGCGCGCCUAAAAGGGCCCAAGUUGUGAUAUGAUAUGGCUCCUCUUUCUAUUUCGAGAUCCCCGACUCGUCCAUCUUUCUCAACUAAAAAAAAACUCUUGGAUCGACCAAACCCUAGAGAGAGAGAGAGAGAGAGAGAGAGAGAGAGAGAGAGAGAGUCCUCUUCCAUGGCCGGCGGCGAUUCUUCUCCCGUGGCGGCGGCUGCUGCGGCGAGAAAGUGGGAGUGGGACCAAGAAGAGUAUCGGUGCGAGUCGCCGGAGGAUUCAUUGGACCCGCGAUACAGCGAGUACGACCCCAAGCAGGGUCGUUUCAUAUACGUCCGCUACUUCUUCAACGGCAAACUCGACCUGGACGAGGAGUGUACGUUCCAAUCCAAUCCAAUCCCCCUUAAUAUGCAUCUCGUUAUGUUCGGUUAAACCUCUUUUGGAGGUGGAUUUUGAUUCAUAGCAGAUUUUAUCCUCCCCAAUCCACUCAAAUCCCCUUCAUACCCCUCCCCUUGCAACAGAACAAGCCUAUCCAUCCUUGUUGCUUCGUUGUGCAUGUCUAAUUCAUUUCAAUUCAAACACCAGUCAGUCAGUGUCAUUCAUUCAUCAAAAUAAAUCUGAAGGUUACUUUCACUUUCUGCUAGAUUUAUUCGGAAGCAAAGGCUGCCACUUUCAAAUUCAUUCCUCAAUUAGGCUCGGUUUACACCUACAUACUCCCUCCGUUCCGAAUUACUCGUCUCUGAAAUGAAUGUAUCUAGAACUAAAAUACAUCUAGAUACAUCCAUACGUGUGACAAGUAAUUCGGAAUGGAGGGAGUACAUACAUACAUACUCUUUUGUUACUCUCUUUGAUUGAUUUAUAUGCGUUUUCUUCUCAUUUGACAGCACCUGUUGGUCCCAUGCGACAUACUGGUAAAAUCUUCAAAGAGGGAUUCCGGCUCAAAAAUUCAGUCAAUGUUGUUUCCAUCAAGAUUGUUUCCUCUGACUAUGGCUACCCACUCUAUGUCUACGGUACCAUCAUAGCCAGGGACAGUCUGGAUCGAAAAUGUGUCUAUAUAUUCCGGCGCGACCAGGAUGAUUGCCAGCUCAUCACCUCAAAGGUAUUACUGCCACAGACACAUACAAUAUAUCAAUGUGUGUUUUCUUGUACUGGUACCUCAUAUCAGUCCUCUGGUUUAAUAAAAAAACUGCUGAUUUCCUGACGGUGAAAUUUUGAGUUAAGUUGUGCACAACGUCUAUCAAUGAUUACUUAUGAAUGUUGUAUGUCAGUAAUCCAUAUUUGGGAUUUGUAUGUUAUACUUGAAUAACGGAUCUAGUUUUGUAUCUGUUCCAUACUCGAAUGUACACAUACUUGAGCCAACCAGCGAAUCUGUAUUGGAUACCGUAUCAGAUACCGAUUUGCCUCCGAUACUCCCCCUAUGCGUAUCCAUGGAGGAUCCUUGAAUAAAUGAUUUAAAAGAAUUACAAUACUCCCCCGAUACUUGCCAAUACGUUUUGGAUACGGCCCAGCCCAGCCCUCUCAACCCAGUAAAGAAGCAAUCAGCAACCCUAGUACCCCGAUGGCCCCCAUCUGUUCCCUCCCAAGUUUCUUUCCUCCUUCUCAAGCUCACACCAGGUGGUGGCUGUUCACCCAGUGCCAGCGGCUAGCCGGCGACGAGCUGCCCCUCCUCCUCACCAAUGUCCUUGCUCAGGCGAGGCUAGUAGCUGCAUGCUCAGGAGAGCAAACAUGAAAGUAAUAUGCUGUUCCUAAGUUCUAUACUUUAUUUUUGAAUUAAAAAAUAGUAAAAUGUAUCCCCGUAUUGGCACUUUUUCAGAAUGGCGAAUUUACGUAUCCAUAUUGGCCCGAUACCGAUACUCGUAUCCUUAUUGGUGCUUCGUAGGUUCCGUAUGAUGUUGAUUUUAACGAUACUUCAAUUAGUUGUCUUAUUAUAGCGAAUAGUGUUAGGAGCCAGGGGUUUAUCAUUUGCGUGCGUGAGUUCAUGGCACUACAGCAAUCUGCACAAUAAGAAAAGGAGAAAAAAUAACAUGGGCACAGAUGUAGCACAAUUUUUCUGAGUCUAAUUACCUUGUUUCGUCAUUCAAAACAUAGCUAAAAAUUGAACCCCAAAUAUUCAAUCAAUUCCAGAAACAAGCAUCUGGAAUUUAUCUAUUCAAAUUGGUCUUGCAGGAUGAUUCAUUGAUUUUGACUGGACCCAAGAGAGGAUUCAUGGUAUGUGAUGAUAUAUUCUUCGAAAUCAAUCUGAAGGUGAAGGAUGUGCAUGGGAUGACUGUCGAUGAUGAUAGACUCAGUAAAGGCCUGAUGGAGGUGGAUGCUAUCCGCAGGCUGGAAUAUAGUCCCAGAUAUGUGGUUGAUACGGAAACACUUGUCAGCAUGCACAGCAUAUUGGAUUUAAACUAUACAUUCAUUAGGAGGUCGGUGGAGGGCACUGUUGAGAUCAAGAUCCUUGAGGGACCUGAUGAAUUCCAUGGGAAGAUUGUCGCUUCCACUACCAGCAUUCCAUGCGACAUUGUGCUACAUGAUAGCAAAGUGAGUGGUGCGCUAACUGCAGGUGACAGUGGAGUCCUA